GGCAGUCAGCACCAAAAGAUAGCAUCAUACAAACAUCAGCAACUCUACCCUUUCCAGCAAACACCAUUAGUGGUGUUAGUCCAGUUGAACUAUGCUGGUAAUUGAAAACUUGUGGGGUCCCUUCCGAAGAAACGAAAUCAAGUAGAGGAUCAAACUCAUCAUUUGACCAAGCCAAAUUAAUAGCUUCGUCUAAGGCAACCCCAUAGUCCUCAAUUAACUUGGGGUCCUCAACUGGGAGGCUUAGCAAAGUAGAAUCAAGGUUAUUAUUUCCUGUUGAUUUCAAGAUAGAAAGUACAUCCUCCAAAUAAAAUGUUUUGACCUGAAACAAUUAAUGCCAGAUAUCACAACUUCUGUCGAAACAUCAGAUAAACAAAUCAAUAUCUCAUAAUAUCCGGAAAAAUGAUUUCUUACAGGAUAAGUAAAUCCAGGAACUCGUAUUAUUGGGCAGCCACCAAAAUAUUGUGAAAAUCGUUCAGCAUCAAUAGUAGCACUCAUUAGUAUCUGUUGGAUUAAAAAUGGUAAGUGAAGACCAUUAAGUGAAAUCAUAUAAUUAGAGGUUAAGAAAAUCAAAGAAGUGUCUUGCACAUGGAAGUUCGAUUCAUAAAAAAAUAAAUAAAUAGAAAUAGAAAACAGGGAUUUAUACUGACCAGACGUAGAUGAGGGUAAGAGGCAAGCAUGUCUCUGCAGGUAAGAAACUGAUAUCAGAGGAAAUGACAGAAAAUUUUUAACAUGCAAUGCAAACAAAUAUCUUGCAGAAAAGUAAAUGUUCUUUCAUUUCCAGAAAAUAUUUAUUACACGCUGUAAACUUCUUUUAAUAGGCGAAAAAGAAAAAUAUUAGAAGAGCUUAAGAGGAGGCGCACCAAAGUACACACAAUGUAUACAAUGGACACUCAGGCAAAUCAAGGAAAUGGAAAAAGGAAAGCAACUCCCUUUCCUUACUUGAAGCUCAACCAAUCUACAAAGUCUAUCAUGGACAUUGAAUGGUCCUCCAUGUAUACUUUAACCCAUUCCCAAAAUUUAUAAACAAAACAAGAUUUAAUUGCUUGGUCCUACUAUUCGAUAUCAUUAAACAACCUUCUAUUUCUUUCCUUUCAUAAGAUCCAAAAUAAGCAUAAGUGACCUUCUAAGCUUUCUUCUACUUCUUCCCCAUGAAUAAGUCAUGCCAAUUCAAAAGGUUUCCUCUAACCAUAAAGUGUAUCACCCAAACCACACUAAAUAUAGAGUAAAUCAGCUGCCACAACAUUCUUGCUUUGAUACAGUGAAUAAUCAACCAAAAAAAGAUGGGACACUCACAUCCACUCUCCGUACAUCCCACCCACCUUGAAUCCUAAAGUAAACCCCCCUUCACCUCCUCUCCUUAACUAUGCUUAAGAUCUGACUAAAAGCCGCCACCACCAAAAUGAACAAAUAAGGGGAUAGGAGAUCACACUGUCUCCAACUUCUAGAGCACUAAAAAAAGCUAGAUAGGGUCACAUUAACUAGAAUUGAGAAACUUGUUGUGGAUAUGCACCGUUCUAUCCAUCUAAUCCACUUUUGACCAAACCUCAUUUUGGUAAAGACCACAAUUAAGAACUCCUAGUUGACAUGAUCGUACUGCUUCUCAAUGUCCAUCAUGAAAAUAACUCCCAUAUUGUUGCUCUUGAACCUUGAAUCAAUGGAUUCAUUAGUAAUAAAAACUGCAUCCAAAAUCUAUCUAUCCUACACAAAAGCAUGCUGAUAGGCUAAAAUCACUUUUCUUAUGUCUUUUGUUAGUCUGUUUUUCAAAACCUUAACUAAAAGCUCAACAAUCCCCCUACCAAGGGGAUGAGCCAAAAAUAUUUUAAAUCUUCUACUCCGCCUUUUUUCAGGAUCAAACCGAGAAAGUGGUGUUUUAAGGUAUGUUUGGUAAUUGUUUUUGAAAACAAUUUUCUUUUCUUUAAAACAAAAAAUAGUUUUCUAGCUUAGAAAAUAUAUUUGAGAAACUUUUGACAAAAAACAAUUUUUUCUCAUAAUUUCUUUUGAAGAUAUGUUUCUUAAAACAAAUUUGAGAUGUUUUUAGUAUGGAGUGUUCUAAGUAACAAUUGAAAAGAUGAACACUUUGGAAACGUUUGUAGUGAACAUUACCUUCAUGAAAAAUAUGGCGAGAAAACUGUUUAUCAUAUUUAAGUUCCUAAAUAGAAUUUUGUUCCUGAAAAUAAUUGAGAACUGUUUUCGAAAACAUUGCCAAACAAACCCUAAGUUUCUCUAAAAAGUGCCUUGGUAAAAAAACUCCCUAAAUUAAACCCUUCACCUCAAACUUUAUAAAUUCCUAAUGUGACUAAAACACCAUAUUCAAGCCAUCUGGCCAAGAAGCCUUAUCCCCAUGGAUUAGAAAGAGCAGGUAAAACACCCCCUCCGCAAAAGGCUCCUUCAAGCUCCUAGAGUUGCUUCUCCCCAAGACUUCAAAGCUAAUUAUGCUAAUGCACAGUCUCUAGCCUCUUAAGUCACAAAGGAGGGAUUGAAAGGCCCUACACACCCCAUCCUUUAUCCUGGCCCCUUAAGACAACCAUUCACCAUUGACUCUUACUUUGGUCAAAAUGUUUCUUCUACAACAUGCAUUGGCCAUUUUGUGAAACAAUUUGGAAUUUUUACACCCUUAUGAACAUCCAAACAAAGCCAUCUUCAUAGUUUUUGAACCAAGAGGAGAUGGAGGACACCCCCACUUUCAUGUCAAUCAACUCUAGCACCCUAUUGUCCCAAAACACCAAAAUGCCUCCUGUUGAACUUCUAACUUCCAUUGCUCCCUAUUCCUAACAUCUCUUGCACCUUGGUUUCUUGUAAGAAAACCAAAUCCACGUUUCUCUCUAUACCAUAGCAAGCAUCCCAUUUUCUCUCUUCUCACAUUUCUCACAAGUUAUGAUUUACUUAAAUACCAGCUAUAACCCCCUCAAAAAAACUAUUUUAAAAGAUCCUUCAUAGUAAUCUCAUCCUAUCUUUCUAUUAAUUGCUCCCUCACUAUCCAUCAAUCUAACUUCUCAACCAAUCAUCACAUGUUUCAUUGUUUUCUCGUCUCUUUCUAUAAAUAUGAUCAUUCCAACAUCUUGACGAAUCACAUAUUUUGUGCUAUGCGUGCAUGUUGGAUGUACCACUACCUCUAGUUUUUAUGGAGAAGAUUAUAAUCUUUCAUUUUAUUUUUUUAUAUAACAAAGAAAGAGUGACAAAAAGUUUACAGUCACUUCAACAGUGAUGCAUACAAAAAGAGCAACUCCUUCAAUAGCUAACAACAAUAUUUUGAAUAUCAAAUUACUUGAAACACAAGCAUCCUCGUAUUUUAUCACUCCAUACAUAAUAAAAAAAUCUAAAUUUACAUCUGUAUCCAUGCCCCAAGCAAAUAAACAUACCCAUUUCCAUGAAUUUCUAGCAUGACAACUACAUUUAUAAAUCAAGUAUGAAGUACCUGAGAAUUGCUAGCAUGAAAUCAGAGUAGCGAUCCCUUUCAUGAAUUUCAUCCUACCAAACAAAAAUUGUGGCCAUAUUAAGGGCAUGCCAAUAAAUCCGAAGCAAGAAUAUGGUAAACGAAUGUGGGGAGACAAUCAGUACCUAUUUCAACACAGUAUCCCAAGCAAUAUCAAGAUUGGAGGGAAUUUGUUUUAAGAAACCAACAAAUCCCAAAGGACAGCAACACUGAAAGAGGGAUGCAGUUGAAAGCAUACUCACAUGUUUUCUUUCAGUUUCUUCUCAUGCAUAUACAAAUCAUAUAAUGCUAGAAAUGCUCAGAUGUGCUACACAGAACAUAUUUAGACUGAACAUGCCAAAUAUAAUGAGACCAGGUACCAUACUAGAAACCGUGAUAUUGCUACCAGUUUACUGUGAGUAGAUUUACACAAUUUAUUUAGUUCUUCAUUGUUAUUUAUAUAUAACAAUAGGCCCCAUACCAGCCUAAGCCCAUGCAAUCUAAGAAAGAAGCAUUUUCAAUCCCCACAAGAGUCUGAGACCAAGCAAACAAGUAGGCCCUACACCAGCCUAAGCCACACCCAAGUAGUCAAUGAAAUCUAAGAAGCAUUUUCAAUCCCCACAAGAGUCCAAGACCAAGAAACAAGUGCUUUAAAAAGGAAGUCUCUGAUCUCCAAAUUGGAAGUUACUAUGCUCCCUCAAAACUUAUACUGUUCCUCUUUUAAAAAAUAUAUCAAACCAAACAUAAAGCAACUAGCUUCCACACUCUCUUCCUUGAGCUCAUCACUCUAGUUUACAUUUUGUGUGGAAGAACAAGAAAAUGAACUAAAGAUUGCUGAACCAAAUCUCAAGAACCUACAGGAGCUUUUCCAAGGUAUUAAUCACUCUCUUGGCUUCAAUUACUCUUUAAUCUCCCAGUCAAAUCAACACAAUUAGAAGACAGUAAUUACAACUAAGCCCACAAAAUAAAAGUAAUUGCAUUUUGAGAGAAUAUUAUGACAACUCCUUUCUACAUUAGUUUGCAAAGACCACCAUGCAAUAUCUAUAAAUAAAUCUUGGGACUUACAUAAUGUUUACUGUCAACCCAUUGGUAAUUUAUACUUCACGUUCCUCACUAUUUAAAUUAAUGAGUGAAUUGCUAAUAAAAUUCUUUUCAGAGAAGAAUGUUUUAGAAAUAAAUAAAGAGUUUAUUCAUACAUACCAAAAUUUCAUAUUAGAAAACCUCUUAUUGAACUGACUAGACUAAACUCCAGUAAUUAAAUCCUAUAAUAACUCUAGGGACUAUUGUCCUCUCUUUUGAUAAGUGGAUUCCAUCUUUAGAAGUAUAUGUUCCAAUAUUUCUAGCCUCGAUUAUCCAAGUCACUAGGAUUGGACAAUAGAAGAAGUUGCUCUUUCAUUAAUCAAAGCAAUUAAGAACAGAAACUUGACUCCCUUUUGCUUUUGGCAAUGGUGAGAAUACAUCAAAAUAUAGAUUCCUAGAUAUGUUCUCAUCAGUGAUUUCACAAAAUGUAUACCAAAUACACUAACAUGUUGACUCUAAAUCAACAACUCCCACGAUUAACAUAGACCACACUAUCACAUGCAGGUUGAUGUCUACAGUCUUUGGGACAAUAAUGUGCCUUCACUUUUGCACUAGCUCUGAAUCAGUUCAUAAAAUACCGGUGACUCAGAUCUCAUGCAUACAUUAACACUCCUCAAACACAAUCCACCUACAAUAUAACUUGUGGUACCAGAUGCAUAUCCAGAAUCACAUUAUACAAAUACUCAAAAUACAGAAUAAAUGAAACAACAAUAAAUUAAAUUAUGAAAUUAGUAAAACAAUUUGUUUCCACAUAAUACAGUCCAAAAAAUAAAUAUUAUGUGGAAACCAAGUAACAUUUAUACAUAUUGGAUGUAAAGGGAUUUGAUUGGAAUGGUUUUGCAUGAAAGUGUCUCAUUAUAAUAUUCACUAUUUUGGAAUACAGUAACAUUUAUUUAACAGAGUUAGUCAUAUACAAUUGGUUUUUUAAUUAUAUCAAGUGUUGACAAAAGAUUAAAAGACCAAUUAAAGUGAAGUGAAAAAUCAAGAUCCCUUCAAUGCCCAGGAGAGCCCUUAUACAUUCUUCAUAUGGAUGAGGGGCAAGCUCAAGUUAUAUUCAUUUUCAUGGAGAACACAACGUGAAGGAAGGAACUAGAGAAAAGGGCUCUCAACAACACUAAGCUUGAAGUUCAGCUCUAAGGGUAUUGGAGUUGAGGUUUUGGGUGGAAAAAUAGUCCCAAUUCGUUUAGUGUAGCAUAUGAAAGUUGCUAUAAUCAUACUUUCAUUUAUUUAUUUCAAAUAAAUGAAAGUUACUACCUGUCAGGACUACAUCCACAUUUAAAAGUGUGUAUUAAUAUAGAAUGCUCGUCAAAAAUUGGUUUCAGAUUCUUGUCCAAACCAAAUAUUCGAAUGAGAUGCAUUGGAAUAAGAUAAGAAACAGUUUUUCUGAUACUAAUAUUUACUUUUCUAAAUGCUAGAAUGUGAAUGGGUGAAUCUAGGGCUUCUUAAUCCCAUUACUCUAUUCCAAGAACCAAAUAGAACCCAUGCCCUCCCAACAGUUCUUGUCAAGAAGUGAUAGUGAGCCCAAAUUCCCACCAUGCCAAACUAGUUUGGAAAACCAAAGCCUCCACAAAGGUAAAAGCUCUUCCAUAGAUUGUGGACCCACAAGAACACAAAUACCAAUGAAAUGCUCCAAAUCAAAAGAUAUUAUGGAGCCAUUUAGCCUUGGAAAGUUUUCCACACGUUCAGUUGGUGAACCAGUGAGCCACCUAUACCUCCAUUGCUAGACUUGUCUUGAGCUUUCCCAGAGGUUGUUUUAUUCAGCAUUGAUCCUUUACAUAGCCUGAAAAGGCAUUUCUAAAAUUCAUGAUUUUAUUCUUUGACAGCUUUGGCAUGAAAAGGAGGGCGGAGUCCAGGGAAGUAAGAUCUUUUAGCUACAGUUGAGUGAACUGGAUGAAAAGGAAUGCUAGAAACAUUUUAGGACAAAUAAGAAACUGAAAAGGAUAGGCAUGGGGUAGAUUUCAUUUCUUACAUCUCUUUGGCUCUUGAUGACCAAGGACAUGGAUUGGACAUUAAUCUCUUCAGGAUUUAAGAGGCAAGAUUCUCUUGUCUUACAGUGAAACUGCAACUAUGAGGUUGCUUUCUGGGGACUCCAAGCCAAGUAGGAAUUGGAAGGAUUAUCAGAGAUCAUAAAAGAGGAAUGUUACUCAAGUCUUCCACUGAAGCUAAAUGUCUAGCCUUUUGUCAAUGGCCUCAUCAAGGUCUGCCCACAAGGGAUCAAGAACCUGAUGGUUGAAGAGCUUCUACAGUGGUUGUCUUGUGAUUUGAAAAAGGAAAUAGAGGUGCCUAUCAUUAUGUCCAUUUGAUGAGGAUGAUCUUUCACAUAUCUAGAGCAAAAGGAGUCUCUUUCCUAAGAAGACUUGGGUUGAAAAAACAAAAAUGUGGAUAUCCAGUCAAAGAGGAGAGUUAGAUUCUUUGUCUCCUCCCCUGGGAUUGAAUUCUUUGAGAGAUUUUUUUUUUUUUUUUCCCUUCUUUCUGCACUUAUUAUUGGGGCUUUGGUUCGUUUCUUCUGGUUUUCUCUUUAAAGGAUUGUUCAUCCUUCUUAUAAAUCCCUGUAUGUUUGGUCGUUGGUCAAUAAUAUUUUUAUUUUUUACAAAAAAAGUAGUUACAUUUAAAUGAUACCUUGAUACUCAAAAGGAGAUUUCCUACAACCUUUAAACUUAAGAAUUGAGGCAAGAGAUGGAAAUUUAAAAUAUCAGAUUAACAAUAAAAGGAGACGGUAGAACUUGGUAAUUCUAGAUGGCGAUUUGACUAAGAGGAAGUGAAAAACUAAACAACUAGACACUAAGCCAGAUGUAGCUUUCUCUAAUGAAUGCAAAGGAAGACAAUUCACUCAAUUAUAUCCUGAAUGCAAAAAUGAUCCUAUAGUAGAAAAAGCAUCAUCAUACUCAGAAAGGAUUCUGGAAACUUUAUGAGUUAAGUGAGAGAAAGAUCAGUACCACAAUUAUGUGCGUUAUGUCAGAAAUAUCUCUCUUUGCUGCUUUGCGUAAAGCUUCUGGCUUCAACCUAUCAGUGCCUUUUGAGACCAAGACUCUCAGUAGAAUCCCAUUUGUGCAAAAUAUGAUAGAUGAGUGCCUUCCACCUUUGCUUUCCAACCGUAUCUAGCAUUGUCAUAAAUAGAUAGAUAAAUAAUAAAACCACUACAUGUCCAAAAUAUAAUACACCAAAAUUUACAAUCUAAAUAAGUGCAUAAAUUUCAUUGAGUACAAUAUUUUAAGUGUGAAAAAAGUAUCAACUAUUUUUUGCUUCGUAAACACUAAGAUACUAUCAUUAUUCUUAUUGGCAUAAAUAUCCGAUUCCUUACCUUGUAUCCAACACUAUCGCCAACAUUUUCUCCUUUCUCAAAAGAGAUUCUCUCAGCAACUAGAACAAAAUUCACAACAGUGUAAACUUGUGUACAGCUUAAAGGGAUGGAUAAAAGAGAGAAGAAAAUGAAUUUAGAAAUGAUCUAAGAACUUUGAAGACAGAAAGGUCGUACGCACCUGAUGUCGCUGAAAUACGUCGAGGUUGAGUACAUACUAUUUUACAUGCUUCCCCCUUACCCCACAUAUAGUCCAAAACAAAUUGAGGAACCUGCAUCAUAUUGAUAACAAAGUCAAGCAUUGAACUGAAUUCGAAAAAAAUGUUAUUAACAAGAUAAAAAAAAAAGUCAAAACAUCAUAUAUAGGAAAUGCUAACUAAUGUACAAGAAGAUUAAAGUUUCCCAACAUGUAAGGAAAGAAAUAUCUACGUCAUGAAGCCAGCAUUAGGAAGGUGGUUUGUACUAGACAUCAUAUACCAAAAUGUUUCCAUUCUUGAGGAAACUGGCGAGAAAACACAAUUCCAAAAAGUUCAAAACUUAACUGAAACCUAUUGUAAGUCUGACAACACUCCUUGGAACAUAUGCUCAAAAUAAUUAAAUUCAAUAAAUUAUACAACUGUAGUAUCCUUCUAAUACUUCUUAGGCUUGAUUGCCCUGACUUCCAUUAUCUUAAGCAAAAAUUUCUAUCAAGGUGAAACCUCUUUCCUUAUCUGCCUCGGAAAUCUAAAUCUGACACCACUGACUGUCAGCAAUCUGUUUGUGCCUUGUCCCACUCUUAGUGACCCUCCAACAAGCUCAUGAAUUUUUAUUUUUUUUUAAAUCAGAAUCAAGCAUUUCAUUCCAUAAAAAUGAAUAUUUAUAUAACAAUACGAAAAGGAUGGGUUAUCUUUUAGAGAGGUGGAAAACAACAAAAGAAAACAAAGAUAAACACAUACACAAUAACAAAACUCAUGAUGUCAACAAAGUUAAAAGGAAAUUUAGGCCUCGUUUUGGAUAGCUUCUUGCUUUUGGCUUUAACUAGAUGUUGAAACCAAAGCUAAAGUCAUGAUUUUAAAUGGGCAAUCCUGGUAGUAUGGAAUUUUCAUAUUUAAUGAAACAACUCCUUUCCUAAGUGAUAAAAAGGGCUUCCAUGAAAAGCAGCAUUAUUCUUACUCCCUAUUUAACCCUUUUAUAAGCCAGAAGCUACCCAAAAAUAUAUAGAAGCCCCUAUUCGGCUUUCAAAAGAGCCUUUUGCAUCCCAAAAGCUAAUCCAAAUAGGAGCUUCCUAAGAAGCCCCUCACUUACUCAAACUAUCCCUGGUUUGGUUGACAAUAUAAGGUAUCCAAGAAAGGGAACGAUGUAAAGAUAUAACCAUGUCAAUGGAUUUGCAUAACCAAGAGUUUAAUUUCCAAAGACCUUUCUUCCCAUGAAACACCAAUUGUGUCACCAAAGUUGAGUCUCCCUCUAACAAAAGAUUCUCAAUGCCCGAUGACCAUGCAAAGAGCAAAAUCAAUAAAGCAAGAAUUUGUGUCUCAAUAGUCAGCCUUCCCCAGAAAACUUGGAACAUCUUUUAACCAAAUGACCUCACCUACAAUCCCAAUUUGUUUUGCAUAACCUCAAAGGCAAACCACCAAAAUUGAGCUUGAAAUCACAUGUUGGAGGGGGCUUUCCACUCUUAUAAACUUCCAUAAUCCUCUAACUAAGAAAUGGACAGACCACCUUAACUGUAACAUGUCAUUUAGUAUUGACCUUUUUGCUCACAACCCUGCUAGAGCCUUCACGUUGGUGAGGCUUUAGACUUCUAGACAAAAUUGGUUUGAGGGAAAGAAUAGGAGCGUCUAGAGGAAGAGAGCUAAACAAGAAUAAGGUAGGUGAGAUUGUCAAUUUUCUUGUCUGAUAAGUUAUGUCAAAAGUUAGGAAAGACCAAGAACAAGAGAAAAGGUAGAAGUCUCAAGACCAAAUGGAGGUAAGGAUAAAGAGCUUAAAAUGAUUGGCUGCCCGAACAUAAGUCAUCCUAAAAUAAAAUCUUAAAACAAUCUCUAGCUUAACCUGUCUCAAGUGUGAUUGGCUAGGAACACUAGGUAAUCACCUUGGCUUUUUUUCCUUCUCUUUUCAUCCUUACAUCUUUAACCUAGAAGCUCCCAAUCUCACAAAACUCUCAAUCUUCCAUCUUGGAAACCUACCUUAAAAUGAACUCUUUAUAACUUGUUUCACAAACUAUAGUCAAGUCAAAAAUACUAAAAUACAUUUGGUGCUGAAAUGGUAAAGACGCUAAAUCAACACAAAAUACACUCAAACAUCAAGCCCAAAAAAUUCUAAGAACUACUUUGAUAAAAAUAAAUAAGGAGUAUGGGAAAUGAGUUAUAAGGAUGAAGGAACAAAAUAUUGAUAUUAACAUUCAACACUAUCAAAAUUCAAAAAAUACAAAGAUAUUUGGAUAUUUUCAAUGAAAAUAUUAUCUUUUUUUUAAAUUAAGUUUUGCUUUACAAACAAAAAUAAAUGUUUUUGCUUUAUAAGAGAAAAUAAAUGUUUUAUAAGAGAAAAACUAAGUUUUAUUAAUUCAUACAUAGGCUUGCAUUCUUGACACAAAAGAACCUCAAGUCUUACAAGGUUUUGAGUAAGAUGCCAAAUCAAGCUUCUGAACAGGAGUAUUGCCUAAAGAGAAUCUUCUUCUAACUAAACAUAUCUCAACUCAUUGGAUACUAAUUUUCAGUUACCUAAACUUAGAGUUGAGAAUGGGAGGGUUCAUGCACCUCAAGUUGGGUGGGUUGGCCACCCAUCCUAACAUCUUAGUAACUGAAAUUGAACUUCAACCCAUUUGUAAGUGAGCCCAAGUUUCGGCUGGAAACUAGACUAUUUAUAACUGCACUUUGCCCAAUUACCCAAUGAAAAAUAGUUUGAGUUAGAAAUGUUGAACUGAUUAACGAAAUGCAGAACUACAAAAUGAUAAAUAAUUUGUCAAGCCUACAGUUUAUAAGCCUUCAGCCCAUGUAUAAUUGACCAGAUUUGGUAACUUGAAUUUAGCUCAUUUACUAUAUGAUGCUACCUAGGCCAACCUGUUUACUCUUUUUCCAUUUGUCAUAAGAACUUAUAAUGCUAUUAGAAACUUCAGAAAACAACCUUAACCUAUAUAGUAACCAAGCACAAAUUGAAAUUCUCAAAAGUAGUAUUGACAAUAAGGAACCAAAUUAAACUAAUUAUACAAAUAAACUCAAAUAGAAAUUAUUUUUAUUCAACUAGAAAAGAUAUCUCUAGGUAAUACAAAUAUUUCCUUUCUCAUUAACAUGUUCUGCAUCAGGUGGAAUGUAUUGAACUCAUCUUUUUUAUGGGUUUGGUAUGGUCCAAGAAAAUCAGGAUUCAAGUUGCCAGGGGGAAAAAUAACUUGCAGCCCAUUUGUCUUGGUCUCCUUGUAUAGUGGAGUUCAGUCACUUCUUUUCUCAGAUUUUUGCAAUGAUAGGGAGGACUCCUCAUCCUUCUCAUGUACUUUUUACCCAUAUUAAAACAUAUUUUGUUUCUGAUCAAAAAUAAAAGUAAAAAAAUAACUUGCAGCCACAGUUAUUUGCUCAACUCAACUAGUAAAUGCUCUCAGUUUCAAACAAAAGGUUUCAAGUUCAAGUCCCAGAUUUACCUGACACAGGGUUCUAUGGAGAGGGAUUAUGUAACCUAUAAUUCUUUUCCAAUUAUACAAAAUGGAGCUAGUGGAUUUCCACAUUAUAAAAAAAAAAUCAAAAAACAACAAAAUAGAAAUAAAAGAAGAAGAAGAUGAUGAUGAUGAAGAAGAAGAAGAAGAAACCAAAAAAAAAAGGCCUUGCAGCCCAAGUAACUUGGACAGUAGGCAUGAGAACUCGAUAUAAGGCUUGGCCAAUCAUGCCUAUAAAAAUAAAAUAAAAUUGCACCAGCCAUAUUUUGGAGGAAUAUGAUUUUUUAUUUUUUAUUUUUAUCAGAAACAAAGAUAAAUUUUUAUUGAUAAAAGAAAAAAAGAAGGAUAAGGGGUCUUUCUCACAGGAAUAUAUGAUUUUAGAUUUUAUUAUCCUUUUUCUUAUCCUCUCUUUCCUCUUUAGGACUUCUUUAUUUUAGCUUGGCAGCUCAUAGAUUUCAAGCUUUUCUUGGUGGAAGUUGCAGAAAUCCUAUUAAAAAUCAGAUCCUUAAAGCUUUGGUUUUAGAUCCAAGCAUCCACCAUCCUCUUUCUGUUGGAUCUCCACCCCAGCCACAUCGAUAAACAAAUAUUUCCUUCUUACUCAAAAUUUUUAAGCUCAUUCUAAAAAUAAAUAAAUUCCAAGAUAUAUCCUUUACAAAAAAGAAAAAAGAUAUAUCCUUGGCAAAGGUUUCCUUUGAUGCAAUAGUGCCACAAUUUCAAAUCUUAUCUUCUCAUGAUUGAGAUUUUCUACACAUGUCUGCGCAUCUCUACAUCUAUACAUAUUGCUCAAAUAUGACUCAAAUAUUAGAACCAUCAAAGACUAGCACUUGCCCACUCUCAUUUUUUACCCCCCAGUGGCAUGCCCUAGCUUUGCAUUCCUGAGUAACAUGUAAUGUCACAGCCCAUAGUGUUCUAAUCUAAACCAACAUCAGUGCAUUUUAAAGACAAAUGACUAUAUCACGCUAAUCUUUGCAACUCAAUUACACAGACUGCUGGACAUUUUAUAAUUUCAAUUUUACUUCUGAAAAGUAAUCGAUCAAAUAGAGUGAGAAAAAAUUUUAAAAUUUCAAUGCACAGAACAUAUUAGACAAAUUCAUGCAAUCUGUGAAUGUGUGGAUAUAUCAGAAAAAAGCAUGUAAAGGUUACUUUUCAAUAUAGAUUUUCCAACAAGUUAAAUAUGCCAUAAAGAAUUGGCAACCUGCGUGGUUUUUCCGCACCCAGUCUCACCAGAUAUGAGCACUACCUGCUUUGAAAAACAACAAACAAUACUCACGUUAAAACGAAUCAACAGAGAAAUGAAAACAGCAGCUGCAUGCAUAUGCCAAUUUAUGUAUUGUGGGAACAACACAUGGAUAUCAAUGAAAAGAUAAUGAGUGAUUCCAGCUAGUUUAUACACCAUGAUGGGAGUGUAACUGUGUAUCAACAAACCCUUAUCUCAACUGCAUGAGUCAGAAACAGAAAUUUUGUCAUAUCAUUCUUCUCUAUCUAAUGCCACAUCUAGGAUUAAGAUGAUUAUGAUGCAAUCUGCAACACAGGCAAGUAGCAGAUUAAAUUUUUCAAACAAAAAUAUGUAAAAUGUUAAAGAACCUGAUGAGAUUCUAUUGUUGACGUAAUGACAUCCUUAAAGGAAGCAAUUGGAAGCUUAGACCUCCCUUCAGUAAUCUGCAAGAAUUCACCAAAAACCUUCACAGUGAGACUUGUUCUCAAAAACUAUGUUCUAAAAACAGAUAGAGUCUGACAGAAAGAAAACAAUACAAAAAGUGUGGCCCAACCAAAAAAAUGUGCAAAUUUCUAGAUCAGUCUGGUAGGGUGAGAGAACCUGUCUCAAGUGAGGAUCCUCCUCUAUCCUAGAAGCUAACAAUUCCACUUUCUUUGCAAUUUCUGCCUUGUUCAUUGAGGGCCUGCCAAAAAUAUCAUCCUUUUUUCCCCAUAUUUUCUCAGUCUUUCCACUACCAUUUUCAACCAUUUGCGUGACCAUCUCUUUAUCAUCAGGUGGAUAACGUGUAAAUAGGUCCAAUAAAACUUCUUUCGCCUCUUCUGAAAAAUUCAAAUAAGGAUUUCCCUCUUCUUUCUUAGUGUCCACCUUCUUUUUGGUUUUAUAAACAGAAACACGCCGCUGACUUCCACGCCUACACAAAGUUAGGUUCAUUAGAAACUAUGCAACAAAAGGCCAAAUAUGAUUACUGCACAAAGAAACCAGUACAAUUACUUUCAAAGAAAAAAAUUGAAAACUAUAAAACUAGCAGCAUGUAAGAUUUUUUAACUUAACAUUUCAGGAAAUUAAUUAUUAUAUUUGUCAUACAUAAAUCUAACAUGGACAGCCAUCAACGCUUACCCAGAACUUUUGGAUGUCAUGCCCAUUUUCCUGCAUACCUCAUGCACCACAGCACGUUCGUGGUUCGUCAGAUUGGCUUCAAAUGUGUACACUGCACACAAAAUCCAUAAAUUCAUAAAAUAAUAAAAAUAAUGAACUAAAGAACCAUACUUCAAUAACCUGAACACUCCUAUGGAAUGUACAACAGAAGGAAUGAGGCAGAUGCAGGCCCCAUAAACACAAGAAGCUCAUAAAAAAAUGAUAGCAUUCACAUAAAGAAUUAUUAAAAUGAACUCACUGGGUUUCAGUUAAUACCAGCAACAUGCAGGUCCUCCAAAUUGUAGCAGGUAAGAUGAAGGCAACAAAAUAAUUAAAUAAACAUAGGGAUAGGACUAAGAAAUGCUAACAAAGCAACAAUUCUUUUCUUUUCUUUUUUCUUUUUGACAAGUAAUUUUGUUUUGCCUCUCUUGGGACUUGAACCUAAUUGAUAAGAUGAAGAAACAUGCACUUGUUUAAGGUGAAGUCUGUAAAUAAAACAAUUCCUUCAAUCAUGUAGUCACUGAAUGAUACAGCAUCAAUGUUUUUUUUUUUUUUGAUAGAUAAAAGGAUGUAUAUUCAACGAAAAGAGGAAGCAUCAAAAACAGUGCCCUCAAAGUAUACAGGAAGUAUACAAACAAGCCCAAAGACAGACUCCUAAGGGGAAAGGAAAGGAAAUCAACACACCACCUUCCCUUACUUAGAGCCUAACCAAUCUAAAAAACUUACAAGAGAAGAAGGGCUCAAAACUAAAGAUACCCUAACCCAAGACCAAAGAUUACAUACAAAAGAAUAUUUCAGUCUUUGAAGCGAAAGCUCCUCAUUCCCAAAAGCUAAAAAAUUCCUUUCCUUCUAGACUGACCAAAAAAUACAUAAGGGGGUCAUUUUCCAAGCCUUCUUACAACCUUUCGCCACAAACGCUCCAUGCCACCCAAGAAGAGUUUCCUUCACUAUACACAAUAGAGUCCAAGUCACACCAAAAAGGGAGAAAAGAAGAUUCCACAAGACCCACGUCUUAACACAAUGAAGUAAAAGGUGAUCCACCGUUUCUACUUCAGAAAGGCAUAGAAAGCAUCUGUUUGCCAAAGAGAACUCCCUCCUUUGAAGUUGCUCCAAAGUUAAGACUUUACCCCAGGAAACCUCCCAAGCAAAGAAUGCUACCUUAGGAGGCACUCUCACCCUCCAAAUACUAUCACUAGGGAACAAAGAAGAACCUCCGAGCUCCAGAAUAAAAUAAAGAGACUUGACUGAGAAAGCGCCACACUUUGAUGUUGUCCAGAACACUCUAUCUUCCUCCUCCCUUUACACCCGGAAGGCUUGGAUCUUAUGCAAAAAAUGCUCCACCACCUCAAUCUUCCAAUCAUUAAACGCCCUUGCAAAAAGAAGGGUCCAACCAUCCCCAUCACCAACAGGAUUCCAAACAUCCGAUACCCAAGCAUUCUUAAACAAAGAGAUGGAGAAUAAAGAGGGGAAUGACUCACAAAGUGGCUCUCCACACCACUUGUCCGUCCAGAAUCUCACUCUCUGCCCACUACCCACUUGGUAGGCCAACCUACCAUUUAAAAACAACCACUCCUUCCUAAUUGCUUUCCAAAGCCCAACACCGUAUCUCCCACUUACUUCCCGAGUGCACCAUCCCCCUUCCUCUUCACCAUACUUGUGACUGAUGACUCACCUCCAAAAAGCCUCUCUUUCAUUGGCAUACCGCCAAUUCCACUUACAUAAGAGAGCGCUAUUCAUCAGAGCUAAAUUUCUCACACCCAACCCACCUUUCUUUUUAUCCAAGCAAAUCAAGUUCCACCUAACAAGGUGUGGCUUUUGGGCAAGAGUUCCCCCACCCCAUAGAAAAUCCCUCUGAAUCUUAUCCAAUCUCAGCCUCACUUUUCUUGGCAAGUAGAAGAGAGACAUAAAAUAUAUAGGCAUGCUAGACAGAGUGCUUUGGAUUAGAGUGAGCCUCCCUCUUUUUGAAAUAUAUUGCCUCUUCCACAUAACAAGCCCACACAGUCAUUGAUUUGAAGGGUGCCCCCAAAGGCAAACCCAGAUAACAAGAAGGGAGCCCACCCACUUUAUAACCCAACUCCAAGGCCAAAACCUCUAUAUCAUGCACCCUACCCAUCGAGAUUAACUCACUCUUCUCCAAAUUGAUCUUCAACCCUGAACACGCCUCAAACCACAUGAGAAGUCAGCUUAGAUAAGUCAUCUGGUCUAAAGACUCCUCACAAAAAACCAACGUAUCAUCCGCAAAUAACAAAUGCGAGAUUAGAAUCCCCUCUCCACUCCUACCUCUCACCCUCCACCCAGAUAAGAAGCCCCCACUAAUAGGCCUUCUCAAUAAGCAACUAAAUACCUCCAUGGCUAUCACAAACAAAUAAGGGGAGAGGGGAUCUCCUUGAUACAACAUCAAUGUUCCAAUUGCUAAUUCUAGUAUUGAGAAAAUGUUAUAACUUAUGCCUACAGGUUUUGUGUUUGAGGUCAAUCCUACUCCAGUAAUACCAACUGCCAGCAUAGGGGAAGAAGCAUUACACCAAGAAAUCAACAACAUGAAACUUUUGUUACAAAUUAUCCACUUUCCUGAUUUAGAUCGGGACUGAGAAGAAUAUUUGGGACGACAAACAUCAUUUCAUUUAUUAGUCUAGAUACCUAUAUAACCAUCAAAGACUAUUUAAGUGACUAAUUCUUGGAAAUUCCGAGGGCAUUGAGGACAAUGAAAUUAUUUGAGUUACCAUUUCUAUUUAAUAUUAAUACCAACAUGAACAUACUUGAUGUUAAGAAAAGUUCUUUUGCGACAAGGUUGGCUAGACACUAGACAGCAGCAGGAUAUAAACACUAGACUUUUUCAUAUGGUUGUUGAUGUUCAUAGAAGGUGCAAUAACAUUAAUAAUUGGGGGGUUAAUGGAGUUUGGCAAUCUGAAAUGAACAAUAUUAUAUUGGUGAUUCAAAAUUUCAUCCAGCAUCUUUAUUCAAAUGCAAGGUCAAUGGGCCUAUUGUUAAUGGAUUAAUCUUGGAUCUAUUAGUGAGGGAGACCAAGUAGGUGAGGAACGAUCUUUUCAAAACGAGGUGUUGAGUAUGGAUAAGCUAGACCACGAUAAAGCCCCUAAGGCAGAUGGCUUGACUAAGGCUUUUUGAAAAAGAACUGGAAGACGUCAAACAGCAUCUUACAAGAUUCUUAAGCAAUUUUCAUGUACUAGGGAAACUUGAGAAAAACUUGAACACCAAAUUCAUGCUAUUGAUUGGAGUAAAAGGCAAUCCAUAGGGCAUGAAAAGCCUUAACCGAAUUAGUUUCUUAGUAGUUUGCAAACGUUGUUGAUCAAGGUUCUUGACGUAGACUCUAGAAAGUGAUUGGGAAACUUAUAUUAUCUUCAUACAGAAUAAGCAAACUCUCAAUUCUUAUUGGAUUUUUAUUCUGAUAAAGAAAUUUUUAUCUCCAUUAGGGCUUGAACCUAAAACCUCCCACAAGCCCUCUUCAACCCUUUACCAUUUGAACCAAGCCUCAAGGCCCUCAAUUCUAGUCAGUAAUACAAACAAUUCAUUCUAGAUUGAGGAGUUCAAUAGCAAGUUUGGCUUGCAAAUUUAAUGUUCAAAAAAUUUAUGACCAUACAAAUUAGAAGCUUAUUGUUUGGGUAGAAGCAAGAUGGUUGGAUUGAAUUUUGCAUUUCUAUUCCAAGUUUUUGCAUUGGUUGACCGACAUCCAUAUGAUUUCUUUAUGAGUUUGCAUGGUCAUAAGCAAGGGAAUCACCCUUUACUCAGUAUUUGUUUCAGCAAUGGAAGUUCUGAGUUGCUUUAUUCUUAAGGUGAUGGAGGGUGGUUAUUUUUGGGGCUUCCAAAUUGGGGAAAAGUAGAAUAAAGGGUUAGAUAUAUGUGUUGAUGCUUAUUUGUUGUUAUGAGAAGCAAAGGGUGAACAUUUUGUAUUACCAAAGUGGAUAUUGAUUGUUUUGAAGCAAUUUUUGGCCUGAAAUUUUUGGCGGGUUAUUGUUGCACAUGUAAAGAGGCAGAAGAAUCAGUAGACUCUCAUCCAUAUGGGAAAGCCAAAUGGUUAUGGCACUUUCUAUUCUCUUAUUUGGUAUUUUGUGGGUUCUCCCAUAUUUGGUGAAGGAUUUGGUAAUGGGUUGGAAUGGGAACUUUGUGGGCAAAAAGAGAAGAAAGGUCUAGUUUAGCCUCUUACCCUUAGAGGGAGAUCAAUUUGAAGGUAUUGAGAAGGGAUCCAGUUCGAAGUUUUGGAAUCCCUGCCCUGUUGUUUGAAGCAGAAGGUUUUGUCGGUAAGUUUUCAUCUCUAGUUUGUUUGUGAGGUGCAAGUCCUCUCCUUUUGCUUCUUCUAUUUCCAAAGACAAGGGCCCAUCAUCGCAAAGGACCAAAAGCUUGGCUUUGUGGAGGGAGCAGGACAUCGGACUUCCAGUAGAGUGCAAGGAUGAGGGUUAUGGGCCAUUAUGUAUGAUUUCUAGCAAGGGUUUGGUUAUGGACUUCAUAGAAAAUCACCCCAAAUAUGCAAGAGAGCGAACCUAGAUGUGUGUAGUGAGGAGGUUGCUUCGAGAAUUGGGAGCCCCAACAAGGGCUCAAUGGGAGAUGAGAGCCUCUCUGAUCCUUCUUUCGGGAUAUUUGCCUCCUUUUUAGCAAGUUUUCGGGAUUGUUAGUGGAAGGGCAUGAGAAGGAAAUUGCUUCCAUGCUUAGAAAGUUAGAAGCUUGAAAGGGUUGCAAACUAGUGGUCGUGAAAAGGAGGCCUUCAUCUAUGUCCCGCUUUGAUAGGGAGCUUCAAAAAUUGGAAUGCUUAAUCAAUUACAGAAAAUCAAACAAAAAAGAGAGGAGUCAGAUUAAUGGGUGGGAUAUGGUUACUGAGAUCAUGAAGUUUGUGAUUUUUGGUUUGUCAUUUGAUGGUUUAGAGGCUAGAUGUUUGACUCUCCUCAUAAAUAAGAAGGAUAGAGAAGAGGAGAGGGACCAAAAUUGCAUCAAUUUGUCUCUAGGUAAGGGUUCUAGAGUUGUGGGCUUGUCUUGUAAUUUCUAAGAGGGCAAAAGGUUGUUGUUUCAAGAAAUGCAAGGGAGAGUGGAAUUGGUAGUAAUGGGUAGAUGAAGUUUGUUUUUACCCAAGGAUUUGAUAAGUUGCGGUUUGUGGAUUCGGGUUGCAAGCUUGAAAGGUCGUUUUGGGUCUAUAUGACUUUCUAGGCCUUUAAAGUGAUGUUUUUGUCUUGGGUUAUGGUUUGUCAUUUCUAUUUCCUUUUGCUUGCAUUCAAUUGCUAUUUGUAUACAAAAUGUUUACAUUGUGCACCUUUUCUAAGCGCUUUAGAUAUAUUUUCUAAGUUUAUCUAUCAAGAAAAAAGGAGAGAAAAAGGCUUGGAGAAUAGCUUUUCUUCCUUUUCUAGACAAUUUCAAAAGAACACAAUUGAAGAACCUUUGAAGGGAUGCAAUGCACUAAUCAAUCUCUCAAGGACUCCCUUAUAUCUAAUUAUACGUGUGGGCUCAGGGGUAUCUCAUAGUCGAUGGUCAAGCUCGUCCAUUGUCCUUGAGAGAUUUUAUCAAGUAGUUGAGCUUUAAGUGUUAGAUAGGGGUUGCGGUUGUAUCUUGCUUUUUUUUUUCUCACUUGCCUACUUCUAGUGUACCAUGCUCGUCUUUUCUUGAUUCAUGAUUUUAAUAUAUUUCUAUUCUUAUUUGCCUAUAAAAAAAUAGCUAAAAGUAAAAUCAUCUUGGUAGGCGUGGCAACAUCAUAUAUAUCUAAAAUGGAUAUUGUUGUGUUUUGAAGCAAUCCAUUAGUUGGUAUGUGGAAUUGCCUCUUAGUGAUCCUUUUUUGGAUGCAUAUAUCAUUGCAAUUGACUGUGAGGUCAUGGAGUGAACCAUUUGAAUAUGGGCGGUGGCUAGGUUCAAAGGAACCCAAGUUCAAUUAGAAAGUUCUAUGAUUAGGAUUUGGGAAUGGUGAAGAUGUGGUUGCGCAUGUGGUAAGAAUGAUAAGAUACAAAUCUAAAGGUGGAUGCCUCUUGUCACAUCCUACCGUAAGGCCUUAAAUCCAAAUAAAGUACACCUUUUCAACAUAAAAAGGUUUGGAGAUAACUUGUCUCUCCCAAAGUUGGUCUUUAUUCAGGAAGUUGUUUGCAAGAUAAAUUUUAAUAAGGACAAACUUAGGCAAAGGAGUGUGAAAUUAACCAAUUGUACUCGUUAUGCAAGUAGGAUGAGGAAUCGGCUAAUCACUUACUACCCAUUGUGGGAUGGCUUAGAGUCUAUGAUCCCAAUUAUUUUCAUCAUUUUGUAUCACUUGGGUACUUCCAAAGUUAAUUGGAAACACCUUGGAUAGUAGGCAAGAAGGACUACAAGCAUAGGAAAAGUAUAGAAUAUUGGUCCACUAUAUUUAUUUUGGUGCUUGUGUAAGGCAAGGGAGUAUAUGGCAUGUAUACUUUCUUUCUUUUAAUACAAUUCUUAUUUGCCUAUCAAAAAAAAAAUAUUUGAUCUUUGCCUAUUAAAAAAAAGGAAGGUUUGGCUAGUUUGACCAUUCAUUGUCAUUUGUCUCUAUAAAGAGUAGGAUGCUAUCCUUUCUAAGGGCUUGUUUGAGUAGUGUUUGCCUUCUAAGUUUAGCAAUAGAAGUAAAAGUAGUUAGUGUUGCUAUGCGAUUCAAUUUUAUAUUUCAGAACUCUAUUUUUAAAAAUUUGUAUUAAAAUAAGAGUAAUUUUGAUAUGUAAAAAAUUUUAAAUUAAAUAAAAAUCUACUUUCUUCAUUGCAUUUGAAGAAAAGCAUGAGUCUCCCUACUUCUUCAAAAUGUAGAUAAAUCUUGUUGAGGGCCAAGUUUGAGAAUUCUAUCCAAAGACUCUUAAAAGUUAUAUUUGACCAUCAAACAUGGCAUUUAGCAUUUAAGAAGUUUUCCCAAACAAGUUUAAAUUGCAUUUAUCCACUGGGAAAACCUUAAGGAGUAAGGAGUCCAUUUUUUCUUUCACAUUAACUUUUGCUUUAUCAGGUGCUCCAUGAAUACCUUACAUUUACCUGGGCAGCACCUCCUUUGGGCAAAUGUAGUAAUAAUUCUUCUAAUGUGUUAAAAAAACACCAAAGGGGCCAUCACUAAAAUUUAAAAAAUUGAAAGAAUUAUACUUCAGUACAAAUUAGUGAUCAUUCAGCAGCCCCAUGAAAGCAAAACAAAAGACAUCCUUAAAAGACAUGAAACAAGCUAGAACCCAUAUGAUAUUUCUUUCUUCUAGUCACACCAACCGACUAACCAACCCAAUAAAAAUGUUUUCCAAAACCAUAGAAAAUCAGAUUUUAGCAGCAAACAAUAAGCAUUACAUGUACCAUCAUGAAACUACCCAAAUUCAUGAAUGCAUCCAGCAAGACCCUACAAAGCCCUCUGUCCUCAAUGGUGCAUUCUUUACAAAGGAAAUGGAGAGUCGAUUGACCACCUUUUUCUUCAUUGUCCCGUUACCAUUGGACUCUGGCACAGGUUGUUCAAUCUAGUAGGGUUGGUUUGGGUCCCUCCAAGGAGUCUUGAGGACAUGUUGGUUAUUACUUUUAAAGGCUUGGGGAACUCAUUAAGAGGCAAGACACUUUGGCAAAUUGCUUGCCUUACUUUGAUUUGGAUGGUGUGGCAAGAGAGAAACAAUAGGAUCUUUGAGGAUAAAGGGAGAACGGAAGAGAUAGUAUGGGAUUUGAUUCGGUUUUAUUCUUCUCUAUGGGCUUCUUGUACUGAAGCUUUUAGAGGAGUUCCUCUAAAUGUUUUACAACUCAACUAGAUUGCGGUUUGCGUUUCAAAAGUUUGAAGAUUGAUGGGGUUUCUCUUUGUUUUUAGAGUUCUAUUGUUGGGAGUUUUCUCCUUUGUUCAAUUUGUGUAGGAAGGACCUCUCAUCCUUCCAUUGGUUUUUUUCUUUUUCUUCUGUUUCUUUUAUCUCUCCUGUAUCCGUUCUUAUAUUAAUAUAUUCUUCUUCGUUUCUGAUCAAAAAAAAAAAAAAAUUGAAUGCAUCCAGCAAGAAAAACACAAAUUUGAUUAUUCUUCAUUAUUAAGCAAUACUCACCACAAAAUAAAAGUACAAUAAAAGAAACACAGAAACAAGCAAGACCGAUAUGAUAACUCUGUUUUAGCAAAGCCCUAACAAAAUCUAUGUUAUUAUUCUAUGUUAUAAUCAAUGCCCACCAACAAAAACAAACCACUCUAGAACUGUACAAGAUUGCAUAAAGUUCCAACUCAAAAUCAUUUUCUUCAUUAAUGAAGCUAACCAGACCAAGGGACCAAAAGCAAAACCCACAACACAAGCCUAUAUUCUCAAAUUAUAAUCAAUGCCCACCAACAAAAUCAACCCAAACAGACUGAAAAGCGCAUAACCAACCAAAAACCCAGGUGAGCAAAACUCAAACAGAGUCAAAAUUGAUAUCCAUUGAUGGGCAUUUCAGAUACCUUCGUUGUGUGUUUCUCGGAACUCUUGAAGGGCUCUAGAGAUUCGAAUCCGAGUGCCUUCAGCAACGCCAGGGUUGUUCUGUUCUCCAUCCUUCUGCCUUUUCUUCCCUGAUCUCGUCAUCUUUUACCUCAACCUCUCUCCCUCUGCUCCUUCUUCUUUCUUUUGCCCAACAAGUAUAUUCUCUUUCAAGUUUUGAAGAUUCGGCAGUUCGCUGUUUUUAUUCGCUAACUUCGGCUUUGAGCUGCGGUCAAUGUGAUUGUAAUUGGUAACCCAAAGCAAAGUGCAGACCCAGUUGUCUUUCGCACUUCUUCCAUUACAUGUGCUAGGUUUUCUUUUGGGUUCAUAAAGACCCUCCACCUCCUCCUUUUCACAGGGCCAAAACGGGGAAAAUAAAGUUAAAGUGCGUUACCAGACAUAAGCUUCGGCUUCCAACCAUUACCUCUCCACGAAGCAAUGCCUUUUUUAGGCUUUUCCCCGUACACAUUUUUCAAUACUAAGAAUGCGUUUGGCAAUGUUCAAGUAUUAAAGAUAUUAAAAACACUUUUUAAAUUCAUCUUCAAACACUCUGAUACUACAUUUGAUUACCAAAAUCUAUUAAAAAAUAAUAAUAAUAAAAUAUUAAAAAUAUAUAAAAAAUAAUCAAUAUAAUUAAAAUUAGUCAAAAAAAUUAAGAAAAAAUGAGAUUUGAUUACUAAUAUGAAAAUAUAUAGAAAAAAAACCUCAAAUUUUUUAAAUUAGUAUGAUCUUCAUCUAUUUAAGAAUAUUUUAAAAUACAUACACUUUUUAAUAAGUCAUGAAAUUAUUUUCAAAAAUAUUCAUUUACUUAUCAUGUCAUUCAAAUAAUUGAGAACUAGACUCUUCCAUGUAAUGUUUCCCUCCCUUCUAAAUAUUUUAUUAUUAUUAUUAUUAUUAUUAUUAUUAUUUUAUUAUUUGGGAAUUUGAGAAUUUUUUUUCCUCUAGAAACAUUAUAAAGUAAGAAUUUGAAAAAAAAAAGUUUAUUCUAGUAUUAAUAAGUUAAAAAUAAAUUCAUAUUCCUUAUAAUAAAUAAACCAAUAAUAAAAUUGUAUUUAUUAUAUAAUAUUAAUAAUUAUUUAAUAUAAUAGAUAAUGAGAUUUGUUGCAAGAGUUUUUCAUAUAUAAAAUGUUUUGCAAUAUGGUUGUACUUUCAUAUAUGGUAUAAAAAUAAAUAAAUAAAUAUUUUAUAUUAAAUAAACUAAUCAUAACUAAAAUAAUUAUAUAUUAUUAAACUUAUUAUUUGUUAUUUAAUAAACAUCGUUAUUACUUUUUGAAUUGGUAGUUAUGAUUAAAUAGGAUUUGUUUGACGAUAUUUCCUCUUAAAAUUCUAGGAAAUAAAAAAAAAUAUUAAUCAUAUUUAAAUAGGAUUUUUUUUCUAAUAUUUCCUAAACUUUUAGAAAACUAAAAUAAGAAUUCUACAAGACGUUUGUUUCUAGAGAAAAAAAAUCUCAAAUAAAAUAAUAAUAAUAAUAAUAAAAUAUAUAAAAUAAAAGGAAAUAUCUAUAUGAAGGAGUCUAGUUGUCAAUUGAUUUGAAUAAUAUGACAAGUAAAAAGGCAUUUUUGAGAAUAAUUGGAUGAUUCAUUAAAAAAUAUAUGUUUUUUAAAUAGAUGAAAACAAAACUAAUUUAAAAUUUUUGAGGUACUUUUUUCCAUAUAUUUUCAUACUAGUGAAUCAAAUCUCACUUUUCUCAAAAAUUUAUAUAUCUUUAAAUUAUUUAAUAUAUAUAUAUAUAUAUAUAUAAUGAAAUGAAAUAAGUGAAAUAAGUUUGAAAAAUUAUAUAAUGUUGUAAAACUAAGUGGAAAAUAAAAAAUAAAAAAAAAUAGAUAAUAGAAUGCACAGAGAAAAUUGAAUUGAUUUUCAUUAGGGGUUUCUCCCUUUUAUACGAAGUCACAAAGAGAUAAACAUCGUUACGGAUGAUCAUCCAUAAGUUUUCAUAAUGCCACAAAUUCUCAUAUUUUAUAACACUCCCCUUUGAAUGAUCAUAAGAAUAUGGUAAUUGUCUUAUUAAAAACCUUGUCAGUAAAACCCAGUGAGACAAAACCUGAACGAAAGUAAAAAAGAGCGCAAUAUAUCCAUAUUAAUAUUCUCCCCCUCAUGUAGACAUGAUUAUGAUUUCUUCAACAUUUCAAUUGGUAAAUCUUUCAAUAUUUGAAUUCCAAUGCCAUGCCUUAACUUUUUCAAUAUGAUCGAAGGUCUUUGUAAAUAGAUCUGUUAGAUUAUUGCAUGACCGAAUCUAUUGAACAUCGAUCUCACCUUUCUCUUGGAGUUCAUGAGUAUAGAAGAAUAGAUUUGUCACCUUUUAUGAAUCCUCAUUUAAUUUGUGCAAUACAAGCAGUAUUAUUUUCAUAAAACUUGGUUGCGUUGCCUUUUAUGUAAGGUAAUCCACAUGUUUUUUGAAUAUGUUGAAUCAUUAACCUUAGUCAUACACAUUCACGACUUGCAAUAAUUUCUUAAUGAUUUGAAGAUUUGGUUACCAUUGUUUGCUUGACUGAUCUCCUAAAUAUUGUCAUACCACCAUAAAUAAAAACAUAUCCCGUUAGAGAUCGAGUUUUACGAGGAUCUGAAAGAUAUUCUGCAUCUCUAUACCCAAUUAAUUGUGAUUUUGAUUCUUUCAAAUAAUAUAAGCUCAAGUCACUUGUUCCACAAAGGUAUCACAAUAUAUGUUUAAUCCAAUUCCAAUGCCUUUUAGUUGGGCAAAAUUGUAUCUUGCUAGUCGGUUGACAGAGAAUGUCAUGUUUGGUCUAAUACAAUUUGCAAGAUACAUUAGUACAUCGAUUGCACUAAGAUAUGAUACUUUUGGACCACACAAUUCUUCAUUUUCUUCUUUAGGACGAAAUGGGUUUUUGUUCACUUCAAGUGAACAAACAACCAUAGGGGAAUUGAUUGGAUGUUUUUUAGCCAAAGAGAAGAAGAAAAAACCUAUAUGGUCUACUAUGCCAGCAAAACAUUAAAUGAGGUUAAAAAAAUUAUCACACAAUUGAGAAUGAGCUCCUUGUUGAAGUAUUUGCAUUAGACAAAUUCAAAAACUAUUUUCUUUGUGUAACCGUUUACUUUGAAGUACCUUAUCAAUAAAAAAAAAUAAUGAAGCAAGGUUAAUUUAGUGGAUAUUGUUGUUGUAAUUGUUUAAUCUUCAUAUUAAAGACAAUAAAGACGUAGAAAAUGUGUUAGUUGAUCACCUCUCAAGGGUUAAGAUUAACCCAUCCUUUCAUGAUAGUAUGAUUAAUGGCACAUUCCCUGAUAACACUCAUUGGAGCCAAAAUAUGUGCUUCAAUGGCACUUAUAUGAUAUGAUUUAUGAAGUAUAAAAAACUCAAAUCAUCCAACUUAACUCAAAUUAAUGUUAAGACCCUAAUGAUGGAUCUAACUUCUAUUUUAAGCCUAAUUCUAGGUCUAAGGGAUAAAAAGAAUGUUAAAUGCAAAAGUCAUUCUCAACCAAGGAAGUAAAAGGGGUUAAAUAUACAUAAAUGAGAGAUUCCAAACUUAUAAACCACGAAGAAUGAGUCAUGGGCAUGAAAUAUAAACAAUAAAUGUUAUAAAGUGAGAUACAUGGCAAACAAUCAUGAGGAAGAGGGUUGGAAGCAAAUGCAGUUAAGCUUAAAAUGGAAUUUGGAAUUCAAACUUGAUAGCAACAUAUAUCUUGACUUUGACGUGAUUUUUGAAGUAUUUCUUAUGAUAUUUUUGGAGUAAGACACAUAUGGUUUUGAAGGUCAAGAAAUCAGGAGUCCAACACUUCAAGCAAUAUGCAAAUAGGAGUUGAAAUGAAAACUUUAUGACCAUUUGAAGGUAACUACAUAGAGUUGAAGGACCAUUUCAAAAUGAUUUUGAAAUUCAACUCAUGAUUUCAAAAUCCUUUUUGAAAUGACCCCAAUUUCAAAAUCACAAACCAUUAUUUCUAUGUUUCGCCUUUUUUACAUUAGGAAUUGCAUCGUAGUCACUCCAUCUACCCUAAGUAGCCCCAUAUGAUUGGAAAUCAUGAUUUUAUUAUUUUUUUUACUCAUUUUUAGGUAACUAUUAGCAAAAUAAGUAGUCAAUAGGAACAUGUCAUGUGUUGGGUUUUUAUGAAAUCUAUAAAAACUCAAUUUUUAGGUUUUGUAGGAAGUUCUUAAAUUUUUAGAAGAAUUGGAGAUGGCUAGACAAUUCUUGCAAUGGGAGAGGGACACAUUGAGGGUUUUUCUUGGUUUUUAUUUAUUUAUUAUUAUUGAAUAAAUUAUAUUUUGUAAUUUUUUUGAAAUGAAUAAUGACUUUUUCUUAUUCUUUUAUGGCCUAUGUAUGUGAGGACAUGCUAAUAAGAGGCUAAAAAAUCAUCUGGGAUGAAACAUGAAAACCUAGUAUUAGAUCCAAAAGGAAAUAAUGGAUGAAAUCGGAUUAACAAUAAAAUGAAUGAAAAGUUAAGGCACUACUAUUGAGAUUAAAAUACCUUCUAAAGUUAGUUUUACUUAGAAGAUAGUAUAAUCACACAUUUCUUGAUACUAGAGAUUUUUGGUAAUUCUUGAUAGCUAUCAAAGGUUUUAUCAUUGUUAUCAACCCUAAGAAAAAUCUACACAGAGUGAGAAAAACCUAAAAACCUUAUACCUAAACCUAUAUUUCAUAUCUAUUCAUUUAUUAGGUAAUUCAAUGAAAUAAAAUAUUAAAAGUUAGGAUCCAAAUCAACUAUAAGGUGUGAAACUCAGGUUGAUCUCGUUAGACUAUGCAUUUUGAUUACUUUAAGAUUAUUAAACCCUUAUUUCACUUAAAGAUGCAUACUUGAAGUUGAAUUGUGGAUCCCUAAUCUUGAUUAACUGAAUUAAAAUUCAAUACUUAUUAUAUAAUUUAAAUAAGUUUAUUUUAGGAAACCUUUAUCCAUAUUUUAUUUUGAUUUAUUUACGUUAUAGUUUUUUUUAUCUUUAGAAAAUAAUUAAUCAUUCGAAGCUAAAAAUAAUUGAACACAGUAGAGUUGAUCCCAGAUGAUGAUAACCUAAAAUACUAUAAAGUCAUUGUAACUCUAUCUUUGGUUUUUCUUAGCCAAAGUUACUAUAUAUUUAGACUUUAAUAUUUUGUUUACAACAAAGAUUUGCACUUAGACACUUUGUUGUAGCAAAGCUACCAUGAAAUUAUAAUAUCAUUAAUUUCCUUGCUACUAGAAGAAUACUUGAAGAAUGAGCAAGCGUAGAAAAGAAAUAUUUCAUAGCUUUAGCUAAACACUUCAUUUAAGAUGAUGCUUACCUUUACAAACAUUGCCUAGAUUAUAUCAUAAGAAUAUGCAUACGAGAAGAUGUGUAAAGAAACAUCCUAAAAAUGUGCCAUGAAGAAUCAUAUGGAGGCCACUUUGCAAUGAGGGAGACUUCAGAAAAAAAAUAAAAAAUAAAAAAUUUACAAUGUGGGUUUUACUGGUCUACUCCUUUCAAAUACUUAAAUGUCCAUUACAGGAGCUAUAUGAAAUGCCAGCAAUUGGGAAAGACUGGUAGGAGACAUGAGUUGCCUAUGAGUCAAAUUCAAGUAGUUGAAGUUUUCGAUUGUUGAGGAUUAGACUUUAUGAGACCUCUUCCUCCAUCUUUUGGAUACCUCUACAAUAUCGUAAAGAUUGAUUAUAUUUCAAAAUGUGUGAAGGUAGUAGCAUGCAAGACUAAUGUGUUGGGAUUAAACCCUAAAAAACAUGACAUGAUGUAACAUAUUGAAAUUCAUUUAUAAAUUUAUUUAUUUAUGUUUGUAGUUUUCCUUUUUAUUAUCUUAUUAUGCAUUGAUUGGAUUCUUUGAGCAUACAUGUCCUACAUCAUUUGCAUUGUACAUGACUUGGGUGCAUUAUGAGUUACAUAGAAGAUCCAAGUCAUGGGUUCCUUGUAGAGUGAUGAUUAGUCCACAAUUGAUUCAUGGAUAUGGGUAAUCCAUCUAAUAUUGUAAUGCACUACCUCCUAAUCGAGGGAUGAUUUGUGUUGGCCGUCGAGAUGGUUGUCUUAUGGUGAGUGCACUAGUGCAUGUGAUGCAUACUGGAUAGGACCUAUGGUGAAUUAUGACAUAAGGCUAUCAAUUGUCAUAAUUGACUAAGCUACUAUAUUGCAUGCAUAGACUCUCGACCUUGAAAGAAUAUCGAGUUUGUGUCAACUUUGACAAAAAGCUUUGACUUAUGGGUGAGACCCUAAAGUGAUCAUAUAUUCCUAUGGAUUGGGUUAUUGUUGAUGGAGGCUGGUGGGAAUAGAUAUUCUUAAUAGAAGCUCCAUAAUAUCUUACGGAUUGAGACAAUGUCUCUGUUUGGGUGAUCUAAAGAACAUGUGAUCUAAAAAACCAUGGCCAUAACAUCUCUUGUAGUGGAAAUUUAACAUAUGCUCCUUGGAGCUAGGGUAUGUCAACUGAUCACAUAAUAAAUGGGAUUUGUAACUCAAGGAUUAGAAAAGUAAUCUUGAUAGAUGAUAAUACUAUCUUCUUAGAUUACGAACACUAGUUCAAGGGGUGUUUACAUACAAUGGAUAGUAGGUCAUGGACCCAAGCUUCAUCUCUUUGUUAUUUACAUUAGGAAAUAGAGUGCGAUUGAUUCUCUUUUGGUGGAAUAUUGAAUCAACUUCAAAAUUGGAUUUCAAGAGAGCCAAUACUCCUAUAGGGCUUAAUAGUCCCCACUUUAAGCACAUAUACCAUGAUGACACAGUUUAUGAGGGUUUUUCACUCUUGUACAUAAUGGUGUUUUGGUAAUUAUGUGAAGUUGCAUAGGGGAUAGUGAACAAGUUCUUUGGAAUGUGUUAAUUGAUUAAUUAGGUGGCUCUAUGUGGUUAAUUAAUUAAUUAAGACCCAUUUUAGUCUAAAUUAAGUGACUCAAGCUUUUGUGAGUUCAAGUCACUUAAGCCUAGUAGGGGAACCCUAUAAAUAUACCUUAAGGGUUAAGGUUUCCAUCACUUUUUGGUGUGAGAGUCGUCUUCCACCUCCAAAUAGAGAGAAAGAGAGUGCCUAGAAUUCUUCUAUUCCAAAAGCCAUACUAUAGAGUGCUAAGAUUGUGGUUUGAGUCAUUAGACAAAACAUCUUGGAUGUACGAGACCUCCAGACCCUUUAGGUUUCAUCUUUAUCGAGCAUAAUUAAUUUGAGAACGUCCAAAUCAAAAGUAAUGUUUUCUAAUGACUUUUCUCUGGAUUCUAGAAUGUUAAAAAUUUUAUUUUUCCUUUUAUUACAUAAGAUUUAAAGGCCUAAGGGAGUUUGCAUGCACUUAUAUGAUCCAAGGUUAGAAAACAGAGAGAUCUAGGGUUCCCAACAUAAUGACCAUAAAGUAAUGUUCAAAUUCAUUAAGAAGAAUAUUUUCUCAAGGUUUAGAAUUCUUAAAGCUAUAAUCAAUGAUGAAGGAACCUAUUUAUAUAUAUAACAAUCCCUUUACGAACUUACUGAACAAAUAUGGAGCCAAACACAAAGUUUCUAUACCCUAUCAUCCCCAAACCAAUGGUAAGUGGAAUUAGCCAAUUGUGAGAUUAAGGGAAUUUUGAUGAAGAUAAUAAAUUCCAAAAGUAAGGCCUAGUCUUUGAUAAAGAUCGGGUUGGGAUGAGUAGGAAAUAUGAUUUGAAUGAAUUGAAAAUCUUAAGGAAUGAGUCUUAUGAAUGUGCAUAAAGAGCAAGGGUGAAGACUAAGUUUUUUAAAUAUCACACAUUGUUAAGGGGAAAAUUCCAUCUAGGAAAGAAAGUAUUGUGUGAUUCUAAGCUUUACCUUUUUCUAGGUAAACUAUGUCAAGAUGGACAAGUCCCUACAUUGUCAAUGAAGUCUCACCUUUUAGAGCCAUUAAAAUUUAGAAUCCUAAGACUGGUAGUGAAUUCAAAGUAAUUGAGGAGAGGCUGAAACACUAUGUGGGUAGGUUUGACAAGGAAAGUGAGUUUUCCCUCAGCGAUCCUAGCUCUUAACUGACCAUUGGAAGUUUAGUAGGUUAUAGUAUUUAUUUAUUUAUUUUUAGUUUCAUUUUAACUUGUUUUCUUAGGAGUCAUGUUUUAUAUUUAAUAAAUAAGCCUAACUAUGAAUGGAGUUGUCUUAAGAAUCUAGGUGAUUGGAAUUUAAGUGCAACCAUAAUUAUCCAGUUGAAAUGAUGAAUGCAUCAAAAUCAAUUACCCCUAUCUCCUUGUUUCUACCUAACAAAUACUAUAAAUUUUUUUGUGGGGUUCCUUUGAGGUAGACUAAUUUGAAGUUAAUAUAAUUCAAUUUCACUUGCUAUAGGAAAUAUACAUGGAUAGUUAGGUGGUUGGCUUGAGAAAUCCAAGGGCAUUUUAUUACUUAAUUUUAUACAUGACUUAUACAUAUGAGCAUAUGAUACUUAGUUAUGUCAUUAGGAGAAUACCUUCCGUAAACUAGAGUAUAUGUGUGUGUUAGAAUGACAAGUUGAAUUGGAACACUUAAAAAUAUUGCUUAAAAGCUAGAAAUUUGAACUUGUUCUAAAGAGAUUAAGGUGAAACCUAAGGGGUUAGUGACCUUGAGUGGUCAAUUAAUCCCCAUUGCCCACCCAAAAGUUAUUUCCAUACUAUUAAAAUAAAAACUAAAAAAAAAAGUAAUUUCCAAGAAUCAACUUUAGGCGGAAGGUUUCACAUUUUAUUGAAUUCUAUUUUAACAUUAGAGAAGAAUUCGAUACCUUUUUCCAAUAGAAGAAUCAGUGUUGAAUUGUACACAAAAAGUUUGGACGCUUAUCAUUUUGAAAAUUAAUGUCAGUACUACAUAUUGAAAUAUUUUGAUGCAUGUUUGUAAAUGCAACUCAUCAUUUCUAUUAAAUACAACCCAAUACCUAAAAUGAUACACCAAUUACAACUCCAAAGGUCCAAAAGUUUUAGGUUGUUAUCGAAAUACAAUUUAAUAUGGUUCAAUACAUGAGAGCACAUUUCAAUACUACACUUAGAGGCAUUCAAAGUUCUAAAAGGUUUGGGCAUAUAUUGAAUGAAUCUGAUACUAUAGUGUAGGUAUAAAUUUUUUUUAUCCUUGUCAUAGUUUCUAAAUUUCCAAUCUAAGACUUGUUGAAUUUGACUUUUUUUCUCUCCAUAUUUUCAGUAUAUUUUAGGAAUUUCAAUAAUGUUUUUUUGAUGGGAACUCAAAUAAUAUGCUAGGAUAGGUCUAAAAGAACCUAUUUUAGUGUAUUUGAGGCACUCAAUACCGGUCUAAUUUUAGUUUAUUGUCAUCUACUUAGGAAAACUCAUUUUAAUGUGUUUUAUGAUAUUUUUUUUAUAGGAUUAAGGUAGGCUUAGCAUAUUUCCAACACUUGAUGAGAAAUGAAGCACCUAAGAGAGGUGUGCUAUCACUAAUAGUUCACUUCAUUUUGUGCACGACUCCUUAGAAAGUGCAUUAAAGGGUAACCAAUGUAGAUGACACACUAUUAGAGCAUUGACCUAAAUUACACACUUAAAGAAGUGCACUUAAGCUUGUGCACCGUAAAGUGGUGGUUUGACUUGUAGGCUUAGGGUCAUGAUCCACAUUAUGCAUCCCAUCUAGCGCAAUGAAAGAACUUUGCUCAAAGUGAAGAGCAUCAUAGUAAAUAGUGAACUUCUCUUAGGUGUCCUAACAACUAUAAGUUAUCUAAGUGCACCAAGAAGAAAGCGCACUACCUUACCUCAACUUGCAUCUUACUCACAAAACUGACAACCAUAAGUAUGUUAUCCAGUCAUCAAUAACCCAAGCACACAUCCACAACCUUAGGUACACAAUUUUCCUCAAAUAAGUAGAGCACUUCCUAGUAAUAAAGUGUGCUCUCUCCUCCAACUAUGAAGCACACCCAAAUAACUUCAAUCUCAGUGCAAUGCCUUAAUAACUCUACUUUAUGCACAUUAUCUUCCAACCAUUCACACACUCAUGAAUGUUGCACAACAAAUAAUGCCCCUGUAGUUUUGACUGAUCCAUCAUUAGCACUAUGUUGUCACACUGAAAAUACAUGAAGUGUAGCCAACUACUCCAUGCUAACAUCUCUUGAUUAAUGGUUGCACUCCUAGAUUAGCAACCAACUACUUCACUUAUGGGCACUGAAGUAGGUUGCCCUUCUUUUAAAUGUAAAGUAUUUAAUUCCAUUGAAACAUUUGGUUCAUUAAAAAAAUAAGAAUUUAUCAAUUUUGAUUUUUUUUAUUUAUCAAAAACCAUGUCAAAAUUUAUCAAUUAUGAGUUUUUAUCAUAAACCACGUCAUUCCUUUCCAAUUCAAGUAACGAGUUUUCAUAACUAUUCUCCUCAUGAAGAGAAGUAUUAAAAAAAAAAAACUUUGAGUUUCAAAAAAUAUGACAUCCAUAGAACAAUUUUUUUUUUUUUGGAUCAAACAACAAUACCCUUUUUGUGUUGGAGAAUAUUCAAGAAAAAUACAUUUCAAUGCUUAUUGGUUUAACUUACUUUAAUGAUGAUUAUGCACAUAUAUAAAAAAUAAAAAAUAAAUAAAAAAAACCCUAAAAUUUUAAGAGGUAAAUCAAAGAUUAAACGUGACAUUGGAAAACACUUUUCAAACAUUUCCAUUGGUGUCUCAAAAUUUAAAUUUCUUGAGGGUAUUCUAUUGAUCAAAUAAAUGGCAAUAAGAAUAGCUUUUCUAAAUAAGUAUUUAUGUAUUUUAGUUAUAAACAUUAAAGACCUAACUACUUCUAGAAGAUGUUUAUUUUUCCUUUUUGCCACUUCAUUUUGUUGUAGAGUGUCAAAACAAGAGCUUUGAUGUAUAAUAUCAUUUUCUAAGAAACAUGUGCUCAAAAUUUUGUUGAAAUACUCUUUUUGAUUAUCACUUUUGAACACUUGUAUUUUUCUUGAAACAGAGUUUAUACCAUAAUGUAAUUUUUUUUUAAAAAAAUUUGCUUAGCAUCUAAUUUUUCUUUGAGCAAACAAACCAAAUAAACACUUAUAUGAUGAUCAAUUAGUGUUAAGAAACAUUUUUUUUUUUCAAAAAUUGUUGGAACUUUAUAUAGACCCCAAACAUCACUAUGAACAAAAGCGAAGGAAAUGUUGCAUAGGGAAUGAUGCAUGAUGAUAUUUUUCAAUUUGAUAAAUAUGACAUUGAAAACAAGAUGGAUUUUUAUUUUUGAAUGACUUUGGAAACAAAUACUUCAAAUAUUGAAGUUAGGGUGACAUAACCUAAAAUGUCAUAAUAUUAUUUCAUUGCUACUAGAUUUCAGAAAAGGAUUUAAGACUAGUUAUUUGAGUCUUAUGAACUUGUUCGCACAAGUUACUUCCAUAUUCAAAGUAGUAGAAUCCAUUAUUUUCUUUAACAUUGUGAAUCGUCCUCCCUAAAUCUAUUUCCUAAAAUUCACAAUGAGUAGAGAAGAAUUUAACAUAGGAUUUUAAGUCAUAAGUAGGCUUGCUAAUAAAUAAUAUAUUAUAAGAAAAAUUUGGAACAUGAAAGACAUAAUGAAGGAUAAAAGAUUUUGAAAUAACUAUUGAUCUUUUUCCAUCAAUUACUAAAAGAGAACCAUUGACUAUCUUGAUUUUCCUAUUUCUUGCACAUAGACUAUAAGAGGAAAAUAAUUUAGAACACCCAAUCAUAGGAUUAGAUGCACCAGAAUCUAUGAUCCAUGGACAACUAGAAGUAAUAAAUACAUUAAAUGCAACAAUUUGACAAUAGUUACUUUUUUGGGCUAAAGAACAAGAAGAAGACACAUUGUUUGAGAAUUAUGUGGAUUGAAAAAAAUUAUACAGUUGAUCUAAUUGUUCCUUAUUGAAAGAAGACGUCUCUAUAGCUCCUCCCAAGCCACUACACUUCGCGGCUCCUACUCAAAAAGCCUUUAGAUCAUCGUUUGUUUACUUGAAUGAUCUCCACUUCUAGUUCUAUGGUUUUUCAUGUAACUCCCAACGCAUUUCUCUAGUAUGUCGAGGCUUAUGGUAGUGAUCACACUAAAUCUUGUAUUUUUUUCUAUUGUGUUGUGGUUGUCUAGGUUGAGUAGACUAAUUGUUUCUUAUUACAAGGAGAGAAACUUUAAUUGUAGGUGGACUAUUUUCUCCCAUCAUCACCUUUCUUUGACCAUAUGCUCUCCUUACUCCAAAAAACACUACAUGAAGAAAUGGUAGUGGUUUUCUGCCAACAAUUCUACAUUUAACAUUAUCUAGGUUUUUGUUUAGUCCUACCAAGAACACAUACACUCUAUCAUUCUCAAUUAUUUUCAUAUACCUUACACUAUCCUUUGCAUAGUCCCAUUUUUCAUCAUAUCAUAGGUCUAGCUCUUACCAUAAUGCUUUCAUCUCGUCAUUAUACUCUAUUACCUCUUGAUCUAUUUGUUUUGAAGGCCACAACUUUGUUUUUAGUUCAAAAAUUUGCGAUGAGUUUUCCAAGUCUGGAUAUGUCUUUUAAACGACUUCCUAGACUUUUUUUCGUAGUAGAGAGAAAUAUAUACGUUUUCCCAAUCACUAACUUUAUGAAAUUGACGAGCUAUGCAAUUGCUAACGAGUUCCCGAACCUCUAAGUCUUCAAUGUUGGAUCAUUGUUUCUAGUUUUGUUGUCUCUCUUAUUAAGUGGCCUAGUUUUCCCUUGUCAUUGAUCAUAAGCUUGAUUGAUUGCUCCCGUUUUAGGUCAUUUUUUACCGUUUAGUUUGUGAAUGAUCAAUUGAAAAGAUGGGUUUUCAAGUCCAUUAAGGGUUACAGUAGAAAUUGGAGGUGUACCUAUACUACUAGCACUUGAGGAUGUUGUAAUCCUUUGCCUAAUCAUGGUUGUUCUCAUCAUCACUAUUUCCCAAAUAAAGACCUAUGAUCUAUUACCACGAACACAAGGUAGAAGGAAGAAUAGUUUCUAAUUAGUUUUUUCAUUUGAAAAAUUAUAGAUAAAUAAAUAAAUAAGCUAAGUUAGCUUAACCGUGUAAUUAACUACCAAGAAUCUAGUAACUAACGAACACAACUCUAGGAUCUAAUUAUCAAAAUGCCUAAAUAUCUUAAACUGGUUAGUAAUAAGUUUAGAUUUAUUGGAAAUAAAUAAUAGAAAAACAUAGCAACAAACUCCUAAUAAUUUCGACAUAAUAAUUAUUCUCUUACAUUAGAAUAUUGUGCAAUAAUGAAAGUACCAUAUUUAAAUAAGCACAUUUAUUUGGAAAGUAAUUUCAUGAAAAUUCAUCUUUUGUAAGGAUAACUAAAUAUUUCCAUUUUUAUUAACAUGUAUCCAAAUUCUCAUCCAAAUAUAUCAACAUAUAUAGGGAAAUAAAAUAUCUAUAGAAACAAAAUAAAAUGAGUCCUGACUAAGGGAUCUUGUAAGAAAUAUUUUUGGCAAAUUCCUUUUGGAAUCAAACAUCCAAACACUUUCCAAUUAUGUGCAUCUAAGCUUGUUGUCAAUACCUAGAUCUAAAAUAUGCUCAAAAGCAAAGCCCAAAUCACCAAAAUUGUGGUGUAAAAGCCAAAAAUUAUUGGCUUAUCGAUUGCAAAACACUUAAGUGCUCGAAAGAGCCACUCUAGUAUUGGGAGCAAUUAAGCAUUCGAAGGAAACACUCAAGUGGUUAUCGUAGCCCGUAUUCUACCAUUAAUUUUCUAAAUCUUUAAAUGAUGAUCCAUGCUUUGACUAGGAUCCCAAAAUGGGAUUUGAUCUCAAUCAUAUCCAUAAUUGUGUAUAUGUAUAACAUUAAGAAUUUAUUUUCUUAAUCGACUUGAGAUAUCACAUACUAAAGGUUAAUUAUCUUCAAUGAACUCUUUUAUGUAUAUACAUCUUUAAAAAAAAAAAAACCAAUUAGAAAAUAUAAGUAGACUACAAUGCUUUAAAAACUUUCAUUGAAAAUAAUAUCACCCAAUGAGAAUGAUUAUGGUAGAAACGUUAUUAAUAUAUAAUAUUUUUUUUGGUAGUACUUUUAUAGAAAAUGGGAUAAUGUUUAAAUAUAAAUCAUAAAAGUGAUAUUAAUAGAGUUUUUUAAAGUCCGUUUAGUAGUGAUUUUAGGAUGUGCUUUUAAUAUUUCUAAUACUUAAAUUUUUUUAUCAUUCAAGUGUUAAAAAUAUUAAAAACGUUUUUAGAAUCAAUUCCAAACACACUUUUAAAAUUAUUUUAUAUAGUAAAAAAACAACUAUUUGUUCUUAAUUCAAGAAUCAUUUAAGUGAUUUUUUAGAUUUUUAUAAUUUUAUCAAAUCUUUAUUUUUUAAUAAUAAAAGUAAAGAACGUUUCUAAUCCCCUUAAAAUCACUUUUAAUUGAACUAUUAUACGAUAAAAUUGAAAGAUAAAUACGAGUAAAAAUUUUUUAGCUUAAAAAAAUCAAUCUGAAUAAAACAUUUUUCACUCAAAUGUUGAGUUAGAAAUUGAAGAUUUUCCUAGAAAGAUUUUUUUUUUUUUAAAAAAAAAUUAAUGGAAAGAAAUGAUGAAAACUAAAAAGACCUUACUCCUUGGAAUCAACCGAGUGAUUUUUACAUGUUCCACUCUCUCCCCUCAAUCCCAUUUUCUAUAUAAGCCCUUUGGGUUGGUUUCCUCCACGCAAGGGGUACUCGGCCACUACCUACAAAGGCUACCAAACACUGUCCAAUCUCCCUGAGAGCCCUUCUCCAUCGUAUGGGUAUGACUUCUCUUUCAUGCCUGUGCCUCUUCAUUUCUUUAUGAUUUUUUUUUUCUCAACACCAUUUCAAUCACUGAUUUUGCCUACCUGUAUUACCAUUAAUGUGCCGACAAAAGAGAAAAAUGCAAGUCCUUGUUUGAAGAACUCCGGUCUGUCAAUCUGCCUUACUCAUUUUUUAUACCAAUUGCUGUUGGAAUUUUGUUUAUUGUUUUCUCUCUUCAAUUCAAUCCCUUUUGUUCUGAAUCGGUGUCAGAGAGAAAUCCCUUUGUGGGUCUUCAAGAAUCUCGUUGUAUUGUGGUAAUCCAAUGAAUAAAGCCCCUUUUCUCUCUCUAAACCCUUUGUUUUUGAUAAUUUUUCUCCCUUGGGUCGCCCAUCACGUGAAUCUGAAUUGUUCUGAUGGUUUGGUGGAAUAAUCUGGUGUUGAUUGUUAAAUUGAUGGAAGAUUUUGGGGUUGAUUUUAGGGAAAGUUGCUGCUACUUCUUCCCCUUGAAUGCUUGAUUUUACUGGUGAAAUCGAUGAGCUUGAAGAGCUGAAUUUGGACUGUUUGUGAUGUCCUCUUCAUAUUUUGUUGUUUUCUAGUGCUUUCUUGCUCUGUUACGGUGUUGGGGAUUUUGGAAUCGAGUGGUUGCAGGUGUGGCAACAGAAUCAUGCCUUUCUCAAGAGUUUUUGGAACCGAUUUCAUGUUGUUGUUGGUCUUAAUUGAUAGAUGGUUAUAAGAUUCUUUAUGUUGAUUGUUUCUGAUCUGGGUUUGGAGCUAUUUUUCUAAAUAAAUUGUAUCUAGGUACCCAAAUUGCUUUGUCUACCCCCUUUUGGGUGAAUAUUUUUGUGUUCAAGGCACAGAAGACCUCUGAGGCCCUGUUUAUUUGUGAUUGCACUCUAAUCUGUUCCAUGGAGUGACUGAUUUGAUAAAACUUGGUUAUGUUAUGAUUGUACAGUAAUGUGUUCCAUGAACUGAAAAAGUUCAGUAACUCAUGUACAUUUUUCGUAGCAAGAUAUGGUUGAUUUGAUAAACCUUCCAUAUGGGUUUCUCAGUGCUAUAUCUUUAUUUUUCAUGUUAUUCUCAAUAGACUUGAAUUGCUAAAACUUCACUGUUUCACAAAAAGAACUGUUUCACUCUUAAUUUACUUGACUUUGCAUGUGUAAUGUAUAUAAUCAGAUCAAAGGCUUUUUUCCAAGGACAUAUUUCUGAAUAUAUGUGUAUGGGUUAGUGAUUGGGAUUUUUGAAUUGAACAGAAGACUUCCAAUCUCUGUCAGUAUUGCUGUUUGUUUAAUUUAGGGGUUUAGUCAGCUCAUUUAUGACACAGGGUUCUAGUGAUAUCAUUUUGGUCUUAUCCAUGCAUAAGAUGUGUUAUUUCUCAUUGUUCAUGCCGAUCAAUUGCCUAAACUGGACAACUAGUCAGUGAACUUGUCAAUAUCCUUAGAAAGACAAGCUUGACCUUUGGUUCUCAGUCGCACAAAUUGAAUAAAGCAACCUUGAAAUUUUCAUUUUUUGGUUGAUCUGUAAUCAAGUUAGAUGAUAUGCAAUUUUGAUGACUGAAGACUUUGAUGUAUCUACUCUAAGAAACUAACUAUGGUUAAAGAUUAUGGCAGUACAUAUUUCUACGGUUAUGAUCUGAUUAUUGUAUUUUGCGUGGAAUAAUGGUGACAAGAUGGUUUAGUUGUUUGACACUGCUCUUGAUUGCAAACUUAGAAUACCAUAUUGCAGCUAAAGACCAAAAAAGCAAUCAUUCUCUAUGACUUAGUUUCUCAAGCACUGCAGGUUUGCCCUAUUAGUCUAUUACUAGAUCACUUCCUCUCUUCUCAGAGUUCAAUGCAACAUGUAAAUCAAGUUGCAUAGUCUGUAGAUUAUCAGAAGUAGAAGAAAGGAUACUUACUUUCAAGAGCUUAAAAUUCUCUUCAUGAGAUAUGAAAUGAUAGAGUAACAUCCUUAUCACUGUUGAGAAUAGAGGAUGUAAUGGAUACUUCAUAUCUUUAACAUUACUGAAGAAAAGGUUCGAAGAAUUAUCUUCAUGGAAAGAAACCAAGAAGUUGCAAACAAGGUUGUCAUCAUUCAGCAAGAACAUAAAUGAGGGAAGGAAUGACAAAGAUAUACCAUUAGUUUACCAGUCUUCUCAGAAAUGCAAGGGCAAUCUAUCUUCAGUGAUUUUGUGGGUAGAGAAGGCCCAUAAACCCUUGGAAAACAAACUUUCAAGGACAAUGAUUUUCUUUAGAUGGCAAUCUAGAAAGCUAAACAUAAUUCAGGGAGGCUGCAUUAAAUCUUCAUGACCAAAUGUUGAAGGAAAUGUGCUCUCUCAGGAAUCUCAAUGGCCUACUAGGGGAUGUAUUCUCUCAGGAACAUCCACAGCCAUUUUCCUACUAUGGCAAUUUUCCUGGAGUUUAUGUUACCGAAUUCAAAACCCCUCUUUAGAUUUAGGCUUACAUGCAAUCUGUCAUUGACUGUGUGGUCUCUUUUCUAAUCCCCUGUGCUGACUGAAGGAAAUCUCCUUGAAUCUUCUCAUUCAGUUGACCAGUCUGACUGGAACCUGAAACAAGGAAUGGCAAAAAAAAAUGCAAACAACUUUCUUUGGGUCAAGCUCAAGCUUAAGUCCUACCCAUUCCAAAUUAAAGCAAGCAGACUGAAAAACAACCUUUGUAGAUCUCUACAAGAUAUGGGCUUUACAUAUCUUUGCUGGAAAGAUAUUAUUCGAUAAUUGUCUUUCUGUUUCAUUUUUAUUUGUUGACUAAGCAGUUAGGAUUUGGACUUAAAUGGCCAAUUACUGCACAAACCAACUCUAUGCUAGAUUAUUCGCGUAGAGAAUUUUGAACUAAUUCAAUCAUUAGAACCAUGUCCAACAUAUAAGUACAGAUUUGGAACAUUUUCCAAUGUAAAACAUGACUUUUUCAAAUAAAACUCUUCUUUGAAAAUGGUGUUGGCAUUGCUCUAGUGAAAGAGAUUCGCUUUGGAAGACGAUCAUAAAGGAAAAAGAUUGGGGAGGAGGAAGGGGGUUGGAGAUCAGCUGAGGUGAGAGACUCUUAUGCGGUCGGGUUAUGGAAAGCCAUAGGUAAGCAGUGGGAUUUCCUUGACACAAAUGUCUCCUUUGUAGUGGGUAGUGGGAAUAGGGUGAAGUUUUGAAAGGAUAACUGGUGUAGUGAGGAGCCUUCAUCUAUGUUAUUCUCGUCCUUGUUUGGCUUAUUCCACUUGAAAGAAGUGUGGGUAGCUAACUUUUAGGAGCAAAGAGGGGAAGAGGGGAAUUGGAACUUCUGUUUUGAUAGGAAUCUGAAUGAUUGGAAGUUGGUUAUCAUGGAACGAUUCUUGUGUAAACUCCAAGGUUAGUCAGUGAAUAGGGGGGAGGAGGACAAAGUAGUAUGGAGGGGCAAUAGUAAAGGGAGGUUCUUUGUAAAAAUGUUGUAUUAUCUUUUGGAGUCAAAUUGUGCCAUCCCCCAAUAGAGAUUAUUUAGAACUUUUGGAUUCCUUCGAAGGUGAGCUUUUUCACCUAGAAGGCUUGCUGGGGUAAGGUGUUGAUUUUAGAUGAGCUCCAAAGAAGAGGGUGGGCGUUGGUCAUUAGGUGUGCCUUGUGCAAAGAGGAGUCAAAAUAUAUUGAUCACAUUCUCCUUUAUUGUGAUAAGGUUAGGAUAUUAUGGCAUUUGGUGGGCUAUUUUCGGUAUUCAAUGGGUUAUCUUUGCAUCAAUUAGGGAGACUCUUCUAGGAUGGCAUGACCCUUUUGUAGGUAGAAGGCACAUGAAGGCUUGGAGAGCUGGUUUUUUUAUGUAUUUUCUGGACUAUUUGGAAGGAAAGAAAUAAAAAAUGUUUUGAAAGUGAGGAAAUAUUAGACCAAAGACUCAAAAGCAAUUUCUUUAACAAUCUAUUUUUGUGGGUUAAGGUGUAUAUAGGUGGAGGCUCUAUGCUUUUGUUUGAUUUUAUAGAUUGGUUGGGUUUUUGGUGAUGGAGUAAUUUUUUUUGUUUCCCCUCUUUUCUGUUUAGCCUUUUGGUGGUCAUUGGAUAUGAUUUGUGUACUCUUGUGCACUAGUUGCACUUUUUAAUACAUUCUCUUAUUUAUCAAAAAAAAAAAAAAAAAAAAAACUACUAUAGCUGCCUCUUGGUUAUGCUAUUUUUAAUUGUAGGUUAUGUAAGCAUGGUAAGAUGUCUUUGGGUUUCCUUUGUUAUUACUUAUAAUUAAUACCUUCUCCUUGUUGGCUUCUUAAUAUUUAUAAUCUUAUUGUUUCUUAUGCUAUGUAGGAAGUUAUUACUAGAUUGAUUGGAGGCAUUUGAACAAAAAUAAUCCCCUCACUGUCUUUGACUUUGUGUGAUUAUAUAUGGGCUGAGGUGCACAUUUCAUGGGAGGUGUAGAUGAUGAUGAACCACCCUCAAAACGCAUGAAAUUAUCUUCUGGAGAGUUGAGAGGCCUUUCCAACGGUUCGUCUCUUACAGAGCCCGUGGACGGCUCUUUGAGAGACUCUAUGGCUUGUUCCCUACCAUCUGAAGAGAACGAAGAGAUGGUUGGUUCUAGAGGAAUUAUUAAAAGAGUGGAAUUUGUCAGAAUCAUAGCCAAGGCAUUAUAUUCUCUUGGUUACACAAAGAGUGGUGCUCAUCUGGAGGAAGAGUCAGGAAUUCCCUUACACUCUUCUGUGGUCAGUCUGUUUAUGAAUCAAAUUCUUGAUGGCAAUUGGGAUGAAAGCAUGCUCACAUUGCAUAAAAUUGGUCUACCAGAUGAAAACAUUGUUAAAUCAGCAUCUUUUUUGAUAUUGGAGCAGAAGUUUUUUGAACUUUUGGAUGGAGAAAGGGUCAUGGAGGCUUUGAAGACAUUGCGAACAGAGAUUGUUCCUCUUUGCAUUAAUAGUAGUAAAGUCUGUGAGCUUUCUUCCUGCAUUGUGUCUCCUUCACAGUCUGCACUAGUUGGAUGUCAUAGUCAAGGUGCUGUAAGGGCAAAGUCUCGAUCAAAGCUACUGGAGGAAUUGCAGAAAUUGCUUCCCCCAACAGUUAUGAUACCUGAAAGAAGAUUGGAACAUUUAGUUGAACAGGCGCUUGACUUGCAACGAGAUGCUUGCAUGUUUCACAACUCUCUGGAAGGGGAAAUGUCACUAUACACUGAUCAUCAAUGUGGAAAAGACAAGAUUCCUUCUCGAACUUUACAGGUUAGAAAAUGUACUCCUGAUCUGAGCUUUUAAAACCUGAUAUGCAUGCAAACAAUACUAAUUUUGAUUAUUUAGUCUAAUAAUACUGUGAUAAUUUGGAACUUUUUCUUCAAUUAUAGUGAGUUACACAGUACUAGCAAAACAAAAAUAAUGGAAUAAAAUAGUUUAGUGUUAUAUCUGUCAGUUUCUUAGCCUUCAGGGAUCUUUGCUUAUGUUUGGAUAGCUUCUACUCAGUAUAAUAUAAUUGCAAUGUGUUGGUUCAGCGUUAAAAUGUUUGAAUUGUGGGAUUUUUCUAUUUCUAGGUCCAUCGUUCAGUUGUUUCAUAAAGAUGAUAGUAUUAUUAUUUUGAUAUGUGUAAUAAAGGAUGCAUGUUAAGGUGCUAAAAGGGGGGCAAACUUAGUACCAGGAAGAAAAAGAUGAUCUUUUGUUCAUUCAGAAAUAUGCUGACAUUGUCAUGUUGAAGAUGUAGGAUGGAAGGAUUUGUAGGGAUUUCCACUGGCUUAUCAACUCUCAUAGGAAGUUAGAGUUGGUGGGAUGUUUCUUAGUGGUGGGCAGUCAUAGUUGCUAAGGCGAUGGUGUGUACUGAUUGUGGCAAAGGCAAUGGUGGCAACAGUGGUGGUUCAUUAAUGGUGCCUAGUCCAUGGACAGCAGACUUUCUAAGGGAUAGUCAAUGUAAAUCAAUAAUCAUCUGAAGAUGACCCAUCAUCUUGAGAAUUGGUAGUGGUAGUGAAUGUGGAAAAGGUGGCAUGGUGAUUGCAUGUGCCAUAUGGACCCUCCAAAUUAUGUAUCUGUAUCAGGUAGGAUUUGAUAUGACAAAAGGUUUGAAUAUGGGAUAUGUCCUUUGUACCUGUUGGUUGUGUAUGUACCUAACAAUUGUGACCAAUAAAGAGAACAAGAAGAACAAGAUUCUAAUCCAUUCUGAGAAACCUUAAACUCUUAAUCUGUUUCUUUGUUGCUCAUGUAUGCAUAAAGCACCGGUGUUGGACGUAUAUCCCAUAUUCGAAACGUAAAUUGCAUUAUUUAAUAGCAUUGAUGUUUUCCUAGAUAUGACAAUUAAUUAGAUCCAACACCUACACAUAUACCAAGAUUGGACAUGUGUACCUAAGUCUUUGUAACAUGGGUGAUGGUGCUAAUGCCAAUAGUGUUUCUAGGUAAUUCCUCACAAUUGUGGAUUUAUGAAAUGAAACCUUUUUGUUACUGAUUUGCACCAAGUGCUUUUUCAAACCCUUGAGUGAUUGCAAAAUCCUUGUCUUCUCAAACUUAAAGAUACAUAUUUAAAGUUGGGAUUCUAAAAUCCUUUUUGACCCUUAAAAUCCUGUCCUAAAACUGUUGUCUAAAAAAAAAUAAAAUAAUUGUAUGAUAGGUAGAGGAUCACACACCAAAGAGUCAAAGGAUCUAGCUCCCUCUUUUCCAAAGAAUUUACGUUUUGGUUAGCCAGUUUAGCACUUAAUAAGGACACAACCAUUUUUUAUUUUUUAUUUUUAUUUUAUAAAUAAAGAAAAGUAGUGUGGAAAAUCCUCCUCAUAUGCCCCUCUAGGUACCUCUAUUCCUUGUAGAAACCAAGAGAUAAACACUACUAAAUUCCUCCCUGGUAUCAAAUGCCAGGUUCCUAAAGGCUUUUAAGAAGGGAUAGGGUUUUUGCUAAAAUAGUCAUCCCAAUCCCAAUUGAUCCAAUGAAGAAUCCUAUGGUGUUUCCCUUUUUUUUUUUUUUUUUUUGUUAACACAUCUAGUACCCAUUUGGGCUAGGAUCUCUAAUUAUCAAAUAUCAAAAUUUUGUAUACUAAUCCCCAUAGAUGAGGGAUUAUUUUAUUGAUUGUAACAACUCACCUUCGACUUUCCCAACAAAUAUCUAACCUAUCCAUGCGAAUAACAUUCAUAGGAAUGCCUUUAACCUUUUUAGUUAUCAAAACCAAAUGAAAUCUGAAAAAGCAAACAUUAUCCUACAUAUCCCCUAUAUGUGUUUAUAUUGAAAAAUUUAUGAUCUUUAUCACCUAUUUCAUAAUAAGAGAAGCAUAGUUCCAUAAAAACCACGGUUCCUUUUUGUUUCCUACUGAAGUGCUCAAAAGAUACUGCAUGAGAGUGAAUUCUUUUAUAUACUACCUGGAGAAUCUGGGUUGAAGAAAAUGACCUUAACCAUGAAUCCCAAUAAGUUUGUUUUUUUAGUAGGCAAAUAGGAUAAAUGUAUUAGACGAUGCCUAAUGAAAAAAAGGGGGCAUUAACCUAAUACCAAGAGGUGUACAAGGUGCACCAAGGCUACAGAAAAAAUAAAAAUAAAAAGCAUCACCUACGGCUAAUCCAUGCAUAUCUGCAAAAUCAAGCGAAAAGUAGUUGAUUUCUGCUCAAAAACAGCUUGCCUAAGGAAGCGAAGACUUUAAAGAAGUCAUUAAUUGACAAGAAAGUUCUCUCAGAACCGUAAAAACUCUUCUAUUCUUUUCUUUCUCAAAUAGUUUAGAUCACAGAUAAACAAGUUGUCUUCCAAAUCAAUUCCUUUCUUUGAGCCACACAUUUAUUGUGCAACUCACUAAGGGUAGCACAAACUUUCAUAGGAAGGAUUCGAACCACCAGAAAAAUAGAAAAUAGUGAAGACCAAAGACUCGAUGAAUCACAGUGGAUUAUAACAUAAUCUGUUGAUUCUUCUUUAUGCUUGCAAAGACAAUACCUAUUCACCAAAGUCAACCUUUUUCCAUAAGAUGAUCAGUUGUGAGAAUUUUACCCCAAGUUGCCUCCCAAGCAAAGAAGCAAACCUUAGACAAUACCUUAGAAGCUCAAAUCACUUUUGAUGGGAAUGAUGAGGGAACUUCAUAAUACAUUGACUUGUAUGAUUUGAUUUAGAAUAUGCCUUUCCUUGAAUGCCUUCUACAGUAAUGGUCUACAAAGUUGACCUGAAAGGAUGAACAUACGCCAAGCUCAAAGGGCACAAAACCUCUUCCACCAUCUCCAACAUGUGGUCAAAGCAGAGUCUCUUAAAUCUUAGAUUCCAAUAGGGUGUCAUUGUUGCCUUGACCUCCCAAUGGUCCACCACUUAGCACCUUUUUGAAUUGCUAAAGCAAAAAGAGCUGAAAAGCUCUCCUUUGACUUCAUCUCCCUACACUACUCAUCUUCUAAAAUUUGGUUGUUUGACCAUCACCAUUAAAGAUGCUUUUUCUUACUUGAGAAUCUUAUGAACCUCUAUUCAGUAUUUAUCUUUUUCUAGAGGUUGCAGUAGAAAACCUUCCUACCUAUCUUGGAGCACCAGCUCCCUGCCAUCUCACCAUUCUUUCCCAUAAGGACUCUUCCAAUGGCAAUUGUGAUCGCAAGAAAAUCUACAUAACCAUUUCCUAAGUAAUGCCUUGUUCAACACUAAUAGUUUUGCUUAUCUAUAAACUUCUUCUUUUGGUCUUCUUUGAACACACUGUGCUCCACUUGAAUAGAUGGAUCUUUCCAUUGGAAAGCUCUCUUCCUUAUAAAAAUGUUCUUUGAAUUUUCUCCCAUCUAAGUUGCAUUUUCUUUGGGAUUGCUAAGAAAGACAUGAAAUAAAUUACGAGGUUAAAGAGGGAGCUUUUAACAAAGUGAGUCUACCACCCUUUGAAGAGACACAACUUCUUCAAAAAGGCUAAUGUUUUUUAAAAUAUCUCCUAUACUACAUCCCAAAAUGUUUCACAUACAUAAAUAUUUUGUGGGGAGCUGACCCCCACACUACAACUAAAACUCAAAGCUAACUGCUCAACCUCCUCUAAUACCAUUAUUGGAAUAAGCUUGCACUUUUCAAUAUUUAGUUUUAAGAUUGAAACAACUUUGAAACACAAAAACACCCAUCCCAAGUAUAAUAAUUGCUCACUACUAGCCUUGCAAAAAGGGUGAGAGUCAUUUGUGAAAAGAAUAAGAAAUAUCAAUACACUCCUAUUCCUUUCCUCUUACUUCGAAGCUAUUAAUUUUUUUGUUUUUUGAUAGACAAAGACAUUGAAUUGAGAAAACGCCAAAACAGGGGGCGCACCCUACGUAGAUAGGUAGUAUACAAAAAGAGCCAAAACAAGGCUGCAAAAAGAAAGAACAAACCUAGAGGGAUAAAAAGCUAGCCGCUAUGCCAAUCACCCAAAAAAUUUAGAGAAGAGGGAGAGUCUAAAUCCAAAAACUGUUGAGACCACUCUAGAAGUGAACGGAAAAAGAGGUUCCUCAAACUUUGGUCUGACAACUCUUCAUCUUGGAACAUUCUUCGGUUUUUCUCUCCCCAAAUACACCAGGAAAGACAAAUAGGCUCCAAACUGCUCUCCUCUUCUUCUCUAGCCCCUUAACUUUCCUUUUUAGAAGCAGGUUUCUCACUAAAGCUGGGAACACCCACACUGGCUAUUAAUGAAACUUCCAUUCAUGACUUGGUCAAUGAUACAGCUCAUGGCCUCCAUAACUAAAAUAAAUAAGUAGGGUGAGAGAAGAUCUUCUUGCCUUAAGCCUUUUGAACUUUGAAAGAAACCAUAUGGACUCCCACUCACUUAUAAUGAAAAGCGAACUGUAGAAACUUAAUCAAUCCACUUUUGGUGGAAACACUUAUUGUUCAUCAUAAAAAAAAGAAAGCUCCAAUUCACAUGAGCACAAGUCUUUUCUAUGUCCUAUUUUUAGGUUAAUUUUUUAUUUUGGAGUUGCUGGCUUCAUUAGCAAUCAACAUUGCUUCCAAAAUUUGCCUAUCCACAAUGAAGGCACUUUAAAUAUUAGAUGUAACCUUACCAAUGACCUUUAUAUGCCAAUUUACCCAUACUUUUGCUAGAAGCUUGUACACCCUACACCUAAACUAAUAGGUCAAAAGUCCUUAAUAUCUUGUACCCCUAUCUAUUUAGGGACAAAGACUAAGAAAGUGGUAUUAAGACUUCUUUGGAAUAAAUAAGAGCCAUCUAAUUUAUGGAGAAAACUCAUCUUCUUAGUGUAGCUUGGCAACUUAAGGAACCUAACAUGUUGGGUAGUGAAAAUUUCAACCAAAGUAUUGUGUGUUAGAGCAUGAUUUACAUUGUGCACUCAUGUCCUAACAGGAUAUCAGAGAUUUCAGUGUUAACAUUUCCUUGUGUAGAAAACCCUGUGAUGGCUGAGUAGAAAAUGCUUUUGCACUUGCAGCCAUCCUUGCCAGCGAUGGUUCUGCAAAGGGGAAGUUGCUGGUUUGGGAUUGAAUCAAAAUCUUUUGAGAUUUUGUUGGAGCAAGUCAAAGGGGAAGUCGGCUGGCAAGAUAGUGGAGAGAGGGGUUGUGGGUUUUCCACUUUGAUUAGAUUUUGUGACUAGCCCGAUUGCUGGAAGGGGUAGAAGCUUGUUGUGAAGGGCAGUCUGGAAAAUCUUUCAGUAUGGGGUGGAAUGAAGGUUGAAGGGGCUACAAGUUGGAUCUUUGUAGCAAUAAGGCAGGGGGCUCGAGAAUGGCUGGGUAGAAUUGUUUUUCCUGGGGUGUUAGGUGUUGGAUUUGGAUGGUUAUCCUUGUUGUUCUCUUUGUUUUCUGUGGUGUCACAGUAUGUAUACUACAUGUGUAAUUUGUUGAGCCCUUUGGGCUUUUAAUAUAUUCUCUCUCUUUACCUAUAAAAAAAAAUAUGUUGGGUACUGAAAGAACAAUUGUUUAGAAAUUCACCAAAGUUAUAGCAUAAGAAGCAAUUUAACUAUGUUGGAGGAACACCUUUUAUAAUUAGUCAUUAGUCAUUAGUAUUAUUGUGAGGCCUCCUAAUUUACAAUUAGUCAUUAGUAUUAGCCUUUUUUUUGUGGGAUUUCUAGUCUAAUUUUUCUAGGUAGAAGAUGGGCUCGGCCUUAUUAGAGAGAGGGCUCAGGGGUAAUGGAACACCUUUCGUUUAAAGUCUGACACAUCUCAUUAGGGGCCAUGUUAGGAAAGAAAAUGUUUUUUUGGACCACAAGAAAGAACUAAACUUUAGUUAUUUUCUUUGGUCUUUGAGGCUUCUUAGGAGGAAAUUUCUAACAAAUAAGUGCAAUGGCCUUCCAAAGGCACCAAUGUGACCAUUUGAUUAUAUUAUUGGCGUCCCACCCAUUAGGAUGUGUCCCCUAGAUACUUAAAAUAACCUGAUGCCUAAGGGCGAAACCUUCUUUAGGGAACCUUCAUAACCACUUCUUUAAUAAAGCAGGGUUCCUCAGACAAAUUUUCCCAAACCUUAAACCAUCAAACCCCUUACACUUACACAUUAGAUCCCAACUAAUAAGAUGAUCUCUUUUACUCUCGCCAAAACCAGACCAUAAAAAUCUCUUUGCAAUUGUCCAAUCCUUGAUGCUAUUAAUGCUGAAAUCUUGAAAAGGGAUGAGAAGUAGCUUGGGAUGCGAGACCAAAAAGAUUGAAUUAGAGUAAUUCUACCCCUUGAGGACAAAAAAGUUUUUUUUCCACCCAUCCAAUCUCCUUGAGACUAUCAAUCACUAGAUCCUAAAAUGAGCUUGAUUUUGGAUUCCCCUCUAAAAGAAGACCCAAAUAUGUUAAAGGCCAAUUAGAGUCUGAACAUUCAAGCAUCAAAGCCAUCCUAGAGAUUUGAUCUUGACUUGUGUUGAGUGCUCUUAUUUAGAUUGGUCCUAAGCCCUGACAAACACCCAAAAACCAACAAUAUUAGCUUAAGAGUUUGCAAAUAUUCCAAAGAAGCUUUAGAGAAAAAGAAAGUGUCAUAAGCAAAUUAUAAAUGAGACGCUCUAGUCUUAUUUUUGCCCAUUAUGAACCCCUUAAAUAAACCUCUCUCCUCAACUCUCAACAACCUACUUAAAAUAUCAAUAAUAAUGGUAAAAAGAAAAGAGAAAAGAGUGAUUUCCUUAUCUUAAGCCUUUAGAUGCCUUAACCCAACCAUUGAUAGUUCCAUUCACUAUUACUGCAAAACUUGUUGAUGACAAACAUCCCCUCAUCCACCGACUCAUUGGCAAUCAAGACAACAUCCAAAUUUGCCUCCCUUCAACAAAAGCUCUCUGGGACAUGAAGGUGGUAUUGUGAAGGACUUUACCUAACCACCCUGAUACGACCUUAGCUAUGGUCUUGUGCAAGUUAGUGACUAGGUUGAUAUGUUUAAAGUCUGAGAUUCUACUAGUUUGACUAUUUUUUGGCAUUAGAGCAAUGAGGGUAGCAUUGGUACUUUGGUUAAUUAUCCCAUUAGUUCUUGCAUUUAUUUUCCGUCAUACUAUUCAAAUCAAAGUUAGAAAUGCAAUUUGAUAGAGUUUGCUGCUACCUAUGCUCCCUUAACCUCUAAAGGAAAUGGUUAUCAUGUCAUUGAUGCUCCUAGGAGAAACCCAAUCUAGCCUGACUAGUUUGAAUUAUCUUUCCCACAAUGCCAAAGUCCUCGGGUAAUGUAAAAAAGAGACGAUCAAUCGAUUCACCACUCCUCAUACAUGUAAUGUAAUAGUUAAGACUAAGAGCUUGUAGCAAGUAGUUGGUAUUGGUCUUUUUGCUUGCCACUAACCAUGUAAAAAGCUUUGAUCUUAGAUAAGGUUUUAGAUUGCCAUAUGAACUUCACUAGAGAGCAAAGAGAUGGGGCUAGUUGAUUGGAUAGGGUUGAAAGGAAGGAUUUUACCAAGAAUAUGCUUGAAGUAGAUAAAGACCAAGUUCUAGUAUUGGGGAUAAACAAUAUCAAGUGCACAUGAGAGAUAAAGUACAUGAGUCUUUUUGUUCGACGCCUUAGUUCAUUAGGUAUCUUCCCAUGCUCUAAGUAGUCAAUCAAUAAUUGUCGCCAAUCUUCGAUGUCAAUAGUUAGCAUUGAUGUAGUGUUGACCUCUUCUUGUUGUAAUAUUGGUGAUGGUGGUAGUACCCACCUAUGGUAGACAGGGACGUGUAUAGUUUCAUCCUUAAACAGUGUCAAACUUGUGACUAAAUUAGCUAGAGCAUCUACCAUUUGGUUCUCUUUUUUGUAGGACAUGAACUAAAGAGAUUUGCUUGAACUUUUCCAUAAGUCCUCAAUCUUUGUGUUUGUGAGCUUGUGAUGGAAAUUAAGGUUCUAAGAAAAAGGAUAAGAGGUGCAAAGAAGAGAAUAAAUCAAGGCAUUUCUAACUAUAACCGUAUAACAACUCUAAAGAGAUUUGGAAAUUGAAAGUAAAAGAGUUUGAUUCUCCCACCAUAAGUCUUCACCAAAAGAGAAUCCUUGCCCUCUUUCCCACCGCAAAACUAGUACGUGUUGAGAAAUCUUUGAGCACCUGUGCGAUUGCCUUCUAGGGGUAUCGAUGUUGGGAUGAGUCCCAUAUACUUAAUAUUACCUUAUGCCAAAUAGCAUCACACUUCCUAGGAUACCUGUACAACCAUUUUCCUAAGAUAGCUCUAUUUCUCAAAGAAAUCUUCUCUAAUCCUAAGCCCCCUUCCAACUUGGGUUUGUGCACUUGUUCCCAACUAAUGAGAUGGUCCAUCUUUCCUUUCCCAACCCUUGGCCAAAUAAAAUCUCUUUGCAUUGUCUUUAUGUUUGAUGCUAUUACCAAUGGAAUCCUAUAUACAAAGAGGAAAUAAUUAAGGAUGUGAGAUAGACAAGAUUGAAUUAGGGUUAUCUGACCUCCUAAUGACAAACAAACUUUUCUCCAUCCAUCUAGUCUCCGUGAAAUUCUAUCUAUUACUGGAUGCCAAAAAACAUUAGCCUUUGGGUUCCUUCUUAAGGGGAGACCUAAAUAGGUUAAGGGCCACUCAGAAACAAUACAUUCAAGCAUUGAAGCCAAACUAGCAAUCCCAUCCUGAUUCACAUUGAUGUUAAUGAAAGUGCUCUUGUUUAGCUUGAGGGUUUUCAAAUCCCUCAUACUAGCUCUUGAGACAAAGAUAAUAUCAUUUACAAACUGCAAGUGGGUCAACCUAGGUCUCCUUCUCCCUACUUGGAGGCCUGCUAAUGGGUCGCUGUCCUUCGCCCUCAAUGUCGUCCUACUUAAGAUGUCAACUUUAAGGCAUCUCCUUAUGGUGGUAUACUUUUGAGUUAAUAAAAAUAAUUAAAUUUGAAUGAUAGUCAAAUAUGAAAUAUACAAGUGUAUCUUCUACAAUGGGAAUUAACUUUAUCCAAUUAUUUAGCAAUGUGGGUUAUUUUGAGAUUAAAAAUCUAGAUAGUAUUUUUUUUUCUUUUGUUCUUGAUAGGCAAAUAGCAAAUAUAAAUUAAAAAUGUCUAAGCAAAAGGUGCAACCUCAUGCACAUGAUGUAUACAUUUGAUGGCAACUAGAAGCAUGCUUAAAAGAGAAACACAAAAAACAACCUCCUUCUCGUUAUUUUAAGUUAAACCCAAUCAACAAAGUCAAUCAUUGACUAGGGAUGGUCACCUAUGUACACUCUAAUUUAUUCCAAAAAAUAAUUAUGAAAAUGGAUUUAAUCUUCUCAUUUGACUAUUCCAAAUCUUCAAAAGACCUCCUGUUUCUUUCCUUCCCCAACAUCCAAAACAAACAUCGAGGGACAACCCUCUAAGCUUUUUUCCGCUUCUUUCCCAUGAAAAAUCCAUGCCAACUCAAUAAAUUUCCUCUUAUAAUGGAGUGCAUCACCAAGCUACUCAAAAAAGAGAGAAAACAAGUGGCCAUGAGAUGCUAGCUUUAGGAUAAUGGAGAAGCAAAGGAUCAAUUGACUCUUUCUCAUUGUUGCACAUGCAACAUCAAUUAUGUAUUAUCUAUUCCCUCCUUUUAAGCUAAUUUUUUCACAUCUAGAUAGUAUCUUCAGAAAAACUUCUACCAUGGGUAUCAACUCAAUUUUUUAUUUAGCCCUAGAAGAAGGAAACAUCACUAGAAUUUCAUGUUGAAAUUGUCCAAGGAUGUUGAUAUUAUCUAGUACAACCAAAGCUAAUGCAAUUUGCAUCUCUUGAAUGGCUAAAAUGUGGGCAAAUGCCUUCCAUCAUGUAUAUAUGGUUGUAACUGUGUUAGAUCUCACCUUUCCAUUAGCUAGUGGAAUGAGAUGUAUUGUUUCUUAAGCGUCCACCAGUGUUUUCAAAGGUGUUGGUGAGGCUCGCUUCAGGGCGCGCCUUGAGGCAAAGUGUUCCCAGAACGUGUUGAAGCGUUCUCAAAAGUGCUAGACUCAUAAAAGGUGCACGCCUCUAGAGUUGAAGCUUAUCUAAGGCACGCUUCUUGUGCGCCUUCAACGCAUCAACGGUUGAGGCGUAGGCCUCAGACAUGUGGGUUGUUGUUAACCAAAAAGCCUAUGGAAAGUGCAAUCAAAGGAGAAAACACAAAAAAAAAAAUUCUAAUUCUUAAUUCACUAUUGGUGAACUAUGGCAACGACUCACUCUGACAUAGAUAACUUGGACAUCUCCCCAUUGCUCCAAUGAGAUCUCCCGACAUGGUCCUCAACUCUUCUUCUCCCUCUUCAUUCUUAGUUCUUCCUUCUUCUCCUUCUUCGUUCUCUGUUCUUUUCUUCUCUCUAGUUCUAAUAUAUUCUUUUCUCCCAAAUUGGUUUUAUAUUUUAUUUUUCAUUUUAUAUUGCUCAUUUUUUUUUCACACCUAUUAGUUUUUUCCUUAUAUUUAUGUUUUGUUUUGGUUUUUCAAAAAGCAUCCCGAUCUCUUUGUUUAAUGAAGCUGGCCUUCCCCCCCUGUUUUCUAUGUAAAAAAUUAGCAAACUACUAAUUUCUUUUUCCAUAAUUGAUUUUACAAUAAAUAGUAAAAAUUUUUAGAUAAUUGAUUUUUGUAAUUUUCUUUAGUUAUUUUUUUUUUCAAACAACAAAAAAAUUAGACAAUCAAUUUAAUAAUUAAAUUAUUUAGAAUCUGAAUUUGUAGACUUUGAACUUCAUUAUGUAAUUGAAAUUUUAUUCUUUAUAGUCUAAAAAAGGUUAUGAAAUUAAUUUCUUCAUGGACAUUGUCCAAAAUGGAGAAGAGAAAGAGAGAGAGAGAGAGCGAGAGCGAUGGAGGAGAGCGAGAGAGUCUGCGUGUGAGCGAGGGUGCAGAGAGCGAGUUUUGAUCGGGGUCUCGGAAAAGCUUGAAGGGGAGUAGCUUCGGAGUGGAGUCGAAGACUUUUGAGGUCGAAGUUGAGGAGAAGAAAGGUAAACUGCAAGCCACUAUUGUGGGGAGGAAAAGAGGGAUUUCUUUGUGGGUCAAGCUGGGACCAGAGAGCCUAGGGCUCUUUCUGGAAUGCCUGCUUCUUUGCAUAAAAGAGACGAGAGCUGGAAAAUGGGAGGUCUUAUUCGCUGGUGCGUGAUGAGAACAAAGGGGGGGUGUUUUCUCCGAUUGGGCGUUGUGGAUUUGGAGAAGAAAAGCUUCAACAUCUUCAUUUCCAAAGGCAGAGGGGUAAAGGGUGGCUGGUCUUCAAUGGCGGAGACGUUAUGGAGCUUGGGGGUAGCCACGGGAAGGAGGGAAAGCCAGCAGGAUGAGGCGAUGCUGCUGAAACCCAUUUUGGGGAAAACUUUCACGGAGGUGGUCCAGUUGCCGAGGAGCAAAGGCAAAGUAGUAGUUAGGGUGGAGGUUAGAGAAGAGGAUCUGAGCAUAAAUUUGAACAAGCUGGUCCAUUGCCUUGUUGGUUUUUGGAACCCCAGCUCAGCGAGAGGUGAUGAUUUGAAAAGUUGGGGGACCCAAAUGGCAAAAAUUUGGGGGUUGAAGGGCAAGCUAGGGCUGGCAAAAUUGGAAAGGGGUAAGUUUUUGCUAGAGUUUGAGUUGUUGGCAGAAGCUAAGAAAGCUCUCAACUAUGGAAAAAUCUUGGUUGGGGGGCUUCUCUUGCGCCUAGAGAAGUGGAGCCCUGAGACGGGGUGCUUGGUGGAAGGAGAGAAAAGAAACGAGGCCUGGGUGAGGAUUGUGGGUUUACCCGUCUCGUUAUGGGAUCGGGACAUCCUGAGAAGGGUAGGGGAGGAAUGCGGGGGUUUCUUGGCAGUCGAUAACCAAACGGAGAAGCUGGAGGAACUGCAGUGGGCCUCGAUUCUGGUGAAGUUAAAUGGCGAAGAGCUUCCUAACGUGGUGGAAAUCUGGGUUGAAGAGGUUUGCUACGUGUUAACCCUGUGGUGGGAGGUUAGGCCGUUAAUGAGGAUUUUUCCGACUGGUAAGUGCGGGAAGAAAGUCGGAGCAGAAGAAGAGGUUGGGGGUGAGGUCUUUGCACGCGCGAGGAAGCGCGUGAUGGAGGAGGACGACAACUCUUGGUUCGAGGCCCUAGUUCAGUCUGCCGAUGGGACGCCGGGGCAGAUGAGCGGGUCGGGGUGCCCUUCGGUUCUUAUUUGGAGCCAUGACGGGUCGUUGGGUAGACCCUUUGGAGGCGUGUAGCUGUUGGGUGGGCCCUUUAUGCCGGGCCCAGUUUUGACUACUUCGAAUGAGGCUGGGUCGCGUUUUAAUGGGUUGAGGUCUUUGAAGGACUCUGGGUGGGCUAAGGCAAAGGGAUCCAACGAGGAGUCUGGGCCGGAAGAGUGCCGAGGCUCGUUCCAGCCUUUGUUUGAGGGCAGAGCCCAAGUUGGAGGGGUCAUCUCAUCGGUUAUGUCUGGCCCAAGCAUUUUGAGGUGUCUAGACUCAGAGCUCACCAACUUCUAGGUGAAGAAUGGAUUGCGAAAGCAAAUUGAAGAAGAGCUCCAAACUGAGGAGAGAUCGAAGACUGACCUUGCCUUAAUCGAGGAAGCCUUGAGGUAUGGGAAUGUCCUUGAUCCUAAAGGAAUUUUGGUUUAUAGGUCCUCUUUUUCCUUCUCUUUUUUUCCCGAUUGGACUCCAGAGGGGGAGUAUUACGACUAUUCUGGGGUAGUUUGUGAGACCAUCCAGGGGGAAACCCUCGUCACACGCUGGGAGUUGCUAGAGGUAAAUAACGGUUGCAAUGAAGUAAGAAGAGCAGAGUUGAACUCAGUUCAAACUAAGCCACAAGAAGUAAGAGGCUGGGAGGAGGUCAGUUGGGAGGAAAGUGAUCUGGCUAGGUUCAACAAUUUCCUGGGGUUUCCACAAAGGGAUUGGAGAAAGUUAUUUUGGAUUUUUUGGUUAAAAUCAGAAAGAGAAGGGAAAUAAUUCACAUCAAAACUCUUUUGAAGAAAUCUAAAUUCGAAAGGGAAUUAAAAAGACUAGAGUGUUCCAUUAACUACUGGGGGGGGGAGGGGGAAGCAGAAAUGUGGUAUGCAAGGAAGAGUGUGUCAGAUCAUGGAAGUCCAAUGAAGUUAAGGCUUUUGAGUUGGAAUGUUCGUGGAGCUAAUGAUAGUUCCAAAAGAAAGGUGAUUAAGGCCCUGAUUAGAAGUCAGAUGGUGGAUUUGUUCUGCCUCCAGGAGACAAAAAUUCAGGCAAUGUCGAAGGGUGUGGUGAGGAGUUUGGGCAUUGGAAGGUUUCUAGACUAGGAUGCCUUGGAUGCUUCUGGCUCUGCGGGAGGGAUCUUGAUUUGUUGGGAUAAAAGGACACUGGAUGUGCUUGAAUUGGAGGUGGGUCAAUUCUCAAUUUCCUGUAGAUUCAGGAAUGUAGAAGAUGGGUUCGUUUGGAUUGUCACAGGAGUGUUCGGGCCUUUCUCUAGAGAGGAAAGGGAAUGUUUGUGGGAGGAGUUAGGGGCGAUCAGAGGCAUUUGGGAUGAUCCUUGGUGUUUAGGGGGUGACUUCAAUGUUAUCCUCUCCUAAAGGGAAAGGAGUAGGUAGGGAAGACUAACUGGUGUAAUGAGAAGGUUUACCCAGAUUGUUGACGAGCUAGAGCUACUUGAUCUUCCUAUGCAAAGGGGGUUGCUUACUUGGAAUGGGGGUAGGAAUAAUCAGUCGUGGGCUAGACUGAAUAGAUUCCUAGUAACCUAAAAUUGGCUUGACCAAUUCAGUGGGGUGUUCCAAAGCAGGCUGCCUAGACCCACUUCAGACCACUUUCCCAUUUUGCUGGAGGGUGGUGGGUUAAGGAGGGCCCCCUCCCCAUUUAGGUUUGAGAAUAUGUGGCUUAACGUUGAUGACUUUAAAGACUUGCUUCGGGGUUGGUGGCAGGGGACUGUGGUGAGAGGGAGUGCCAGCUUUAGACUGGCUACUAAAUAAAGAAAUAUAUUCUCUAAUGUAUUUGUGUAUCGUUUAUCCCUACGAGAUACUAAAUGAAAUAGAACAAUCUUAGAAGGGAUAUAAUGAAAUUCUUUGAUUGGUUCUUCCCAUAGGCAUAGGAAUGAUCCAUUUUAUUUGACUGAUAGGUCCAACAAAUAAUAAGAAAUAUAAAAAAUGCUAAAUAAUAAACAGAGUGUUUUUAUUCGAAACGCCUCGUGAUCUUCAACCAAUUAUGCGCUUCAAUAUAAUUACCAGGAGUAAGUGCUAUAGCUUGUUUAAGUUAAAGGAGAUGAAGCAAAAAAUAAAAUUUGGAAUAGGGACGUGUUUGGAAGUUAAUAAAAAAUCAGCUCUUCAACAAGUUGAGUACUGGGAUGGGAGAGAAUUCUAUCAAAAGGGGAAAUAGAGCUGAAAAAAGAAGCUAAGGAAAACUAUAAGAAGUGGGUUUUACUGGAAGAAACCCAUUGGAGACAAUUAUCCAGGGAGCUUUGGUUAAAGGAAGGGGAUAAGAACAUAGGCUUCUUUCACCGGAUGGUAAACGCCCACCGAAGAAAUAAUUCCUUGGACAGAAUUAAGAUUAACAAGGUGUGGUUGACUGAGGAACAGGAGGUGAGGGAGGGGAUUGUCAAUUCUUUUCAGCAGUUGCUCUCAGAAGAGCCAGGCUGGAGAGUUGACAUUGAGGGGCUGCAUCUUCAUUGUCGAAGUUUCCAAGAAGCUGAAAAUUUGGAAUUGCCUUUCUCUAAGGAAGAAAUCCAUUUUGCCCUGUUGGAGAUGAAUGGUGAUAAAGCUCCAGGCUCGGAUGGAUUCACAGUGGCUUUUUGGCAAGCUUGUUGGGACUUUGUGAAGGAAGAGAUUUUGGAGUUGUUUAAGGAGUUUUAUGAUCAAAGCUCCUUUGCCAAAAGCCUUAAUACCACUUUCCUGGUCCUUAUUCCAAAGAAAGGGGGUUGCUGAGGACCUGGGAGACUUUUGACCCAUCAGCCUUUUAGGGGGACUGUACAAGCUUUUGACCAAGGUGCUGACAAAUAGGCCGAAGAAGGUUUUAGGAAGGGUGGUUUCUGUGGAUCAAAAUGUGUUUGUGAGGGGCAGACAAAUUUUGGAUGCUUCGCUUAUAGCUAAUGGGGUGAUUGACUCCUGCAAAAACGAAAAGAGAAAGGGCUGAUAUGUAAACCGGACAUUGAAAAAGCCUAUAACAACAUAAAUUGGAUUUUUCUUAUGAAAGUCUUGCAUAAGAUGGGCUUUGGGUCUCGGUGGAUGGAGUGAAUUUGGCGGUGCAUCUCAACUGCCAAAUUCUCUAUUUUGGUCAAUGGGGUGCCAGCAGGCUUCUUCUCGAGCACCAAGGGGCUGCGACAAGGAGAUUCUCUUUCUCCUUACCUUUUUGUCUUGGGAAUGGAAGUGCUAAGUGCACUCAUAAGAAGGGCUGCUGAUGGGGGUUUCAUCUCAGGCUGCAGAUUUCGGGGGAGAGGAAGGAUGGAGAUAAAUGUUUCCCACUUACUCUUUGCUGACGAUACAAUCAUAUUCUGCGAAGCAAGAAAAGAGAAUAUAACCUUUUUAAGCUAAAUUUUGGCUUGGUUUGAGGUUGCGUUCGGCUUAAGGAUCAACCUAGCCAAAAGUGAAUUAAUUCCAAUUGGUGAGGUGGAAGAGAUUGAGGAAAUGGCAGUGGAGCUAGGGUGUAGGGUGGGGUCCCUGCCCAAUGUCUACUUGGGGCUGCCCUUAGGAGCUCAUCACAAGGCUCCUUCUAUGUGGGAUGGGGUGGAAGAGAGAAUGAGGAGAAGAUUAGCUUUGUGGAAAAGACAAUAUAUAUCCAAAGGCGGGAGAAUCACCCUCAUUAAGAGCACGCUGGCCAGCAUCCCGAUUUACCAAUUGUCCCUUUUUCGAAUGCCCAAGAUUGUUGCAAGAAGGCUUGAAAAAUUACAAAGAGACUUCCUUUAGGGAGGGGGAAGCUUGGAAACGAAAGUCCACUUAAUCAAAUGGGAGGUGGUGUGUGCUAAAAAAGAGAAGGGUGGUUUAGGCAUAAGGAAGAUUGUCCUUUUGAACAAGGCCUUGCUGGAAAAUGGAUAUGGGGGCUUGCCUUUGAAAAGGACAAUCUUUGGAAGAAGGUGAUUUUGGUGAAGUAUGGCCAAGAGGGUUUUGGGUGGAGGACUAAUGAGGCUCGUGGGACGUUUGGAGUGAGGGUUUGGAAGGAGAUUCCGAAGGAGGCAAACUGGUGUUGGGAUAACAUAGAGUUUAAAGUGGGUAAAGGGACUAAAGUCAAGUUCUGGACUAAUCAUUGGUGUGGCAUUGCUGCGCUGUCCCAAAACUUUCCCCAGUUAUUCACCUUGGCGGUCCAUAGGAAUGCAACGGUUAAUGAAGUGUGGGACCCUAGUUUUGGUCAAGGAGGUUGGAGUGUUAGAUUCUCUAGAGAUUUUAAUGAUUGAGAGUUGGAUUUGAUAGGAGAUUUGCUUAAUAUGUUGAGGGACUUCAAGAUAUCUUUAGAGGAGGAUUCGGUUUUCUGGAAAGGUGGGGGAAGUGGUAUUUUUGGGGUUAAGGAUGCUUAUAAUCUGCUGGUUGCUCCAAACGAUUUUGCUUUCCCAAAAAAGUGCAUUUGGGUGGAUAAGAUUCCAAUUAAAGUUUAUUUUUUUUGCUUGGGAGGCCACGUGGGGGAAGAUUCUCACUUUGGAUAGGCUUCAAAAACGGGUUUGAGGAGUCUUCAGAUCAGAUGACUUAUCUAAGUUGGCUUCUCAUGUGGUUUGAGGCGUGUUCGGGUUUGAGGAUUAACUUAGAGAAGAGUGAGAUGAUCCCGGUGGGAAGGGUGCAUAAUAUAGAGGGAUUGGCCUUGGAGUUGGGUUGUAAAGUGGGUGGGAUUCCUUGUUAUUUGGGAAUGCCUUUAAGGGCAACUUUCAAUUCUUUGGCGGUGUGGGAUGGGGUUGAAGAGCGUUUUUGUAGAAGGCUUGCUAUGUGGAAGAGGCAUUACAUAUCUAAAGGGGGGAGACUCACCCUAAUCUGAAGCACUCUUUCCAGUAUGCCUAUUUAUUUUAUGUCUCUCUUCUAUUUGCCUAGAAAAGUGAGGUUGGGAUUGGAGAAAAUUCAGAGGGAUUUUCUAUGGGGUGGGGGAGCUCUAGCCCAAAAGCCUCACCUUGUUAGAUGGAACUUGGUUUGCUUGGAGAAAAGAAAAGGUGGGCUAAGGGUGAGAAAUUUAGCUUUGAUGAAUAGUGCCCUUUUGUGUAAGUGGAAUUGGAGGUUUGCUAAUGAGAGAGAGGCGUUGUGGAGGCGUGUAAUUAACCUCUAGUAUGACAAAGAGGAGGGAGGCUGGCGUACUCGGGAUGUGAUGGGGAGAAACGAAGUUGGGCUUUGGAAAGCAAUUAGGAAGAAGUGGGGGCUGUUAGAUGGUAGGGUAGCUUACCAUGUGGGUAAUGGGCAAAGAGUGAAAUUUUGGGAAGACAAGUGGUGUGGAGAUGGGCCACUUUGUGAGUCAUUUCCCUCUCUUUUCUCCAUGUCCAUGUCGAAGAAUGCUUGGGUUUCGGAGGUUUGGAAUCCCGUUGGAGAUGGGGAUGGUUGGACUCCCCUUUUUGCAAGGGCGUUUAAUGAUUGGGAGAUUGAUUUAGUGGAGCGGUUGUUGCAGAAGAUCCAUGCUUUCAGGGUUCAAAGGGAGGAGGAAAAUAGAGUGAUCUGGACAACUUCAAAUGAUGGGGUUUUCUCAGUUAGGUCCCUUUAUUCUAUGAUGGAGCCGGGGGGCUCUUCUAUGUUCCCUAGCGAAAGAAUUUAGAGGGCAAGAGUGCCUCCAAAGGUAGCUUUCUUUGCAUGGGAGACUUCUUAGGGUAAAGUAUUAACUCAAGAGCAACUUCAAAGGAGGGGGUUCUCUUUGGCAAAUAGCUGCUUUCUUUGUCUAUCCGAAGAAGAAAUGGUGGAUCAUCUCCUACUUCAUUGUGUCAAGACGCGGGUCCUGUGGAACCUUCUUUUCUCCCUUUUUGGUAUAUCUUGGACUCUUUCGUGUACAGUGAAGGCAACCCUUCUUGGAUGGAAUGGAGGGUUUGUGGGGAAAAGGCGCAAGAGGGCUUGGCAAAUGGCUCCUUUAUGUAUAUUUUGGUUAGUAUGGAAGGAGAGAAAUAGGCUAGCGUUUGGGAAUGAAGAUCUCUCGCUUCAAAGGUUGAAAUAUUCUUUUGUAUGUAAUCUUUGGUCUUGGGUUAGGGGUUCCUUAGCAGAGAAUCAUUCUUCUCUUGUAAGUUUUGUAGACUGGAUAGGCUCCUAGUUAGGGAAGGUGGUGUGUAUACUCCCUAUAUACUUCGAGGGCAUCGGUUUUUGGUGUUUGCUCCUUUUGUUUAAUAUACUUCCUUUUUUACUUAUCAAAAAAAAAAAAACGGGGGUGGCUGCUCCCUAAUCGUUGUUUUUUGUGUGGUUGUGAAGAAGAAACUGUAAAUCAUAUUCUUUUAUAUUGUAUAGUGGUCAGGGUCUUCUGGGAGAUCGUCCUUGCCUUGUUCGGGAUUCAGUGGGUGUUCCCAAAGAUAGUUAAAGAGAUGUUAUUAAGUUGGAGAGGCCUUUUUGUGGGGAAAAAAAGGAAAAAGAUCUAGAUUUCCAUUCCGUUGUGUAUUUUUUGAAUGGUCUGGAAGGAAAGGAAUAGAUUAGCUUUUAAAGGGGGGAGAGGGGAGGGGGGGGGGGGUUUCUUAGCUAUUCAGAAGCUCAAAAAUCCUUUUGUAUGUAAUUUGUGGAGUUGGGCUAAGGUGUAUAUUGGAGAGGAGUCUUCUUCGCUCUUAGGCUUUUUGCAGUGGCUAGCGUCCACUUAAGGGCUGGUGAGGUUGCUUGUUUUUUGCGUUUUUAGGUUUAGGUUGCUGUGUAUACUCUCUGUAUACUUUGUGGCUUUCUGCCUUUUUAAUCUAUUUUGUGCUUAUUUAUAAAAAAAAAUAAAAAUUAUAUGAAAUUAAUUUGAUAUUUAAUAGCAAAAAUUUAUAUAAUUCAAUUAUCUUUAAUUUUUUUUUAUAUUUUAAUAUUUAUUAAUUCUAAAAAUGAUAGUCUCAAAAGGCUUAUGCCUUAAUGCUUCAAGGCUUAUGCCUUGCCUCAAUGACACAAAAACGUUUUGCCUUACGCUUUCACCUUUAAAAACUUUGGUNNNNNNNNNNNNNNNNNNNNNNNNNNNNNNNNNNNNNNNNNNNNNNNNNNNNNNNNNNNNNNNNNNNNNNNNNNNNNNNNNNNNNNNNNNNNNNNNNNNNNNNNNNNNNNNNNNNNNNNNNNNNNNNNNNNNNNNNNNNNNNNNNNNNNNNNNNNNNNNNNNNNNNNNNNNNNNNNNNNNNNNNNNNNNNNNNNNNNNNNNNNNNNNNNNNNNNNNNNNNNNNNNNNNNNNNNNNNNNNNNNNNNNNNNNNNNNNNNNNNNNNNNNNNNNNNNNNNNNNNNNNNNNNNNNNNNNNNNNNNNNNNNNNNNNNNNNNNNNNNNNNNNNNNNNNNNNNNNNNNNNNNNNNNNNNNNNNNNNNNNNNNNNNNNNNNNNNNNNNNNNNNNNNNNNNNNNNNNNNNNNNNNNNNNNNNNNNNNNNNNNNNNGAGUCAACAUUAAAAUACUUAAAUUUUUUGAGCCUCAUUGUUGAGGGAGAGUUUAAAACUCCAUUUUGAUAAUGGAAUGUGAGCGAAAAAGGAUGAAAGGAUUAAAAACAUAAGGAAAGAAAAAAUUUAGUAAAAUGAAAAAUACGUUUGAAAAUAAGUUUUUUCUCCAAAUUGUCUCAACACUCCCUUUUUACAUAGAGAAUGAAGAAUUUAAAAAUAUUUAGCUUUUAAAUAAUUUUCUUCACAUUUCAUUUACCUUAAAGGUUUCUUUUGGAAAUUAAACAAAAGAAUUUGAGGUUCUUCAUUUUUUUCUUUUUCCCUUUCCAUAGAACUUUUUGAUAUCUAAAUCAAUUAUAAGUGUUUUGAGUGUUGGAAUAAGACUUCUCUCACUACUCUUGCCUUGUCCGUAUACCCAUCUUUUUUUUCUUCUUCCAUUUAAAGAGUUUUGGUUAGCAUGAAUGCUAGGAUUGAGAGAUUCUAGUUGGUGUUCUUAUGGUCUAGGUAAAGGAAGGGGUGCAUGGGUCGUAUGUUGUCUUAUUAGGUGGCAAGUAGUGUGUAAACCCAAGGUUAGGGAGUUUAAGGUGGUGAUUUGGUUUUGGAGUUGGAAUGAAUGAAAUUUUGGUCUAAAAGGGGCCUUGAGACUUGACUCAGGCAACAAGGGUUGAGUGGGAACAUGGAGGGUUUCAAGUUUGAGUCUGAACAUUGAAAAAAAUGUUACAUAAAAAAAAAAGGGCCCAAAUUGGUUCCUCAUUUGGUGGUGAUUCCUUAAGAAAGAAAUCUUGUUGGCAAUUUGUUAUGAAAAGUAAAUGUGUUGAAAAAUAAUGGAUAGGGCAUCAACUUAGCAGCUAAGAAUUUCUACUUUGCCCUUGGAAUGCUAUUUUCUAGGGUUAGCAUUACUUUCUUCUUCAUGUUAGAUUGAUUGGCAAUUAUUGUCUUAAGAUUAUAUUCAUAGAGGAUCUUUGGUGGGAGGACUCUUUGUUCUUCCUACCCCUUGGCUUUAUUCUUGCUUGUAAAGGAACUACCUUCUACACUUUUUGUGUUCCUUGUCCAAUAACUCCCCCUAGUGAACUUUAUGGAAGGAAAACAAUAAGAGGUUGUUUGAUGAUGUUCAACAAUCGGAUCAAGCAAUUAAUUCUUCUUUUAUGUCUUUUUUUUCUAAGAAUGGACUAUAGCGUACCUUGUUAGACAACCAAUUUUCCUAAAAGCUUAAGCUUAUAGGAUUUGAGUUCACAAUUUAUAUCAUGCUUUCCAACACCCUUCAUCAUGUGUAGCCUCUCUUUUUGGGCUUACACAUGGGUUUAAUAAAUUGGUUGUUCAAUAUGGUAUUAGAGCCUUGUUUGGUGGGAAGUCAUGUUUCAACACGAUAUAAGAGUCUUGUUUAGUGGGAGGUUAUGCAUUUGAACCUUUCCAUCACAUGUUUAUUUGCUCAAUUUAUUAAGCCCAAGUGUGAUUACAAAAAUGGAGGUUACAUGUGAGGGAAGGUGUUAAGAGUGCGCGAUAUGCAUUGAGGGCCUAAAUCUUACAAGCUUAAGCUUUUAGGAAAAUUGGUAAUUCAACAUAUAUGCAUGAUUACUCAAUGUCCAUGAUAGGUUUUGUCGAUUGGUACAAUUCCAAGUAAGGAGAAAGAGCUUGUUUUUUGUUUUCUUUUUCCUUGGCUAGCCUUUUAGCCCAUAUUGUAAAAAUCAUGUGUACCUUGGUGUGCGCUUUCUAAGGCACUUUUAAUUUAUUCUCUUUUAUUGCCUUUAAAAAAAAAAUUAUCUCUAAUGGAAUUUUGUUCUUAUUUUAAAUACCUUAAGGAUCUUGAAAUUAUUGAUUUUUCUUCUGUCGUUACCUCUUGAGAGUAUUAUCUUCAUUUUCUUUGGGCGAAAAAUAUUAAGCCUUGGUUAUGUUGGGCUUAUUUUCCUAAAAAUCAUUCUUUUCCUUUAAAGAAGGAAAUAGUGAUUAGUUUAAUUAAUUUUGGGUUCUGAAGUGCCCUAAAAGUUCUCAUGGCUAAGCGGCUUACAAGAAAGUUGAUUCUAACACCUUCCUUUAGUUCAAGAUAUCUCGAAGAGCCCUCAACCCUAACAGGUGCAUUAAUUGGUAAGAGAAGUAGGCUAUUAUUGUCCAUUUUUGUUCUGCAUUGUAUUUUUGCACCCUUUUUUUUAUAGCACCUAACGAAAUGUGCAACAAAGUAUAUAGAUUGUAUACAAAGUACGGCAAGAGACAAAGCAAAAGAAGCAAGGGACUUAAAAAAGCAAAAGUCUCUUCACGAAGUCUCCAACCAAUCAAUAAAAUCUAUCAUAAUUGGGGAGACCCCAUUCAUAUAACAUUAACCUAGAAAAAAGGAUUGUUGAGAAAAUAGGACUUAAAGGUUUGAUAAGACAUUUCUUUGCUUUCAAAUGCUCUUUUGUUCCUCUCCUUCUAUAAAGACCACCAAAAAAACGCAUGACAGGAUAACCUCCAUAUCCUCUUUUUCAUCUUUUCUACAAAGGAACCAUGUUAUCCUAAGAGGAAUUUUUUUUUUACUGAACUUGACAUCACCUAAGUAAUCCUAAAUAGGGAAAAUACCAAAUUCCAUAUUAUUUUAGCUCUAGCAUAAUGGAGAAGGAUGUGAUCUAUUGAUUCUUCCUCUUCCUUACAAUAAAAACAUCGAUUUACUAGAGACCAUUCCUUUCUUUUUAGCCUAUCCAAUGUCAACAUCUUUCCCUAAUAAACUUCCCAUGCAAAAACCACUACUUUUGUGUGAGCCAUUGCACUCUAAAGAACCACCCUUGUAGGGAACUCUUCUGCUCUUUUCUGCCUAGGGAAAUUUUAUAAGGACUUGACUGACAAUUUAUGUUUCUUUACAUCCAUUCAAUCCCUCUUGUCUUCCUCAUCCCUACUCGUAGCCUUGCCUUGAAGCCUUAAAAAUGGCCUCAAUCCUUUCCAUUUCCUAGUCAUUCAAGUUGCUUGAGAAGCAAGGGUUCUGAUGUCUGCCCUCAGCCUAUUGAUCCCACACAUCAGCCACCUAAGCAUCCUUUGUUAUAGCUAUGGAAUACGAAGAGGGGAAAGACUCUUCUAGAGAUGAAUCACCACACCAUUUGUCCUUUUAGAACUUUGCCCUUUUACCAUUGCCCACAUAUUGAAUGAGGUUCUGCUAUCAAUAUUCUUUCAAAGUCUUCUAAAAGCCUUUCAUAAUCCAACUCCAAAAGCACCCUCACUUUCCCUGGAAUACCAACUCCCUUCCUUCUCCUCAUACUUCCCAAUGAUUACCCACCUCCAUAGAGAUUUAUUUUUUGAAACAAACCUCCAAUUCCAUUUGCACUUGAAUUUGUGGCAAUAUCUUUUUGUUAGUGGUUACAAAUGGGUGGCUCUCAAAGAUUAGUUGGAACAUAGGGGGUGGCUUUGGAAGAUAUUCUAGGAGAGAGGGAGAAGGGAUCUUGUGGUUCAUGGGAAGGGGGGGGAGGGGGGGGGGGGNNNNNNNNNNNNNNNNNNNNNNNNNNNNNNNNNNNNNNNNNNNNNNNNNNNNNNNNNNNNNNNNNNNNNNNNNNNNNNNNNNNNNNNNNNNNNNNNNNNNCCAUUUGUCCUUUUAGAACUUGGCCCUUUUACCAUUGCCCACAUAUGGAAGGGGGUUGGGCUAUCAAUAUUCUUCAAAAGUUUUCAAAAAGCCUUUCAAAACCCAACCCCAAAAGCCCCCCCCCUUCCCCGGGAAUACCAACUCCCUUCCUUCUCCUCAAACUUCCAAAGGAUUACCCACUUAAAAAGGGAUUUUUUUUUGGAAAAAAACUUAAAAUUAAAUUGGAAUUGGAAUUGGGGGAAAUAUUUUUUGGUUGGGGGUAAAAAAGGGGGGGUUUUAAAAGAUUGGUGGGAAAAUGGGGGGGGGUUUGGGAAGAUAUUUUGGGGGGGGGGGGGAGGGGAUUUUGGGGUUAAGGGGAGGGGGGGGGGGGGGGGGGGGGGGAGCUUAUCUAUCUCGCUUCCUUUCUUUCUACUCUCUUCUUCUUAUUCUCAUUACUCAUGUGAUUGUUUCAUAAAAUUUCAGUUAUACACCCUGAAAGAAUUAUUGCAAAUAAUAAGACCUAGGAAUGGUUUAAAAUCUUUGAAGUAAAUUGUUGAAAAUUUGGUUACCCUGGUGAGCUAAGCUGCACCUUUGACAACUUAUUUGUAGAGGGAGUAUUAUGAUUUAAAUAAUUUGUGAUUGGUAAAUAUUAGUUAAGUUCAAUGAGAUGGAUUUAAUACAAUUUCAAGAAGAAGAUGGUGACUGAUUGAACUUUAGCCUUGCAAAAUUUUGGCAAAAGGUUUGCAACUUAUUUAUUUAUUUAUUUUUUUCAAAAAAUAAAUUACAAUUUUUGUAUGGAUGAGAACGUUGUGAGAAAUGUUGCUUUGCAUUGGUUAAUUCUAUAUACAUCUGGUACAGACACACUCUUUAUGAAUGAACUACUAUACUUCUCAAAAAAUUGAAGAAGAAACAUAAAAAACAUCCAGAGGGCAUUAAAUAAUAUAAAAUAUUCCCUAUCACCACCUUGUAUCAACAUAAAAGAUAAGGUCAUGAGCAAAACAGUGAAUAUUCUCGAUUCCUGUAGCAAGGCCAUCAAAUUAUUAUUUGGAAGAAAAACACUCAAAUUUAUUCUACACAGAAAUUUCAGUAGAAAUUAUGGCAAAAUUAAUAUAAAUGGAAAUAUCCUUUAUUUUGAUAUUUUUAUUACUAAUGUUAUUGUUGUUAUAUCCUCAAAUUUUACAUUUGUCUGUCUAAAAUUCUAUGGCGGGACAGAUUUCACGGAUAUUUGUCCAACUUAAUUUCCUAUUUCCUUUCUCUAAAGAUAAUAUUUGCCCUAAAUAAACUACACAUCAUAUUUAUCACAGUGGUUGUAUUUGAUCAGUUUUUCUUUUCUUUUUAUUUCUUAUUCUUUUUUUACAAAUAUNNNNNNNNNNNNNNNNNNNNNNNNNNNNNNNNNNNNNNNNNNNNNNNNNNNNNNNNNNNNNNNNNNNNNNNNNNNNNNNNNNNNNNNNNNNNNNNNNNNNNNNNNNNNNNNNNNNNNNNNNNNNNNNNNNNNNNNNNNNNNNNNNNNNNNNNNNNNNNNNNNNNNNNNNNNNNNNNNNNNNNNNNNNNNNNNNNNNNNNNNNNNNNNNNNNNNNNNNNNNNNNNNNNNNNNNNNNNNNNNNNNNNNNNNNNNNNNNNNNNNNNNNNNNNNNNNNNNNNNNNNNNNNNNNNNNNNNNNNNNNNNNNNNNNNNNNNNNNNNNNNNNNNNNNNNNNNNNNNNNNNNNNNNNNNNNNNNNNNNNNNNNNNNNNNNNNNNNNNNNNNNNNNNNNNNNNNNNNNNNNNNNNNNNNNNNNNNNNNNNNNNNNNNNNNNNNNNNNNNNNNNNNNNNNNNNNNNNNNNNNNNNNNNNNNNNNNNNNNNNNNNNNNNNNNNNNNNNNNNNNNNNNNNNNNNNNNNNNNNNNNNNNNNNNNNNNNNNNNNNNNNNNNNNNNNNNNNNNNNNNNNNNNNNNNNNNNNNNNNNNNNNNNNNNNNNNNNNNNNNNNNNNNNNNNNNNNNNNNNNNNNNNNNNNNNNNNNNNNNNNNNNNNNNNNNNNNNNNNNNNNNNNNNNNNNNNNNNNNNNNNNNNNNNNNNNNNNNNNNNNNNNNNNNNNNNNNNNNNNNNNNNNNNNNNNNNNNNNNNNNNNNNNNNNNNNNNNNNNNNNNNNNNNNNNNNNNNNNNNNNNNNNNNNNNNNNNNNNNNNNNNNNNNNNNNNNNNNNNNNNNNNNNNNNNNNNNNNNNNNNNNNNNNNNNNNNNNNNNNNNNNNNNNNNNNNNNNNNNNNNNNNNNNNNNNNNNNNNNNNNNNNNNNNNNNNNNNNNNNNNNNNNNNNNNNNNNNNNNNNNNNNNNNNNNNNNNNNNNNNNNNNNNNNNNNNNNNNNNNNNNNNNNNNNNNNNNNNNNNNNNNNNNNNNNNNNNNNNNNNNNNNNNNNNNNNNNNNNNNNNNNNNNNNNNNNNNNNNNNNNNNNNNNNNNNNNNNNNNNNNNNNNNNNNNNNNNNNNNNNNNNNNNNNNNNNNNNNNNNNNNNNNNNNNNNNNNNNNNNNNNNNNNNNNNNNNNNNNNNNNNNNNNNNNNNNNNNNNNNNNNNNNNNNNNNNNNNNNNNNNNNNNNNNNNNNNNNNNNNNNNNNNNNNNNNNNNNNNNNNNNNNNNNNNNNNNNNNNNNNNNNNNNNNNNNNNNNNNNNNNNNNNNNNNNNNNNNNNNNNNNNNNNNNNNNNNNNNNNNNNNNNNNNNNNNNNNNNNNNNNNNNNNNNNNNNNNNNNNNNNNNNNNNNNNNNNNNNNNNNNNNNNNNNNNNNNNNNNNNNNNNNNNNNNNNNNNNNNNNNNNNNNNNNNNNNNNNNNNNNNNNNNNNNNNNNNNNNNNNNNNNNNNNNNNNNNNNNNNNNNNNNNNNNNNNNNNNNNNNNNNNNNNNNNNNNNNNNNNNNNNNNNNNNNNNNNNNNNNNNNNNNNNNNNNNNNNNNNNNNNNNNNNNNNNNNNNNNNNNNNNNNNNNNNNNNNNNNNNNNNNNNNNNNNNNNNNNNNNNNNNNNNNNNNNNNNNNNNNNNNNNNNNNNNNNNNNNNNNNNNNNNNNNNNNNNNNNNNNNNNNNNNNNNNNNNNNNNNNNNNNNNNNNNNNNNNNNNNNNNNNNNNNNNNNNNNNNNNNNNNNNNNNNNNNNNNNNNNNNNNNNNNNNNNNNNNNNNNNNNNNNNNNNNNNNNNNNNNNNNNNNNNNNNNNNNNNNNNNNNNNNNNNNNNNNNNNNNNNNNNNNNNNNNNNNNNNNNNNNNNNNNNNNNNNNNNNNNNNNNNNNNNNNNNNNNNNNNNNNNNNNNNNNNNNNNNNNNNNNNNNNNNNNNNNNNNNNNNNNNNNNNNNNNNNNNNNNNNNNNNNNNNNNNNNNNNNNNNNNNNNNNNNNNNNNNNNNNNNNNNNNNNNNNNNNNNNNNNNNNNNNNNNNNNNNNNNNNNNNNNNNNNNNNNNNNNNNNNNNNNNNNNNNNNNNNNNNNNNNNNNNNNNNNNNNNNNNNNNNNNNNNNNNNNNNNNNNNNNNNNNNNNNNNNNNNNNNNNNNNNNNNNNNNNNNNNNNNNNNNNNNNNNNNNNNNNNNNNNNNNNNNNNNNNNNNNNNNNNNNNNNNNNNNNNNNNNNNNNNNNNNNNNNNNNNNNNNNNNNNNNNNNNNNNNNNNNNNNNNNNNNNNNNNNNNNNNNNNNNNNNNNNNNNNNNNNNNNNNNNNNNNNNNNNNNNNNNNNNNNNNNNNNNNNNNNNNNNNNNNNNNNNNNNNNNNNNNNNNNNNNNNNNNNNNNNNNNNNNNNNNNNNNNNNNNNNNNNNNNNNNNNNNNNNNNNNNNNNNNNNNNNNNNNNNNNNNNNNNNNNNNNNNNNNNNNNNNNNNNNNNNNNNNNNNNNNNNNNNNNNNNNNNNNNNNNNNNNNNNNNNNNNNNNNNNNNNNNNNNNNNNNNNNNNNNNNNNNNNNNNNNNNNNNNNNNNNNNNNNNNNNNNNNNNNNNNNNNNNNNNNNNNNNNNNNNNNNNNNNNNNNNNNNNNNNNNNNNNNNNNNNNNNNNNNNNNNNNNNNNNNNNNNNNNNNNNNNNNNNNNNNNNNNNNNNNNNNNNNNNNNNNNNNNNNNNNNNNNNNNNNNNNNNNNNNNNNNNNNNNNNNNNNNNNNNNNNNNNNNNNNNNNNNNNNNNNNNNNNNNNNNNNNNNNNNNNNNNNNNNNNNNNNNNNNNNNNNNNNNNNNNNNNNNNNNNNNNNNNNNNNNNNNNNNNNNNNNNNNNNNNNNNNNNNNNNNNNNNNNNNNNNNNNNNNNNNNNNNNNNNNNNNNNNNNNNNNNNNNNNNNNNNNNNNNNNNNNNNNNNNNNNNNNNNNNNNNNNNNNNNNNNNNNNNNNNNNNNNNNNNNNNNNNNNNNNNNNNNNNNNNNNNNNNNNNNNNNNNNNNNNNNNNNNNNNNNNNNNNNNNNNNNNNNNNNNNNNNNNNNNNNNNNNNNNNNNNNNNNNNNNNNNNNNNNNNNNNNNNNNNNNNNNNNNNNNNNNNNNNNNNNNNNNNNNNNNNNNNNNNNNNNNNNNNNNNNNNNNNNNNNNNNNNNNNNNNNNNNNNNNNNNNNNNNNNNNNNNNNNNNNNNNNNNNNNNNNNNNNNNNNNNNNNNNNNNNNNNNNNNNNNNNNNNNNNNNNNNNNNNNNNNNNNNNNNNNNNNNNNNNNNNNNNNNNNNNNNNNNNNNNNNNNNNNNNNNNNNNNNNNNNNNNNNNNNNNNNNNNNNNNNNNNNNNNNNNNNNNNNNNNNNNNNNNNNNNNNNNNNNNNNNNNNNNNNNNNNNNNNNNNNNNNNNNNNNNNNNNNNNNNNNNNNNNNNNNNNNNNNNNNNNNNNNNNNNNNNNNNNNNNNNNNNNNNNNNNNNNNNNNNNNNNNNNNNNNNNNNNNNNNNNNNNNNNNNNNNNNNNNNNNNNNNNNNNNNNNNNNNNNNNNNNNNNNNNNNNNNNNNNNNNNNNNNNNNNNNNNNNNNNNNNNNNNNNNNNNNNNNNNNNNNNNNNNNNNNNNNNNNNNNNNNNNNNNNNNNNNNNNNNNNNNNNNNNNNNNNNNNNNNNNNNNNNNNNNNNNNNNNNNNNNNNNNNNNNNNNNNNNNNNNNNNNNNNNNNNNNNNNNNNNNNNNNNNNNNNNNNNNNNNNNNNNNNNNNNNNNNNNNNNNNNNNNNNNNNNNNNNNNNNNNNNNNNNNNNNNNNNNNNNNNNNNNNNNNNNNNNNNNNNNNNNNNNNNNNNNNNNNNNNNNNNNNNNNNNNNNNNNNNNNNNNNNNNNNNNNNNNNNNNNNNNNNNNNNNNNNNNNNNNNNNNNNNNNNNNNNNNNNNNNNNNNNNNNNNNNNNNNNNNNNNNNNNNNNNNNNNNNNNNNNNNNNNNNNNNNNNNNNNNNNNNNNNNNNNNNNNNNNNNNNNNNNNNNNNNNNNNNNNNNNNNNNNNNNNNNNNNNNNNNNNNNNNNNNNNNNNNNNNNNNNNNNNNNNNNNNNNNNNNNNNNNNNNNNNNNNNNNNNNNNNNNNNNNNNNNNNNNNNNNNNNNNNNNNNNNNNNNNNNNNNNNNNNNNNNNNNNNNNNNNNNNNNNNNNNNNNNNNNNNNNNNNNNNNNNNNNNNNNNNNNNNNNNNNNNNNNNNNNNNNNNNNNNNNNNNNNNNNNNNNNNNNNNNNNNNNNNNNNNNNNNNNNNNNNNNNNNNNNNNNNNNNNNNNNNNNNNNNNNNNNNNNNNNNNNNNNNNNNNNNNNNNNNNNNNNNNNNNNNNNNNNNNNNNNNNNNNNNNNNNNNNNNNNNNNNNNNNNNNNNNNNNNNNNNNNNNNNNNNNNNNNNNNNNNNNNNNNNNNNNNNNNNNNNNNNNNNNNNNNNNNNNNNNNNNNNNNNNNNNNNNNNNNNNNNNNNNNNNNNNNNNNNNNNNNNNNNNNNNNNNNNNNNNNNNNNNNNNNNNNNNNNNNNNNNNNNNNNNNNNNNNNNNNNNNNNNNNNNNNNNNNNNNNNNNNNNNNNNNNNNNNNNNNNNNNNNNNNNNNNNNNNNNNNNNNNNNNNNNNNNNNNNNNNNNNNNNNNNNNNNNNNNNNNNNNNNNNNNNNNNNNNNNNNNNNNNNNNNNNNNNNNNNNNNNNNNNNNNNNNNNNNNNNNNNNNNNNNNNNNNNNNNNNNNNNNNNNNNNNNNNNNNNNNNNNNNNNNNNNNNNNNNNNNNNNNNNNNNNNNNNNNNNNNNNNNNNNNNNNNNNNNNNNNNNNNNNNNNNNNNNNNNNNNNNNNNNNNNNNNNNNNNNNNNNNNNNNNNNNNNNNNNNNNNNNNNNNNNNNNNNNNNNNNNNNNNNNNNNNNNNNNNNNNNNNNNNNNNNNNNNNNNNNNNNNNNNNNNNNNNNNNNNNNNNNNNNNNNNNNNNNNNNNNNNNNNNNNNNNNNNNNNNNNNNNNNNNNNNNNNNNNNNNNNNNNNNNNNNNNNNNNNNNNNNNNNNNNNNNNNNNNNNNNNNNNNNNNNNNNNNNNNNNNNNNNNNNNNNNNNNNNNNNNNNNNNNNNNNNNNNNNNNNNNNNNNNNNNNNNNNNNNNNNNNNNNNNNNNNNNNNNNNNNNNNNNNNNNNNNNNNNNNNNNNNNNNNNNNNNNNNNNNNNNNNNNNNNNNNNNNNNNNNNNNNNNNNNNNNNNNNNNNNNNNNNNNNNNNNNNNNNNNNNNNNNNNNNNNNNNNNNNNNNNNNNNNNNNNNNNNNNNNNNNNNNNNNNNNNNNNNNNNNNNNNNNNNNNNNNNNNNNNNNNNNNNNNNNNNNNNNNNNNNNNNNNNNNNNNNNNNNNNNNNNNNNNNNNNNNNNNNNNNNNNNNNNNNNNNNNNNNNNNNNNNNNNNNNNNNNNNNNNNNNNNNNNNNNNNNNNNNNNNNNNNNNNNNNNNNNNNNNNNNNNNNNNNNNNNNNNNNNNNNNNNNNNNNNNNNNNNNNNNNNNNNNNNNNNNNNNNNNNNNNNNNNNNNNNNNNNNNNNNNNNNNNNNNNNNNNNNNNNNNNNNNNNNNNNNNNNNNNNNNNNNNNNNNNNNNNNNNNNNNNNNNNNNNNNNNNNNNNNNNNNNNNNNNNNNNNNNNNNNNNNNNNNNNNNNNNNNNNNNNNNNNNNNNNNNNNNNNNNNNNNNNNNNNNNNNNNNNNNNNNNNNNNNNNNNNNNNNNNNNNNNNNNNNNNNNNNNNNNNNNNNNNNNNNNNNNNNNNNNNNNNNNNNNNNNNNNNNNNNNNNNNNNNNNNNNNNNNNNNNNNNNNNNNNNNNNNNNNNNNNNNNNNNNNNNNNNNNNNNNNNNNNNNNNNNNNNNNNNNNNNNNNNNNNNNNNNNNNNNNNNNNNNNNNNNNNNNNNNNNNNNNNNNNNNNNNNNNNNNNNNNNNNNNNNNNNNNNNNNNNNNNNNNNNNNNNNNNNNNNNNNNNNNNNNNNNNNNNNNNNNNNNNNNNNNNNNNNNNNNNNNNNNNNNNNNNNNNNNNNNNNNNNNNNNNNNNNNNNNNNNNNNNNNNNNNNNNNNNNNNNNNNNNNNNNNNNNNNNNNNNNNNNNNNNNNNNNNNNNNNNNNNNNNNNNNNNNNNNNNNNNNNNNNNNNNNNNNNNNNNNNNNNNNNNNNNNNNNNNNNNNNNNNNNNNNNNNNNNNNNNNNNNNNNNNNNNNNNNNNNNNNNNNNNNNNNNNNNNNNNNNNNNNNNNNNNNNNNNNNNNNNNNNNNNNNNNNNNNNNNNNNNNNNNNNNNNNNNNNNNNNNNNNNNNNNNNNNNNNNNNNNNNNNNNNNNNNNNNNNNNNNNGGGGGGGGGGGGGUGUUCUGGGACAAUAGGGUGCUGCAGUUGGAGGAAAUGGAGGUGGGCAAUUAUUCAGUUUCUUGCCGGUUCAAGAAUGUUGAGGAUGGUUUUUGCUGGGCGUUUUCAGGAGUUUAUGGGCCCUUUGUGAAGGUGGAGAAAGAGGAGUUUCUGAGCGAAUUGGGGGCCAUCAAAGGGCUGUGGAACGAACCGUGGUGUGUUGCUGGCGACUUCAACAUGAUAAGAUUCCCUACUGAGCGGAGCCGAGGAGGUCGCCUGUCCCCAUCAAUGCGGAGAUUCACAGAAGUGAUCGAGGAGUUAGAGUUAAGGGAUUUGCCCCUUCAGGGGGGGAUGUUCACGUGGAGUGGAGGUUUUAAUAAUCUCUUAAAAUUCAGAAUUGACCGGUUUCUUAUCUCUGAAGAUUGGGAAGCUCAUUUCCGGGAGUGUAUUCAAGGUGUUUUGGCUAGACCAGUAUCGGAUCAUUCUCCAAUUAUUCUUGAUGGAGGGGGGAUGAGGAGAGGGCCCACACCUUUCAGAUUUGAGAACAUGUGGUUGAAGGAGGAAGGCUUCAAAGAGGUGCUGAGGAAAUGGUGGGAGGGGAUCCAGGUUAGUGGGACAGCCAGUUACAUUUUGAGCGAGAAAUUAAAGGCUUUAAAGCCGACUCUGAAAAAAUGGAACACAGAGGUUUUCGGACAGAUUAAGGUUAAGAAGCAAGAGGCUUGGAAUUCAUUGGAUUUCUGGGACAAGGAAGAGAGGGUUCGCGAAUUGUCCUUGGAAGAGGAAGAAGCUAGGAAGGAGGCAAGAGAGAUGUAUAAGAAGUGGGUCCUUUUAGAAGAAACGUCAUGGAGGCAGAAGUCCAGGGAAAUUUGGCUGAAAGAGGGGGAUAGAAAUACAAGGUUUUUUCAUCAGAUGGCUAAUGCUCAUAGAAGAAGGAAUCAGAUGAAUAGAGUCAAAGUGAACGGGAGAUGGUAUAAUGAGGAAAGGGAGAUCAAAGAGGUGGUGUGCAGGGUGUACCAGGGGUUGUUGGCAGACCCGGGGGGGGUGGAAGCCUAGGAUAGAUGCUUUGAUGUUUGAAAGGUUGGAAGAGGGGGAUGUGGAGGGGCUGAAGAAGCCUUUCAUGGAGGAGGAGGUUUUUAGGGCUUUGUCAGGCUGUUGUGGCGAGAAAGCGCCAGGCCCUGACGGUUUUUCAAUGGCUUUUUGGCAAUUUUCGUGGGAUUUUGUUAAAGAAGAGGUCAUGAACUUCUUUAGGCAAUUCCAUGAGACCGGGAGCUUUGUAAGAAGUUUGAAUGCAACUUUCCUAGUGUUGAUUCCUAAGAAAGGGGGGGCAGAGGACUUGAAGGAUUUUAGGCCAAUUAGCUUGGUGGGAGGGUUGUAUAAGUGGCUAGCUAAGGUGUUGGCUAAUAGAAUGAAGGGUGUCUUAGCCAAGGUCAUCUCAACGUCCCAAAACGCUUUCGUGGAGGGACGACAGAUUAUGGACGCAGUGCUGGUCGCUAAUGAGGCAAUUGACUCCAUUGUGAAAAGCAAUAGAGGGGCGAUUCUUUGUAAAUUAGACAUUGAGAAAGCCUAUGAUCACGUGGAUUGGGAUUUUCUCUUAGCAGUGAUGGAGAAGAUGGGGUUUGGGGAAAGAUGGUGCAGGUGGAUAAAGUGGUGUCUAUCCACUGUUAGGUACUCAGUUAUGGUGAAUGGAAGCCCUAGGGGUUUUUUCCAAAGCUCAAGGGGGUUAAGGCAAGGAGACCCCUUGUCGCCGUACCUUUUUGUAGUGGUGAUGGAGGCUUUCAGUGUUUUGAUAAAGAAGGCAGUGGCUGGGGGGUUUUUGGUGCCUUGUUUGAUUCGGGGAGGAAGAGGCGAAGGGGUCCAGAUAUCACAUUUGUUGUUUGCUGAUGAUACGCUGAUAUUUUGUGAAGCAAAGGAGGAUCAAUUAUUGUAUAUGGGCUGGUUGUUAAUGUGGUUUGAGGCAAUUUCAGGGUUAAGAGUAAAUCUGGAGAAAAGUGAGCUGAUUCCGGUUGGUAGAGUUGAGAAUGUGGAUGAGUUGGCUGAUGAGUUUGGUUAUAGGGUGGGAAAACUGCCUUCCACUUAUUUAGGAAUGCCGUUAGGUGCCCUGUUUAAAAGUGUUGCAGCGUGGGAUGGAAUAGAAGAAAGAUUCAAAAAGAAAUUGGCUAUGUGGAAACGUCAGUACAUUUCAAAAGGGGAGAGGAUUACUCUAGUGCGUAGUACAUUGUCAAAUUUACCGAUUUAUUUUAUGUCGAUUUUCCAGAUGCCUAGAGUGGUUAGAAUCAGAUUGGAGAAGAUUCAAAGGGACUUUUUGUGGGGUGGCGGGGCUCUAGUGCAAAAACCACAUUUGGUAAAGUGGUCAAUUGUUUGUUUAGACAAAAGAAGCGGAGGGUUGGGGGUUAAGAGUCUUGGGGCCUUCAAUAGGGCUCUCCUUGGCAAAUGAGUGUGGCUUUUUGCAAAUGAAAGAAAGGCUCUGUGGAACCAAGUGAUCAGAGGGAAAUACGAGGAGAAAAGAGGAGGGUGGAGAUCUUGUGAGUCUAGGGAGGCCUACGGGUUUGGGUUGUGGAAGGCAAUAAGUAAAAUGGGACAUCAAGUGACCCCUUUUGUUGGCUUUGUGGUGGGUGAUGGUGAGAAAGUGAAGUUUUGGAAAGAUAAAUGGUGUGAAACCAUCCCUUUGAGCGAGCCUUUUCCUUCUUUAUUUGCUUUAGCUUCGAACAAAGAGGCUUGGGUAAAUGAAGUGUGGACAGCCGAGGGGGAAUGGGGGGGAAGUUGGAACCCUUGUUUCAAUAGACCUUUCAACGAUUGGGAGUUGGAAGAAGUGGAAAGGCUAUUUUGUUGCUUGGAGGGGAAGAAGGUUAGGGGGGAUGAGGAGGAUAAGGUGAAGUGGAUGACAUCAAAGGAUGGGGAUUUCUCGGUGAAAUCUUUGUAUAGGACUAUGCAGCCGGGGUCGCUUGCUUUUUUCCCUUCAAAAAUUAUAUGGAACUCUUGUGUGCAGCCCAAAUUGAGCUUUUUUGCGUGGGAGGCUUCUUGGGGGAGAGUUCUAACCUUGGAUCGCUUGCAAAAGAGAGGUUGGGUUAUGGCAAAUAGAUGUUUUCUUUGCCAUAAGAGUGAGGAGACAAUUGAUCACCUUCUUAUCCAUUGUGAAAAAACGAGGGAAGUAUGGAUGGUGUUCCUUUCCUUUUUUGGUGUUUCGUGGGUUUUCCCCCGUUCGGUCAAGGAAACCCUUUUAGGGUGGAGGGGGUCUUUUGUGGGAAAGAAAAGGAAGGUGGCGUGGCAUUUGGGACCGUUAUGCUUGUUUUGGGUUAUUUGGAAGGCUAGAAAUUCAAUUGCAUUUGAGGAUUGUGAGCUGUCCAUUCAAAGGUUGAAAGCAUCUUUUGUGUAUUUUUUGUGGUCGGAAUCCAAAUUGUGGAUAAAAGAUGGUCCUUCGACCUUAAUAGAUUUUAUAGACUGGGUGUGUAUGCGUUAAGGGAGAGGUUUUUUUGUUUUGCCUUGUCCUUUGAUGUUUGGGCCCUUUUGUAAGGGGGUAAGUCCCUUUAUACUGUAAUUUGGUGGGUCGCUUCUUUAGCGCCUCUUUCCAAUACAAUCUUAUACUUAUUGAUCAAAAAAAAAAAUGAUCUUAUUGUCAUUUUUUCUCUUCUUCCAUUCUCUAUAGAAAAAUGACGCACAAUACAUAUUAAGAGUUAACAACUAUGGCUAUUAUGAUAUUGUUGUCGUUUUUUUUCUGCUUCCAUUCUCCACUGUCCUAAUAUAUAUAUUUUAACUCUGUAUUUUAUAGGUUAAUGUGAAUGGUGGAGUGUCCUUAAAGCAUAAACUAUCAGGUCACCAAAAACCUGUAUCUCAUGUUUCAUGGAGCCCUGAUGACCGUCAACUCCUCACCUGUGGUGUAGAGGAGGCUGUCAGGUGCUGGGAUGUCUCUUCUGGUGAAUGCCUCCGCAUUUAUGAAAAAGCUGGUGUUGGCCUUGUCUCCUGUGGAUGGUCUCCUGAUGGGAAAUGGGUGUUCGCUGGCAUUACUGAUAGGAGCAUCUGCAUGUGGGAUUUGGAUGGGAAAGAGUUGGAAUGUUGGAAGGGGCAACGAACUCUUCAGAUUUCUGACUUGGAAAUAGCAAGCAAUGGGAAUCAGAUUAUGAGUAUAUGUAAAGAUACUGCUAUACUAUUAUUUGACAGGGAAGCAAAAGCUGAGAAAUUUAUCGAGGAGGAUCACACAAUUACUUCAUUCUCAUUAUCAAGGGAUUGCAGGUUCCUUCUGGUGAACCUUCUUAACCAAGAAAUCCAUCUAUGGAACAUCGAAGGUGAGGCCAAGUUUAUUGCCAAGUACAAAGGUCACAAACGAGAACGAUUUAUCAUUAGGUCCUGUUUCGGUGGUUUUGAGGAAGCUUUUAUUGCUAGCGGUAGUGAGGACUCACAGGUACUGUUUUUAGUUUUACUCUAGAUGUUUAACACAUUAGGAGUAAGGUUGUCCUUGAUUAUGAUCAAUAGCUUCUUUUUUGUUUUUUUUUUUUUUUGGGUGGAAUUAAUUGUGUAAUUAUUUUGAUUUUGUUAUUGCUUGGUUGUGUAUUUUGUGGAUUAUUGAUAAAGUUCUGUUUUUGGACAUAUCAACAAGAGUAUAUGGCCUUUGUGGAAGCCACAACAGCUUCUGACUGAGCAAAACAAUAGUUUUGGGUCAUGCUCAAAAUAAUUACAUUGCUUGAAUAUGUUAGUAGUCCUUUCAUGUGAUAUGCUUUGUCAAAAUAUUCCAGAGCUAUGGUCCUAUUUUUUAAUCCUGCUUCGUUUCAAAACUGAGUGAUUCCUCAUUUCAAAAAUUGUUGCAUUUCAUUUGUUAAGUUACCAAUUGGUCUAAAAGCUUAGCUAUGAGGUAGUAGACUCACUGUGUAUACCAAGUUUACACAUGCCAGCCCAUACAACAUGUGGAGAGGUAAAUCACAUUACAAAUUAUGAAGGAAUGGAUUGGAGAAUAAACAGAAGGUGAGACUCAAACUCAAGACCCCUAGUUAAUAAGAGCUUUGAGACAAUGUUAAAUUCACUCGACCUACAAGCAUAUGCUACUAGGCAGUGAACCUGCAACAUAUAACAGGCUAACAUGUUUGAUUUGGUCAAAUAUUCUACAUUUGGACUGAUUGGCCAAAACAAUUUAUAAUUCUCCAGUAUGAUUUUUACACUAUUGAUCUUUAUCAAGGUUGUAUUUAUUCAUUAUUAUUUCUUUUUCUAAUGUGUUAAAGAAAACUUUUUCAAAUGUUGUUUUUGCAAAUUUUGUCUGUAAAGGUACCCCUAAUGCAAUUUUUGUCUCUGUGUCCAAGAUAUUUGAGCAACAGUUUUUAAGCUGAAAGGGUUAGAAACCUAGCUUGUUUCUGUGCAUGUGUGGGUGCAUGGUGUCUACUAAUUUGAAAAUAUCUUCUGCUGUAUUUUCCAUGGAUGCUUUGAGAAAUAGAAAAAAAGAAUCAACUCUCAAUUUGCAUUAAUUCUUGAACACAUGAAUCUACAAUAUAAAUUCAACAGUAUGCUAAGCAUGAUUCCAUUUUAGGGAAUACUCCUUGGCUCUGUUUUGGAUUUAUGUAAAGUAGUGUAGGCAAAGGAAAAAAAGUCGGGAAGGGAUCAAUAUCAUCUUGUUAAGCUUAUGGUGGAAGAGUGAACAAGAAAAGGGUUUCUGUUUAGGUAGGAUCGGUGGAUAUGGUCCAAUGACUUAAGCUUGGCCAGCUUCUUGUCGACUGAACUCUAUUUAGGCUUUUAGUUGUUUUGGGGCGGGAUAGUCAAAAUUUUCUUCACCACCAAGGGCAAUGGAGUUUGUUCUCAUCUUGGAGCAAGUUUGCCAGCGUGGCCUCAUUUUCUACUUUUAAUUAGUCUUUCUUCCCUUGACAAUAGAAUUGAUAUCUAUGACCACCCUUCAUUGGAAAGAUAACCGUUUUUCCACUGAUAGUGGUUGUAGAGCAGGAACCAUGGAUCAUUCAUCAGGAAGCAGUGGAGAAAGAAUGUCUUCUGAGAUCUCUUUGAUGGUUUAGCUUGACUUUGUUCAUUUCGCACUUUGCCUCCCCUUUGUUGUGUGGUGAGUUGUGUCCUGUUGAUUCUGAGGAGUUGCAUGUCUUUGGUUUACGUGUCCUGUUGAUUCUGAGGAUUUGCAUGUCUUUGCUUUACGUGUCCUGUUCAUUCUGAGGAUUUGCAUCAGAUAGGUUGAUCUAGAAUAUUCUCUAUCUAUUCUUCGUCUUUUCUUGUUCUUUUUUUUCAACCUUUUGAACCCAAGUGAUGGGUGAUUGUCUUAAGAAGGAUUUCAUAAGAAGAAUUGAUACAGUUGGACAGUAGAUGGGAGACAGAAAGUUCUGCUGUAAAAUGUCUCAUUGUUUUGGAUUCGGUCUUCUGUUAUUUUGCUUUUUUGAUUCUAAGAGCAUGAGCAUGAUCCUUUCUCUGUCUUUUCACCCGAAGGAAAUGAAUGUUUUGUUCCCAUUUUUGCAGGUAUAUAUUUGGCACAAAAGCUCUGGAGAGCUGAUAGAGGUCUUGCCAGGUCAUUCUGGAUCUGUUAACUGUGUUAGCUGGAAUCCAGCCAACCCCCACAUGUUGGCAUCAGCCAGUGAUGACCGAACAAUUCGAAUAUGGGGCUUAAAUAAGAUAAACAUGAAGCGCAAGGGCACACACCCAAAUGGUACCCACUAUUGCAAUGGAGGAACUUAAAAGAGAUGAAAAAACCAUGGUAUCUUUGGUUAUUUAAUAGGUCUUUCUUGACCAUUGCUUUAUGUAAAUACUUUAUCCUCAUCUCAAUCUGACAUUCAUAUCAAACAAGCAUGUGAAUUGUGCAGCUUCUUGUGAUAAUAAAUCAUCUACUGCUUCAUUUCUAUAUUUGAUUAAUUGAUCAAUUGAUUAUUAGUUAGUUUUGAAAAAAGGGUUUAACAGAGCCGAAUCCUGAAACAAUGAGGCAAAGCUCAGAUGCUGAUUUAUUUUCUAGGGUUUUGUAUAUAUCUACUCUCUAUCUAUGCCUUCUCGUGCCUGCAAAUUCCUUUUCUGCUUAACUUAUUUAGUAGGAUGUUUGUUUUUAUGGGAAAGUGACUUGUUAGUGAACAUAUAUCCUCAUUUUUAGUGUAGCAAAUGAGAGUAUCUCUCGCUUGCAUAUUUGUUUUAAAUGUCUCAAGACCUUUAUUUUAUAUGAUCUCAGGGAGGCUGCCCAUUUUUAUGUUUUUAUUUUUGUUCUUUUGAAGUAGUAGAACUCGUUAGGAAUCUCAUUUGGCGUUGCUGCUUUAUCUGUAGUGUACUUCUAUCACCUUUUAAGGAUCGAUCUGCUAUAUAUUUUUGUUCUUUUACUUAAAUAAUAUUUAUGAACACCUUUAUGAUACUAGUGUAAGAAAAUAACAAUCCAUAUGGGAUUGACCCUAGUAUCCACUGGAUUAUAAUUUAAAGCCUUGCAUUUAGGAAUCUGACACUUUUUGGUGCACAACCAAAACCCAACCAAUGGUCCUAUCUGUAAAAAUAAUAACCUUGAGAUCCUCUUUGAUUUCCUAUGAACUAAUAUACCUUUUAGGUAAAGGAGGUAAGACAGUCUCUAAGUAAUAUCCCCAAAAGGAUAUGAGAAGUGAUGAAAAAUUCAUCAUCGAUCGUAGUGUGUUUAUCAAAGUUUGAUUUCUUCUUUACAUUACUCCACUUUAUGAUAUUGUCCUAGGUGCACACAAAUGAAAUAUAAUCCCAUGCUUCGUAAGGAAAGAAACGAACUUACUAGAUCCAAACUCACCACUUUGAUAUGAUCAAAGUCCCUUUAUAUGUUUACUUAAUAGGUUCUCAAAGGUACACCUUGAAUUCAAUGAAUUUAUCCAAUGCAUCAGAUUUUACACAUAUCCACACCUAGAAUAAUCAUCAAUAAAAGUGAUAGAGUAUCUAUCCCCCUUGCAUGAACGCUAAAAGUUCCACACAUGUUAGUAUGCAUUAACUUUAAACAUCCUAUGGUUCUAUAUAGGAUUAUAGACUAAAAGUUCUUUUGGAAUUAAAAUGUCUAAUGUCUCGGACAUCCAAUUUUUAGAUUUUGUUUAGAUUAAUAAAACUUAGGCUUAGAUACAAAAUGUUUUAUUAGUUAUAGGUUCUUUCCUUUUUAGUGAGAUUUGACUAUUCCCAUUACUUGACAAAAAUGGCAAUAGAGUAAUACAUGGAAGAAGUAGUAUCUCCAACUAACUUGCACAAUUAAGCUUACAACUAAAGCUAAGGUGAGUACAUGUCUAUCAUGCAACCUUCUCACUUAUUGAAGGCAAAGAACUACAGAUAGUGGGAUGCAGGAGCUCCCAAGAUGCCUUAAGAACUACUUGGAGUGCUUGAGCGUCUUGCUUGAGCGUUUGAUGAUUGCACCAAAAAACUCACCUUUAUAGACAGGUUCCUCACCAUGGAUGUCAUUGAAUGUCUAGAAUGCAAUCUUCUUUUUCUUGGGUUAAAAGGAUAGAUUAAAAAAACUAUAUUCUUACAAUAAAGGAAAAAACCUAUGUUCCUUCUAAACGGAGCCUACAACCCAUCUAAGAAUUAAAAUAACUAAUAUUUCUCAAUCACAAUAAAAAUCCUAUACUCCUUAUAAAGUGUUCAACCUAAUAUAAGAGAACGAACAAUUUAAAACAUCCAUAAUCACAUUCAAGAUUUAAAUAACAUAUAUUCAUCCCAAGGUCAUGGGAUGAAAAAGAAACCUUGCAACAUGUGAGCACUCCUUAGGAAAGGUUCUAGCAUGUCUUUCCAUAACCUAUGGCUCUCAUACUAGUUGUUGGAAUAUUUGAAUUGGUCCAUUCCAAGCCUUGGAUCAUUGGAGUGAAUGCAAAACUAUCCUAAGAAUCUCUAGAUCUAUGCAACAAAAGCAUAUACAGGAAAAACUAUAGAUCUAUAUACUUAGAGAAAUAUAUCUAUGAUUCAAUUCCAAUCGUUUUAUCAACUAUGUGUGCGCUUUAGACUUGCUAAUAUAACUUAAACCUCUUUUCUACAUAUGUUUCCUUUCUAAAUCAUGUUAGUAAAAAAUUUUGAACUAGGGUAAAAUAUUUCAUUAUGGCUCCAUAAAUUCUUUUUAGUUGAUUUAUCUCCAAAGAAAGUGAUUAAUUUUUUUAUCAUGACAUUAUGGUCUUUAGAUUCAAAAAACUAAUAUUUUUUCAAACAAAUUACCCUUUUCAUUCAUAAGUUCCAUUGAAAAUAUAUUAAAGGGCUUUAGCAUUGGCUCAACCCCAUAUUAUUUAACUUAUCCUAUUCUUUUUUGGGUUUCAAUUCAUUGGUUAACCUAUCAUUCUUAUCAAUAGUAAUUGGGGUAACCACCCAUAUUCUAGCAUGUUCCAACCUCUUACACCUUGCAUUUUUUUUUUAUUUAAAAAAAAAUCAAUUCAGGGUUUUCAAUAGGGAGAUUUUCUCAUUAAAGAAUGAUAUAUAGUUUAUGGAUUUUCCACUUCUUUAGGGUUCUAUUGAUCUAGGAAUCGAAAAUAAUAAUUAUUAUGUUUAAAAUCUCACCUAUGCUAAUAGCACUUGAAAACAUUUGUCUUGAUUAGUGAAACAACCUAGAGAGGGUUGAAUAGGUUGUCAAAACGAGAUAUCCAAAAAUUUAUAGUUUUUAUAUAGAUUUAAAAAAAAAAUAAACAUAUAUAUAUAUAAUGAGAAAAAGUUGAUCAAUCUCACACAUAGUAAUAAUUAAUUACACAGUUGAGCACAAGAUUUAAUGUAGAAAAACUACCUACCGAGUCUCAAAACCAAAAUGUAAAAAACUAGGGAUCCUCAAUUGACCACAAACAAGUUACUAAAUUUAAAAUAAAGAUACACAAUUUUACCUAAUCCAAAUGCAACUACUUCUCAGGGUCUUAUAUUGAUCCACACCUACACUAUUUUUUUAGGUUUUCAAUGCAACACCUUGUGCUCUUUCAUGGAAUAACCUCAUGCUAAGGCUAUCGAUCAAACAGUUUUUUGAAAAGACCUUUCAAAAUUGCCCUUACAAGAUUGAGAGAUGAAGUACUAAAGCAAAGAGAUAGCUAUUUUGAAACUCCAAAAAGUCAAGUAUUUAUAUGUAACACCUAGGAUAAAAACAAUUCAAACUUUAAUUUUACAAAAAUAUCCCAAAAUAUGCAAAUAUAAAAAAAUAAAAUAAAAAUGAAAAGUAUGUCUAAUGUUUGAAUUCCCCAUAGGGGACAUUUGAACAUUGAGGGUGCUAUUUGAACACUCAUUUUGGAGUGUUUGAAUGCUUUGCCCAUCUUCAAUUUUCCAACUUCAUUUUUCUAUCCAUCUUAUGAAUAUAAUAUAAUCAUUUCUUAAGUUACUAAUAACGUCAAAUGCAUACAUACCUAAAAAAUCGACUCUGAAAUCACUUAAAGUUGAUUGGGAUCGGUAAGACCCUUAAAAGUAGAAUGCAUUGGACUAAGUGAGCAAUGGAAUAAACUUGUCAAUUUAAUACUAAUACAUCAACAAUCGUAUUUUAUAUACAAAGAAAAUACUCAAUAUAUAAAGGAAGUGUACAAGACAUUGCUUUUUGGUGCACAAACGUAUAAAUGUCCAUGAAACUAUAUGAUAUGUAUAAUUAAACAUCAGAUCAUCUCAUUUAUACCUUUAUUGCAUAUCAAGCAAACCUUUAUACAUGUAUAAGCUAUAUAAAUGGCGAUUAUAAUGUAUGUAUAAGACAACUACACUAAAUUUAUAAUACAUUUAUAACUUACAUUAUAUUUCUGAAACAGUCACGCGAUAUAUAUCCGCCAAUAAUAAUAAUAGUAAUAAUAAUAAUAAUAUUACAUUUUUGAAUCAGUCAUGCGAUAUAUGUCCACCAAUUAUAAUAAUAAUCUAAUAAAAAAUUACAACAUAACAAUAAUAGUAAUUUUAAUACUAACAAUAUUGAUGUUAUAAAUAACAAAUUAAAUAAUAAUAAUAAUAAUAAUAAUAAUAACAAUAUUACAUUUCUGAAUCAGUCAUGCAAUAUAUGUCCACCAAUAAUAAUAAUAAUAAUAAUAAUAAUAAUAAUAAUAAUAUUACAUUUCUGAAUCAAUCAUGCAAUAUAUGUCCACCAAUAAUAAUAAUAAUCUAAUAAAAAAUUAGAACAUAGCAAUAAUAGUAAUUUUAAUACUAACAAUAUUGAUGUUAUAAAUAACAAACUAAAUAAUAAUAAUAAUAAUAAUAAUAUGAAAUAGAAAAAGAAAGAGGAAUAAAAUUAUAAAAAACAAAAUUGAAAUGCUAGAAAAAGCCAAAAAAAGAAAGAAAAAAGAAGAUAAUUUAGGUAUUUUCAAAUGUCAAAUGAUUUGAGGAGUCAAAUAUUUUUAAGAAUAAUUUAAUAAAAUUAAUAGAUUAUGGGUGAAUUUAUCGGUCUUUGAUAUCUAAAUAUACUUAGUAAUAAUUUUAAAAAAUUUGAGUGGAUCGUAUAUAUGCCCACGAACAAUUGAGAAAUGUUCUGAUCAGAACCCGUUUCCAAAGAAUUCCAACUGGUCAGUCUUUUUACUCAUUAAUGGUUCUAAGUUUUUCCAUGACAUUAAUUUUCUUUUCUGUUUAUUUGUACCCUAAACCAGGCAUUUUAUUCUCUUGCUAAUCAAACUCAAAAACUCCACAAUCCAUAAAAUAUUCUAGCAAUGAAGACUGUCCUUGGGCACGCCUUUCCCUAGUCUGUGUUAAAAAUAUUAAAAACAUUUUCUAUUAUUACUGUCAAACGCACUUUUAAGAUACAUUUUUCUUCAAAAGUGUUUUUAAGUCCAAAAAAUACUACAAAUAAUUUUUUAACACUAUAAAUAAUUUGUUAGACUUUUAAAAGUGAUUUCUAAAAUUUGUUAAACACCUAAUUUUUGUUUUAAAAAACACUUAUAAGCUAAAAACUUUUCCAAAAUCACUGUCAAACAAGCUUUAUUCCUUUUUGAGUUUGAAUUAAGCUCUCAUAUUAAUCAGUUCUGUUGCUUCUUUGAUGAUGAUCCAAACAUGGUACAAACUCACAUGAUUGGUAUAUGGAAAUGGAGUUUUGAGGAAAUAGUUCAAUUUAUACCAGCAUGUGUGUGGAUGUGUUCUGUUUGAGGAGAGAAAAAGAGGGUCUUUAUAGGCUUAAGAAACGUUGGAAUAUCCACACAAAAUUCCUCCCAAAUUAACCAUCUCUAGUGCUUUAGACGUCUUAAAACAAACAUCAUAUUUCUUCAGGUGAUUUACAUACAAACCCACAUUAAUCCAUUAAGCAAUACUGAAGGAACUUGCAGUGCUCUCAACGUACUUCCUUGCUCCCUUAAACCAUCUCUUGUCCCCAGCCUGUACCUUGCAAAUGUAGAGCUUUCCGUCCGCCACAGCAGCAGUAAUUAGCUGGUGUUUCCCACCUUCAUCUCCGUCAGCAGUCCUCGUCAACACCGUGAUGGUGUAGUAUGGUUUCCCACCAACUGUUGUGGUUGAACUCUCCAGUAUGUUUGCUGUUGCAACCGCAUCUGCGUCGAAACCACCCUGACCAUUUACAUGAGAAUGAGCGCACCCUGUCAUGAGAUUUGUGUGUAUUUCCAUAGCGGUGUUUGUUCAAAAAAGGCUCAGUAUGCAGAUAAGGUUUCGUGCUUAUUUGCAUACUGGUUUUUGUUGAAAAGAUGCUUCCAUAUGCAUACAGUUGUGAUGGGUGUUGAUACAAUUCCAAAUUGAAGUGAUACCCUUUAUCGGUUUUCCUAGUAACACGAAACUUGAAGAGCUUAUAGUAUUUACCUCAUUGGCAUUGCCAAAGAAGGCUUGUUUCCCCAGCAAAAAGUCCACCUGCAGAUACCCACAACCAAAGCAUAUUGAUUAGAAAACAUGGUGUCACACCAUGCCAGCAAAACUCUUACUUGGAGGUCCACAAACAGCAUAUUUGUCACAGUAGAAAAGAAAGCAAAAAAAAAAACAUCUAAACAAGGCAAACCCUGAUCCCUUCUGAGGAGAAAAACUGACAAUUGGGGAACGAGAGAAACAGAGAGUUUACUUUAGAGAGGAACUCUUCGGGUGAACCAUAGUCAGUGAUGGAUUUCUUGUCAGUUGGAGUGAUUAUGACGGAGACAUUGCUGUUGGAGUCGAAGUUGUCCUCAUAUCUCAGGACCUGUCCUGGGAAUUCCCUCUCUUUGCUUGGAUUCCACUUUGAUGGUAUCGACAAUUUGAAACCCUCUCCGUUGUAGGGCAAGAAGUCGGUGUUCGUCUUCGGUUUGCCAAAAACAUUGGCUGCAAUUUGCCAUAAUAGGGGUCAAAAGUUAAUCUCUAGAUCAUUAACACUUUUGACCUCCUUUCUAAAACUGAGAUUAUGUUCAUUGCCUUUCUGCAUUUGGGAACUUACAUAUAGUCUGAAACUAUGGAUUCCCAGUUUAAAAACAAUGGAUCGAUCCGAUUUCUAUGGUAGGCAGGCAUGUUAAAUAGAGUCAUCAACAGUAAACUCAUUCCAAAUUCAAUAAUAUAACAGGCGAUACCAGUAAAGUUGGAUUAAUUGAGCAUAAAGUAGAAGGAAAGUACCAGCUUCACCAUAGGCGGCAUCAGCAGGGUUGACCUUGGUGCCAAUGGCAGCAGCACCAAUGAGGACGGUGAGGGCCAAGCGGCGGGAGACGGCGGCGCCAUCGUCUUCAUUGGCAGCCUGCUUUUGGGCACGGCAGACUAGCUGGGAGGGUCUGAGGGAGGGGAGUUGGCGCUGUGAAGACACUCUUGUGGGGGUGGAGAGGGCGUGGUGGUGGAGGAAGCAUGCUGUGGAGGCCAUUCUUUCUGUAACGAUAUGCCCUCACUCUACACACUCUGCAAACUUGGGGGUGGUUUAUUUUUCCUUCCUUUGUUUGGAAUAUGAGAAGGGAGAAGUCGAGGGGUGUGUUCUGGUGGAUAUGUGAAGGAAAAUGGCUGGUUUUGGAUUUUGGAUGAUGGGAAGAUGAGAUUUUUGAUUGGGAUAAGGGUGUUGAGGUUCUGAUUGGUGCCAGAUGUCACUAUAAUUUUCUUCUGCUUUUCUGCCACAUCUUUGGGUCAUGGUGGGGAAGAGUGUAGAGCCUGCUGCUUUUGUCAUCAUGCUUGUUUUUUUUUUUUUUUUUUUUUUUUUUAUCAUUUUAAUUUUGUUUAAUUUUUUAUUUUUAUUUUAAAAUAUUAAAAAGAUACAUUUAUUCAAAAAUUACUAAAAAUCAAAACAAUUAAUGAAUUUCUAAUCAUUUAUAAAAUAUAAUUUUAAAUUAAAAUUAAUUUGAUAAACUAAAUUCUUAAUAUAAUUUAAUAAUUUUAAUAAAUUAAUGUCGAUACAAGUAAUUCAACUAACAACAAAAAAUUUGUCACCACAAUUUUUUAAUAAAUUUUCAGAAAUUAAAUUUCAAAUAAAAUAAUUUUUACAUAUUUCUUUUGAUUAAUUUUAUCAUAUUUUUUUUGUCAAAAUAUCCAUCAAUAUUUCCCGAUAUAUCCCGAUAUAUUCCUAAACAUCGAUAUAACCAUGACAUGACAAAAUAAUGUAGAUGGCCUUGGGUUUGUCCAAUUGGGGUUUGGCCAGUACACUCUCGAGUUCAACCAUAUCUAUUUAUUGGGCUAGUUCCUGGGCCUAGCCAGCCUAAUUGUUAGCCACAACUGGGCCGGGCCAGGCCUGGCCAAUCGGCCUGCGAAAAAGGACACAAUUUUUCAUAUUUAUUUCAAAAGAUAAUUGUCAAUUUUUGUACAUUAGUCACGUGCCCCCCUCAUGCUUUUAACUUUUCAAGGGGCAUUUUGCAGUCUUGCAGGUACGGAAAGCCCGUGCCCUUCAUCAAAGUAGUGCCUCCUUUUUGUGCUUCAUAUUUUGCUUAUUUCAUCAUAUUUUUCUUUUUUUCAACAUAUUUAUAGACUACAAAUUUUUUAUAAUUUUUUUAAAAUCCUUUUAUUUUCUCUAUUUAUUUUAAAUGUAAAAAAAUUAAUAUAUUUCUAAAUAUCCCAAAAAUCUUAGAAUUUAUUACCUUAGUGAAAAAUUUGUAAUGUAUUUUCAAAUUUAUGAAUUUGUGAUUUAAAUAUGUGUUUUAUUAUUGAGAUUAAUUAAUUAAUUUUUAAAAUUUUGAUCGGAAAAGAUCAUCAAAUCAUUAUUAUUUAUUUUUUUAAAAGUAAAAUUAUUGAUUUUAGUUGAUAUCAUAUGGGUGCCAAAGUUUUGGGAUCUAUUUACAAAAAAUUAUUGGAAUUAAUGAUAGUUUAUUUUGAUUUUACCUCCUAAGACGGACUUAGGAGGUAAAAUUUAAUAUUUAUUACUUUAUGACUUAAGUUGAUUUUAAGUUAAAUUAUAUUUAAGUUGUUAACUUAAAACUUAUUAUUUAAUUUUUACUAUGAAUAUUAAAGUUAUUUGAUAAAAUUAACUUAAAAUAUAUUUUUAAUCAUCAAAUUGAUAUAUUUAUCCUUAUAAAUUAUAAUUAGGGUAAAUGAAGUUGAGUAACACUGGAAGUGUUGAGAAAUAAAAGAGAUCAUAAAGAUAAAUAUAUGAAUUUAAAAAUAAAUUAAUUAUUUUUUACUUAUUACUUAAAGUUAUUUUUGACUUCAAGUCAUAUUAUUAAAUUAUUUUAUCAAAUAUACUUAAUUUAUUUAAUGAUUUAAAUUAAGUUAUUAAGUCACUUUAAAUUAUUAAAUUGGUUAAUGAAUUUACAUAAAAAAUUCAAAAAUAAAUUUAGUUUUAUUUUUGAUAAAAAAAAUUUGGUUUAAUUUUUUUUUAAAAAGAAAGCAAAAAAAGUGACAUUUUUCAUUAAAAAAAAAUCAUAAUUGUCUUAAAAAAAGUGAUAAAUUAUACCUCUAAAAAUAUCUCAAUCUAAUAUUUCUUGUAAUCUAUUAAAAGAUUAAAAAAUUUAUAAUUAAAAAAUUAAUUCAUAAUUUGAUCACACUCACACCAAAACCAUUUAUUAAAAAAAAAUAAAAAAUUAAUUUUAAUUAUAGUUCCUAAUACGCCAUCAUUUCCAUUUGAAAAAAAAUAAUAAAACAAAGAGUGGAAGUCUUGAAUCUUAUCAUCUUUUUUGCACUCCUAUAUAACGGUUGGUCGUUCAUAUUUAAUAUAUGUCCCUUUCUAGGGUAUGAUAUUUAAUUUUUUUUGAAAUGGUUUGCUAAGUUUGAUUGGUUGGUGCCUCACAGAUGGGUACGUGGACGGUGACGAUAGUUUUCCCUCUAAAGGAAGAUUCUUCACAUGAAAUGUACAUGUUUUCUGAAUGAUAGUUGGCUUGGCUACCGGCUAUCAAAUAUUGACAUUUAAAAAAAAAAAAUAAUAAUAAUAUAAAAAUGAGUUAAAUAUUUUUUUAAUAAAUAAUAAAAUGGUUACUUUUAUAUUAAAAAAUUAAGGGAAAAAAUGGAAAUUACGUUAAUAUACAUUAUUUAUAAAAUAUGGAUGAAAAAAUAUAAAUACAUUUUCGGAUAAUAUGAGAUGGACACUUCCGAUGCUUGUUAUUUUUUUUCAAAAUGUGUCUCGUAAAAAUGACUUACGAGUUUUAUUUUUAAUUAUAUUUUAUAAAUAAUGCACAUUUACGUAAUUCCCACCUUGAUUAUAUCAUACAAAAAUUAUAUUAUUUUUUAUUUAUUGGCAUUACGGGGUGUUAAUUAUUAUAUUAAGGAAAAAUAUGAAAAAAAUAAUUUUAAAAUAUUUAAAAUCUAAUUCGAAGAAAUUAGUAUUAAUUGUCAGCGGAUUUCAUUUCCUUGGUCCAAGGUUUGGCGGUCCACCCAAGUCCAAUGGCGGCAGAGAGACGUUUGAAAGGCAAAUUAACAAAUAUAAAAAUUUGAAAGGAGACCGUCUGCGCAGGUGAGCCGGUAUGCAUCCACCGUUCUUGAGUUGAGUCUGCGUACGCAAUUUUGGGCUGUUCAGAGGUAUUGUUCCCUCGUUGUGUCCGAUGGUCAUUUGUUGAACGAUCAAAACCCAUCUCUCUUUUCCUCUCUCAGUCUUCUCUUCCUGUUCUUCUCUUAAUUCUCGUCAACGGUCGCUGGUUUGUGCUCUCACAUUCUCAUUUUUUUUCUCUGCAAACUUAUGCAGUUUUGCUUCAUUUUUGGUGAUUUGUACUAGUGGUUUGCGCAUCAAAAUUGUGGGGUUGAUCAUGGGUAGGCUCUGUUUUGGUCUGUUUGGUUUUGAUGCUUUUUGUUCUGGGAAAUUAGUGAGAUUUGGUUUCUGGGUUGUGUGUGCGCUUUUCUGGUGGAGUUGAAGGGUUGGAUUUUCAAUUCAGGGUGAAGUUGGAUUGCCCGUACUAUUUUCGUGUAUGAAUUUAUUGCCUCUGGUUUGGGCCCUCCCACACACAUUUUCCAGUCCAUUUUAUAAAUUUUUCUUACCUUUUUUUUUUAAAAAAAUUAUUUUAUUUUUUGGUGUUGUCUCCAAGUAGUUUGUCCAUAAACAUGGUAAGAUUGAUGGGUUUUAUUUAUUUAUUUAUUUUUGGUGUUUUUGGUCUUAUGGUUGUUGGUUUUGGCAAAUUGGUAAGUCUUUCAGUUUCUGAGUAGUUGUUUCUUUUGAAGAUCUUUGGCAUUUUUUGGUGUUGGGAUGUUCAUGGUUUCGAUUGAGUUUGAAGAAUAAUUUCUUGUACUGUCUGAGUGUUUCCAAUCUGUAUGGCAUCAGGGUUAGUUUACUUUCUUUAUCUGUGAUUUUGUGCUGGUUUUGUUUGUCUUUAAUUUUUUUAAUGGUUGUUAUUGCUAUUAUUUUUUUUUUCGAUUUCAUUUUCUAUUCCUUGUUGGUCGUAUUCAGCUUUUGAUUGAAAGCUUAAAAGAGUUUGUUUUUUUUUUUUUUUUUUUUAACCAAAAAGCAAACUUUGACUGCUGCAUCUGUCAAAAAGAAUUUUUGAAGACUAUGGUUCCCAAAAGGAAAAGGAAAAAAAAUGUAAGGACAAAAAUUGUUUCUUCUUUAAUGUUUUAGACAUGAUGAUAAAAGAUAAAGAGAAAAAAAAAAAAAAAAAACUAAGGAAAAGAGGGGAGAAAUUGUUGAAAGAUUUCCCUUAAGAAAAGGUGAAGAAAGUUUGAGAAAAGUGCUUACCUCAAGAAUUUAAUUUUCUUUCUUUCAAAUGUUCAAUGGACAAUCAAACAAGAGAAAAAUUUUACAAAUUUCAUUAUUUUAUUUUAUUUUUAAUUUUUCCUAUCUAUUUUCUUUUUUUCAAGCUUUCUAGAAACCAAACAUGCCUUAAGGCUUUUAGUGCAAAAUUUUGAGAAACUCCCAUCAUUGCCUUAUAAAAAGAUUGACUUAGUUGAAUCAAGUUUUUUAUUUUAAUUUUUAAACAUUGAACAGCAGAAAACACAAGAGUUGAAGUUUUCUUUUCUUUUUGUUUUCUUCUAGUUUCUUCUAUUUUCAUAGCAACCAAAUGGAGGUUGUGUUUAGUUGGUUGGGUAUAAUUGAAAAAACCUAGGUUGGAGCAAUCGAUAAGAAUUUCUGUUCUUGCAUUAUUUACUUAGGCUUAGAGAUAUUGAAUUCUUUUCUACCUUCUUGAUUGUUAGAAUAAUACAUUUAAACUUGUUUUCUAACUUAGAAAAUACCUUUAGAAAAUUUCUGAAAACAAAUUGUUUUUUGGAAUAAAUUUUAGGCAUUUUUAAUUGUUUUUGUAUGGUGUUCUGAGCAACAAUUGAAAAUAUGGAAAAUAUUUUAAAAACUUCUGCAUUGUACAUAAGUGUGUAGUACUUUAUGGGAGCCAAGAACUUUGUUUUUCAUAUUUGAGUUCCCAAACAGAAUUUUGUUCCUGAAAACAACUUAGGACUGUUUUAAAAUACUGUUUUGUAGGAACUGUUUUUGAAAACAUUCCCAAGCAGACCCUUAUAUUCCCCCCCUCCCCGUAUGGUCGUGCGGAUGAUAAUUAUUGAAAAUUUUUGUGUGCCAAUAUAUAACAAUUGUGUCAUUUGCUAUUGAGUAUGUUCUUUUGUUGAAGCUGUCUUUAUCCUAGGAGAACCGUGGUGCAUACUUUUGUUCUGCCUUCUUGGUUUAGCUCUUUUUCUCUUUAGUGGCUGUUGUGUGUACUGAUGCCUAAACUACUAGUACUUCAUGUUGGAUUGAGGUUUGGAGACAUGAACAAAUGGAGAAAUAUAUGUUGGACAAUUCUCGUUUCCUCUAAGCCUAAUGUGAUGCAUUGGAGGUCCGGGUCAGUGGAGUCAAGAGAGUAGAAGUCUAAUAUUUGUCAAAAACCAUGGAAUAAGGGGCAAAACAUUUGAGAGGAUUUCAUGUUAACAACAAAUUUCCUUCUUCUUGAUGGCUUGGAAAUUUGUGCAGCAAAUGCUGUCAAAACAUGAAGGCAACACCUUUUUUCAUGCAUAGGCUGUUGCUCAUAGUACAUUUCAAGCCAUCCUCAAUGGGAAAGUGGGAUCUUGAUCUUCCGGUUUCACAAAUUUAAGGUGCUAAGAAUAAUUUGAGGUUUCACUCAAGAUUUAAAAUGUUAUGUCCAUAAUAAUAUCCAGGACAGAGUUUUUAUUUAUAUUGUUGACCAUUAGCUAUCAAGGUAUUUCUGUUGAGAAGUGUGAUACUGCAAAAGACUAAAACAGGAAGGAAGCUUCGUCCUAAUAUUUUGAACUUAAUAUCUUGAAUUAGACUUGAGAAGUAAUUUGAUGCCCGUGAUUAAAAGCUUAAACAGGAUGGUAUUUUUUGUGAUGGGACUUGAUUAAUCCAUCCAUGUUGGUUGGUAUAUGUUUAAUUAAACAUGUUGUCAAACAAUUUUCCAUGGCCUCAAGGAAAUGAGUUAAAUCCGAUUCUAAUUGUCCCACAUGGAAUUAUAUUGAUAGCACAGUAGAGGCUAUGGGAGCUAUUAAUUUCUAAGACUUAGUUCUUUAUGUCUAAUUUAUUGAAGAGGUAUACUUUCUGUCUAUACAUUUCUUCUAGGUUUUGUUUAUGCUCAAAUUUAUUAAUAAAAUGUGUGUUAGACUGUGAUUUCAGUAACCCCUAUAAUAUAAUUGUGUCAUGAAGUAAGAUUGUUCCUGGUUAAGGAUUUGCCCUUUUUUCUUUUUCACUUGAGCAUAAAUGAAUGACUUAAUCUCCUAGGUCCUUGUCUUUUAGCAAGUACAUAUACAAAAUUUUAUCGUGUUGUUUGGCACCACAUUUAUUGUCAUCUAAAAUUUUCACAAUGUGCUCACUUGCAUCAGAAAUUUCAGGAAUAUUUUUAUAUAGAUGUGAAUUUGAGAAACUUUCUGUGAAUUCUUUUGCAGUAGUGAUAAUUAAAGCAUAGGAAAAAUGCCUGAGGGAAUAACAGCAGAGAAGCUUUUGAACAAUAUAAUGGAAACAAUUAGUGACAAUGCUCAAAAGAAGAAAUCUGUGUCAUUCUUUGAGGAAGAGAAAUCAAACUCAGUCACUUCUCAGUUCAAACGGCUCUUUGGACGGGAGAAGCCAGUUUACAAUCUUCUGGGGGCUGGAAAAUGUAAGAUCAUUCUGUUUGUGUUAUUAUAUCCUAUCAGUUCUGCGCUUGCUAAAAUUUUCCUUUUCCCCGGAUAAUUUAGCUGCUGACUUGAUGUUAUGGAGGAACAAGAAAAUCUCCGCGAGCUUCAUAACUGGUGCUACACUUAUCUGGGUGCUCUUUGAAUGGCUUAACUACCAUUUUCUAACUCUUCUAUGCUUCGCUGUGGUUCUUGGUAUGAUUGCACAGUUUGUUUGGUCAAAUGCAUCGGGCGUAUUCAGCAGGUAAUUUCAGCUCAUGCAUUUUUGUGCUCCUUGUUUUGCUUGUUGCAUGCAAAUAGUGCAGAAACAUUAUUAUAGUGAUAAUUUCUCUAUGUUGGCAGGUCGUCAUCUGAAGUCCCUCGUAUCGUUUUGCCUGACGAGUUAUUUCAAAAUAUUGGUGUCGCAGUUGGUGUUCAGAUUAACCAAGCCUUGGGUUUUCUUCAAGAUGUUGCUUGUGGAGGAAAUCUGAAGCAAUUUCUUUUGGUAUGUUUUAACCAAUAAAUCGUUUAUCAUAUCCUUUCCUUCAUAUUGUACACUUGGACAGUACAUGAUCUGUGGUAUCCUCUCUGCUGACCUCUAAACUAUUCUACUACAAAUUAUUGAAAUAUUCCCUGUGAGUGUAAAUUCUUACUGCUGAAAGUCAUUCUCUUCCAUUAUUUAUCCUACUUUAUAGCUCUGUAAUCAAGUAAAAUGCUUUAAUAUGACUGACUUAGUUGGUGCCAGAAGAAUGAUUUUUCACCAUUUAACCUUGACCAUAGCCAUUUCCAUGGUUGUUUCCUUGGCAAUCAUGUCCAUUCUCACUGCUGAAAGCCUUCAUCAUUUUUUGUCUUCAUCUUGUCCUGGCGACUUGAACUUGAAGCUAAUCUGAAUUCUGUGCACAGGUGUUUGAAUUGCUUGUUGCACAUUGUUGAAACAUCAUAGACGACAUUCUGUCAUUUUUUUUUUCUUUUUCUCAUGAAUGCAUUUAUUGUUUAUUAUUUUUUUUAUUUUUUAUUUUUCUAUUUCACUCUUCAUGUACUGUGCUUUUCUAACAAUUAGUCAUUCUUCUUUCUUCUCUCUCUCUCUCUUUGAUAAAUUUUAUUUAGGCACCUAAUGAAAUACAGAAAUGAUAUUCUAGGGUGUACAUUUUUUGAGUGCCUCUUGCACCUUAUAGCAUAGUAUUGACAGUUCUGUUUCUUAUUCCAAGAUGGUCAGUGAUUUUGAGUAAUUGGCCCAAGCACAAACCGAUGACGCUGGCUAACAGUCUCAUUCUAACAAAAUUUGCAAAAUGCUAAAAAUUAUGAUAAGUUUGUCUCACAAGUUCUACUGUGAAAUAUUUUUUAAAAAACUUCUAACUAUAUGAAUCAGCUGAAAUUUGCACGAAUAAUAUCUCAACUUGGAUAGCUUGGAUCAGCAUGCAACACACUCGUGAAGCUGGCAUAGAAGAGUUUAUGAAUGAUGAGAGCAGCUUAUGAUUUUUUUCAUUCAUUUUUUCUGGUUAUUUGGUUAUCAGAAAUGACUUAAAUAACUAAUUGAGCUCUUGAACGAUUCUUCAGGUUGUAGUAAGCUUGUGGGCAGCUGCUGUGAUAGGGAGCUGGUGCAACUUUCUGACUGUUCUGUAUGUUGGUGAGAAAUCUUAAUUCCAUGUUGACUUCAUAGUAAGACAUAAGGUCUACUUGCAACCUUUUAUUUAGUUGAAUGAACAUUUAAACAGAAACCCAGGAGAAAGUUCCAAAUGCUCUGGGUUUGUUUUGCGUAUCGAAUCAACUUAGACAAACUUGAAUGGAAGUUUGUCAAGUCUUUCCUCAGAAACACGGGGAAGAAUUUGGCAUAUUUGGUUGUAUAAUUUGGUAGAACAGUUGACAUAAAAAUUUGGACCACUCAGAAAAUCUUUACCUACUGAAAAAAGGAAAUUAAGGAGUUGUUUUCCAAAAUCAUGUUGAAAAUCCAGAGUUUACUCUUAAGAUUGAAAAGCUUCUUACAUUCUUCAUUCAGACACUAUGCCAUCUUGUCCAAAAAUGAAUUAGAAAUAUGUUUGCUUGCGCGGGAUGAAGGAGGCUUGGAUUUCACCCUGUUUCAUUGAUACUUAGUACUUGUAUCCGAAAAGUGAUAGAGACAAAGCCACAUCCCUUGCAUUUGAAGGAGGCUUAGCAUCAUUAUCAACAAGGUGUCAAUCACAAAUGAAGCACAGUGGACCGUGUGAUUGACCGUGUGUAGAGUUUAUUUUAUUUUUUACAUGUUUUGGUUGCCAAAAUGUGACUUGAAAACUUUUCCCAUCUCAUUAUUUGGAGAAAAUUUUUCUUUAGUACCAAAUGAAGAAUUAGUAUGUGUAUGCUGGAAUUGAUAAUUUUUGUUUUGUUUUUGCAUUUUUAAUUGGUUUAGGUUUCAUUGCUGCCCACACACUGCCAGUUCUGUAUGAGAGAUAUGAAGAUCAAGUUGAUGGGUUUGUAUACCAGGUCCUGGGACAGCUUCAGCACAACUACCGGAAGCUGGAUUCUGGUUUCCUCAGCAAAAUACCCAAGGGAAGCCUCAAGGGAAAGAAGCAUGAAUAGAUUCAUAUUGGUCCAUUGGAUCUGGGGCAUCCUCCAAAUCCAUUUUCUUUUGUGUCCCACUAAACAAGACAGUCAAUACUUGGGUAUCUGAACAAUGAAAUGUGUCAGAGAUUUCUUCCCUUUUUAAAGCAGCAUGUUGUUGUAAAUGUGCAAUUGCCCUUGCUCUCUGGGGCCUUGGUUGCCCUACCUUUCAACUUAUAGUAAGGGUUGGUUUGAGAUGGAUUUAGUAAGUAAUUCUUCACAUUUUCUUAGGUUUUUACUAUAUAUUGUAUAGCAAAGAAAAAGAUCUUUGUAUGACAAGUAAAAGGGAGAAAAGAUAAUGACAUGAUAUUUUAUAUGGAAAAUCUCCGAAGAGUUAAAAAGCCAUGGGCCAAUCACAACUAGAAAAUCUAUUAUGAAGCGAAUGUUGAGUACAAUGUUUUACCUAGCUCAAAAUCUCUGAUCCUCUCCUACACUACUUGUCAAAUAUUUUUGAAAAUUAAGCUUCUCACCAUCUUUAUACAGAACCCCUUUGAAAAUACUUUCAAACAUGAUCUUGGGCUCUUCUUGAGGCCCACUUGAAAAGAUACUUGAGUUUUUCGAGAACCAAACACCUCCAACUCAAAUAAACAAGAUUUUUACAUAACCAAUGUCUUUGAAAACCAACUCAAAAGAUAUUUGAACUUCUCAGAUAAACAAGAAUUUUCAAUUAGAAACCCACAAAACUUUUCCUAGAACCAAACACCCCUAAAUUUGAUAGAGAAUUUGGAGCUCAAGGAGGCAGGCAACCUAGCUCUCACCAUGUUGAAUCCCUAAUGUGGAAAGGGGCAUAAAUAUUAUGAAUUCAAUGAAGAAUCUUCAAUGAAUGAGUCAAAUUGAUUUGGAAAAAAAUAAAACUUUAUAAAUCGUGAUCAAAAUCCGACUAAUCAUACAAGAUCGAAAAAUUUUAAGUAAUAGAUGUAUUGUUACCCUCUAAUCUAAUUGAUUAAAAAUUGAGUCGACUGGUUUAAAACACAAAAAAAUUUAAAAUAAAAAAAAUAAAAAAAACUCCAAAUCUUAUUUUAACAAAAGCAUAAAAAUUUGAAAAUUGGUUGAUCGAUAACUAGACCCAAAAGCCACCCCAAAACACUUAUCAUUUACUCUAUCUUCAAUUAUGAUUAUCUUGGAAAUGAUUAGAGUCUAAGCAUUUGAAGGAAUUGAGCUACAUGAUCAUAAUAAAAAUUUUAACCUAAAAUUGCCAACACACAAAGAUACUCACAACCUCUCCUUUUGACACUUUUGAAACAAAACCCUUUACAAUACAAACAAAUACAAGUACGCUUUAACCUACUAUCAUAUAAAACACGCUCACUCAUCCUCAUAACCUAAACAAUAUAUUAUUUGUCACUAAAACUCAAAAAAUAUGAUUAGUAGCACAUGCAUAACACACGAAAGUAUGUGCAAACAACACAAUAUUUUUUAUAAUACAAUUAAAUAUGAGAAAAUAAUUUUUUUUAGCAUUUUUUUUUUCUAUCCUUAAUGCUUUUUUCGAAACCAAACAUAAUCAUAAGGCAUGUGAAGUAGAAAGGGUAGAAUACAACCUAAGCAAUCCUGUUUAAGAGGAGUGAUGAAGACCAUUCCCUUAAGCAAUGAUGGUCAUUCAGCUCCUGUACCCGACUUUGCAAGAGCACAACUCUAAAAUCUUUCUAACAUGCUCAUGUCGUAACAUUCUAAACUGUCCACAACUACAUGCUCUUUCUUACUGUAUAUCAUAUCAUUUUCCCUUCUUGUUAUACCAAUCAAUCCAAAAUGUUUUAUUUAUUCGUAAGUGUCAGAGGCAUCAGAGAUUUGCCCAUGUGAUGCAACAGCUGAGACAAGCACAUUUUUAAUUUCAUUCAAGCUCUUAAUUGUCAGUAGUCCUUUAUCAAAGACUGCCUAUCAUAGAAACUGAUAUGUUAGAUCAUUAGAAUAUCUAUUUAAAUAUCAGGCAGUACAAUGACCAAGCUUGCAUCAAUAGAAUACUUUUCGUAAAAAAAUCCAGUGAAAGAGACCUAGUUUGAUGUCUCAUGCAUGGAGCAGAAAUCAUUAAAGGAAGGUAAACCAUUUAUGUAACAGCAAGAACAAAUGGAACUAGCAAGGAAGAAAUGUGUCUAAAUAUAUACACCAGAAAUUUCAUCCAUGCCCCGAUAUGCAAAUGCCUCCAAAAUUCCCAAAUUAAGGGAAAGUGACAUAGCAAAAAAGACCAUAUAUAAAACUGUAUAGAAUAAACAAUGACAUAGCAAAACACAUUCUUUCGAAUAAAAUUUAAUUGCAUUAUUGAAGGACUAAUUUUUCUAAAAGUUUAAUUUGUUAGGAGUUUUGGAGUUUUAUAUUGAGGAGAUUUUUUAUUUUUUAUUUUAUUUUAUUUUAUUUAUAAUAUUAUUAUGUUGUUGAGUUGUUUGACAUGACAAUUUGUUUACUCAUGUAGCAUUUCAUUUUUUCAAAAAAAAAAUAAAAAAUCUUAUCAAUAUUUAGCAAAAAGUCAUACAUAGAAUAUUCCUUGACGUCUCAUAUGAAACAAAUGCAAGACGAGUUUGUUGCACUUUACCAUGAUCAAACAUGGGUGUCGGUCCCACGACCACCUCAUAUCAAUGGUGUUGGUUCUAAAUGGGUUUUCUGAACAACGUUCAAAGAUGAUGGGUCUAUUGAUCGGUUUAAAGCUUGCCUUGUUGCUAAGUACACAAAUUCCUAGCCAAGAUUUUGAGACAUUUAGUCCUGUUAUUAAGCAAACCACAGUACGUUUCAUUCGCUCUAUUUUAGUUACUUGCAAUUAGACCAUUCAUCAACUUGAUGUUAAAAAUGCCUCUCCAUGGUCACUUGUGGGAAACCAUUUAUAUGAAGCAACCUUUGAGGUUCAUCGAUUCAUGAUCAUUUCCUACUUAUGUUUGUCUCCUUAAAUGAUCUAUCUAUAGUCUAAAGUAAGCUCCUCGUGCCUAGUUUGAUCGCUUAUCUCAAUUUUUAGUUCUUCUUGGCUUUGAGUACAACAAGAUUGACUUUUCCUUAUUUGUGUUUAAAAGAGACACCACACUUAUAUUACUUUUUGUUUAUGUUGAUGAUUUUCUUUUUAUGGGUAAUGAUACCAAGUUUAUUGACAAUCUGAUUCACAAAAUGGGUACUUAAUUUUCUAUUAAAGAUCUUGGCAGAUUGCACAAUUUUUUUGGGCAUGGAGGUGCACUAUUUUUUGAGGGGGCAUGUUUUUAUUGCUGCCAAAGUAUACUUGAGAUAUCCUUCUUCAAUACAAGAUGCUAGAUGUUGCCUAUAUGGUGACACCAAUGGCUAUCAAAAACUCAUCUUCAUCUGAUGAUAGUCCCCUUGCAUAUGCCACUGGAAUAUCGACGCCUCGUUGGAGCACUUUAAUACUUAACUUUUACACGUUCCCUAACUACUCAGCAUUUGAGGGAGGUCAAGCAUAUCUUGUGGUACCCCAAAGAUACACUUGAUUAUGGCCUUCGCUUCCUUACUCAAAGUUCCUUUACUUUACCUAGGUUUUGUGAUGUUGAUUGGGCUAGUCGUUUUAAAACUUAACAUAGCACCAUUGGUUAUUGUGUUUUUCUGGGUGCCAACUGUAUCUCAUGGUCUUCUAAGAAGCAACCCACUGUUUCAAGCUCAAGUGUCGAAUUCUAAUAUUGUGCUAUGGCCUCCACUACUGUCGAACUCACGUGGGUAUCCUUCUUAUUUUGCUAUAUUGGUUUUCCUAUUGCUAUGCCUCCUCAAUUUUUGUGUAACAAUAUGAGUGCUCUUCAUAUGUCCAUCAACUCGGUUUUUCAUAAGGACACUAAAUACAUUGAGUUAGAUUAUUACUUUGUUCAUGAGAAAGUGGCUCUUGGUACUCUUAUUACACGAUUUCUUUCUUCCACUCUCCAAAUUGUAGACAUCCUCACUAGCUAAACCUCUUAUGCCCCAUCUUUUUUCUUCAAUUUUGAUCCAAGCUUGGGGUUCACUCCAUUCCACCCUCAAGCUUGAGGGGAUUUUCCAUUUCUAGAAUUAAAGGAUUUAGUAAGCCACAAUCAAAGGAAGAAUGCUCAAAUAAAAAAGUCAUUAGAGUUGACAAUUUCUAUUUAGUUCCCCUUAUGUUUAGGAAUAUAUUUCAAUCCUUUCUAAAAUUAUCUCAGACUCACGGUAUACCAAUUCUUGAAUUUCUUCAUGUACAAACUAUUACUCUUUAUUUUUUUAUGCUACUACUUUCUAAAAGGAAUGCAGAUGUGGAGAAAGACAUGUGCAUUAUAGAUACUUGGAAUGAUUUCAAGAAAGAAAUCAAGAAGCAAUUUUCCCCGUAGGAUGUGAUCUACUUAGAUUAGAAGAACAUGAAAAAGUUGAAGCAUACUAGAUUAAUGCAUUCAAAACCUCCAUUCUUGUGCUAAAGAUUUUGAAUGUGGAGAUACCAAAUUUUUCAGAGAAAGAUCUUCACUUUGACUUCAUGGAUAAUUUGCAAGGCUAAUUGAAACAAACAUAAGAUGGUAUAACGUAAAGGACCUUAUUAUGACAGUAGUAGUGGUUAAGUCCUUAAUAGACUAUAAGAGAGGUGAUUUUCCAAAACUUAUAGGCUAUUUUUUAUUCCAAAAAAAUUGAGGGAAAAUGUGAAUGAAAGAAAAUGUAGAAGAAAAAUAGAAGGAAAGAAAAUAAAAAAUAGAUUUAAAUUUAAUAAAUAAUUUUUAUAUGUUUCUUCAAACUCUUUUAACUUCAUUACAACAAAAUUUUAAAAUAUAUAAAUUUCUAAUUAAUUUUAAUUAUUUUUGAUUUUUUUUUUUUUUUGUAUUUUUUAUAGUGAAACCAAAUAUGAGAAAAACAUUUUCCUUAACAAUUUUUUUCUUUCCUUCGUAUUUUUUGGGAACCAAAUAUAACCAUAAUAUUUAAUAGUCGUCAUUUAGGUAGAGGAGAAGAAUGACUAAGAGGCCAUAAAGAAGACACUAGUAGAACCCUCUAGGCAAAGAGAGCAAGGGGUAAGGAGAAGGGACUGUCCAUGCCUAAGUAGAAAUCUUUCUAGGGACGGUCCCCACUACACUAAAGACUAUUCAAAGAGAAAGACUAUUAAUUAGCUCCUUGACACUAGAAAAAGAAGAGGAUUAAUGAUGAGUUAGAUCUCUUCAAGUAUUAAACUCUUCGAAGAGUGGUAAAAAAAACAAUCAUCUAAUAAUUACUAGGUAUAAUUAAUGGAUAAGUUAUAAAAUAACAUGAGUCCUCUAUGAUCAAAUCAAACCUUACCAUGUGUUAGAAAAGCAUAUAAUAUAAGAUGUGUGAUAAAACGAAGUUGCUAAGUGGUGAUAUCUCUCUCAGAUGAAAUAGUAACAUGCCACAUGGGUCCUCUCCCUAAAUAAUGAAAAUAAAGAUUUUGAACAACACAAACAUAAUUAAAAUUGAUGAAUUUGAUAAUUGAAAAGGUAAUUACUAGAUUUUCAUUCGAAAAAUGAAUUAAAGAUUGUGAAAGUAUGCUCUUUGAAAGCUCCUUAUAUAUUAAUUUUAUUAGUUAAAGGAUGAUAUUUCAAAUGUUUGGAACAAUUCAAAUGGUAACUUCAAUAAGGGAUAUUAUUUUUAACAGAUCAUAAAAUUAUCUAAAUAUGUUCUCAAUCCCUAUAAAUAGGGGGUCAUUCUAAACCUUGAAGCACUCUUUUGAAGAAUCAUAAUUGGAGAGAUCGCUUCAAAGCUUCAAGAGUUCUUGAAGCCUUGCUUUCAAACCUAUUCGAGUAUAUGGGUUUUUCAAGAAUAAGUUUGAAGAUUCAAAUUUCACCAUGAACAAGUUCUUCAAACACAAAUGAAGUCUUAAGCACCUUUGAUUUGAGAUCAAAUAUUCAAGCUCUCACAUCGACAUUGUUUCCUUUUGUAGGGAAGAAUUAGAUGGCACAAUAGGGAUUCUACCCCCGCAAUUCAAUAAAACUUUCAAUUUGGCUAUAAUUUUCCUCAAGUGAAACAUAUGUGUACACUUCCUGAAUGUGAAAGUAAUGGUUUAAGAUACCACAAGAUAAAGAAUGAUGUUUUUGAAAAAGAUGAUCAAGGGGAAGCCCACAGGAGCCAUGACUGAUACUAGUGCCAGUCACAACUUCGUCUUAGUGGAAAAGAAAAACUUAUUGGGGUUAAAUAUGACAAAGGAGUAGGAUGACUCAAGGAUGUUAGCUUACAUACAAGACUCAUUGUAUAUAUAGCUCAAGGGUAAAGCUAUACAUGGGAUGGUAGAGCAUGAAGGCUGAUCACGAUCAUUGCUCUGGAUGGUGCAUAACCUAGCCUCCUUAGCGAAGGCUAAAGUGGUGCCAAUGCCUUUCCUAUUUAUGAAUAAUGGAAAUAGUAGAGAAAAGAAUCACUCUGCACGGUUCCUACCAUGAUAGAAAUUAAAAUUGAUUUGCAACCAUCUUUGGCAUGCAAACUAAGGAAGGGCAUUGAUGAAGAAGUAGCAUACCUAGUUGUACUCAAGGUCAAGAGAGCCAUCUGCACUUCAACAAACCUUAUACUUAAGCUGGUGAGGAAUGGGUUGGACUUGAAAGCUAGGCCACCAGCCAUGACCACAAGAGACACAAGUACAUUCUUUAGCAUAAAACCUCGUGAAUGGGCAAGGACUUCAAGAUGGUAAACAAAAAAGCAAAGGGACUCGGAAAAAAAACCUCAAAGGAAAGCAACAUGCUACAAGGCCAAUGAGAAGAUAUCCUAACCUAAUGCGUUCAUUGAUAACAGGAAAUACUUGAUCAAGUGGAAAUGAUUUCUAAAUAAAGAAGCUAGUGGGGGACCAAUUAAAGCAUGAGCUUAUCUAAAUUCUACAUCAGGUACAUAAGAGAAGGGUUCCCCUCCUCGGUACCCUUCCCUUAAAUAAGGAAUCUCAACCUAUUGUAACAAUAGCUGGAGUCAUACAAACUUGAGUACUUAAGGGUUUUGAGGUGCCUAGAUGCCAAAUGUAUUUUUAAAGCUCUUAGUCCAGGAUAUCAUAUGGUAUUAAGCCAUUUCAUUUAAUUUUCACAUGCAAAUAUUGUCUUUCAAAAAUCAUGGCAUCGACUUCAGUUUCAGUUUCCAACCAUAGUCUAAAAACAGAAAGCUAUUCCACUGGCAUAAGAGAUUUACAAUAUGAAUUCAAAAUUUUCAGAGAGUAACUGACAUUUUUAUAUCUAAAUCAGACCAGAGAGUGGUGAUACCAAAAAUAGGUACUUGUUGACCAAGUACCCCUCAAUGGCGAACCCAUUCCAACCCUACAUCAAGAAAAGGGACAUUCCCUAGGUACCAUCCACUGAAGGUAGCUUCACAAUCUCCGCCCGACCACCGGAAUGUACAUUGACAGAACCCGUGUCUCCUGAUUUGGAAUCUAGCUAAAAGGCUGCAAGCACUGCCAUGACUGACUCAGAAAUCAACGAGCACUACUGUAUAAAGGGCGAGCCAGCCCAUUGUGACGAUUACAACAAAAAAUCGUUCUAAUGAGAAAAAUCGCUUCCAGAGAGAAUACUCUAAAAUAUACUAACAACAACUCAGUACAUGUUAUACAUUACUAUAAUAAUUCAAACCAUUAUCUUGAAUGAUAUGAAUUUUUGCUAUGGAUAAAAUUGCUCAUCUUUGCUCCAAAGGUUUUUUCUCUUUUGUGGAAUUAGGUCCUCCGAUACGUGCAAGUAAUCUUCCAGUUGAAUUCUAGUAAAGCAGUGUGACUGAAGAUCGAAAAUUCUGAAAAGUUGAUAUUUUCAAAUGGCUGGCAAUGAACCACCAACCUGCCCUUGUAUCUCUACAAUAAGUUGAAGAAUUCUGGAAUUGUAGUAGGCCCACAUGAGUAUGCAACCCCAAAAAAGAAUCUCCAAAUGGACGAUGGGUCCCAACCCCCACUUUCCAUUCAAACUUCGAAGGCCACAUUCCUCCAUGUACUCAUAAUUUAGUUUCUGCGCCCCAAACAAAUGGCCUUUCAGUCUCUCUCAAGACUCAAACCAUAGUCAUCAACCUCAGGACACUUGUACCGACUCUGGAAAACUAUUUGACAAUCCAACCUGGCAAAUGAGCUGCACGUGACCGCGGAGCUGUAGCGUGUGCAUAGACUGCUGCCUUCCACAUGUGGAAUGUGCAGUGCAGCCACCUUCCAUGAGCUUGGCUCAUGUGCUGGACCCCAAGUGCCAUUUUGGAAAAAUGUAUGGAGAUUAGCACAACCAUGUCACCCUUUUUCUCCUUUUCAUCCACCAUUCGCCUCAAAUAAUAUUAAAAACAAAUAAGUAUCAACAAAAGAAAAGGGAGCACAUUUCUGCGAAUAAGACUCAAGAAUCAUGCUGUUUCUUUCUCCCGUAUAUUAUCUUGUGUUAUAAAUAGGUGUGAAACAUGCAGCUUCCUUCAUCAUACAAUAAAGUAUAGAUCUCGUUCUCAAAUUAUUCCUUUUGCUUCUGUAUUUAAUACAUCUCUUCAAUGGUGAUCGUCAGUCGCAAGAAAGCUGCAGUUCUUUUUGAGUCUAUCUUCAGUGAUGACAAGGCUAUAACAUGUAUCUGUGUCCAUAAUGAAAAUGAUGGCGAUGACGAUGAUGAUGAUGAUGGGGUGGAUGUCGCACCUGCAGCAUAAUUAUAAUUAUGAGGUCCUGGAAUUGCUAAUUGUGGGCUGAGGAGAUGAAUUAGAAAUAUAUAUUUCUAAUGAUGCAAGUCUCAUAUAUGAGAUCCUAGUAAUACAUGUUGAGGAAGUAAAUGAGAUGGGGUUUAGGCCCUAUUAGGUUUGCGACAGAGACAUAAUAUGAUUAGACCUGUACUGCUUAUGCUAUACUGUUACUUAGAUCAGUAACAUAGCUAUAUUGAUAUUAAUCUAUGAAUAAAUGGUUUAUCGAUCACUAUCUUUUAUUAUUAUUAUCACUAUCUUUUCUUAAUAUUGAUGUAUGAUAUGCUCUCAUGCAUGUGAUGCUUGCUCACUUCAUUGUUGUUUCAAGUUCUAAUGGACUGCUCAAGGUUUUUUUUUUUUACUUAAAUCCUUCAUGCCAGUAAAUGAAGAUGAUGGAGGCAUUGAGGAUUGAUAUAGAAGCUCCAACAUAUCUUUCUUUCUUGAUGAAGUAGAACAAUACAUCUGAAAAAUAAAAGAGUACCAAUGCAAUCCAGUAUCUAGCAUUAUUCAAUAGUAUAAGAAGCAACUGCAGGAUGCUUAUACUUUUCCCCAGAUCACCAUCAAGUUACUUUUAAUGAUCCAUAAUCUUGGCCUUCACUUUAUUUAGCAUAAUCUCAGUUAGUAAUGUCAUGUACAUGAUCAUUUAAUCUAUCAUGAAUAUAUGGCUAGCACCAUCAGUAGUAUCAGCGAUAUUUGAAAUCACAGAUCUGAAAACUGUCUCAAGCUAUUUAGAUUAAAGAAGGAAAAGAAGACCUGCCUCUGAUUGCACAUGUGGAUGGGUCAGAAAUAUAUACACGGACUUCAGGAAGAUUGAUCUUCACUUAAUCAGUAUCUGAUUAACUAUCUUGGCAGCAUAGGGGAAACAUGACAUGAUGUUGUUGAAUGAGGCAUAUAUUAGUGGACUACAAUUGAAUGUUAUUUGGAUGAAUGAGAAUUGCAUAGCUAGCUUAUCUAUUUGUUCAUAUGCUAAAUACUUAUUUCUCUCUUUUCAGACAUUCCAUUACCAAGUCUGAUGGUGCUCUCUCCCUCUCUAAUUAUGUGAAUGAAGAAGAUGGCUGCAGGUAAUUAAAGACACUGUGACCAGAACAUUAACAAUAUAGCAAUACUAUACAUUUCCAACUUGACAAUGUUGAGAAGCACUUUCAGAUGGUAUUCCAGUGCACAAGUUGUUGCUAUCCAGCGAAAGAAGACCUGUGUCUUGGCUGGUGGAGAGGUAUAUUUUUGAAGAGUACCUAUAUCUUUCUGGUUGACUUUGCAUAUCUCUUCUAUCAUACUAUCAGAUAUGGCACAUCUAUCGUCAUGACAUUAUCUCAGAGAGGCGGAUCUAUUCUUAGAGACGAUGUGGAUACAUGCCUUAACCUGUGAGUCUUUAAUUUAUUUUUUUAAUUGCAUCCCUACAAGAUUAGAUCUGUUCUUUAAAUAUUUUGAAUGUUGUCUUUAGAAGCAUUGUCUAUUAAUCUGGUUUCCGAAAAUUAAAUUUCGCAAGUUUAAUUUCAUCUUUUAAAGUAGCAUAGAUUUCACCAUGACUUUUCGAUCUGCACAGGAGUGCUAACACUGGUUUUAAACAAAUGUAGCCAUUAAUUGGAGACAUCUUUUAAUUAAUCUGAAUUAUUUCAUGUUUUAAGAAUUCAUUUCAUGGCUUUUUAACUUGAUGUUCUUGAAAAAUUGCAGUUUUAAGUGGGUUCAAACCUGGUUUCCACAAUGUAUGCUGUAGGUGAUUUUACUCGAGUUCUUAUGCAAAGUUGUGUUUUAUGAGAGAAUGCUGCUUUAUGUCUAACACAUAUACCAAAGCUUUCAUGAUAUUUAUAACUUAGUAGCCGUGUGAAUUGCUUUUGGGCAAAAAGUUCUUUGGGGAAAAAUGCAAGGCCUUCUUUUCUUUUUAUGUUUGAAGUUUGAUUUUGGAUAUACUAACAUUUUAAAAUACUUUAUAAAAUGAUAAUAAUUAGGGAAGCCCCAACAUUCGAGACAUGAGCCCCUUGCUUCCAUAACCUUUGUUAAUUCUUGAUUUAGGUUCUAAUUGCUUCUCCUUCUUUAACCAAUGAUUGAGUUUCUAUUAUUGUAGUAAUUGCUCUUCCUAAUCCCAGAUGAAAGCAUGACCUUUUGAGUUAAAAGGAAGAAGAGUUUUCUAUAGCUUACUCCUCCAGCAUUCCAUGUUCCAAUUAAGUUUUAACAUUACCAAACCAUUUUAUAUGAAAGAAAGAGGUUUUUGACACCUAUCUUGUCUAUUUUAAUUGUUGAGGUGCUUUAAAAUUUAAAGGACUCUGGAUUAUCAUGCAUAUAAAAUUUAGAAAGAUCUCUCAAUAAGAACUUAUUUAGAAGUUUUCUGCAAUCCUAUAUCAAUGUUUGUGUCCUCCCCAUUUGGUCCAAGUAAAAUUUACUCAUUUAAGUGAUUGAAACUUAUAGUUAAUUGUGAUCUAGAAACUCUCUUGACAAAAACUACUCAUUUUGUGUUAGACUACAAUUCAUCCUUUUAUUAGGAAGGUGUCAUACCAUGUUGCAUAUGGUCAAAGUUUGGGACUGAGUGGUAUGGGAAACAUUUAUGAUGAAGGAUCAAUCUGACAUGGUAUCUCUUCACUGUAUCCACAAACUUGUCGGCAUAAUUAAAGUAAUGAAUAAUUAGAAGAUAUUCUAAUUAAACUUAAUUAAUUUCAUGAGUGAUCACAAAGGCUACAGUAUCCAAGUGGGUCAGCAACUCCCUCAAAAUGUGAAUUGCUGGAAAGAUGUUUUAGAAAGGUGUAGUUUUAAUGGGAAAUGAGAGAACAAGAAGGAUAAGGCUCGAGAGAGGUGCAAAAAGAAUAAUGAUUUAGUUCAUACUCUUAGUAUACAAAAUUAGACCCACUUGUUUCUUUUCUUUAGUGAUUUUGAUCCUAUUUAGAUUAUUGGAAGUUAGAUUUUGGGUUUAUAGAAUAGUUUAAUAAUUACUUUCAAAAAUCAUGAUCAUGCAGUUAGUGAAUUAGAAAAUUCUUGCAAAUCAAGGUUUUGUAGAACUGCUUGGGGUUGUUAAUUGAUAUUUGUGUGCUAGUCCAAUCAACAUAUUAACAUUUUCCUUCUCUUCAGUUGUAGAUCUGAUCAUCAUAGCUUCUUCUUCUUAUUUAGUCAAUGACUGAGUUUCUAUUUCAGUAGAAGUAUAUGAUAUUUCUACUCCAAGAUGAAAGAAUGACUUCUUAAGUGAAAAUUAAAGAAAAGAGUUCUACAGAAUCUAUACCUCCAACCCUAGAUUUUGUUCAAGCCAAAUUUAUGAUAUUUGUAAUUCAUGAGAAUAAGAGAUUACCCAUUUUGGGGUAAAAGCCAGCCAAGCUGAGUAUGCUUUUGGUGAUUUUUUUAAAGUAAGUUUAGGCUUUGUUGCAAGCUGAUCAAGUUACCUGCUCAACCUUUGAGCUCAAUUUUGAGUUCUUCAAGUUUUAUUCUGGUGAUUUCCAUCUUGCUCCUCUUUAUUUCAAGCUCAAGUCACUUUUCCAAGCUUUGAGUUGAAUUUUACUACAUUUUUAGUUCGGUUUUGGUGAUUCCUCCACCUCUUGCCGGUCAAGAACAGAUCUGCUCAUUCAUUCGCUCAGAAUUUUGAAAAACUUUAACGCUACCAAAGGUUUGUUUUCUUACCGCAUCCCUCUUUCCUGCAGGUAAAUUCUCCCAGAUAUGUAUUUGGAAUGUGAAAGAGGCUUGCCAAGAUGAUUUCUGGUAAAGCAUUGAAACUGAAGAUGGAAAUUCCAUUAGCUGAAUUUGGUAUUACCAAAUGACUGCAGGCGACAACCUCCCUACCUUUCAUUUCUGCAAAUAUAAGUUCUAGAAUUCUAGAAUGCUAGCUGUUGCCGCAGAAAAAAAACAUCUGAGUGGGUCCUAACCACACUGGAAUUCUAAGCCCACCUUCUUUUUGUUCUGCCCCGAAAAUGGUAUGGUUCAGUGAUAACUAUGGUUACCAUUGUUCUCCAUUUAUUCGUAGAACUAUUAGGGUUUAUGAAAAAUUUAAUUUAAUUAGGGCUGAAGGUACUACUUAAUUUAUUAACCAAUUUUGUUUGUUAAUCAAGUAUUUUUUUUGGAAUUCUAUUCAUUAGCUAAGACCCAUUACAGUUAUUAAGCCUCUCAUCAACCUGACCAGACAUCCAGCCUGUAAAGCUAGAGAGUGUGCAUGGACUGCGGCUCUCCACAUGCGGCAUGUGUAGAGCAACCAUCUUCCAUGAGCUUGGCUCACGUUCUGGACACUCAAUGCCAUAUUGGAAAUACGUACAGAGAGCAGCCCAACCAUGUCAUCCUUUUCUUUUUCUUCCCACCUACCAUGGACCUUGCUAUAUACAAAUCACACCACCUCCCACCCCAAGGAAUAAAAAUAAAGGAAGAAUUUGACUUCCAUAUCUGUGUUAGCUAGGCCAUGUUUUAUUUUAUGUUAAAAAUAAAAUAAAAUAAAAUAAAUGCCUGAUGCUUGCCGCUUCCUUCUCAACAUACAACGUAUAAUGCCUCUUGUUUGAUUAAAUUAUUCUUUUGGCCUCUCUAUUUAAUACAUCUCAUCAAUGGUGAGUGUUUGUAGCCUGCAAGAAAGCUUCAAGUUCUUCUGCAUCUAUCAUCAUGUUGUUCUCUAUAUUGCAGACCUCAUAAUUAGCCUAAGUCCCACCUCAUGAACUUCUUCAUAUCUCUUACUAAAAAUAUGUAGUUCCAGUUCAUCUCCUCAUCAGUCCCUCAUUAGCAAUUCCAGGACCUUCCAAUUAUAGUUAUGCUCAAGGCGUGACAUCCCCUCUUAUCCUCAUCAACCUCGUCAUCAUCAUUUUCAUUGUGGACACAGAUACAUGUCGAAGCCUCGUCCCUGACUACGAUAGAGGCCAAAGUGUAGCUUUUCAGUUUUCCUCAAAUCUCAAACUAGUCAUAAAAAAUCCAGCCUGGCUGAUGAGCUGCACAGGAGAAUGGAGCUCGAGCGUGUGCAUGGAUUGCUGCUUCCACAUGUGGAUUGUGGUAGGCAGCCUCUCUCCAUAAGCUCAGCUCAUGUGCUGGACCCCCAAGUGCCAUUUUGGAAAAAUGUAUGGAGAGCAGCCCAACCAUGUCACCCUUUUUCUCCUUUUCAUCCGUAAUAUGCUUCACCUAUUAAAAACAAUUAAGUAUGAACAAAACUAAAAGUGAAGAAAGAAUGAGCACAUCUUUGCCAAAAAGGUUCCGAAAUCAUGCUAUGUAUUGAUAUAAAUAGGUGUGAAGCAUGCAGCUUCCUUUAUCUUGCAAUAAUUUAUAUAUUCUGUGCUUAAAUUAUCCCCCCUUCUCUAUUUAAUAUCCAUCUCUUCAAUGGUGAGUGUUCGCAGCAAGAAAGCUACAGAUCUUUUUGCAUCUGUCAUCAGCAAGGAUGAAGUUACGACGUGGAGCUGUGCCCAGAAUGAGAAUGAUGACGAUGAUGAUGAUGAUGAUGGGGUGGACGUUGCACCUGCUGCAUAAUUAUAAUUAGAAGGUCCUCGAAUUGCUAAUGGUGGAUUGGUGAAGUUAUGAACUAGAAAUAUAUAUUUUUGGUAAGAUGUCAGCCAUAUAUAUAUAUAUGCUCAUAGCUAUAAGAUGAUCAAGAAGUGAAUAAGAUGCGAUUAGGCUUAUGAGGUUUGUGAGACAGUGAGAGAGCAGCAUCAGUGUACUAUUGGUUCUAAUAUAUAUGAAGAUUUUGUUUAACUUACAAUCUCUUUUUGGUAUCGUACAUUUCUCUCAUACACUAACUCAUGCAUGUGCUGAGAUGUUUGAUAUUGAUCAUGUCUACUGUUAAUCAAUUUCAAGUUUAAGGACUGCUCAAGGGUUCUUGAACCAGAUUCCUCACAGAAAUGAAGAUGAUGCAGCCAACAAGGCUUGAUGUAGAAGAUCUUAAUACAAUGGACUCUCUUCCUUGGAUGAAAGGAAGCAAUACAUUCUAGGAAUGGAAAAGAAAAAUGGAUUCAAACAUAGUCUAAUAUUUUACAUUCAGUAAGCAAUUAAGCAUGCAUAUAUAUUCAAAUAUUGAAACCCUACUCAUCUUCUGAAGUUUUAACCAUCAUCACAUCACUUGUGAAUCCAUACAUCUUGACAGAUGAUAUAUCAUAUAUUAAGGAAAAGGUAUAAAUUUUAUAUCUUUUUCCUCCCUGCCUCUCUUCCCAUGUGGAUGAAGAUGGCAGCUAAAGGUACAGUAAUACCAGAAGACUUUGUAGCUCUAAAUACAUUUCCAACAUGAUAAUGAUGACGGCAUAUUCAUACGGCAUCCAAAAAAUGACUGGUUCCUGAAACAUGGAUAUCAGAGACGACUUUUAGUAUUCUUUGAUUGACUUUGCAUAUUCCUUCACAACAUUAUCAGAUACAUCUACGAUCAUGGCAUUGUCUCAUAGUGGUGGGCCUAUUCAAACCUGCUCAUCCCUUACCAUAUAUAUGUUUCCAAAUAUCUUGGUUCAUAUGGGUGUCGCGUUCCUUGCUACUACGUACGGCCCUUCCCAUCAUCUAGAAGGUAUCCAUUCGAAAUAUCUUUUUAUGAUUUUGAAUGAUAGAAUGAUAUUUUAGUUUCAUUUUCUGGCACAUUCAAAAUUUAAUUUUUUUUAUUUUUGUAUAAAAAUCAAAAUUUAAUUAGUAUUAUUUCAUACCAUUACCAUACAUUUUCUAUUUCCAUUUUUACAAAUUGUAAAUAAUAAUAAUACCACGUUUUUUAAAAAUUAUCUUUAAAAUUUUUAAAUUUUGAGAUAGGAAAUCUUUUUGGUACCUCAAUUUUUUAUUUAUUUUUUUAAAUAGUCUUUAAAAAAUGUCAUCAAAUUAAGGCAAGUCUCUAGAAGUUCUAACAUUUUACAAAAAAUUUAGUAUGAUCUUUCUGUUUUCUAAAUAUAGAAAACAAAAAUUAUAAUGAAACUAGUACCGUAAAAAUUAUUUAUAAAUAUUUUUAUUUUUAUUUUUCCAAAGAAGUAUUUUCAUUAUAAAAUAAUUUCACAUAUUAUAUACCUUCAAAUAUAUGUUAAUAUAAAAUACUAUUAAAUAUAAUAUAAAAACUAUUUAUUACUACAAUAUUAAGUAAUAAUAUUAUUAAUUAACUAAAAUUAAAAUUAAAUCAUCAACUAAUUAUUAAUAUUCUGCUUACUAUUUAAUUUAUAAUAAACAUAAAAAGAAAAUAAGUUGAUGAGAUUCAUGUUGAGCUUUACAUUUUUUUAUUUAUUAUUGUAUUGAAUUUUUUCAAAAUGACUCUAAAAUCUAUCAUUUCUAGGAUCAUUUAUGAGUAUUUUAGUGUUAUUAAGGACCGUUUGAUCAUGUUUUUCUAAAUUUAUUUUGAAAAACAGUUUUUUAUUUUUAAAAACAGUUUAAAAAACUGUUUUAAAUCACAUGGUCAAAUAAACUUUAAAUUGUUUUAGAUAUUUAUAAAUGGGUUAUGUGGGUUUUACUAAUGCCUAAACUUAUAAGAUUCCGAUAGGCCUAAACCUAAUAUAUAUAUAUAUAUAUAUAUAUAUAUAUAUAUAUAUAUAUAAAAGGUAAAAUAAACUAGCUCCAAAUAUUACGAAAAUAACAUUAGUAAUAGAGAUAAAAGAAAAGAGACGAUAUUUACAAUUUACUAAUUUUCAAAUUAAAAAAUUAUAAACAUGAAAGAAUAUCAAAUUGGGAUGCUCUUAUUUGGCUAGAGAGAUUUCUUUAUACAAAAAUGAGCUAAAACCACUGAGAUAAACUAAAGUCAGCACUUUUACUCCUUCAACAAAGGACUUUGAACUAUUUAUAGGUCCUCGACCGUUCAACAAAACAAAUUCAUAAUUCAUGUGGGAUAAGGAUUCCUAAAAUAUAACUCUAAUUGAGCCCAAAAAUCAAUAACUCUCCAUGCGAAACGAAUCAUCAAUUACCAACUUCUAAAACUAGAAAAAAAAAACCUUUUAAAAGUGAACUAACCAUCAUCUCCUCUAAAUGUCAUACACUCAAAGUUGUUCAAGUAACUAAAGAUACAAAAUUUAAUAUAAAAAGGAUAAAUUUCCCAAUAAAAUUGUUUAAUAACAAUAAUCUUUAUUUUUAUAAAAUGGAUAAAUAUGAAAUAAAAAAUUUUAUAAAAUUUUUAAAAUAAAUUUAUUAAAUGUGAGUUUUGUAAAUCCAUUAAAAUAAAUUUUUUAUAAUUUUAAUUUUAUUGUAUCAAGGAUUUAAUUAAAAAAAAAAGUGUUUUGGUUUUUUUUUUUUAAAUUAAAUUUUAUUAUAAAAUCCAUUCAAUAACAAAAAAAAAUAUUUUUUUUAUAAAAGAAGUUUAAAAUUGAAUAAACAAAUUAUAAAUAAUGUACUAUCUAAUUUCACCUUCAUUUUUCUUGUUUAUUUUUUAUAUAUAUAUUAAAUUAUAAUUAGUUGUAACAUUAUUUACACUUGGACACAUAUUAAUUUUCAUCAUAUUUGCUUCAAAUGGUUUUCAAUGAAAUGCAAACAAUAUAAAUGAAUGAAAUAAAAUAAAAUAGAUCAAUAUAUGGUGUCUUAUACAUUUCUUGUACACUUAGUUCAAAUUCUUUGUACAUUAUGGGCAAAAGUGAAGGAAAUGAAAUUAACUUAUGUAUAACAAUGUCCCAAAAUGUUUCUAGUAGUUUUUGCUAUUUUCUUUCUUUAUUUAUUUUAUCUUUUUCUCACAUCAAACUACAUGGAAUAUUGUUACACAUAUUAUCAAACAUUUCGUAUAAUAGUUAUUUAUAUUUUAAUCAAUAUAUAAGACAUUUGUAUUAUCUAUAUAAGACACUUGAACUAGUCCAUUGUACAAGAUUGUCAAGGGUAUGUGUAUAAAAUGUGUAUUAUUGUACAAAGGUGUUACAUUAAUUGUAUAAAGUAAAUGUAUUAAUUGUGCAAAGGGUGUACAAGGCUACCAUUUAUUUAAGAUUUCAAUUAAUUCUUUUUUUUUUUCCCUUAUCACCCAAGGAUUGAACACUUUUCGCCCAGAUAUUCCCUCACCUAAAAAUUGUUUCAAAUUUGAAUUUUUAAAUUUUAUCAUCCAAAAUUUUUAAUUGCAUAUUUCAUUUGGGUACAUAGUUUUAACAAUAAUCUUUCUUAGUACAUUUACAUCCCAUAUGAAGAGAAUUAACCAUAAUAUUUAGGUACUAUUUUUUUGUGAAAUCAGAUUAAUAUAAAUGAAUAACAAAAUAGUGUCAUUGUUUCAAAUGACUUAAUAUAAACAAUAUAUAAUAAUUGUUUAGGAAAAAAUAUCAAUAUUUUUUUACCAAACUAUGCCAUUAAGACAUUCCCUAACAAAAUUAAAACAUAUGAAGUAAAAUUAAAAUUAAUCAUGUUUAAAGUGUUUAUUACAAGUAAGCCGAAUGAAUAUAUAUUUUUACUAUUUUACCCUUUUAAACAUAAUGUCAACCAAGAUUAAAAAAUCAUAUUUAAAUAGAAUAAAAAAAUGAACAAAAAUUAUCUUUGUAACAUCUGUAAUUUUUUUUAAAUAUCAUUAAUUUAAAUUAUCGAUUUAAUUUUAAAAUAAUUUUUUUGUUGUAAUUAUAGUUUUGAAGAGUCUAUGAUUUUAAUCUUAUUACUUUCAAUUUAUUUUCUCAUAUUCUUUAUCAUAAAUUUUAUCUAAACUUGUUUUUUUAUUAUAUUUUCAUGUUUUCUAUUAUAUCCCUAUUUAAGGUGAUUUUUAUCUAAUUUGUGCUCCAUUAUAUUCUCUUUACAAUUUAAAUAUAUUUUUAUACCUUUUUGUAUAAUAAAAUAUUUUGUCAUUUUUCAUCUACAAAACUUUAUACAAAAGAUCUCAUUAUGAGGAAAAAAAAGAAGAGAAAAUUACAAUAUAAUUAUAUGCACAUCUCUUAAUAUGAUACAUGUACUUGACUUGAUGACAUUAUAUUUUAAUAAUUUAAAUCAUAUUAAGUUCACAUCUAUUUCAGAUUUAGAAGGGUAUUUUAUAUUUUUUAAAUUAUUAAAGUAUAAUGCAUUAUUCAAUUAAAAAUUAAUUAUCACUAUUAGUUAAAAAUUGGUCAUAUUAGGAAAUAAUCAAUUAAGACAAUGGUUAUAUAAUGUCCAUAAAAUAGAGAAAAUAUUUAAAUAGCUUUAUAUAUAUAUAUAUAUAUAUAUAUAAUUUGUAAAUUAGAUAAAAAUGAAUAAUAAUAUUUUCUAAGGUAUUUAAAAAAUAUUUAUUAUAUAUUCUGUAAGUUUGAAAAAAAAAUUAUGAGGUAUUUAAAAAACAUUUACUUAAAAAAAUGCACUUGUCAAUAAUCAUUUUUAACUAUUCAUUUCUAAUAUUUAAUUAAAAUGUGUUCUCAAACAAGGUGGUUAAGAAGUGUCUUCAAAACUCUCCCUUCCUCACAAUUAUUACAACUACUCUAUAUGGUUGGUUACUUGUGUUAACGAUGGGAUUUGGGGUUGUCAGACAAGAAUCUAGGAGCCGGACGUGGACAAUGUAAAGACCAUGUCUCCAGAAUUUCGUAUGGCCACCAAAAUCUUUCAGCGGUGAGACCUGAGAUUCACACGUUCAAAUUAACAUCUGGGCUCUAUUUUUUUUCUCAGAGACUGGCCUUCCCAGUUUUGGAAUUCGUCUUCCUUGAUUCUGCCACAAAAUUCUAAGAAAGAAUUUUCUCCUUUCAUCAGGACAGCAACCCAUCUUUUCGGUUCGGAAACCCCAAGUUUCCUGGAAAAUUGCUAGUUCCAUUGAUGGCGCUGUAUGUGAGCAGUGCAUGUUUUUGUGGGUUCAGUCAGAAAAGGGUAGAGAGGAUCAAAGCUGUUGCUUCUGAGGGGUUUGCUACCGUAAAGACAGAGGAAGAGAAGGUGAAGUUGGGGGGUUCUGAUUUGAAAGUGACAAAGCUUGGAAUCGGAGCAUGGUCAUGGGGUGAUACAUCGUAUUGGAAUAACUUCGAAUGGGAUGGUGAGUUGCAAAAACCCCACUCAGUAAAAGGGACAGAGAUUGAAAAUUUUGAAAUGUGUGCACAAUUUUUUUUUCUUGGCAGUUGGGAGUAUUCUAAUUCUCAUUCUGUUUCAGAUAAAGUGACAUUCCCUUUUGAAAUUUGUGCUCAAUUUUCAUGGACAAUCGGAUUAUUCUAGUUUUUUAUUGUCUGUUAAGUGGUCUCAUAUCUGAAUCAAAUUCAUGGUGUAUAGUGUUUUAAUUUUCUCUGAACUUCCCAAAAUAAGUGAUUUUAUGAUUUUAGUUAAGAUUUUUAAUUGAAUGCUUAAUGUACAUGCUAAGGUUUUGAAAUUCUGAGCAAUUCUCCCCUUCAAAUGAAUACCACAGCAAUCCAUUUUGUGGUAUGGGUUAAUGCCCUUUUUUUUAUAUAUAUUUUUUUUAACAUAGGAUUUGAAAUUAUUGGAUAAUGUUGCCUUUAUAUUUCUUUCUGUCUUUCUUUCCUUUUUUAACUGUUAGAUGACUUUUAGUUUUGCUUUGUACAUAUUUAGGAUGAAUUUAAAUACAAGAAAGCAGUAAGGGUGCUUUCAUGUUUAGAUGAUUGGUUAUUAUUGUAUGUCUGAGCUAAUUAGUGGGAUGGACAUUCUUGUUUGUUUAAUAGGUGUUUGGAAGUCAAUUAAAUGAAUUGAAUCCAUUAUGUUUUAUGUAAGAUUUCCAGUGUAGUCACUAUGUGCUUUUGAAGCAUUAUUGUAAAGUCUAUUUGUUUUCUAAAACAUGUUUGGGAAUAGAUCACAAUGAAAAUGCGAUUAAUAGCUUAUUCGUAUAAAUAGUUGGAUAUAUUUAAGUUUCAUGCUAAUUUGAGAGUGGAUCUGUUGACUGGGUGCUUCCAUGUCCAUAAAAUUCUGAGUGUGUUCAUUGUGUUUUACUCACAGUUUGAAACUAGUUCAUUCUGGUUUUCCGAUGGCAACUAAAUUGUUCUUUCUAUCUUUUCAACACUUACUAAAGAAAACAACAAUAAAGGAUUAAUAGUAGGAUUGAUAGGAAUAUGGUUGCUUUCUUGUUUGGAUGGUUGGAUACAUUGAUGUUUAAGUUAAUUUUAGGGAUGAAAAUAUUUCAUAAUUAAAAAUGGAAGAAUGGAUGUUUGAUGGAAAUCAAAUGGAAUUGUUGUGUUAUGCAUUGUACCUGAAAGGAAUCUGUUGUGUUUCAUAAUGGCAAUUGAAAAAUGCUGUUUGAUUUUUUUGAACACUAGUCUGAAAUUAGCUUUAUUUUAAAAUUUCUAAUGAAUGUCCUCAUUUUCAUUUCUUUGCAGCUGUUAAUUGGAUGAUUACCUUCAUCUUUCACUACCUCUAUGUGAAAUUUUACUUAAUAAAUUAUUUUCUUUUGUGUGGUUUGAUUUGCCUUCUAGGCUAUUUCAUAUUUUUCUCCAUCUGCUAGCCAAAUUAGAUGAAGUAUUGGCUGAAUUUCUAUUCUGCUUGUGAUGAUGGCAGAUAGGAAGAUGAAGGCAGCUAAGGGUGCUUUUGAUGCUAGCAUAGAUGUUGGUAUAACCUUGUUUGAUACUGCUGAAGUUUAUGGCUCAAGGGUAGGGAAGGGUUUCAUUUAAGUUCGUUUCUUUUUCCUGCAUUUGAUGCCAUGAAAAGUUGAGUAUUUCAAUUUAGUCGGCAUGUUCUCCUCUUGCAGUUCUCUUUUGGCGCUAUAAAUUCUGAAACUCUACUAGGAAGGUAAGUUGUGAGAAUUUGAUAAUGGCUUGCAUUUCAUGUUUCCCAAAACUCACAGAAUCCAGAAGUUUCCAGCAUUUAUUUUUAAUCAUGGUUCUAAUUAUCCAACUUAUUGGUUUUGUUAAAGGUUCAUUAAAGAAAGAAAAGAAAAGAAUCCAGAAGUGGAGGUUGCUGUUGCAACCAAGUUUGCAGCUUUACCAUGGAGGUUUGGACGUCAGAGUGUAAUCACUGCCCUUAAGGAUUCCCUAUGUCGCCUUGGACUUUUGUCAGUGGAUCUCUAUCAACUUCAUUGGUCAGUGCUUUAUGAGCCUUUAUACUACCAUCUAUCUGAGUUUCUGUCAAAGAAAAAUAGCUAAUCAAAGUGUCUGUACCAAUUUUCAGGCCAGGAGUAUGGGGAAAUGAAGGUUGUUCAUUUGUAACAACAUUGCUUCAUUCAACAAUUUAGUUGAUAUAAUUGAACAUGCAUAUGCUCAGAUUCAGAAGAAGCUUAGUUUAUGAGGAAAUCAUUUUUCAGGGUAUAUUGAUGGUCUUGGAGAUGCAGUGGAGAUGGGCCUUGUGAAGGCUGUAGGAGUUUCUAACUACAGUGGUACGUAUCUUAUUUUCAGCUACUGAUUACUGUUCAGGUCACAGACUAAAAUGUGUGAGGGUUUUCUGUUAAUCAUUAUUUCUUUUUUCCUUUAAUUGAUCAUCUUUAAGAUUUAUAUGGUUACCCGCAUUUUUCCUGGAUUUGAUAAAUAUGCCUGAGAUCUUUUUGUUUUUUAACAUAUCUAGAUUUGGUGAAUGAACAUAAGUCCUUAUUGUUUUAGAAAAGCGUCUCCUUGAGGCUUAUGAGAAGCUUAAGAAGAGAGGUAUCCCACUGGCUUCAAACCAAGUCAAUUACAGCCUUUUAUACAGGCUUCCAGAGGAGAAUGGGGUGAAGGCUGCCUGUGAUGAACUUGGGGUUACUUUGAUUGCAUAUUCACCUAUUGCUCAAGGUGAAAUUCCAAUUUCAUUAUGUUCCAACUUCAGUGUAUAUUAUUGGUUCUAUGCAGUCUCUCAUUACCAUUUGAUAUAUGAGUUCAAAGAGUUUUGCGAGUUUUUAGAUUUUUUCACAGAAAUAUUAUCCUUCCAAUUCUCUGUAUGUUGGCCUUGCAAGCUGAGCCUGAGAUGAAGGGGCAUGCGAAACAGUUUAAUAUAAAAGCAUAUGCUUUCUAGGUAGUUGUUUGGAUGCUAUCUUUUUUCAAAAUUUUGCCAAGAAGGAGUGCUGAAGGGUGGAGGAAAUGGGUUACCACUUUCAAUCAGUUAGCCUCAGGUGUAAAAUAUGAUGCUGUACCUGGUCAUUCAAAUGACUCAAAUCAGACCCCUAUUACAGUACAACUGGCCCUUUGACUUGAAGAACCCUGUGCUUCUGGUUUCCCAACAAUUCCUUUAUUUAUUUAUUUAUUUUGUCUUGCUGCUUGCGUUUCUGUUUUCUUUUUCAUCAUGUGGAACACAUCACCUUUGAUUGUCAACAGUGUCUCUGUCUGGUCAUCUAAAAUAUCUGUGCGAAAUGGGAUCGUGUCCGAACAAUCUCUUAACCUCAUUAUGAAGCCAAAAAGAAAAAAGUUUAAUUCUUACCAAUUUUCCUGGUAUUAUGUUAGAUGACGUCUUUUCUCCAGUUAGAACUUGUACCACCAUGGUUCAUAACUUCCUGAUUAACAUCCUAUUGCAUUUUGCUCCAUGUUACAAUUGCAUCAUCAUGUCUUAAAUAUAUGUUGAUCUGUUGAUAUCUUGUGGGUAUGUCCAAUAUCUUUGAGUAUCAGUAUACUUGAAAUCUUUAUCCAAGUUUCAUUGUUUUGCUGCUAGUUUCUACCAUUUUUCCGAUUGAUAUCAUUACUAGAUAAACAUUUCUCUAGUCCUAAAUUAAAUCAAUUUUCUGCUGAUACCUCCAUGUUUUUCUUUCACACCCUUGAUGUGAUGGCCAAUGCUAAUAUUUUAUUUCUUAUAGUCAUUCAACCAUGUUCUGAAUGGGUUGUGACUUGAUCCAUAUGCACUGAUGUUUCCCCCCAUUCUUGCAAGAGUGUAUAAUCAAGGAACAAAUUAGCAUAUUGAUGACCAAAUGAACAUAGGGAGUACACCAAUCUAAUGUGAUUAUACAGAAUUAAUACUUCAAAUGAAGUCCCUUUACAUCCCAUCCUGGAUCUUGAAAACUUGUACCUUUGACUAUCAGGUCUGGAUUUGGAAAAACAGUACUUUAGCAUGAGUAUGCCACAACAAAAUGAGCUUUUCUACUUAUGCAGGUGCUCUCACGGGGAAAUAUACGCCAGGCAAUCCUCCCACUGGACCUCGAGGUCGGAUUUAUACCCCCGAGUUCCUAGCAAAGGUAAGACUCCAAAAUUAAGAUGAAAGUGCAUUAUUACCUUUUAAGUCUCCAACAUCAUUGUUGAACCAUUUUCAUGGUAUGCAGCUCCAACCUCUGCUAAACAGAAUCAUGGAGAUAGGACAGAAUUACGAUAAAACUCCCACACAGGUUCUUUCUUGUUCGACCCUAGCAUGUAUCAUUUAAUCUUGUUAGUUUAGUGGCUAGAUUUUGUUGUUUCUAGCCCAAUGAAAGCCAUGUUACAUGGGUUGGGGAAUAAGUUGUCAGCUGUUGGGGCCUGUCAAUCCCCAAAUUGUUCAAUACUGGGACGCAACUUAAGAACCAAAUUUCCUUUUCUCAUUCAAUAUCUUAGGCUGCGCAUGGAUUACUCUAACAAAUCAGCUCGAGAUUACAGUGGAUAAGGAACUUUUAUUCCUUCUUUUGGACAUCCCUGUUGGGAAUGUAUCUAAUUAGUGAGCAUUCAUAACCCACACCAAAAUCAUUUUCAUAUCAUGUCUGAAAUGGAUGUUUCUCUAGAUUUUGUUGUUUCUAGUCCAAUGAAAGCCAUGUUACAUGGGUUGGGGUAUAAAUUGUCAGCUGUUGCGGCCUGUCAAUCCCCAAAUCGUUCCAUACUGGGACGCAACUUAAGAACCAAAAUUCCUUUUCUCGUUAAAUAUCUUAGGCUGCGUAUAGAUUACUCUAACACAUCAGCUCGAGAUUACAGUGGAUAAGGAACUUUUUAUUCCUUCUUUUGGACACCCCUGUUGGGAAUGUAUCUGAUUAGUAAGCAUUCAUAACCCACACCAAAAUCCUUUUCAUAUCAUGUCUGUAAUGGAUGCUUCUCAUACUCUGAAAUAUCCAUGUGAUCUAGAGCUAAAAUAAGACUUAGAGCAACAUAGCAGAAACAAUCCUAUUUAGCAGUUUCUCCUAUAUAUGUUGGGCAAACUGCACAUCAGCACAUGGGUAUCAGACACUUGUUCCAGUUCCGAUAUGUGUAUCUGCAUUGGAUACUGUUGCAUGUGUUAGUUUCCUUGUUAUUUAGUUAGGGAUUCACAAAUCUCCUAGUAACUACAACAAGAACCCAAAAAUGAUUUUACAGUUUCCAAAUGCCACCAUGGUUAAUCCUUCAUGCAAGAUUCACUAAGACAAGGAUUCCUUCCACAGGUAGUCCUCAACUGGUUAAUAUGCCAGGAGAAUGUUGUGCCCAUUCCAGGAGCCAAAAAUGCAGAGCAGGCUAAGGAGUUUUCAGGUGCACUUGGGUGGAGACUCACCGAUGAUGAGAUCAACGAGCUGCGCUCUUUGGCAUCAGAGACAAAGCCUGUUAUCGGUUUUCCUGUUGAGAACUUGUAGAAUUUUUACUCAAAGCUUUUUCAGUGUGGGCAUACAGUUCUCCAUGUCAAUGAAAAUGAAUAAAGGUAUAUACAACCACACUUUCAGACUCUUCUCUGUAUGAUUUAUUACUUAACUUAAUCCCUGUUUUACAUUACGGCGCAUACUAACAACCUUUAAAGUAAUAAAAGGGACAGUUCCAAUCCUUAUCCGCUGAUACUGGCCAGUUCUAAGCCAUACAAAAGAGGAAGAACAGCAUUACGCGUAAAAUCUUAUCCAUACUUGUGGCCAGGGAUCAUAUAGGUUGAAAAGGACUUCACUUGUUUUACUUGAAGAUACUGAUCAAGGCUUCCUUAUCCAAGAAGUCAAAACAGCUUUCACAUGGAAAGGAGAUGACAAAUGAGCUUAUGGUAGGAAGCAAUAUAAACUACUAUGGUAAUAGUAUAUAAACCUUUGGAGGAAUGAAGAUUGUGUGUGUGAAAUAGAGCUUGAUAGAGGCUUAAAUCUAAGGUUUGAUGAUAAAAGGCCGAUUUAGGUUUAAGUUUUAUUAAACCCGAAGGGAGGUUAUUCGUGAGUGUUGACGUCAGAGUCACAAUUUCAUUAUAUGCUCAAAUCUUAUAAACUUAAACUUUCAAGAAAAAAAAAAAAAAAAAAAAAAAAAACACGACAAACAAGAAAAACCCUCUAGAAGUUUAAUAUUAUUUUCUAUGGAGCACAUGCUAUGCCUUGAUUUUCCUUGUCUUGGUGUGUAUCACACCCAAAAUGGUGACAACUCCAAGCCAAAAAAUGGUGACAGCUCCACUCGACUAAGCCUUCCAAUAGAACUAUUUACAGCUCCACUCAAUUAUUAUAAUUCAUCUUUUAAUCGUAUUUAUAAAUAUUUUACUUCAUAAUUUCCUUAUAUUAAAAUUAAAAAAAAAAUUAUACGAAUUUUUGUUCAAUAAAACAUGAAAGAAGUGUUUUUAAAACACUUUUCAAAUGGAGGCUGCAUUUGCCAUUUUUCUUGUGAUAAGUCUAAACAUGAACAUGUGGGUGAUUUCAAUCGUCCUUUAAAGCCUAUUUAUGAGGUAAGAGGGUGCGUGGGCUUGCUCUGACGUAUCUAAUGGCCAUUGGACAUGGGUUGUGCUUUGAAAUCGGCUUUUGAUGAUCAAAUAAAAGCCCGACAUUUGCCAUUGUUUUGAUGAAGGGCUUAGUCUCAAAAAAAGGUGGUCCACAUGGUUACGAUAUGUCAUGUUGCAUAUGAUUCAUUGCUCAUCCCACUAUUCAAUAUAAAAGUAUCUAACCGAAGGAGUGUGCCGCACGAUGAAUUGGGUCCGACUCCUUGGUCCUCCCCCCACUCCCCAAUCAUCCUCCCAAAAUUUAAUGGUCUUGUUUCAAUGCUUUGAAUGUGAACCUCCCCCCGCUCGUCCUUUUUGAAAGACCCUGACCCGACUGCUCUCCUCCGAGCCCCAUGUGUUGUUGUGCUUUCAAUGCGCCACACGCUACUAGACUGCGGUUAAUUUUGUUAGCCGCGUCUUGGUCUUGUUGUCUCAUUGACACUCAACAAAGGAACUCUCUAUUUCCCUUUCAUCUUCCACUUGUUUAUAUGCAAAAUACAACUCCACUGUUAAUAAUAUUAAUGGAAAUUACGUCUUCUUAAAACACCAACCACGACAUAUUCCAUAAAACUUGGAACAAGGAAUGAGAAUGAAUGAAAAAUUCGAAUGUAUUGACUAACUAGUUUUAAUGUUUUCAAAAGAAUUUAAUUUUUUAAGAAUUUGUUUAAAAAUAGAGUAUUGUCGGAGAAUUUACUUUAGUUUAUUUUACUUUUUUUAUAAUAUUAUUUAAAAAAUAAUUAUAUAAAUAUGAAAAAUGACUAAAAAUAAAACAUUACAAAUAAAAGUUAUACUUUCAAAAAUAUUUGAAAAUAUUAAAAAUAUAUUAAAAAUGUUUCAAGUUUUUAAACAAACUUUUGCUUUUAUAAAAUAUUAAAGAAUUAGUUUUAAAAUUUGUUUUCAUCGUACCCUUUGCUUCAUUUUUUAAUUUCUCUGAUAUAUUUUUUUAUAAUAGGAAUAGAAUUUCUACUUUGUUAGUUAACUAUUUUCUAAAAUUGUUCUAAAAAAUAAUUUUUGAGAAUAAUUUUUUAAAAUUGUUUUAUGAUGUUUUAUAAAAUAAAAGUCUAUUUGAAAACUUAAAAUGUUUUUAAUACUUUUAAAUAUAUUUUAAAAUUAAUUUUUAUAUCCAAUACUUUAUUUUUAAUUAUUUUAUAUGUUUUAAUAAUUGUUUUCUAAAACAAGUAAAAAUAAUAAAAAAUAAUUAAAAAAAUGUUAUCUAAAAAAUUCUAUUUGUUAUUCUUAUAAACAAAAAACAAAAAAUAAUUUUUUUUUAUUUUAUAAAAUAAAAAGUUAUUUUAAAAAAUAGUUACCAAACAUACCCUUUUAUUUCUUUUCUCAAUAUAUUACAAUAAUUCAACUUUAUUUCCUUUCCUAGUAUCUUUGAUCUCAAACCCACUUAUCAAGUUAUACAUCGUUCAUUAAAAUAUAUUUUUUGAAUGAUAAGAAAAAAAAUUAUUAAUAAAAUAAAUAAAAAUAAUCUUUUAACUUUUUUUUAGUUAAUUUUUAUAUAUUUUUUUUUUCCCAUUUUCAUUUUUUCGUCAUAUUUUUUCUUAUAGAUUUCAAUACAUCAUUCAAAAUCAUGCUACAUAUUUAUUUAAAUACAAAAACUGGAAAAUUUCACCAUGCAUGAGAGCCAGCAAAUAUCGCACCAACAUCCACCUUUUCCCUACAGAGUACAUACCCAGAAUAAAAAAAUAAAAAGAAAAAUUAUCUGCCCAUUUCAUGGCUUGACGGGACGGCCUCAAAUAACAGCCACAGGUAAAAACGACUCCAUAUCCAAAGUCAUGCUUCCGAACUUCCCCAAAAUGAAGUGGAAAAUGCCCAUAUGGGUAAAUAAUUUUUCCAGAAGAAAAAUUGUAGUGCCCCCACAGGGCAUAAGAUACCUGUAGAGCAAUAUAUAUGAGUUGUCAAAAGAAAAUUUGUCAGACAGAACAGUCCCUCAUCAUUGCACAAUGAAAUGCAACCACUAUUCAGAUAGUGUGAUCCAUGGGGAAGAAGAUGUAGAUCCUCUACUAACAAAACACCAAAUCCAGUCAGGCAAAUUCAGAGUUCAUUCACUGACCUGGUCCCACUCAUACAGUGUAGCAUAUUCAUCAGAUGACAAGUGGAGAGUCAGAGUUUGCGAGUCACAUUACUAUCAAAGCUUUGUGUUCCUACUCGAUCUCUCCUCCAUCCUUUCUGUCAUGUCUCUUUCAUUCUAUUAGAGACGGGGCAGAGGAGCUUUAAAGGGGCUAAACCAUUCCCUGUUUCUUGCUAAACUCAGAGGACCUAAUCCAUUCCCAGUUUCUUCUUCAGCUCUGAGAUACAGUAAGAAAAGAGAGACUCUUUAGCUUUUGUCAGUUGUGUGUUGCAGUUUUUUUUUUCUUCUCUUAUUGGGUUCUUUGUUUUUUUUCCGUGAAUUGCGUGUCUUCAUAUGAUGGAUUUCAUGCACCUGUUUUCAGAUUGGUUCAUUUCACGAGGAUGAUACUUGAAUUCAGCUGUUCUUUUCCUCCCCCCUCUCUCUCUCUCUCAUUUGAUUUUUACUAUUCUAUGUUUUUGUUGAUUCUGUGAGGUGGGUUUUGUUAGUAUGUUUUUCUCAAUACAAUAUUAUAGUUGGAGAUAUUCAGAUUGAGAGUUAUUUCCAUGCAUCUUGAUUUCUUCCUUCUUUUAACAGAAAAUCCCAGUCUGGUGAGCCAUGAAUCACCCCCUUCUUCCAGAUUGGAAUAUUGAAGGCGAUGUCCCUGUAACCAAUCAGAAGAAACCCAUGGGGUUAGUACUCUCAGUUUUUGGGUGGAUUCCUCUGCUGAAAUCUUGGUUUUUACCUGUUUCUGUGUGUUUGGAUGUUAUUGAUUUUGGUGGAACAAUUUUACAGGCAAGAGCAUGAGCUUGUAGAGCUCUUAUGGCGAAAUGGGCAGGUGGUAUUGCACAGCCAAACACAGAGAAAAUCCGGUCUUGCUCCAAAUGAGUCUAAACAAGUUCAGAAACAUGAUCAAACCAUGCUAAGGAAUGGUGGGUCAUGUGGGAAUUGGAGUAAUUUGAUUCAGGAUGAGGAGUCAAUCUCAUGGAUCCAAUACCCACUGGACGAUUCCCUUGACAAGGAGUUCUGUUCUAAUUUGUUCAUGGAAUUGCCGCCCAAUGAUCCAGUUCAGCCUGAAAAGCCUGUUAGACACUCUGAACAAGAAAAGUCUGUCCCCAGCUCACAACAACCUAUUUUUAAGCAUUUGGGUAGUCCUGAAUUCCCAGGAAACCCAAUGCCGCCGCCUAAGUUUCAGGUUCCUGGUUCAGUCCAGCAGAAUUGCAGCUCAGGAGGAUUUGGAAAGAUUGUUAACUUUCCUAACUUUUCAUUCCCAGGGAGAAGCAAUUUAGGAUCUUCCAAGGCACAACUGGGGGGAAAGGGAUCAGGAAAUAUGGCACAAGGAGGAGAUGCUAAAGAGGGUUCAGUCAUGACAGUUGGGCUGAGCCACUGCGGCAGCAAUCAAGUUGUGAAUGAGGCUGACUUGAGCCGAUUUUCAAGCAGUGGCGUUGGCACCGGUUGUUUAUCUUCAGGGCAUGUCAAGGAAAAUGUUAUGAGGAUAGUUUCUCAGGGGGACAGAAGGCAAACAGAGACGCUUGAACCUACUGUUACUUCAUCUUCCGGUGGUGGGUCGGGCAGUAGUUUUGGGAGAACAUACAAGCAGUCGACCGACACCAAUAGCCACAAAAGAAAGGGCAGAGAAGCAGAGGAAUCUGAGUGCCAAAGCGAGGUAUUAACUCUCUGCCUUUCUUGACUAUACCAGCUUGUAAAAUCUCACAUGAGUUUAUGUGCUGAACAAAGAUUUUGUAAACUUGUAGGCUGCUGAACAUGAAUCAGCUGCAAGAAACAAGGCAUCACAAAGAUCCGGGUCAACUAGGAGGAGCCGUGCUGCUGAAGUCCAUAAUCUCUCAGAGAGGGUAGGAUAUAUAGGAUUCCAUGGCUUUUCAUUGUUUAUGAUUUUGAAAUGAUCCUUGUACUCAAUUCUUAAUGCAGAGACGGAGAGAUCGAAUCAAUGAGAAAAUGAAGGCAUUACAGGAGCUUAUACCUCACAGCAACAAGGUAAACUUUCCCAUUUUUCCUCUUUUUCUUACUGCUCAGAUUUCAGAAAUAAGUUAUCAAUAAAAGAAAAGAAAGAAAGUUAGCCAAUUGGUUAAGCCUGGUUCAAAGCAAAAGAAAAUUUUCAGUCUAAGGUUGUGAGACAAGAUGAGAUAAACCCUAUUCCCUCACAAAACAUUAGGCCCUGUAUAUAGCAGAGUAGGCAAAAAAAGAUUGGCGUACCAAACCCCUAGUAGUUGAUAUAAAGUUUUGUGUAGUGUUUAGCGCUUUUUGGUUAACUGAAUUAAAUGUUUGCUCUCCAGUCAGAUAAAGCAUCGAUGCUAGAUGAGGCAAUUGAGUACUUGAAGUCCCUUCAGUUACAACUUCAGGUACAUGAAGUUCAUAGCCAAUAACUAGCUCAAUGGACUACCACCAAUGAAGCCAUUGACAUCAUUUUCUUGUUUCCAUUUCAGUUGAUGUGGAUGGGAGGUGGUGUCGCGCCUAUGAUGUUUCCAGGAGUCCAGCACUAUAUGGCCAGAAUGGGAAUGGGAAUGUGUCCACCUCCACUGCCUUCUAUUCACAACCCAAUGCAUUUACCAAGGGUUCAACUAGUUGAUCAGUCCACAUCUGCAGUUCCACCAUCAAACCAGCCUCCAAUUUGCCAAACCCCAGUCUUGAAUCCGGUUAAUUAUCAAAAUCAGAUGCCAAAUCCCAACUUUCCGGAGCAGUUUGCGCAUUACAUGGGCUUCCACCCUAUGCAAACUCCCUCUCAGGUUAGUUGCUAGCCUUCUCAUCUACUGGGAAUGAAUGGUUUGGCUUUCCCAGUCAAUGCAUAUUUCCCAUGAAUCACUGCAUUGGUUCUCUUGCAGCCCAUGAAUGUGUUCAGCUUUGGAUCCCAGAGUCACCCCAUGGCAUCGCCUGCCACCACUGGUGGCACCCCCACUGCAGCUGCUGCAGUUGAUGGUGCUCCAGGCAGCAAGUUGGGUGAGUCCUCUCAAGCUCAGGCCGGUCUUUUGACAUUGCACCCAUUGCAUAUGAUCAACAAAACAACAAUUCCCUCAAUAAAGCAACCACGGAUUUUGAAACUAAAGAAGGAAUAUUCCCUUAAAAAAAUUUUCAAAACCACCCCAAAGUUAAGUCCUUUGAGUACAAACUUGGACCAAACAAAAUGAAACCCUCCCUUCAUCCAUUACACUGUCUGCAACAUCACCAUGCAUUACACCAUUUUCCAAUGACUUUAGGAUUUUUUUGUAGCAGUCCACAAUCCCAUCAUGUCAAAUCCUUUUCACCUUUGUUAAAUUCCUUUCCAUGUCCAUAUCCACGAUCAAAUGCUUUUUCAUGUGACAGCCAUGUUCCUCUUUGACAUUAACAGGUUAAUACCAGUGGGUACGCAUGCUGCUCGAAUGCUUUUGGUUCCAUUACACAUCAAGUGCGCCCAUUGCAAGAUGAUGAUAAAAGCCAUCCAUUAAUUUCGUCCUGGUGGAUGGCCUAGGCCAGCUCUUCCUACAUAGACUAAGAAUCCAUCAAGUUAUGUGUUUACCCAUAUGGAUGAAAUUAUAUCUCAAGCUUUGGAUGAAAACGAUUCAGUUUCAGUUCCUUGCUUCCUUGCAACUUGAGCAUGGAGACAAGGAUAGCAUUGUCAAUAGUCCUUCCCCCUUUCUCUACUGGAGAAAUUAUUAUUUUUGACUCUUGAUAAUAAUGUUUAAAAAAAGGUGGUUAUUGUUGGAGCAUAAUUGGUAUGAAAACUCAUCAUUUUCCUUUCCAUGAAUGCCCAAUUGCUUGACAUGAAGGGCCCCUCUGUAUCUUUCAGUAUGAUGGCUAUUUUUGCUUCACAGUGCUGGUAUCUUUUUAUCAAAAGAGAAAAAAAAAUGAUUAAAAUUGAAUAAUAUUUGAUUUUUUAUAAUGAUUAAUAAUAAAUUUUUUUUUUUAUUUUGAUAAAUAUAUUUUUAAUGAAAGGAUUUUGGAAGAAAGGUUCCUGACAGGCAUGAAAAUCAUGUCUGUCUGUCAUCUCUAAUGGAAGAAGAAAAAGGGUCAUUGUCAGAACUCUCUUCUCUCUGUAUCAAUCAAUCUCUCAUAAAAGGAGGGAUAUGAUUUCAAAUAGUGAUAUAUGAAUUUGUGGCCAUGAAUUAAGAAUUCGUAUGGGAGACUUUGAAUUGCAUCAAUUCUUUUGUUUGGUCAAGAUGCAAGUAAUUGAAUGUGUAUAGGGGUUGUCAUGGGAUGAGAAUAAAAGCUACCCAACUAGUUGGCCUCAUGUUUGGGUACUUUGUAUCUAUGACACCAAGUUAAAUUGUUAAUGGCCCUGUCAUGGGACCUGUACAACCCCACACAUGGCCGGUGGGGAAGGACUCACCAUGAUUCAUGACUUGUGUCCCUCACCCUCCUGUUCAUUUUCGUGAGUCUUAGGGAUGUGAACAUUGCAACUGGUUAAUUUAAUUUACAUACACUCGUCGGCUGUGGUGUAAAUAUAUCCUAUUACCAUUAGUUUUAAAUUUAGUUAUUUAGUACUUUUAUAAACUUAUUUAGUUUAUAAAAUUCAUUUUUUAAAGAAAUUUUAUGUAAAUGUGUUUAAUAAUUUUCUAAAAAAUAAAUUUUGCUCUCUUGAAAUAUAUUUUAUAAAUGAAAUAUAUCUAUGAGGGUGUUGAUCAAUAAAAUUUGUGAUUAAUAUGUUAACCAAAUCACACACACGAGUAGAAAAUAAAAUUUUAAAAAAAUAUAUGUGGUUCGGUGAUCAGAGUGAUCUCUAUGUCCACGAAGUGUAUUAACACUCAACAAUUCAUUAAUAAAAACGAAUGAAAAAGUUACAAUGGUAAAACUCUAAAAAAAACCCUUUCAAUUGCGAUCACAUUCUUAGAAAAAAAAAAUUAAAUAUAUAAUAGAGGUAAACAUGUUAAUCAACACAAAAUUUCUGCAAAAGACGUUGCUCUCUUCGACCCUCAUAAAUUGAUUGGACAACUCGAUCCCUACGAUUUCAUCGAAGAGCUCGACUCUUGCGAAUUGAUCAUUGAACAGGCCAACCUCGAUAUUCCGAGCAAAAUAUAAUAAAACUGAUUCAGAUUUCACAAUCCAAUAUAAUAAAGACUUAGUGUAUUUAUAUUAAUCUUCAAAGUGUGUAAAAGAAAUUAAUCUCAAAUAAAAUCAAAUUUAGUAAAUCUGUAAUUUUUUUCAUAAUUGUUCUAUUUGAUGGAUUUAUUUAAAAUUAACAUUUAAAUCAUAUGAAAUAAGAUAAGAAAUAGGAUAAUAAUAUAUUUUAUCUUGUAUUCAACGAUUGAAUAGCAUAUUCAUAAUGAUGAUAGGAUAAAAAACUCCAUUAUCUUAGAAUACACAGGUAUCAUUGAAAAUGAUAUUGAUAUAUCAUGUUUUAUCCGCAAAACAAAAAAGCAAUCAAAAUUAUUAGUUUAAAAUUUUCUUUUCUAUCCUUUUCGUAUCAUUGCAUGUCAUAAUUAAACAACGAAGGUCGUCAUAUUGUUUUGUUACAUCAAUGGAUGACAUGACUCUAAAAUAUCAGCGUACCAAAUCAUCCUAGCUAACAUUAUUCCAAUAAAUGACGAAAAAUACGUAAUUAGAAAUUGUGGGUCAUGUUAUUGUUUGGGGCCAAAAUCUAAAAUUUUCGUUGUUGUGGGCUAAAACCUACAUUUUAUUACACCUCACUCCUCAGUGGUGUUCUAAUGAAUAAAGUUACAAGAAAGUUGUGCAAGAGUGGCCUUGGCACUAAAAUUAGCGUACAAGAAUGUGAUGUGAAGGUCUCUUUGUGGCCUUUGUAUCCUAUAUAUUAGAUAUGAUUGAAUCCCUUUAGUUAAAGACAAACCCCUUUUCAAGGGGUUUAAUAAUUAAAAUAAUUACUUCGUAAGCCAUUUUGAUAAGGCAUUGGCAUUAUUUGAUAAGUUAUCAAUAUACAUCAUGGGACAUCUUUAGCUAAUUAAUUUACAUUUCUAGCUAAUUUUCUUCUUUUCCUUUUUCUCCUUCCUCACUUCUUGUUAUACUUGGUGAUAUCAAAUCGAUAUUGUUUUGGAUGCACUGAAAAUCAAACUAAUCAUAUCUAUAAAGAAAAUUGAUUAGUUUUGUUCAAUUUGAUUUACAAAUGGUAAACAACUAAAUCAAUCUAAAUCAACUCAAUUUGGUUUGAUUUGAAAACUAACUUUUUUUUUUUUUUUUUAGCAAUUUAAGAUAAAAUUGAAAAUGCUUAAAUUUGAGAAUGCAUGUCACAAAACAUUAAUAAUCUUAUUUCAACUUAGUAAAAAGUUGUAAGCCUUGUUCAAGUUAUUCUACUUAGUCCAAAUGAUCAAAAACUAAACUUCAAAGUUAUAAUAAUACACCACUAAACUUAUAUUAUAAUAGUAAAUAUCGUACUUAUUUAUUCAAAGCAUAAAAGUCAUGAAAAUUCAUAUGGCAAAGAACCAAUAUGGAAGACAUGUAUUUAUAUAUGUCUGAAUAAUUAUCAAUUCAGUUCAACUUGUUUUCAAAUUUUUGAAUGGGAAAUCGAAGCCGAAGUUGGUCUUACUCAUUUUCAACUUAUAAAACUGAAAUUAGAGAAAACCUCAUGUAAUCCAUUUGAUUAUGCUAAUUUGUUCUAGUUUGACUAUUGUUUUGAGUGAUUCAAUUUUUUACACGCCCCUGCUCCACAAGUUUAAUACAAAUGGAUUUUACAUCCUACCUAGAUGUUUAUGAAAGCUCAAUAAAUCCGAAUUCUUAUAAGAAGUAAUAUAACUUUUACUCUCGUAUAGGUGAAUCUAUCAAAUUCAUUCCACAAUUAAACAUGUUACUUAUAAAGGAUAUGGUAUUUAUUAAGACUUAAUUUGUAAUACAUCAUAAGAAUGGUAUAGCCAACAAAUGACUUGUUAUUACCAUAUGAAUUUGUCUUCUUGAAUCUUCAUUCAUCCUAUUUCCUUGGAUUUCUUUUCAUGUAGGUGGAGUAACUAGCUUUGCUCUUUACUUUUAUGCAAGGCAUGAGCCCCAUCCCCUUUGAUGCAUCUUCUUAUUUAAUGGUUUAGCCAUAUGAUUGGCUAAAUCUAAUAGGAACUUGGCUAUCAUGCAUGGUGCAUAGACACAAAUAAAGUUUGUUGAAGUAUUGUAUUAGGCAACCAUUGACUCAAACAAUAUUAAAAUAAAUGUACACUAUUAUCAAUUUAUCUUUGGUUAUAAGUUGGAAUCGUAAGGUGUCAACAUUAUUUUAUGGUAUAAGUGUUAUUUCUUUUUUAUAUAUACAGUAUUCCAUUAACUGCUCUAGAUAUUUUGAUUAUUAAAAUUAUUUGUCUUUUCUAUAUACUCACAAUCAAAGUUGGAUCCAAGGAGUCAUUUAGGCCUGUUUGAGAACUAUUUUUUAAAAUAGUUUUUUAUUUUUCAGCACAAAAAAAAAUAAAAAAUAAAAAAACGUUUAAUAACCAAAAACUAUUUUAUGUUUUUCGUUUUUAAAAAUAAAAAACAUAGUAUUUUUAGAAAAUAUUUUUUAGUUGUUUUCUAUUGUUUUCAUUUGUUUUCUGAAAGUUGUUUAUAUAAAUAUGUAGAAUGAUUAAAAUAAAACAGUAAAUAUAAAAAUUACUUUUAAAAAUAUUAAAAACAUUUUAAAUUUUCAAACAGACUUUUGUCCUAUAAGAAUUAAAUAACGAUCUUAAAAAAUUAUUCUUAAAAAUUAUUUUUCAGAAUUAUUUUUUAAAAUAGUUACCAAAUAGGCCAUUUACAUACUAGCAGAUGAUCAAGUUUGUUAUAAAUGCAUUUAUCAAGAACAUUUGUGAAAUUAUUGACCCUUUUUCUAUGAACAAAUUUGAUUUAACCCUUUACUUUGAGAGUUUAGAACAAUUACUUUUUCAAGUAUGAUUGGAUAGUGUUAACUCUUUUUCUAUUAACUUGUCUAAUAUAAGUUUUCUUUUAAAGAUUCUGUAAUAAUCUUUAUUCCCUUACUUUUCAAGUAUGAUUAGACAUUGUCGAUUCAAUUUUUUAUUAACUCAUUUGGUUUAAGAUUUCAUUUUAAAAGCUCAUUUGGAUCCAAUUGUCUAUAUUCUAGGUGCAUUACUUUCUAAGUAGGAUUUGAUAUUAUAAACUCAAUUUCACAAUCACUGCUAGGAAAGAAAAAAGAAUGAAAGACAACCAUUUUUAAGAUAAUAGAAUGAUAGAUUAUAUAAAGUUAAAUAGUAAAAAAAUUUCAUUAUUAAAUAAUAGAUAUUAUAUUUUUACUAUUUAAUAAAAUUAAAAAUAUUAAUUACCUUUUUAAGUAUGUCUAAGAUUAGGAAACUAUUAUUUUAAGGUUAACAUAGGACUCUAUGAAGGUGUAGUAGAGAAAAGAAAAGAAAAAGUAAGAAAAUAGUGAAGAGAGAUAUGCAAAUGGUGUAUUCACUAAAAAAAUGUUAAAAAAGUUUGAAAUGUAUAAUUUUAAAAGUUAUAACAAAUUUGAUCCUCUUUCUAUGGACGAAGGUGAUGACAUCGAACCGUGUAAAUCUUUCAUCAUCUCUAUUUUUUUUUUUUUUUUUUUUGUUGCAUUUGAGUGUUCUGAUUUUUUUUUUUCCCAACAAAUGACAUCAGAGCUUUUGCAUACUCAACAUAAUGAUAUGUCGACAUUAUGAUGUAACUCCAAUUGCACCACUACAUCAUUGAUCAAUGGAUCAAUCACUAUUAUAAUUUAAUAAUCAAUCUAAUUUUGAACGUUAUUACUUAUGAGAGACAAUGAAAUAGAAAAUAAUAAUACCACAAAAAAUAAAGUUAAUUAAUUAUAGACAAGGCAAGUAGGGCUAAAAAGGGGAAAAAAGUAUAGAUUCUUCCGACAUUAGUUGUCUUAUAUUCAUGUGCAAGUAGGUAGCUGGCAUGGACACUGUUGUGUGGAUUAUAGCUAUCAUUCAAUUUUAGCUCUCUCAACCACUUUUUUCUUCUAUCUCCUUUAAGGUUUUAGUUUAUUAAGUAGAUUAAAUAUAUUUAAUAAAAUAAUUUAAUAUCACAAUUUAAAAUUAUUUUUGAUUUUAAGUAUUAAAUCAAAAUAUUUAACUUAUCCUUAAUCUUCAAUCUCUUUUACUUCUUUUAUACAUGUUUAGUAAAAAUAUUUUUUUAUAAUUACGAUCUUACAUUUAUAACUCAUCUUUUUUAAUAAGUAUUUUGUAAUUAUCUCAUAUUUUUAUAAUAUUUUAAAUAUAAAUAUGAAAUAAUAAAUUUAUUACUUAAAAUUAAUAAAAAUAUAAAUAUUAAUUAAAAUUAAUGAGGAUAAAUAUGUCAAUUUGAUAAUUUAGAACAAAAUUUAAGAACAAUUUAACUUAAUUAAAAUCAACUUAAGUUAUUAAAUAAUAAAUAUUAAGUUUUACCAAAUACCCGAGUUUAAUAAAAAAAUUUGUUGCAUUAGAAUAUUAGAAUCAAAUUCAAUUUACUUCUAACUACAUAUAUAAAAUGAAAAAAGAAAAAGGAAAAAAGAAGGGUGAGGAAUGCCUUGAAAAGUGAAUGGGUUUUAAACUCUCCUCUUUUCCAUGUAUGCCAAGUUCACUAAACCAACAAUAUUAUUAACAUAAAUACAUAAAACUAUAAAAAUAAAUUUGAAAACAAGGGGACAUGCACACGCAUGAUUGGAGGCAUCCACUAGAAAAUAUUAUCCCUUCACUCAAACAUGAGCCUUUGGAGAACAAUAGAAUCUUGGCUGCCUCCAACACCCAAUCCUAAUUAUCUCUGAGUUGGCCAUCAUGUCCAUUAGCAUCUUUCCAACGUACCAGGAGAAAACCCUGAUCCAUUUGUCUUCAAACUUAAUCAACUAGUGUGCUAUACCUUUAGCAAUCAAUUCACAAAAAAAGAAAAAGAAAAUUCCAACUUACAAAUGAUUUUUCAAUAUAUGCUUUGAUAAACAUAUCCCAUUCUUGGGAUAUUGUAGUGGGGGAGGUAGAGUGGGAGAUGGCAUCAUUCUCAUUCUCAUUCUCAUCUAUUUCAAUAUUCUUCCUCAACAUUAUCAUAUCUAUUAUCUACAUGUAUACACAUGUGUCUACCCUUGGACACAAAAGAAUUCGUUUUCUUUCCCUUCUCUCCUCACAAAGAUCCUCUCAAAUUUUUUGGUUCAAACAUGUUGGGUUCUUGAAUCCAAUUAUUGUGUCCAUGCAAGUGGAGAUAUGAAUUGAGGGCGGGGAGGGGGUGGGGAGGACCCCCACGAGAAAGGAGAAGAAGAAGAAGAUGAAGAUCUCACCAUAUAAAAAGAUAAAGUAUUGAAUUGUGACCAGCCAUUGGAACAUGGUGUGGUGUGUGGACACCCCGGCCCCCUACGUUUCAUUUUCUCUCCUAUCUUUUCCUUGAUGUUGGAAGGUAGAAGAGAGAGACUUUCAUGUCAACCAAUGGCCCCCAUGCCCCUUCAAAUAUGCCCACUGUUUGUGGCCUUGGUUUUUUCCUUGUAAUCAUUUCUCAUAUUCGUCACUCGUUUUCUUUUCAAGCAUUGAUGUCUCCUCUUGUCACCCUUUCCCCACUCCAUUAUUUGUACCCCACUUCGAGUUGAACCCAAUAUAUUAUUAUUUUAAAAGAAAAAUCUUCUCAAUCAUUCCCUUCUUUUCUUCCUCUUAAUCCGGGGUUUGAUUAGUUAAUCAAUAUAAGUUGCUGCGGCGGUUCGGAAUUCAUCUUUGUUAUUGCCAUGCAUAAUUUUACUAAAAGAAUAUCAAUGGAUAAGGCUCAUAAGGGUCACAAUUUGUACGGAUAGAUUCUAUUAUUCUAUUCAUCUUAUAUCAUGCUUAAACUUAGACAUUCCAUUAAAUAUAGUUCAAUCCAAACACAACAUAUACAAUAAUUGAAUUAAAAGUAUGAAUCCAAAUAUCAUCCAAUUAUUAGAUAAAUAGGAGAUCGUGUAACUUAUUUAUUAAUUAAGUCUUAUUUAAUAAUCAAGUUAAAUCUUAUUUAAGUAAAUAUUAUUAACAUUUCAACUUAAUAUAUAUAUGACUUAGGUGAUGUUUAUUUUUUAGCUGAAUAAAAAAAGAAAAAAUAUUUAGUUUUUUCUAUUCAGCUAAAAGUAAUUUAUUGACAUCAACUAAUAUAAUUAAAUUGAAUAUAUUAAUAAUUAGUUUAUUUUAAUUAUGUUGAUUGAUAUUAACAUGUAACUUUUAGUUAAAUAGAAAAAACUAAAUAUUUUGAUUUUUUUAUUCAAUAAAAAAAUAAACAUCACCUUAAUUAAUCUAUUUAUUCAAAAUUAAAUUUUAAUUGAGCUUAACAUAGGUUAAAUAGUAUAUGGUCAUAUAAUCAGCAUAAUUAUUGUUAAAUAGGUCAAUUUGGGUUAAAUUUAUGUCAUAUAAAUUGAUCUAAAAAUAACUUAUUUAUUAAACCAAUUAGGGUUUACACAAAUUUGAAUUCAGAUUUAUAAAAAAACAGGUGAUGUUAAAAAAUCGUAUUAAACUUUGCCAAAUAAAUGGAGUUGAAUUUUUCUCUUAGUGAAGCAUUUUUUUCCUAAAACUUUAAGGCUGUAUUUGAUUCCUAGAAAUUUUGAAGGAAAAUAUGAGAGCAAGAAAAUGAAGAAGAAAAAUAGAUGAAAAGAAAAAGUGAAAAAAAAUUUUAAUUAAUAAAUUAUUUUUAAAUAAUUUAUUUCACUUACUUUCCUCUAUUAUGUAAAGAUUAAAUAAUUUAAAAUAUAUAAAUUUUUAACAAAUUUUAAUUAUAUUUUAUUUUAUUUCCUAUUUUUUAUAACAGGAUCAAAUGAGAAAACUAUUUUCUUUCACAUUUUUCUUUUCUUUACUUAAUACUUUUCAACAACCAAACAUACACUAAAAGUGACUUUGAUAGUAUUUUUAUUUAAAGUAUUUUUAAUGGAAGUGUUUUUUUUUUAAAAUGUUUUUAAAAGAAUCAUUUAUUAAGUAUUUUUUUUAGAAAAUAUUAUAAAUGAUUUUCCAACAUUAGAAAUAACUUUUCAAAAAUUUUAAAGUAUGUCAUAAAAUUUACCAAAUACUUUGAUUGAUUUUCAAAAACACUUUUUAGUAUGUCUCAACAACUACAAAACAGAUCCUAAGAUCCUAUUUGAUAAUUAUUUUCAAAAGCAGUUUUGAAAAAUAGUAUUUGAAACCUAUCCUCUAUAUCUUAUUGAACAAAAUUCUAAGAAAUGUUUUAACCUAUUUUUAAUAUUUUCAAAUAUAUUUUAAAAAUAAUUUUUGUAUCUUUAUAUAAUUAUUUUCUAAAAUAAUCUUUAAAAAAUAAGUGAAAACUAUAUAAAAAAAAUUAAAAUAUGUUUUCUCAAAACAUCAUAUUUUAUAUUCUUAAAAAUAAAAAAUAAAAAAUAAUUUUCAAUUAUCGAACAUAUUUUUUUAUGUUUUGUUAUUUUAAAUAACAAAAAACUGUUAUAAAAAACAUUGUCCAAACACGCCCUAAACGUUUUCUUGUAAUAUCUUCAUUUGUGUUGGGGCUGAUGGACUUUGUAGAGAUUGCGAUGAUAUGGAAAGAGAGCAUAGAUCACCCUCCAGGUUUGCAUCGUAGGGCUGGAAUUGUUGAUGCAUCAGAUCACAUAGCUCAUCAUGGCUGAGUUGACCAACAAGCUGAAAAUUACAAAAAUAAAACAAAAUAUAAUAAUGAUGCGUCACACUCUUUGUUUUGCAUACUUCUUUUAAUUAAUUUUUUAAAAUAUUUUAUAGAAAUUUUCAAUUAUUUCAAAAAUAAAAUUUUAUUUGAGAAUUAAAAUAUAAAAACAUUUUUUUUGAAUUUAUUGUUAAUGAAAGUAUUAAUUUUUCCAUAAAAUGUGAAUUUGUUUGAUAAUUAUUUUUAAAAAUAGUUCUGAAAAAUAAUUUUUAAAAAUAAUUUUUUUUUUAUAAAAUAAAAGUAAAUUUAAAAACCUAAAGUAUUUUUAACUUAUUUUUAAUAUUUUAGGUAUAUUUUAAAAAUAAUUUUACAUCUUAUAUUUUAUUUUUAAUUAUUUUACAUAUUUAUAUAAUUAUUUCUUAAAAUGAUUCUUAGAAAACAAAUGAAAAUAACAUAAAACAAUCGAAAUAUAUUCUAUGAAGAUACCUUAUCUUUUAUUCUUAAAAAUAAAAAAUAAUUUUUAAUUAUCAAAUGUGAAAAUAAUUUUUUUGUUGUUAAAUAUAUUUUUUGUUUUAAAAAAUUGUUCUUAAAAAUAGUUCCAAACAGGUUGUAGAAGUUUUUUAAAUAUUUUUUAAUUUUAAUUAUUACUUAAAAUAUUAUAAAUAUAAAAAAAAAAUCCGAAAGCCUAUUCUCUGAAUUAAUUCUCAAAACAAAUUUUUUUUUCAUACGUAUAUGAAAUUAAUUUUAAUGAAACACAGAUCACGAGACAAUUAUUUUGAUUUGACUCAAAAUAUUUGAAAAACUUCCUUAAAGCAAACUAUUCUAAAAUUUAAGGCAUAACAUUAAGCAUAGGAAAUUGGACUUUUAUCCUUUGCUUGUUUGCUUUCUUCCUUGUGGUCACAUGAAUGUUCAGCAGAUGUCGGUAGAUAUUUUUGUAAGUGAUCCAAUCAUUUUUCAUAUACGUACAUGUUUUUGGAUUUUUCUUGCCAAAUUCAAUCUAGUAGUGCAUUUAUUCAAUUAUGUGACAAAACAAAAAUCAAACAAGGGGAAAAUGCAAUCUUAAGCCCAUACUAGGUUUUCAUAAAAUUGAAGGGAAAAAAAAUUGAAAAAAAAAAAAAACUAGAAAGAACGUAAAAAUGAAGAAAAAUAAAAAAAAUUAUAAAUUUAAAGUCAACAAAUUAUUUUUUAUGAUUUUUCAAAUUGAUUUAAUUUAUUUUCUUAUAUUAUAUAAAAAUUAAAUAAAUUUAAAAUAUAAUUAAAUUUAAUUAAAAUUUUAUAUAUUUUAAAUUCAUUUUAAUCAUAUUUGAUUUCUUUUGUAUUUUCUACUGUGAACAAAACAUGAGAAAAUCGACUUGAUAGAAUAGAAAAUUUAGUGAAAUAAUAAUGUUUUUUCUAUUCAUUUUCUCAUUCUAAAAAAAUAAUUCAAACAUUGAUUUCUUAUUUGGGUUGUAAUUCUAUCAUUUCAAAUAUGUACUCAAGGCUACGUUGGGUUUAGCAAAGUAUUUAGAAAAGAAAAAAAAAUUAAGAAAUUUUUUUUUUCUUAUAUGUGAUUUCACUAUUAAAAUUAUUAAUAAAAUAAAUUUAAAAUAACGUACAAAAAUAAUCUAAUAACUUUACAUCUUUUUUUUUUUUUUUCUUUUCUUCUAAUUUUUCUCCCUAUUUUCUUUUCCUCGUGUUUUUCCUUAAAUUAUAUUCAACCAAACAUAGCAUUGAAAAAUGGUUGGGCAAAAAUGAAGUGCUGCAAAAUUACCUUAUCACUGAAUUUUAUGCAAAAUAAAAGGUAUUUAUGCAAAAGGCCAGUAGACCAAUUCCCAAGUUUGGACCCCUAGACCUAAAGAUUUGGAAACCUUUUUGUUUUUUUGGGCCUAUAGAUGGGCCCUUUUAUGGAAUGGCCCGAUUGUGCAGAGGUGCUAAUAGCCAACCUUGAUCUCAUGGCCCUUUUAUGGAAUGCAUUGCCUCUUAUUAACUUCAAUAUGGAAUCAUAUCAUAAGCAAAAGUAAUAACUUUAAUGAAAAUUCAUGUCCUCAAUCAUAUUCUAAUACUAUUGUAGAAAAACAUUUCUUUAAAGAAAAGUUAGAGCCCCCUGACAAUAAUUUUAGGAAGCGUUUCUAAUAUUUUUAACACUUGAAAAUUUUUAUUAUUCAAGUGUUAGAAAUAUUAUAAACGUUUUUUAAAAUCAUUACCAAACACACUUUUAGUUAUAAACAAUCAUAUUUUUAUCAAUUUCAAAAAUGAUGUAGGUAUAAUUUUUUUUUUCUCUAAUUCUUCCUUUCACAAUUUUCAAUUGAGAUUUCGAAGAAGUUUGAUAUCAAAUGCAGAGUUUGUUGAAGCUAUGAUAUCAUACAAACUUAACUUGAACUUGAAUUUAAUAUAAUUUAAAUCAUGUUCAUUUAGGCCUUGGCUCAUUUGGACCUUGAUUUUAUUUAAGCUUGGCAUGCUUUAGGUCUUAACUUGAAAAAACUUGAUCAAAGGAACAUGGUCUCCGAUUAAAGAGAUAUUUUACAAAUUUUGAUCUUGAUACAAGCUUAACUUGAACUUGAAUUUAAUAUCAUUUAAGUCGAGUUCAUUUAGGCCUUGGCUCAUUUGAACCUUGAUUUGAUUUAAGCUUAGCAUGCUUUUGGUCUUAACUUGAAAAAACUUGAUCAAAGCAAUGUGGUCUUCGAUUAAAGAGAUAUUUUACAAACUUUGAUCUUGAAAUUUUAAAAAUUUUGGUAAUUUGUAAUAUUUUGAAAAAUAAAAAUAAAGAUUCUUUCGAGAUUUGUUUAAGAGUCCUUCUAGCAUUGAUUUUAAAAAUUAUUUUUAAUUUUAAAAGUGUUUUCUUAAAAUUAAAAAAAAAAAUUAAAAAAUUUUUUUUGACAAAAUUUAAGAAACAUUUUUAAAAAUCUUAAAAAUCACUUGUGAUAUUGAAAAAUUACUAACUCGUCGAGGCUAAGAAAUAGCCCAUUUAUUUGGGACCAUGAGUUUGAAUUCAGCUUCCACUCAAAAUUAGAAUUUUUGAAAACAAAGAAGAAAAUACAAACCAAAUUAAAUCUAGUUGCAUAUUUUUUUAAGAAAAAGAUUUCAGGUUUUAGUGAAUUUUUUAAUAUGAAUUUUUUUGAAAAAAUGUUUUCUUUUUAAAAGAGAAAAAUAAAAUAAAAUUUACAAAUAACAAAACACAAGAAUCACACGUGAGGACAAAAAAAAAUUAUAAAAUAAAAUUUUGGACAACCAACCAAACCAUUAUGGGUGAAUUUUUCUAAAGAAAUACUUGAUAUGUGAUUUUUCUAAAAACACUUUUAAAAAAAAAAUAUUUUCACUAAAAAUAAAACAUUAUAAAACGCAAUAUAAUUAUUCUUUCAAGAUUUAGAAAAGUUUUAGAUCUCUUUUCUGCUCUUAUCUUCUUAAUUAGUGAUUUGAAAGUUUUGAGAUGAGCCCAUUAUAGAGAUUGAAAGCAUCAUAUAUGGAUUCUUUUAUGGUUACUCAAAAAUAUUAUCUCUUUAUUAAAAUAUCAUAUUUUCAAGUCUUCCAUUUUUUUCUUAGCAAAACUUGAUAAUUACUUUUUUGUAAUUAUAAAAUUUUUAUUUUUUAUUUAUUUUUAAAUUUAUAUCUUAAUUGAUAUUAUAUAUAUAAAUAAAAAGAAAUUUGUUCUUUUUUUUUUCUCUAGGGUGAUGCUACACAUAGCAUUAUUUUAUUAGUAGAAAAUUAAUAUUAUGUAAUAAUUUUUAUUUAAUCAUAAUUUAAAUUAAUUAUUAAUAUUUGAUUUUUGUUUUGGUCCAUAAUAAAUUUAACUAUAUGGUAAAUUAUAAAAGGUUAAAUUUUGUUCUUCUACCACCAAUAUUUCUUUGUAUAAAUCUAAUAUAUUAAAAACAGAAAAAUUGAAACAUAAGGAUAAAGAUUAAUCUACAUAUCAAACUCAAAAGCUGAUGCCACUUUGCAAAUGACAUUAUGCUUUAUAUUUUCUCACUUUUUAGCUUUCUUUAUAAAUUUAAUACUAAAAUUUCUUAAUAUAAUUAUUAAAAUUUUAAAAAUAAUAUACAAUCAAAUAAAUUGAAUUUCCUGUGAACGGCUUUGUUAGCCUAGAUAGCGGUGUUUGAGGGCAGAAGGAGCGUAAGUCCCGUGUUGAUCCGCUUGUGGUGGUCCCUGUUUAGAAAAUUAUUUGAAUUGAUUAAGAACAAGGUUGUGAUUAUUUUCUAUUACAAUGAGUAAUAUUAUAAGGGAAUUAAAUAGAGCUAGUUUUUUCAGAUCUCUUAGGUCUCAUGAUAGUUCUGUAUUCGCAUCAAAUAGUUCUAUAUAUAAUUUAGAAAGUUCUUCAUAUGAGAUAAACAAAUUUACAAAUUUAUCACCUGCAUCAUCAGUUGCAUCAUCAUAUAGUCAUCAUAUAAAAUUUAAUAAUUCAAAGUUAGAUGAAGAAUUGAAUCAAAUUGAAACAUAAGGAUAAAGAUUAAUCUAUAGAUUAAACUCAAAAGCUGAUGGCACUUUGCAAAUGACAUUAUGCUUUAUAUUUUCUCACUUUUUAGUUUUCUUUAUAAAUUUAAUACUAAAAUUUCUUAAUAUAAUUAUUCAAAUUUUAAAAAUAAUAUACAAUCAAAUAAACAUCAAUCAAUGAAUAAUAAUUUAACAAUAUACAUUGAGAAAAGCACAUUUAUAACAUUAAUAAUAUUAUUAUUUAAAUAUAAUUUGUGAUAAAUUUAUUCAAUAGAAGUAUUAUAAAUUAAUUUUAAGUUUCUAUUUUUUAUUUUUAUUUUUGUGCUAUUAUAUAAAAGGUUGGCCUCGAAUGGGGAGGCAUCAUGGAAAAUGGACCAAGAAAUUUAUCAUGGGCCUUGAACAAAAAACUCCAUUGAGGUGGAAAAAGCAAGCGUUGAUCCCCACGGCCCAAACUCUUUGGGCCAAUUUUUGGUAGGCCUGAUAUAGUUUGGUGAUGUUUUUAAGGAAUAUUUUGUGAAGGAGGAUAAGAAAAUCCUGAAAUAAAAGAAAUAAUAUUCACUUAUUAGCAACUUUAAAUAUGCUCCAAUUUAAAUAAAAAUAUCCUUUAUCUAUUUUUUUUUUCUUCAAUACUUGAAUGUAUAAUUAAUUAUCCAACUAGUUCUAUCACUCUUCAGCCAUAUUGUCAAAUUUAAGGCAAUUAUAGUGACGCACGUAUAGCCCACUAGCCUAUCCCGAUUUUGCUCAUUUAUUAAGCUUACGUCCUUAAAAAAUAUCUUGAUAAAAUAUCUUGAUAGUGUGUUGUGAAAACUUUUCAUAUACGACUCUUUUUCAUUCACUUUUCGGGUCAUGUGGGGUACUACAAGUUCAUUUUAUUUCUUUAUGACUACGAAAUAGGUUUAAAAAUUAACUAAGGAUAUUUUUGUCCAAAAAUUCAUGCAUAAAAAGCCUCUUUCAUAACUUGAUUUAAAAUAUAUAUUUUCGGAAAACAAAAAAAAAGUUUUUUUUAUUUAUUUAUACUCAAAGUAUUUCAAUUAUUUCCAUUCAUUAGUUCCCUUCUUUAAAAAAAUAAAAAUACAAUUAAAAAGUAAAUUUAAAUAAAUAAAAUUAUAAUUUUUUUUUAUCUUUGUUUCUUCUCAUUUAUUUUACUUGCUUUCUCAUAUCUUUAUAUGUUUUUAACAUUAAUUUAUUGUUGUGAUUUUAUUUUUUAAAAUAAAUUUUAAUACUUAAUCUUUAUUAUUUUAAGACGAGUUUAGUAAUUUUUAAAAAUAACUUAAAACUAAAAUGAUGAGCCAAUUAAUAUCAUAAACCAGACAAAAACUAGUCUCAUAUGACUAUGUUUUCUAUGAAAAUUAUUUAAUCAACAAUAAAAUAGUAAUUUCACAUAUAUAAUUAAAAAACUUGACUUAUUUAAAUAUUUCAAAAAUGAACAUUUCUUAUUUUAAAAUUUAUUUUAAAUAAAAUAUUAUUAACUAUUAUUCCUUUUAGAAGUAUUAUUAUUCAUUUUUAACCCAAAAAAUAUCAAUUAGGUCUUUAUCAAGAUAUUAAUGUCCGUAUUUUAUAAUAUCUACUAAAAUAAUAUCAUUCUUUUUUUUUUUGUAACAUUCAUAUUUUAUAAUAGCUGUUAAAAUAAUAUUACUUUUUGAUUUUAUAAUGUUAAUAUUUUAUAAUAUCUAGUAAAAUAAUAUUACUUUUUUAAUAAAAAUAUAAUUUAUGAUUUUAUUAUAAUAUUACUAUUUAUAUUUUAUUAAAAAACAUUUAUUUUUAAUUUAUUCAUAAUUGAAAAACUAUUUUUAAAUUUUUAAUAAAACUUGAACCGAGGUUAUAUGAAAUCAAUAAAAACCGAGUUUAUAGUUCUUUUUACAAAAUAAAAAUAAAAAUUAUAAACUCGAAAAUAAUUUUUAAAAAUAAGUUUCAUUAAAAUAUUUUUAUGGUAAAAAAAGAUUCAAAAUUAAGGAAAAAAGUUUUAUUUUAUUUUUUUAAAAAUGUUAAAAAUAUAAAUACGAGCAUAAAAAUAUCAAAUCUCAUAAAAAUUGUUUAACACUAUAUAUUUUCAAAUUCUUCCUUCCGAGUAUAAAAGUAAAAAUAAAAAAAAUAAAAAAUAUUGAAAUAUAUCAAUAAUUUUUAUUCAUUUUUUAUUUUCUUUUUCUCUCACUUCCCAUAAUGUAUUAAUCACCUCUGUCACCCCAUCUUAGCGUGCAAGAGUGGUACAAUCUUUCAUCACAAUUACGCCACAACCACACCCUUUAAUGGGAUAUUUUAGUAGUCACAUUUAAUAUUAAAAAAAAUUCAAUACUUUCUUAAUCAUUCCUAAAGUCAAACAUUUCUCUUUCUAUUUCCUCAAUCCUUUCAAAAUAUAAUUCUCAGCAAAUCUUAUUCCACAAGUUUACAACAUUUUUCAAACUCUAUUUUUUAUUAAAAGGGAGAAAAAAAAAAUAGAGUGAGAAAGUUUGAUUUUAAAAAUAAUUAAGAAAAUUUUUUAAUUAUAAAAAUUUCUUUAAUAUAAUUUUUUUUAAUGGGAAGUUAAAAGCUAAAGCUAAAGUAACAAUUUUUGAAGGGUAAUAUUAAUGCUAUAAAGUUUUGUUAAAUAUAAAAUAAACUUUUGUAUUAAUCAAAAUAAAAAUUUUGCUAGAAGUAACAUUUUUUAGCUUUUAUAUUAAAUAUAUUUUUUAAGUGAUAAGUUUUUUUUUUAACAAAAUUAGUCAAAUAUGUAUAAAAGUUCUUAUUGAGUUUAAAAAGAGCUUUUGAUUUAUUUUUUUUAAAUUUAUUUAAAAAAAUAUGAUAAUGCAUGGUUAAUUUAAUUAAAGAAUUGUUUAUAUUAGAAAGGCUAGUGGGAGAGCCCGGAAAAUCUGAAUUUUUUUAGAACUUUUAUGAAAAAUAAUUAUCAAACAUAUUCUAAUACUUUCUUCAAACAUUCCAAGGUCCUGCUAGAGCUUAAAUCUCCGAAAUUAUGAAAAAAGAAAAUUCUGAAUUUUUUAAUUAUAUGUUGAUAAUGUUAUUUUGGUUUAGCAAAAACAAAAGCAAAAACAAAAACAAAAAUGAAAAGCAAUUUUAAAAUGUUUAGAUUUUUUAGCAAUUGUGAUCAAAUUCGAUUUUUCUUUCCCCUCUUCAUUAGUCAACCGCUAAACAAGAGAAUUUGAAUCGUCCUAUUUUUGCCUCUAUACUCAAUGCCUUGGUUGAUUCCAGCAUCACCUAAAUACAGAGAAAAAUGAAAUAUAAUGAUAUAUCAAGAGAAAAAAAAAAGGUCUAACAAUCGGAAAAAUAAAAAAAUAGUUUUUAUUCUUUAAAAUAAAAAAUAAGAUAUUUUCCAAAAAUAUUUUUUAAUAAAUUUUUAUUGUUUACAUUUAUCUUCUAAGAAUUGUUUUAAAAAAUAAUUAUAUAAAAUAUGCAGAAUAACUAAAAAUAAUAUAAAUAAUUUUAAAAAACAUAAAAGAACGUUAGAAAACAAUUUUAAAAAACCGUUCUCCAAAAUUAUUUUUUAAAAACACUUCCCAAACACACCCAUAAUAUCCAUCAUGGCUAAGUUAGAUCAGUUUUUUUUUCCUUUAAUUGGGCCAGACAAUGAAAUUCUUCAUUAAUUAUAUUUUCUAUAGUUUCCUAUGAGAGAAUAUCCCAUACUUUUGUUGUACCAUAUAAGUAUACUAGUAUGAUAUAGUAAUCAUCCAUUCAUAUUUUGUCAUCAUGAAACUUAAUUCACUAUAAAAAUAAACAAAAUAAUAAAUUAUUUUAUUAAAAAAACUUAUGAAUUUAUAUUUUAAAUAAUAAAAAAAUUAUAAUCAUUUUCAAAUAUAAAUAAUUUUAUUUUUUUACCUAAUUUUUAAGUUCUGAAAUGACAAAAUAAAAGCAUAAGACUCAUUUCACUCGUCUCAUCCAUUUUAAAUAAAUUUUUUUUAUAAAAAUAAACAAAACGAUAAGUUAUUGAAUUAGAAUAAAACUUUUGAAUUGAAUUUUUUUAUGAUUAAAAAUAUAAUUUAAAAAAAUAAUAAUAAUGUUAUUUUUUAUUUUCAAAUUUUGAGAUCUAAAACUAUAUAUAUUAUUUGAUGAUGUCAACACCAAACACAUUGAAUUUGGUCAUGAAAAAGGUGGUCCAUUGAAAAGUGGCCAUCACUUUUGCUUUUUAUAUUGAAUUAGAUUAAUUUAUUUUUCAUGAAAGGGAGAGGAGAGGUUGAAAAGUGAGGUUUUUUAUUUUUUUUAUUUUUUGGUGGUGUCAUUUUAUCAUCCAAAUGCCAUUAUUUUAUAGAUUCAUGCUGAUAAACAUGAACAAGUAAAAUAGGAAUAGUGACCUUAAAAAUAGUUAAUAAUAAUACUACACCUUUCACUAUCAAAGUCAAGGCUCACUUAUACAACUAUCAGACAAACCCUCUUAUCACCUUUUGCCCUUUUUUUUGUAGGCAUCCACCGACUCACAAUUGUGGUUUUAAAUCUCUCUUGACAGAUCACCUGGUAUCACAUCAUGUCACCAUCAAAACCUCAUCUUCUCCAAUUUUUUGGUCAAAUUUAACCUCUAUCUCAACUGAAAUUUAAAAUAUUAGUUGUAUGCAAAUUAAAAAUCAUCUAAGUUUAUGCUAAAUUCAUAAUUUGUAGAUAUAAUUUCAGAUUUUUUUUCUUUUGAUCAAAAUUAUUAUCAUUUUAAAACAUUAUACUUUAGGAUAUAUUUUGGAAUCGGUUUUAUUGCUUUAUGGAAUUUAGAUUUGGACCAUAUUAUGAUGAGUCUAAAAAAUGAUGACUAAAAAAAUAAGGUGUGAGAUUUAUUUUGCUUGGGAUUUGAUGUUAGAAGUAGGAAGUAUGUUAAGAUUGUGUUAACUCAAGGAGAUGUUUCAUAUUUUUGCAGUAUGGUGUUUUAAUCUUUGUUAUGGGGUGUUUGUUAUAUGAAAUUAGAUAUGUUCCAAAAAUUCUGCCAUAUAGGAAACUUUAAUUUAUCUUACCAACUUUAAUUUACAGUAAACAAUGAGAGCAUUCUACUUCUAGAAUCUAAAAAUGUAGAGUGGGUUUAUGUUGAUGAAUUAUGAUUUUUACAUAGUUGUGAGGGAUUUUUUUUAUUAAUGUAUGAUCAAAAUUAGAAAGAACAAAGUUGUAGAGUAAGGUUAUUGUAGGGACCCCUCCCUCCGAGACGCGUGGCACGCAUCUUACUGUGACACGUGGCACGCAUUGUCAUCCGGGUCAUCUUCAUCCGGGUCUUCUCAUAAAGCGCACUUAGCACGCUUAUCCGGGCUACCUUAAGGAAGAUCGAACGACACUUAUAAGCACAUCAUCCGGACGACUUACACAAUACAUCCGGAUGACCAAGGACUACCUCAAGGAAAAUCAAACGGCACUUAUAAGCAUAUCAUCUGGACGAUUUACACAAUGCAUCCGGAUGAUCAACAUAAGCCGUCCGGAUACAACGAUCCGGACCAUUGACUAAAGUAUAGCGAGUCUUACACGCUAUCACGACAACCAGCCAUGGCCCACGUCCCAUCACCUGCAGAGUGAAAGGACGGGUUGAGGUGACAACAAGUCACUUCCUGCGAUCAUUCUACAUGAUCACUUCCCACGAUCUCUAAACAGCAGCAUCACCUACCACGGUUUUUGACAGCCGCCAGUAGGGUGGCGAUGACCAUGCUGCCGCCGAAUGUCAUCAUGACAAACAUAAAAUAUCUUCUCGCCAUUAAUGAGAGGAACAGUACUCCUGGCACUAUAUAUGAACCUUCGCACGAAGAAGAAGGGGAUCGACAGAUACCUAGUAAAAGGCCAAUUGAUUUAUAUCUCCCUCUCUAACCAUGGCUAACAAAAUCAUCGGAGGGUGCGUCCGGACACCCUGUCCGGAUGCCUUUUUGCAGGUAUAACGACUGAAUCAAGAACCUUUGUGUGUUGAGAUCGCGUCUCCAUCCAUUUGGCAACUACGUGGAAUCCCAAGAGUGCGAGGUAUCAACAGUUAUGUUUGAUUGUUUUCAACAAAAGACUAAUAAGGGAAAGCAAAUGAAAGAAAGGAGAAGGUGCAGUUGCAUACUUUCUUGAAAUUGAGCAAGUUUCCAAGAAACAAUUCUAUUCAUAUUAUUUAAAAUUAUUAUAAAUGAGUUUAUUUUUUAAAAUUGUAACUCAAACCUUGGUAUAGUAAGUGGGGCUAUUUUUAGGAUAAAUUUGAUAUUAAAUAAUUCAUAUUUUUUAUCUUUAUAAAAAAAAUGACAAAGGGAAAUUUUCAAGUUGAGCAAGUAUGUGUCUUAGUAAUUUGUUGGUGGAAUGUUAAGCGCUUAUGAAGAUGUUUUUUCAAGUUGAGCAAGUAUGUUUAGAAGGGUUAAAAAUUUCCUCUUUUGUCAUAUUUAGAAUUUCCCUUUAUUCAUUUAAGAUUAUUAAACUCUUGUAUUUUUUUUAAAUUUUAGGAUCAACAAUGAGGGAAAGUUCAAUCACAGUGUUGUUUUACAUUAAUGGUAAUAUGAUCAAUGCACCUAAUGAGAUUUACUACAAUUCUCCUCCACCAAAGGUUGUGUUAGUUGGAAGCAACACAACAUUCAAUGACUUAGUUGCAUGUUUAGGUCGGGCGUUGUGCAAAGGUUCAUCUCAAGUAAAGUUGAAGUUGGUUUAAAGUUAUGCAAUUAAUCUUGGAGAUGGUAAUUUCAACUUUGUAGUACUACCCAUAAAUGGCAAUGAUGACAUGAGUUUAAUGUUCAAUGUAGCAACAAAUUUCCCUUCACCUAAUAUUGUUGAGUUGUAUGUAAAGAUCCUAUUAGUACAAAUGGAGAGUGUUGACUACACCAUUGAAUGGUGCAGUCAAUUAAGUUAAUCAAUUAGAACUCGUUUUUGGCUACAUUAAGUUUCUCAAGACCUUAGUGGGCUAAAGUCACUUAAGUACAUUGAGGAACCUUAUAAAUACCCUCUUAGAAGUUAGGGUUUUCAUAACUUUUUUGUAGAGUUGUCUUCUACCUCUAGAAAGAAAGAGAAUCAUAGCCUUUUCCUCCCACCAAAAGUAUGCCAAGACUAAGAAAAGGUCAUCAGAAGGAAGAUCUUGAGUCUACGAGACUUCUGACGACAUCAAUUUGAUUCCUCAAUACUUGAAUUUAAGAUUUAGGAGUAUCCAAACUUAAAGGUUAAUAUUUUAACCCUAAAGAUCAUUUUUUUGAAAAAUUAGUAUAACUUCUGUUGCUUAGAUUUAAGAUGUCAACACUAUGAAAAACCUACAAACGUGUAAGGAACCCAUUACUUAAAUAUUCUAUGUAACUUCUAAUGUGUUGAAGUCAUGUACAAGACAAAUGAUAUAGGCCUGAAUGUUCAAAUAAAUCUCAAUGCAAACAAGGAUAAAAUAGUGGAAACUAACUUGGUUACAUCAGGUCUUGCUUUCAAGGGUUUUAUCCUAAUACUUUUUUUCUCCAUUGCCACUAUAGAAGUCUCAUCCUCAUUAUUGCUUCCUAAGUCGUAAAUGUAAUUGUGAAAAUGAGGUAUUUCUUCAUGUUAGUUGGAGAGAGGUUUUUUCAACUAUUCUUUCUUUUAGAGCUUUGGGAAGCUCACCUUGUUCUUUCUUCUCUUCUCUUCCCUUCCCUUUCUUGCCAACACUUUCUUCAUUUUUUUAACAACCUCUCUAUGCCUUGGAAGGUAUAAAAUAGAAAAGUCAACUCUAUUAGCUAGUUUAUUAGGGUGAUUCUAGGGAACAUUUCAAUGAGCAUAAAUGGAUGAAUUGUGUAUAACAUCCUAAGAACUUUGAGUAGUGACUAGAUUAGAGAACAUCCUUUGGUCAACUAGAAUUUGGAAAACUUGGAUGAGUUUGUCAAAGCCUUUCCUAUUAAUAUAAUAAGUUAUCCUUCCUCUUUCCUUAAAGGACAAUUUGGCCAUGUUAGUGUGAGACAAGCUUAUAUCGACAUGGUUCUCUAUUUGAACACUCCUACCCACCUAAAAUGACCACUAACUCAUAUUCUCAUUCCUAUUGCAAUCUAAUUCGUUCCCAAUUGGUGUCUCAGCUGAUUCAUGUCCAGCUGGUGCUCUUUGAUUGAGAGAGUAAUCAACAAAAUUUAUAACAUAUAUCACCAUGCAUUAGGAUAGCUUAGCUAAUAUAGCAUAUUGGUUAUAGGAUCGUUCACUGAGAAGGGUUUUCAACUCACAACUGAUACCAAUUCAAAGUAAAAUUGGUGUUUUUUCAUUUCAAGGUUAGCUUAAGAAAUAAAACACAAACUUCAUUUAAAUGAGGUUUUGUUUAAAGCUAACUAAAAAGAAAGUAAUGGAAAUUACUUAUGAAGAAAAACAUUCCUUGGAGGUUUAGGUUCAUAGGGGAGGUUCCUUAUGCAAAAACAGAGCUCUGGUCAUUUGGUUCAUUUCCUCGUAUUAGAGAAUUAACAUAUAGUCAAUUCUCUAACUGGUGUUGUACAGAUGUAACCUUUAAAUGGAUUUCAGCUCUAAUUCUCUCUCACUGAUGCAACUUGCAAUGGCUCGUGCCUCUCAUCUAGCAUUUGUCAUUCAAGGUGAUCUUUAACUUUGGACUUCCCUUCUCAAGCUCGCAAGAGAUAACUAAUGAAUGUCUCCUUGGAGUCCAAAAGCUUACCAAGUGUUGGCAAUUCUAGAAAAUCCUACCUCCAAGUCACUUCCCAAAAGCUCGCAAGAGAUAAAUAAGUGCAUUUCCAUGGGGAGAUCACGUGCCUUACCAAGUGUUGGCUCAAAUGACUUGAAGGUGUUUUAAGUUAACUAAAAACAUAUAAAUCAUUAAAUGAUCACACUUUCUCUUCAUUAACGACUGAAACCACAAAGCUACUAAUUCUUGCACUUGGAAUCUUCCCGGCAACCUUAACUCCAAGGAACUAAAAGUCUAGCCACUCAUUCUCUGAGGAAACUUCCUCAGAGCUUGUUUGGCUAGUAAGAAAACAAUUAUAUGAAGGAAAAACAGAGCAAGUGCUCUGUGAAAUAUAUUUCUUUCUUCCGUCGAUAUUAUAAUAUUCUGUAAAGAAAAUUACAAACUAUAUAUAUGAGGUUAUUCACCCUUUUGUUCUUACUUAAAGACUAAGGAAUCCUAUGAUAGGUGGAUUACAAGGAGAGUUUGGGGAUUUAGACAUCAAAUAUCUAAAGCAAAAUAUCCCAAAAUAUCUCAAAAUGUCGGUCGAAAAUAUCAGGAAGCUUCAGGAGAACACCGCUGCACUGUAUACUGAGAGAAAAACUCUGCGGGUAAGCGUUAUCAGAAGGUCCAAAUAUGUCUAUCCGAAGAAGUUGAAGCGUCCUCCUCUCCCAUUCGGCUGUGAGAUAUCCGGAUGUAAAAUGUCGGCGCACGGAAUUCCGGAUAUAAAAUGUCGGCGCACGGAAUUCCGGAUAUGAAAUGUCGGCGCACUCUCCUAUCCGAACUCCCUCAGGGAGAAGCACACGACACUCGUGAACAUCACACCUGGACAAUAGCAUAUCCUAUCUGGAUAUUUUGUCCGGAUCAUUGACUUUCGCCGCCAUCCGAUGGUGUGUCCGGACAUCUUUUGCUCCUUGCAUUCCGGAUCUGCUUAUGGCAAAGGACUUCAAAGCUUCGGUUCUUUAUGUUUCUGAGCUUUCCAUUGUUUUGCCAUGGAUUCCAAAGAACUCUCCUCAUUCUUGGAUUGCUUUGGUGAUCAAAAAGCUAUCAAAACACCAAAACUUAACACAAUUUGAUUAGCAUUGAUUGCAAAGGUCCUUAAUAUAUUAAUUGGGUUAAAAGGUGAUAACUACUACUCAAAAGUAUUUAUAAGAGUUAAUUACAGGCCAUCAAAUAGUACUUUUUGAGUAGUAAUCACCUACCCACCUAAAAUGACCACUAACUCAUAUUCUCAUUCCUAUUGCAAUCUAAGCAUCUAUCUAUUACUUGAAAGCUUAGUGUUCAAACCUUAAGUAAUAGUAUAUAUUCCACUAUAACUUGAAUUUGUAGAUAAAUAACACCUCCCAACCUCCUAAAUCAAAAUUGUACUUUUGAUUCAACAUAAUGCACUCCAUUAAUAUUCCAUGGACAUUAGAAGACAACAAGAUGGAUAAAGCUUGACAAAUGAGUCUCAAACAAUAAAGGGAAGAGGAUGUCAUAAAUUGACAUAAAAUUGUUUAUACAUAAAGAAUAUUUCAUCAUUCUCAACUCCACCAUGGUUGCAAAACUAGAUGAACUCGAUUGGAAAAUAUACACCUACGAUAGACGAGAUUGCAAAGGUAUUUCUAAACUUGAGUAUGAUGAAAGAAUCUUCUCUUCGAUCCUUUAGGAGUGACACAAAUAGUGACUCCUGAUCUAAAAUACUUGACUUGUUAUCUUCAUUAUCAUCAACCUAAGGUUUCAUAGGUGCUCCAAGGAGUUCAAAUGAUCUACUCUCUCAAACAUCUUUGAAUGAACCCUAUAACUUGACAAGAUAGGUGGCUCACUAAGACUAAAAAUCUAAAAACUUCCUAUAAGCUAAAAGCUACUAAGAAGGGACUAAGAGGAAGCUAAAAAUUGGGGAAAAACAUUAGGAAAAAGCCAAAACAACUCAAAAACCUCAUAUGGUAUGGAGGAUAUUUUUCACACCUAAAAGAAUAAACUCGAAUAAACAAGGGCAAAGACCUAGACUUUCUUACUCCCUCCAAUGGAUUUCAAACCAUUGAGGAUUAGAAGGGCAAGAAAAAUGGAAAAUUGCAAACAAAUAUAAAGGAAAGAAAAUAAAAUAGAAAGUAAAAAGUAGUAGCAAACAUGAAUUUACUUUUGAACGCAUAUGUAGGAACUCAUAAGCCAGGGAAUCCAUGGCCAAUGCAGAAGCUUUUGAGCAAGCAAUUUGCAGAGUAAGACUAUAUAGGAAGCCAAGUGUAAAUGACAAAAAGGAAUAGCAGACAUGCAAUACAUAAAUAUGAAGGGAGAAGGUCAUUAUGGGCUAGAAACCCAAUAACCAUUCAAGUAAAGUCGUGUAACAAAUGCAUUGGCAUCAGAAAAAAUGACUUUUGAAUAUCCCCAUUUCAUGCUUUCCAAAUAGCACAUGAAAUGGAAAGAAAAAUAAAAGGCAUUCCACAUAAUCAAAUUUUGCUUACAUGUGUCAAAUACAAUGAUAAAGGACAAGUACAACUGCCCAUGUUGAUGGGAUGAACUUGUCCAUCUCUUGUGUUUGUCUAUCACCUCAAUGAGAGGAUGAAAAUGGAUCUUGAUUUGUUUUGUAUUUGUCUACCAUCUUUUUUGUAGAAGUAUACUCCACAUGAACGAAUGUGCGCCUAACAUAAUGAUGACAUAUGAAACCUAUAAGGAAACAUCUAAUAACUAAUAUUUGACCAAAUAAGCAAUAAGCUCAUAUAAGAAUCAAAUAGAUGGUCGUCAAGUAACCCUCUAUAUGAUGUGGGGUAAAGAAAAAAAUAGAGAGAAUUCAUAUUGAUUUCAUUCUUCUUCUUCUACUUUUUUAUUUGUAAUUAUUCUUGUUUAUUAAUCAACCAUAAAAAAUAAAAAAAGAUUUUUGAAAUCCUCAUUGUUGGAUAGGUGACUAGUAGAAGGAAGCUGAAUCGUAAUCUAUGGACAAAGUUGCCAAGCACACUCAAUUCAAGGAAAAGGUGUUGGAAGUUCUUGAUCCAAGAAUUCAUAUCAACAUAUUUCUAAAAGAAAAUAGUAUAUUAAACAACCCAAAACAUAAUAAAUAUAAUAAGAUAGUAGCACAUCAAAUAAUAUAAUCUGUUCACUAAAUAAUGUCAUUUUACAAAAUAUAUAAAUAUAAUUAAAAAAAUAAUUGGUUAUUUUUAUUUAGAGUAUGUUUAAUAGUAAUUUUAAAAAAUGUUUCUAUCAUUUUUAACACUCAAAUGGUAUAAAUUUUAAAGUGUUUAAAAAUUUGAAAACACUUACUACCAUCGGUGUCAAAUAGACUUUUACUCUUUUUUGAAAUUGACUCUUUGAUAGAAAGUAAUCAUAUUUUCAUUCAAGAAAUAUUCCAUAAUUGGUUUCCAAUCUCACCCAUAUUUUACGAUUUUAACUCACACAAAUAUGAAAUGUCAUUAUCCAUACGACUAAUAAUUUCGUUACAAAUCAAAUCAAGUUGUUGAUAAAAACACACCCAUUUACCUUAUAAAUCAAACAAAACCAUCUCAAUCAUGAUUUUAAUUUUGGGUCCGAUUAUAGUAUCAAAUUGACAUAUAUUAAAUCAAUCACUUUAUACGGAAGUUGAACUCGUUAUUUUAUAUUCUAAUCAUAUUAUAAGAUUGAUUUUAUUGUUUUACAUUUUGAUUCCCUUUUAUUAUUUUUAUCUAGUGACCUCGUUCAAUGACUUAAAUCUUACCAUACAUAUUCAAAGAUCUAAAUUUAAACUCCAAUAAAUAUCACUACGAUAUCUUAACAUUUUUAUUUAUAUAUUUAUAUAGUUUCAUUGUUUGAUAUAGAUUCCAACUUAUUGUUAUCUUAAUUUUACAUGGUGGCCUAGGUUUUAUCUGAGAUAAGACCAAACAAAGUUGGGUAGCUUACCUCCCCGAUGGCUUAAAACUUUUCCUUUAAUUUUUACAGGUGUCUUCCUUCCAUACCAAUGGAGCCAUUAAUGUGAUCUCUAAUCAGAAAACACCAUAACCUAAUAAUGGAGCAAUUGGGCCCUGCACCACACUAUUACAAAAAGGUGACAAUGACAACAGUGUCAGACCUUCAGAUACCAACAACACACAAGCCCUCAUUGAAUUGAUGCAUGUGGGUGGGUCACCUGACUCACCUCUAUAUUACACGUUUUCCUUUUCUAUUUGUUGUAUUCUUCUUCCAACAUAUUUCCUUUAAUAGUGGAGACUUACCUCCUUAUCCCAUAACCAUUCUUUCUUUCUUUUUUCACAUGGGGUUGGCUUUUCAUGGUCAGAGUUUUAUAUAGUUUCUGUUUUCUCCCUUUUUACCUUUCAUCUCUCUCUUUGUGCAAGGAAAACGUGUCCUUGAAUUCAUCCAUAUAUUCCAUUAGCACAUGGAGAGUUAGUAGGUGGAUGGGAAAAUUGCUUGGACUUUUGUGGGCAUGUGACUUGUUGCUCUUUGUCCAUGUUUUAAAUUUUUUUAAAUUUAAAGAUCAUGUUUGGUUGGUAAAAAAUUUAAGAAGAAAUGUAAGAGAAAGAAAAAUAAAGAAAAAAAAAUAGAUACAUGGAUUAAAUCAUGGAUAUAUAGAUUAAAUUAUUUGAAAAUCCACAUAAUUUUAAUGAAUUUUAAUUAUAUUUGAUUUUGUUUGUUUUUUUAUAAUAUAAUCCAAUAUAAGAAAAUCAUUUUAUUUAAUAUUUUUUUCUUAAUAUUUUUUGGGAAAAAACAUAACCAAAGUAAGAAACUCAAUUUUUAAAAAAAAUAAUUUCAAAGAAUUCUUAUAUUAUAGUAGGAAUUAUCAUCAUUUUUUAUUUUUAAAUAGAUAAAACACCAAAUGUAUUCAAACUAACAGACAAUAAGACUAUGUUUGGUUUUUGAAAAGUUUAAAGGAAAAUAUGAGGAAAAAAAAUGAAAGAAAAUAAAAAAUAGAUUUAAAAUUAAUAAAUUAUUUUUAUAUAUUAUUUCAAUUAAAUAUACAAAUUUCUUAAUAAUUUUAAUUAUAUUGAGCUUUCUUUCGCAUUUUUUAUAGUAAAACCAAAUAUGAAAAAAUUAUUUUCUUUAAUGUUUUUUUUUCUUAAUACUUCAUGAAAAUAUCAUUAUUUUAUACUAACAAAUCUUUAGAAAAUAAUUUUAGCAUCAAACCCAUUUACAUAAGACCUUAUUUCUUUUUAUAGAACAAUUUUAUUUUAAUGAGAUGUUACUCUUGUGACCAUGAUAUUAGUGAUUCUUAUUCAUUUACUUGUAUUAAUAAUUAAUUUUUUAAAAAUAAAAUGACAUUUAACUUAUUUCACAAAAUUAGCAACCAUGUUCUUUAACUCUAUCUAAUUCAAGCCCAAGCGUACUCAAUAUUACUUGUACAUUUCUCAAAUUCAAAAUGAUGAUAAUAAUCGAUAAGAAAAAAAAGUGUUUUUCAUAUAUUCAUAUAAAAAAAAACUCACAAAAUAAAAUUUGAAGUUUAUAAAAUACAAAUUUCAAACCGUUAUUUAAAAAUAAUUAAUAUUUUAUAUAUUUUUUGAUCAAAUGUACCACCUUUGAUAAUUCAAGUGUUACAUUUUCAUUAUAUAAAUACUACAUUUGAUCAUCAUAGCUACUACAUUUGAUUGAUGAGUGUAUAAAAUUUGAAUUAUUUUUAGAAAGUUCAUAUUUUAUGAUUAUUCACAAAUUUUCCAUCAAUUCACCGGCAAUUUGGUGGAUUUAGAUUGGAUGGGCCAAGAUAUGAAAAUUGUGUGAAUCAAACCUAAUCCAUUGAAAACUAAAUAAAGAUUUUUCAAACCUACAUGCGUGCAAUCGAACUCCUAAUUAAAAUACUUUUCGAAAAUAAAAUAAUAAUAUAUUUUUCAUAAGUGUCCGUGGCUUACAUCACCCAAAGAUUGAUGAUUGUUUAUUUUACUUUACUUUUAAAAAGCUACAACAAAGUCUUUGAGAAUAAAUUAAAAAUACAUGCAAAAGGCUCCACGUUCCUCUCAUGCCAUGGUCUCAUGCCAUAGAAUUAACACAUAUGUUAAUUAUGCAUAUAUGACUUAUUUUAUCACAUUUUUACAAUUGUAAUCAUGUUUAAUCCAUUUGUUUUUAUAAUUAUAUAUCUUAAAAUAUUUUUUUUAUAAAUGCUUUUAUUAUAAAAUUAUAUUAAUUUUAUUAUAUUUUUGACAAAUUAUUUAAAAUAUAUAUUUAAAAUUUUGAAGUCUUAAAUAAAGAUUAUAAUUGUAUAUGAACAAUAUAUAUAUAUAUAUAUAUAUAUAUAUAUAUAUAAAAGUAAAUGUUUGGUGCUAAUUAAUAUAACACAAUUAUGUUCUUAUGAUUUGAAGAUUGCUCGAGGUGUUUCUGUGAUAUAACUAUCUUUAUAAUUUUAAGAGUAUAUCUGGGAGUGAUAUUAUAAAAUGCUUUUAAUCUCAAAAUAUAAUUUUUUUUUUUUUAAAUUAGGUGUUUGUGAAAAUUUAAUGGUUUGUUUGGUAAUUAUUUUCAAAAACAAUUCUUAAUAAUAGUUUUUAAAAAUUGUUUUGUAAUGUUUUAUAAAAUAAAAUAUAUUCAAAAACCUAAAAUGUUUUUCACCUGUUUUAAAUAUUUUUUAAUAUAUUUUAAAAAAAAUUAAUGUUUAGUGUUUUAUCUUUAAUAAUUCUAUAUAUUUAUAUAAUUAUUUUUUUAAAUAGUUCUUAGAAUAUAAGUGAAAACAACUAAUAUUAUUUGAAAACACCUCAUUUAAAUCAAAAAACAGUUUUGAUUAUUAAACAUGUUUUCCUAUUUUUUUGUUUUGGAAAAUAUAAAACUGUUGUCAAAAAUAGUUAUCAAAUAAGCCUUAAAGAAUCGCUUUUAAAAAUAUGAAAAAUCAUGUAUAGUAUUAAAAAAUCACUUUUAAUGUUUUUUUAAAUAAACACUUCAAGUAUAAACACGGAUAAAAGCACUUUAAUAAAAAAAAUUUUUUGAUUCAUGAUAUCUUUAUUUUUUAAUUUUGAAUAUUUUAUAUUUUCUAAUUUUAACGAGUUACAAUUAUUGAAUGCGAUGAAAAUCAAAUCUUAGUCCAAAAUUAUUUCAACUUGUCACAAAUGAUCAAAUGAUACCAUGUAGAUGGGUCCAUAUGGAAAAAUCCAAGUGGCAAUUUCGUAUUUUAUAAAUUAAAUUUAAAUAAAAAAGGACAUAUAAAUAGAUUUGUGGUUUGAAGAUUCUAGAAAUUUCUCUAUUUAUGGUAUGCACAUAGUUACCAUUUGUGAUGCAUUAAUUUCGCAUGUCCAAAAUGUAAAUAUAUAUUAUAAAUAUUAUAAUUUUUAAAAUUACAUUUAUAGUAUAUGAUUUCAUCUAAAAAUGGAAAUCUACGGAGAUAACAAUGAUCACGACUUAGGUGUUCCAUUCUUGACUCUCUCGUAUUAAGGAAAGUCCUCCCAAUGAUUUCAUCCACAUAUUUUCUUACUAUUAUAUCUUUAUUCAGACAUAUUUUUCCAUCAUAUAUAAUUUUCAUAAGUUGUUGUAUUUAUCGUAACUUUUUCCCAUAUGACUUGUAAUAUUAAUAUGGAUAUUCUUAUCGGAUUUCUUUAUUCUACAAAAUUAUGUUUGAUUGAUAGAUAAAAAACGAUAUAUACGUUAUAAUUUAAUAUUUUUGGAUAUUAUCAAAUGAGAUAUCAAGUAUUACAUAUAAUGAGAUAUAUUAUAUUUAUAUUUAAUUUAUAAAAUAAAUAAAUUAUAUAAUAUUUUUUAAUAUUUAAUAUUUGUUUAAAAUAAAAAUUAUAUUGCUUUGUAAUGUUGGCUAUUAAAAAAAUACUAAAAUUCUCAUACAUUUAGUGUUAUUUAGAAGUUGCUAUUAUUUGUUAAUAAUAUUUAUGAUUAAAAUAUUUAAAAUUUUAUAUUAUAUUAUUCAAUUUAUAUAACAAUUAUAUAUAUUAAUACUAUUUUAUAAUAUUUUUUUAAAGAGAGGCGAAAGAUUUGAACAAGUAUGGGACUACCACCUACUCCAUGCCUCUAAUACCGACCAAAUCAAACUUCCAGCUAACAACACUCUUUUAGUCUUUCUUCACGCAAACACGACCUCUCUUUCCAUUCUUUCUUCUCCACCACAAUCCACUCACAAGUCAACACGUGUCCAUUCCUAAUUUUUCCACUCCAAUAUUUCCCAAGCAGACUAUAAUCAAUGUCUCGACAGUCCAUGGGAUUGCCACCCGACAAUUCAUAUUACGUCACCUUACCAUAACAUUAUAACGAUUAAUUUUGAAAGCAGUUUUUUUAUUUUAAAAACAAUUAAGAUGUAUUUUCUAAUAAUACAUUUUAAUUGUUUUUUGAGAAUGAUUUUAAGAAAUAAUUAUAUAAAUAUGGAGAAUAGUUGAAAUAAAACAUAAAAAAACUAAGAAAACAUGUUAAAAAUGAUUCAAGUUUUCGAUAAUUUUUUGUUUUAUAAAACAUUAAAAAUAAUUUUUAAAAUUCCUUCUUUAAAAUUGUUUUUAAAAAUACUUUUCAAAUAGAGUCCAAUGAUCUAUUUGGAACUAUUUUUUAAAAUAGUUUUUUAUUCUUUAAAACAAAAAACAUAGAACAUAUGUUUGAAAAUCAAAAACUAUUUUUUGUUUGAAUAUAAAAAAUGUGUUUUAAGAUAACAUCUUUUAGUUGUUUUAUGUUAUUUUUACUUGUUUUUUUUUUAGUUGUUUUAAUAAACAAUUAUACAAACCAUGUAGAAUAAUUAAAAAUAAAAUACUAAAUAUAAAAAUUAUUUUUAAAAUAUUAAAAACAAAUAAAAAAACAUUUUAUGUUUCAAACAAAUUUUUGUUGUAUAAAAAUUAGAAAAUAAUUUUCAAAAAUUGUUCUAAAACACUAUUUUUUAGAAUUAUUUUAAAAAACAAUUACCAAAUAAACCUCAAGCCUUCAUUUCUAUUUUUUUUAAUAAGAAGUAAUAAUAACUCUUAUAUAAAAAUAUGAAAGUUAUUAUAAAAAAAUAUAAAUUUAUCUUAUAUUUUUAAUAAUUAUGUUUAAAAAUUUUAAAAUUCAAAAUAGUAAAUUUUUUUAAAGAUGUCAAGUCUUAAUGACUUUAAAAAAAUUAAUUUUAUAUUUUAUAUAAAAUUUAUUAUCACUUUUUAUUUUAAAAAAUGAAAAACAAAAAGAUAUUAAACAUACACUAAAUAAGGUUUUUUUUAUAAUUAUUAUGGAAAAACAUAGCUAUUUGCUUUUAAAUCCGAAUUUCGUCUUUUUCUCCUUCCAUAAUGCUAAAAAUGAAAUGUAGAACCAAGAAGGCAAUUCAAGAGAACAGUAUGGGAUGCAUUUGUUUUAGGAAUAAAUAAAACAAAAUUAAAAUAUUUAUCAAUAAAUACCAAUUUUAUUUUCUCCUUUUAAAAAAGUCAAUGUUGAAAGGGAUGACAAUUGAAUGAGUUUUUUCGGGCAUCCAUAAUAGAAUGGGGAGGGUUUUAAUUUUAAUUAAACGAGUUAAGAUGAGUUCGGAUACUAUCUUGUCUUGGCUCACCCCUCGAUUAUAUAUAAAAUUAAAUUAAAUUAAAUUUUAUUUUACUAUUUUUAAUAUAAAGAUAAUAAUAAAAUAUUUUUUUAAUAAAAUAAGUUAUAAAAAAUACGAUAAUUUAAUUAUUUAUAAAAUAUAUUUAUUUUAAUUUAAUUAAAAAAUUUAAAAGUAAUUUAAAAAAAAAAUAUUAAACGAGGGAAACGAGUAUAUGAGAAUUUUACAUACACGCUCCGUCUCGUUUAAUUUUUUAAAUGAGACGAAGAUGAUAAUUAUUUUGAAUAAAUGAGAUGAGAUUGGGAUGAAAGCGACCCGUCCCAAACUCGUUCUAUUGUCAUUCCUAAAUAUUGUUAAUUUAUUUGAUAAGUAUUUGUUUUAGUAAACUUUGGGGAAUAUAAUUUUAAUAAAAUUUAAGAUACAAAAAAUUAAUUUUCGGUGGAAAUUCAAUUGAAAUAGAAAAAUAUUUUUUUUUUCAUACAUGUACAUAUUGAAUAAAGGAAUUUCUUGGUUUAAAAUUUUUAUUUUAGAAAAUAAUGGGAAUGAUGUGAAUGGGAUGACGUGGCCAUGGGCUAUUUACAUCUCUCCCAUUCUAGCACUAAUAAAUAAGAUAUUUAACAUAUAUGUAGCAAAUCCUGAUACGCCAUGUGUUCAAUUGACAAAGCGAGUAGCAAUGAAUUCUCUACACCACCGCAGAAGCUACCCUCCUCGAGUAUGCCAACCUCUAUAAAUCCAACCCGGAAGCCCGGAGCCCAGACACCCCAGAAAGCUUCCCCUUUCCCUGUCCCUCUUUCUCUCUCCAGUCUGUCUUUUAAUUCCGUUACUGAUUUGCUUCCGAUCCCCGAAAUUCAGCUGAGUUAUGGGAGGAAUAGUUCCAUUUGUGUGAGUUUCGCCGAAUCGCGGCGUUUUCCGGCUAGAUUUCCGGCGAGAUCGAGAGAGGUGUGAGCAGUGGUGUUAAUAGACCACACCGCAUGAGCUGGUUGGUUAACUUAGGGUUUACUUCGAAUUCCAAUCAUUUCACCACCUGUCUCUUGAUUUUCAUUCUUCAUUACUCUCCUCAAUUACCCCCUGCCUUGUUCAAAUUCGAGAAGCCUCUCGAACCUGGAUCAUUAGUUAGUUGUUUUAAUUGGAAUUUCAAUCAUCGCCGCCGUCGCCGUUUUAGAUCGCCAGAGAAUGGAGUCGUCCGAGAGAAGUAAUCGCCAGUUACGCAGAGGUUGGCUAAUUUCCGUGUUUUUUAAACCUUUUUUUGGAGAGUUGUUUCGUGCUGGUAAAAAGCUGCUUAAUUUGAUCAAAUUUACAGAAUAUGUCAUUCAUGUGGACGAAUAGAGAAAUAUUUUCAUGUGGUUUUGUGAUUUAUUGUUCAUUUGUUUCUUUUCAAUAUGUUUUUUUUUUGUUUGGUUUUCUUACGUAAAUUAAGUGAAGAUUAGCAUGAACAUAUGCUUUGAAAUAUAAUUUUAUUUUUUAAAAACAUUAAUGGUGAUUAGGAAGUGGUAUUUUUGAAAAAUUAGCAGUGAUCAUACAAUGGCAUGAAUGUAACUGUAGGAAGUGAUCAUUCCUGGUGCCUACCCAUGAAGCAUCCGCUGGCGAUUUCAGACCCUGUUUGAAGUGGCUUCUUGAACUUGAAAGGUCUUUAAAAGUACAAUACGAGCUUUUAAGUGUGUUUAUUUUUAUUGAAAAAGAGCUUAACAUGAAAGCAAUUUCAGUGUUCUUCCCGAGGAAGCUAUUCAGUUUAUUUUGAGGAUGAAGGAACUUUUAAUAAUACUGAAGUUACCCAUUUGAAAUCAUGCUUUGCCUUGUCAAAAACAAAAUGCUAUCCUGGACAGGGUGUUUUGUUGAAUAAGGAGAAUUUGAUUACUCUAUGAAGUCAGAUAUUUAAUUAUCCACAUGCUUUAUAAUUUUUCUGAUUUUUUUUUUUUUUUUGAAUUUUCAAAUAAAGGCUAUUGAUAUUGUCCUGUUUGAUUUUCCCUGCGUUCCUUGCACUUGAUUUUAUACUUAUUUUAAAAACUAGCAUUUUGUUUUGAUCAUUCAUAAAAGUUUUUUUUUUUUCCCCUUUUUUUUUGUGGUGUCGUAGCAUAUAAUCCUCAUAACUUAGUGAAAAUUACUCUGCGACCUAUCCAAAAUGAAACUUUUUACAGUUUCUGCAAUGAUUGUACCAUUUGGUAAGACUGAGUAAUGCUUUGUUUUCAUUCAAACAUAUACAUCACAUAAAUGCUUAUGAUUUUACAAAAAUUUCCCAGUUGAAAAAAAAAAACCUUUUUUUAGUUGUUUAAUGAUUGUGCAAUCGGGUAAGUUGUCUUCUUGAAAUGAAAGUUUCAACUAUACGAAUAUGUGAGAUUCAUGGCAUUGAAAUGGUUGUGCCUUUGAGGCCUAGCUCAAGUGGUAAAGGGAUGGGAAGGGUUUAUGGGAGGUUCCAGGUUCAAGUCCCAAUGGGGACAAAAAUUUACCAAUCAGAAAAAAAGAAUAAAAAAAGGCAUUGGAAUGGUUGCGCAUAAAAUUAACAUGUGGCAUUGAUGUCAAUAGUUGAUAUGAGUAUGCAAAAUUAUACUGGCUUGAUGGGUCUCUCAGAUAUGUUUAUCCAAUUUUUUUAUUAUCAUUGUUAGGACUCUGUGACAUGUACAAAAUUAUACUGCCAUGAUGGGACUGACAUGUUUAUGUUAUUUCUACUAUUAUUGAGGUCAUUCAUGCACUGUAUUUUGAUAAUGCUGCAUGUUAAAUUGAAUAAACAUGCCAGAGAGACCCAUUAAGCCAGUAUAAUUUUGAACAUGACAUCAAUAGUAGCAUGUUCAAAAUUAAACUGGCUUGAUGGGACUGACAUGCUUAUGUUAUUAUUAUUAUUAUUAUUGAGGUCAUUUAUGAACUGUAUUUUGAUAAUGCUGCAUGUUUUCUGUUUAUGUUAUUUGUUGUUUUUACCAUGCUUUUCAAAAAUGGACUGGACAUUGAUAUUUCCACCAUUGAUUUUUGAAAAGAAAUACUGGUUUGAGGAGUGGUACAAACACUUUCAAACUAAGAGUUAAAUGCAAAUGUCGACAUCUUGUAUGUUGAUAAUAUCUUUUGUUAAAGCAUAGCUACAGGUUUGGAUUUGCUCAAAAUCAUAUGAGAUCAGGGAAAUCCUUGCCCAAAUUCACAUGGCAUUUUGACUUUGGAAUUAUCCAAAAUCACAAUAAAGCGCACACAGGGUGAAUUCAAUCAGAAAUUUUUCUGUUGGUUCCUGGAAUCUAACUCAGUAGAAUCUGGGCCUCUCCUCUAGAGUCUGAUUCCGUGCUACAAAAUGAGGCUCUAGAGUUCUCAAAUUUUGCUAUAAUGCUCUUACCACCAUGUAGCUCUUAGUUUAGAGUUUUGUAUAAACUACUUGAUCAAUCUUGGAUGCAAUUCAAUUAAAUAACAUUGGAACAUAGCAUAUGAUUUCUAUUGUAAUUAUGAUAUUUUCUACUCGUUUCUACAAUUGGUUUUCCUUUCCUCUACCCUGUGCUUGCUAUUUUCUUUGCGUAGUUCAAUCCUCUCAUUUUCCUCUUCUGUUCAAGACAUUAAGCUUAGUUUAUUACUGUUCCACUAAUGGUCAAAGACUGCCCAUGAUUUAGUGCUUUAUCGACAUGUUCUUCCACAGUAAUACACUUAUUUGAAGUGUAUGGUGUAAAAACUGCAUGGACUUCAUGUUUUGUUGAUUUACUUUUUACCCAUGGAAUUGAACCUAGAACCUCUUCCAUCCCACUCCAAUCCUUCGCAACCUAAGCCAGGUAUCGGGGGCUUUACUUCAUUGUUUUGUUGAUUUAUUUUGAUAAAAGUAUUCUUGGAAGGCAUAUGAUAGUGACUUCAGUACAUUCCAAUGUUAUUCUAAGAUGUAAAUUAUUUUGUGAUUAGGAUGUGCAUUUAAAGAUUCUUUUAUCAAAGUGUUGAAGACUUGUAGUUCAUCUCUAUGGCCUGAUUUCCAGAAUCUGAAUUCAAUCUCCUGUCUUGUAGCUCUUUGUUAUGCAAAUAUUGAAAGGCAGCAAGCGACAUCACCAUCUGUUAUCGUCAUAGGUGCUGGUAUGGCAGGCAUUGCAGCUGCUCGUGCCCUUCAUGAUGCCUCAUUUCGGGUAUUCAAAAGAGAAAAUUUGAUUAUGAUGCAUAUCAUUUUUAUACCCCAUGCUUGUUAUUGUGUCUACACUUGACAUGACUAGCUGGUCCAACACUUAUGGAGCAUUUGCAAAUGCUUCUUUCUUGUUGCCAAGGAAAAGUGUAUGAUGCAUUUUUAGUGAAAUUUGUUGGAGACCAUGAUAUACAUUAUGAAUCCAAAUCCUAACAACUUGCAGUUCUAGAAAACUUGGUUGUUCAAAAUGGAAUCUGAGCAUCUUUAGUUGGAGGCCAUAUUUAUUUCCCCAAUUUGUUGAUUCCACGUUCAAGCCCAACUAUGUAUUUAUUAAGCCCAUAUUCAAGCCUAAGAGCUUUUAGGAAAAUUGGUUAUACAACAAAAUUAUUGCAUAAUUUUUAGUCAUUAACUAGUCUGAGUUUCAUGUCUGCAUUCCUUGGUGGGUGGAUUGGUAAUGGACCAAAUUUUCAACAAUGUUGCAUGUUUACUUAUUUUUUUAAGUAUAUAUGAUGCAUUGCCACAAGUUUAUCCAGAUUGUUUAUUUUAUGGCCAAAUCUUGUUUUUAUUGUACACAACAAUGAGAAAGUUGGAGCAGGUGUUUGAUGCAGAAUUAGGUAUCAUGCGCUUGUCCAUAUGGGACAUGUGUAUGUCUUUGUACCAAUAUGAUCUGCUUUUCACUUCAUGCGAAAGAGUAGCCUGAUCUGUGGAUUAUAGCUGUUUAUAGGUGCUUUUAUAUUCUUCCUGGAUUAGUAUUGCUCUAACCUAGUGGCCUUAAUGGCAAUUCUGGUGGAUGGACAGCACCUUGCUAAGAUAUAGGGAACUAAAACGCCCAAGUAGCUGUUGUACUCAUAUUUAGUUAAUUUUAGCUUGACUUAAAGCUUAGGGAUGGGCUGGAUUUUUCUCUCCUGAAGGCAAACAAAAAAUGAGCUUCAUGUUGGAGUAAACAAUAGCAAGCACAGACAAGCUUGACUUUUUGUCAAGUUUGACUUUUUGUCAAGUAUCAUCUACUUUAUAAAGAUGCAAAACACAAUAUCAGCAUAAUUUUAAAGCUGGUUUGUAAUAAGGAAAAAUGUAAACCAGGUUUCAACACUUGCUUUUUUGUGCAUGUGAAAUAACUUGUAAUAAUUUCGUUUUCAGCCAGUAUGCUUGUCUGUUCACGAAUUUAGUUGCAACCAUUAUUACUUUUGGAGAUGUUAGCCAUAGAUAAAUAUUGCUCUGUUCUGUUUGCUAUUUUCGUUUUUGAUCAGAUUUCUGUUUGCUAUAUUCCUAACUAUACACACUUUAUCUUUUUUAGGUUGUUCUGUUGGAAUCGCGUGAUAGAAUUGGUGGACGGGUUCAUACUGAUUACUCAUUUGGUUUUCCUGUUGACCUGGGAGCAUCAUGGUAAACUUUUAUCUUUUAGCUUUCUUUUUGCUAAAACCUGUGGAUACCUCCUGUCAACUCUAAUUAAAAUCUCUUUCAAAAUUGUACUCAAGGCUUCAUGGGGUCUGCAAAGAGAAUCCCUUGGCACCUUUGAUCAGCAGACUGGGGCUACCACUCUACCGUACUAGUGGCGACAACUCUGUGCUGUAUGACCAUGAUUUAGAAAGGUAAACACAUUUUACCUUUGUUGCUUUAUGGAUGGCCAUAGUUUCUAAUACAUAACAUGCUUGAGACAGGAAUGUUUCAGUUAUUUGUUUGGUAACAUAACAUUUAUCUUUGAGCGUGUCAGCCUGAGCUUCUGUUAAACAUCCAAUUACAUCGUUUCUUAUUCUAGACUAUGAAUUGAUGACUUCAGAGGAAAGGUUCCAUUUGUAAGUUGGUGUUGGUAAUUUAUAUGUCCUAGCCUCCAUCUGUAUUUUUAUGUCAAUGGCAUUGCUGUCAUAAAAUAAGUUUGAUGAAAUGAAAUUUGGUGAAGUUGACUAGUUAACAUUGGUGUAUGGUUAGAAUUUUUAACUAACACUCUAAUGUAAAAUCAGAGACAGGGAAGGUGGUAAAGAAAGUCAUUUAAGUCUUCAUGUUUUUUGUUUUGUUUUGUUUUUUCUUUUUUUCUUGUAGAUAACAUAACUUGAUAGAAUAAAAUCUACUUGAGACAGGAAGGUACCGCAACCCAAAUACACUACUAUUUAUAAUAUCUGUACAUUUAGUUUAAACAUCACUUCCUUUUAAACUGCAAUGUUGCAUUAUUUUUUUUUUUGAUAAGUAAACUGCAAUGUUGCAUUAUGACCUUGUCUUCUUAUACAUAAGGGUUCUUUUAAUGUCUUGAGUUUUAUAUCUCUUUCAUUAUUUCCUUGAGUUCCAUGGAAAUUUCUAAUGCUUUCAUUUCUUGAAGUUGAAAUUUACAUUGUAAAUAUUUCAAGCCAUGGACCAGUGGUUAGUUCUGGACGGCAUUCUAUCUUUAGCCUAGAAUGUAUACAAAUGAGGGAGAAGGAUUAAAAAAUGAGGUAGAGGGGGGUUGCGGGAUACAAGAAGAGAAAAGGACUUGUGAAGGAGAAAAUAAACACUAAUAAAUUACUACUAAGUAGUAUGGCAAUAAAAUUAAAUUUAAAAAAAAAAAAAAAACAACUAUGAUGAGCAAGCAAAUUUUUACAGAACUGCUGCUAUGCCUUCUCUACAGUAACUUAAUAAAACUUGCUAAAAAGCUGCUAAUACUGCUGUUUAUUUGUUGCUACAAAACCAAAUAAAACAUUGUAUGGAUUGUAGCAUUUCCAAUGCAAAAAAUUAUCUCAAAGAAACCUUCUUUUGUUAUCAUACUCCAUAUUAUUGGUUUUAGGUGAUUAUUAUUGUCUUAUGCAGCUAUGCCCUCUUUGAUAUGGAUGGGAAUCAAGUUCCUCAAGAAUUAGUCCGAGAGAUUGGUGUAGCAUUUGAGAAAAUUUUGGAAGAGGCAAGUAUUGUCUUAUUAUUUUGUUUUGUUUACUUAUGAGACUGUAAUUAUGCCUGAUGUAUAACUUUUUAUUUUUACACCUCCGUAAACUUACAUUUCUUUCUAUAAGAUGUUAAAAUGAGAUACUAAAUUUAAAGCAGGCAUGUGGAUGGGGAUAGUUUGGUAAACUUGACAGGCAUGAGUUGUGCAUCUUAGCCAAGGGUGGGGGCUUGUGAAACAUGGACUUCACAAAAAUUUACCAAGGGGUUGUGGCGAGUGAAAAGUUGAAGAUUUUGUUCAAUUUACUUUUAGAUUGUCUUGUAGCAAAGCUGUGAAGAGAAGUUUUUGUGUCUAGUCUGGUAGCAAUUUGCUGAGUCAUUUUUUCUGUUGAAUACAGACUGAUAAAGUGCGACAGGAACAUAGUGAAGACAUGCCCAUCCUAGAUGCAUUCAAAAUUGUUUUUGAAAGGAGGCCAGAUUUAAGGUUUUCCAUCACAACACUAGAUUUCAAUAGCCUGCUAAAUAUAUAUAUUUCUUAAUAGUCAAUAGAUGACUUAGUAUAUACAAAAUGCAGGCUGGAGGGGCUGGCUCAUAAGGUACUGCAAUGGUACUUGUGCAGAAUGGAAGGCUGGUUUGCUGCAGAUGCUGAUAACAUAUCACUUAAAAGUUGGGAUCAGGUAUCAAUUCAUAAAUAGUUCUAGAUCUCUUAGCCAAUAGAAAUAGAAAAAAGAGUUGUUCAAGAAUCAAUGUGCGUGUAUGCUAAACAUGAUAAGGAGACUCGGUAAAAUCAUUUUUUGGUUUUUCUCACAAGCCCUUAGUAUAUAUAAUAUCUAUUCGAUCUGUUACUAUGUUAUUCUGUACAUGUUUCUUACUCAUCCAUACAAUCCCCUGAUGUAUGUGCAAUUUUUAUUUUGCCUCUUGUUCUAUACAUGAAAAACUCACAUGCAGUUUGGACACCUUUUUUAUUUUGCAUAUGAUUUGCAGUAUCAUAAAAAAAAAUUAACAAAUUCCAUUUAAGUGUGCUUUUGAUUGAUGAGUUGUACUAUUGGUUCCUUAUAUUGCCUUUAGAAAAGUGAUUUAUAAGAUGAAUGCAUCAAUAUCAAUAUUGAUACUUAGACCAUUCUCAACAAAUGAAUCCUUCUGAUGAGCAAAUAAAUCCACUUUGUUAGCUGUCAUGGCUUUCACCACCCUCUUAAAACUGGGGAGGAUUAAUAACUCUGCCAUUAAAUCUAUAGUUUUAGGAGAAAUACAAUAAAUGUAUGGUGGGCAAUAAGCCUUUGCAUGCUAGCAGUGAAAACGAAGAGUGAAGAGAGAGAAUUUAUGUAUUGAAUGGCAUUUUUAUUUAUUCAUUUUAUUUUUUGUUUAUUACUUGAUUCUUCUCUGCAUAUUGUGUGUUAUAGGAUGGCUUUGUGUAUCUGCAUAAAAGAACAGUGUUUGAGGUUACAAUUUUUGUUUAAUAUGCAGGAAGAACUCCUUCCUGGUGGUCAUGGGCUAAUGGUCCGAGGUUACAUCCCUGUUAUAAACACCCUCGCAAAAGGUCUCGACAUCCACUUGAACCACAGGUAUUAAUCAAUAUUUAUAUAGUCCUGUUAAUUUAAUCAUGUAUCUGUUCAUUGCUCAGCCGCAUUUUCUAUUCAUACAGGGUUACAAAAAUAGUAAGGCGUUAUAAUGGAGUCAAGGUAACAGUAGAAGAUGGGAGAUCAUUUGUUGCAGAUGCUGCCAUUGUUGCUGUCCCCAUUGGUGUUCUGAAAUCGAGUCGCAUAAAGUUUGAGCCAAGGCUCCCAGAGUGGAAGGAAGAAGCAAUUGCUGACAUUGGAGUGGGAAUCGAAAACAAGAUAGCCUUGCACUUUGAUAAGGUGUUUUGGCCAAAUGUGGAGUUCUUGGGAGUAGUUGCAGAUACGUCUUAUGGCUGCAGUUACUUUCUAAAUCUCCAUAAAGCUACAAGUCAUUCUGUUCUUGUUUAUAUGCCUGCUGGGCAGCUGGCCAAAGACAUUGAGAAAAUGUCUGAUGAAGCUGCUGCUAAUUUUGCUUUUAUGCAACUCAAGAAGAUCCUUCCUGAAGCUUCUGACCCGGUAAUGGUUAUAGACUUUGCUAUUUAGCUUUUACAAACAUAUAAUUCAUCUUUUCCAAUUACAAUUUUUGAGUUGUCAUGCCUGAGGCCUUCAGCAUAAUUCUCAAGUAGCAUACCCUAAGGCUUUUCCAGGCUUCCAAAUUCUUCAGUAUAGAUUUAGAUUAGAUUGUCAGACAUGUACAUUUGAUUGAAUUCCUUUGGGGUGGGAUCUACAAAGCUGCUGUUAUCUAUUUCAAAUCUGGUUGGGUUACAGAUAAAGAUAAUUACUGAUGAAAAGAAAUAGGAUGAAGAAAAAGUACACGACAAAUCCCGGUGGAUAUGAUAAUUUCAUGUGUGUAGUGGGCAUUGCCUUGGGUUUUCUAAAGUUUUUGUUCAUUUGGUGCAGAUUCAGUAUCUUGUUUCUCGGUGGGGCACAGAUGAGAAUUCACUUGGAUCCUACACCUAUGAUGCAGUAGGGAAACCCCAUGAUCUGUAUGAGAGGCUAAGGGUCCCUGUAGACAAUCUAUUUUUUGCAGGGGAGGCGACCAGUGUGAACUACCCGGGGUCUGUGCAUGGUGCAUUCUCAACUGGAACAUUAGCUGCAGAGGAAUGCAGGAUGCGUGUCCUAGAGCGAUAUGGGGAGCUCGAUUUGUUCCAGCCAGCCAUGGGUGAAGAAACAUCAUUCUCUAUCCCGCUUCAGAUUUCCCGGAUGUGACUUGGUGGCCUCUAGGCUGUCGUCCCCCACUACAACGAAGUACUGUGUGUUUGCGUUUAUAUUAUUAAUAAGGGGCCUCCUGACUAACGCAUUGUUGCCAUUUUGAUUGGCUGCUUUGGGAAAAUUAGUGUUCUCCCACAGAUUAAUCAAUCAAAGGAUUGGUUAAUGUGUAUAGUCUCCUUCCACCCAAAUACUUUGUCUGUGAACUAUCGAGUAUGAACUUUGUAUAUCUAUAUUCUAGUCUAGUGUAAUCUAGUCUCUGGUCUAGUCCAUAAUGGAGCCUGGUAUUUCAUUAGAGGCAGAAGUUGACGGUAUCAGAAAGUAUGGAUAGCUUUUUAGAUGCAUCAACGAGAGAUAUAUGUAGGGAAGACGCUAGAGAUUUUCUUGUUCAAUAAUGGUUUGUAUCGCACUCUCCUCUAUAGCUAUAUAUAGAAAACAUUGUGGUGUUAUAUAAAUAAGUAAGAUAAGGGUGUGGCAUUUAGUACCUCUCUGGAUGUUGAACUCUCUGGGCAAAGGUUGUAGCCCCUCCAAAGAACACAAUGGAGAGGUGAUCAUAAUGGUCUUCAUGAGUUUGACUGAAAACAAGUAUGUCAUCUAUAUAUACUAGCAUGAACUUUCGAUAUUUUUUGAAUAUCGAACCAUUUUUCAUUGAAAAAUGGUUGGAGCAUUUUUUUUUUACCUACCUUAGUCACAUAAUUUAUACUAUAAUUAUAAUUUUUGUAGAUUAAUUUCCUUUGUUAUAUUUCUUGUACCUUGGUUAUAACUUUUGUAUGUUAGUCACAUGCUUUGUACCUUGAGUCUAUUUUUUGUAUCCUUUGUUGGGAUAAUCCUUGGAUCAUAGGUGCAUGCCAUCACUAGGCAUAGGGAUACUAAAUCUACACAAAGUAAGUGAAAACUAAGCCUAGGGAUGCAAGAUCUACACAAAGUGAAAACAAAAUGAAAUAGUAGAUCUAGGGCUUGAAAUCUUCCCUUGAUCUAGAUGUUCCUAGAUUAGGAUUCUAGUCAAAGAAGGCAGGCUCGUUUAUUGCCAUGAUCUUCCACUCAAUCACUUGUUUUUUAAUCAUUGGAACUUGUGUAGGAGGGCUACACAACCUUUUUAAGGGAGAGGAGGAUGGAGCCUCUUUAGAAGACCAUAACCAAUAGUGUGUCUAACCAUAAUCCUCUAAGUGGGUUUUUAUAAACUUCCUUAUGGUUUAAUUGACUAGAGUCCAUCUUAGGUUUAUGUCAUUGAAUCUUACGUUAGUGGAUUCUAAUUAAUUAAUUAACCUAAUUCGUAAAAGCCAAAAACAUUUAUGAUAAAAUCCUCAAGUCUAUGAUUUACUAUCUACCGUAAGCAAAUUCCUCAUGAAAUUAUGUUUGUAAUUUAACAAGGUAGAUACUAUCAAUUUCUCAAGAUUAUCUCCUCAAUUGAGUCUAAAAUUCUCCUAUUAGGUGAUAAAUUAAUAUACUCUAACUUUCUAAGAGCUUAGGUCAAAUUUCUACUUAAGGAAAAACUACGACUAUAGUUUUCUUUGAUCACAUAUCCUUAAGAUCACUUAAAAUGACAUACUGCUUUAAUUCCAUGAGAUAUCAUGUUGCAUACGUCGAGAAUAUCUAUUACCACCCACCUUAGUCAUUAGUGAUCCAAUCUAUAGGGAAUAUAUGAUUACCUUAAGAUCUCACCUAUAGGUCAAAAUCACAGAAGAUCUUUGCACUAACACAAUAUUCUCUCAAGUUUAAGAGUUCAUGCACCAUAGUAACUUGAUGAAUCAUAACUAUUUGAUAAUCAACGUCAUGAUCACCGUACUUCCUAUCCAAUGUAUAACCAUUCCUAUUGAUGAACUUACCAUGUGAAAAUUAUCCUAAUGACCAAGACAAGUCAUCCUUUCAAUUAAGAAGUAAUGCAUUAUAGCCAACAACUUAUCAUCUUGUUGGGAACCUAUGACUUGAAUUUUCUGUCUAACUCAUAAUGCUCGGUUUGAAUAGUGUUUGAUGAGAGAUUGUGCUAAGCCAUUUUGAGUAUAAAUGUGAGUAAGAGGAUGCUCAACACCAAUUCCAGUUGACAUAUAAGAAUUAAUAAAUCUUUUAGAUGUAAAUUUACUAGCAUUACCAAUAUGAAUUAUUGUCUUGAUUAGGUGAUUUGAGAACUAAGCACAUAACCAAAUUAUUUAAGUGGAAAUGCAAUAUUGUAGUGAUUUGAGAACUAAGCACAUAAUCAAAUUAUUUAAGUGGAAAUGCAAUAUUGCAAGUAGAAAGUAUAUAGACAUGUGACCACCUAGUUAAGACAUCUAUCAAAACCAUAAAACAUCAAAAUGGCCACAAGGUGGGUGAAUAGGCCCACAUAUGUUCCCUUGAUGAAUUGGUUCUAAAAAGGUUGGCGACUUAGACUUGUUUAAGUAGGAAAUAUAGUAGAUAUCAUUGGGUGAAAGAAUCUUCUAAGGAAAAAGUCUUCUAGUUCCUCAAAGCAUGCCCAUGAGAAUUGGCUUUAAUGCAAAGCAACAUGGAAUUAGGAUAAGAAAUACUUGAUUUCAUUCAAAGAGAACAAUUUAUACAUAUUACAUGACAAUAAUCCUUUAGUACCAAAAUAAAUAUCGUUGUGGUUCUAUCACAUUGUUAGACGAAGAGAUCCCUUUUAAUCUAAGUUGGAAUCCCCUUCUUGUGUAAAGUUAAAUCAUUUUUUUACUUUGAUCGAGUUGACAAAAUAAGCUAGAGGAGCGGAGCGUGGCUAAAGCGUGCUUUGACCGAGUUGACCAAGCAAGAAGGCAAGAGGAGAGCGAAAAUAUUAAUGGAAAUAUCGAGAAAUAUCAAGGAUAUAUCGGCCAAUUAUUCAAUGAUCAAUUUCAUAUCAACCACUCUUGAUAUCCGAAAUUUCACCAAUAUUUCGAUGAAAUUUCUUGACAUUUUCAUCCAUGACAAUGGGUUGAUAAUUAGAAUUAGUUCAAAAGUUGAAGUUGUUAGAAAAUUAGCCAAUAGUAUAAACUCCGAGUUAGGUAUUAUCAUAUUAAAUUUUUAUCUAAUUGACUUUGUUUAUGACCUCUUUUUAUGGUUCCUAUUUAAAAUUAAUACCUCAUUGAACUAUAAAGGUAUGACUUGACAUCUUGACCCCUUUCCUUGAUUCGUGAUUGGAAGGAUUAACUUUCACUAUCCAAUGGGUAAUAUUCUUAUGAGGUUGUCCACAAUUCAUAGCAUUUGAAUAACUAAAAUCACCGACUUCUAAAUUCGUCUCAUUAGGAGUUGGGCCUCAAUUCUUCAAAUGAGCAAGCCAUGUUGUAUAAAAGGUAGGGGUAACAAAGUUUGAUAUCAUUUGCCAAUAUGAUAUGAUCAACAUAUUUUUUACGGGUUUAAAUUGAGUAUAAAUGAGUUUUGGUCAAAUUCAUGUCAAACUGUUUAAGUCAUUUAACAAAUAGGUAAUUUUUUUGUCAAUCUGCAUAAAACAAAUUUGAUCCAAAUUGACCUAUCUAAUAAUCUUAUUAUUAAUUUAAUUAUAUUUUUAAACAAUUUAAUUCAUAUUUGAUUCAUUUUAAAUUUAUUUUUAAAAUAAAUGGGUCAAUUGAAUCAUAAAACAUCUUUGUUGAGACAUUAUAUAUAUAUAUAUAUAUAAGACUUAACUUAAUUAUUAAAUAGAAAAAUUUGAUUAUUAAAUGAGUUAAAUAUGUUGCACGAUAUAUUAUUUAUUUAAUAAUUAUGUAGUAUUUGAGUUUAUGUUUUUUAUAUGAUUAUUAUUUGUUUCUAGUUUGGACUAAGUUGUUUAGUAGAAUACCCAGACUUUAACAUGACAGGAACAUGAUCUAUCAACACGAAUUGACACCCGUAGUAAAAGGUGUCUCCACUUUCCAGUGUUAGUGUGUGGCUCUGCUGCUAUAUUGGAGUAAACUAGGGCAUUGACACAUGACAACCACUCUAUUUAUUCAUUUAACUGAAAAACCUGUAUAACUUUACAGUCAGAAUAGAUGGAAAUGAAAUGAAGAGGGUUAAUGGCAACUGAGAAGGAUGACUACUACUGAGAGUUGAAGACUCUUUGAGGGUGUUAAUGGAACCGAUUGGAUGGCUCUCAAGCCAUACACAUUGGGUUCUUAGACCCUUUGCAGACAAUGGAACGUAUUUGUUGCACCAAGAAAAUGAAUGGACUAACAAGAAAUUAAGGAAAAUAUUUUUCUAACAUUAAGGAAAUUCAACAAAGCUUGCAAUAACCUUUAGAAAAGCCUGCAAAAAGGUUAACCCCUUCACAAGAAUACACACGGAAAAAUGCCCAUAAAAAGGAGCCAAAGAAAUUUCUGCUCCUUUGAAAAAAACCCACUCUGUAUCCUGAAAAUGGGGAAUAAGAAAAUUUGAGCAUCUUUAGUGGUGAUGGCUGCAAUAAUGUUAUGGUAGAUCCAGUCCUUCUCUUCAUUGGUGACUGUGACUAGCAAGUUGAGCAAGAAGGGGUUGUCCACGUACGUCCUAGACCUUCAGCCAUGAUAAUGAUACUAUGCCCCUUCUCCAUUUUGUACAUCAACUUUCCAACAUCUAGCUUUUUUCACAACCAAGCGAAGCUACUAGCCUUUCCUUUUAGGAAGUGGGAAGGGAGACCCCUUUUCCAUUUUGUACAUCAACUUUCCAACAUUCUCUAGUUCUUUUCACGACCAAGCGAAGCUACCAGCCUUUCCUUUCAGGAAGUGGGAAGGGGGGUGGUGGGUGUGUGCAGUCAGAAUUUUGAACAAGUAACAGUUUUUCAAAGUGAAAGGUACGAGGAAAAGUAAUUAUUUGGGAUAAAUGAUAAAUUGACGUAGUAUUAAAGCUGAAGUUCGUGGGGCAGACAGAAGGCUGCAAGUGAAAUAGUGUUAAGCAUUAGCUUGUUUGAUUCAUAGCAUGCCAAGAUCGAAUAUAGACGUUCAGGGCAAGCUCUUGGGUGGUGAUGGCCACAUGGGUUAAGCAGGUCCUUAUGCCAAUCUAAUGGAUUUUGUGUAAGGAAUUCAUGAACAAAUCUCAGCCUCGCUGCUCUAAACAAAAAGAGGGAAAAGGUGGUUGUUGGGUUGAGAGCGGCUGAGGAGGCGUCGUUGGGCCUGUGGAGUACUGGCUCGUUAUCCUUCCACCGAAGAGAGCGGGAGGUGAACGCUGCUCUGUGAAGCCAGCCUCACGCGGUGCCCUCCUCGCUUUAGGAACCAUGCCACCCAAUCCUUCGAUCGGGUCACAGGGCUCAACUCCCCUCUUGGAACGGGCAAGCCAGCUAUCAAACCCCUGCAGCACCCUACCUCUUCAGUCAUUCCAACCUUCGACCACCUUGAUGCCCCCACAUGAGUCACAAGUCCGCGUUACUGGACCCGGCGAUUCUAGUUACCAAACCUAAGCCAAUUUAAAUAUCUCGAUUUUUAUAUCGUUGUUCGAUGUGGGACAGAUGAAGGAUUGUUCAACCUUUCCACAACACUCACAAUAGAUUUACUACCUAAGAGAGGCACAAUUAAUUGACAGUAUUAUUAUUCAAUUUUUAUAUAAAAAAUACCAUUAUAUUGUAAAAAAAAAAGAGUAUACUAUUUAUGAUUUUAAUAUAAUAUUAAUAAUAAUAUUAACUAAAAAUUGUUUAUCUUUCUUCCCUUCAUUCAUAAUUGUAAAAUUAUUUUUUAUUUUUAAUAACACUUAAAUUGAAGUUAAUUUUAGUUUAAUAUAAAAUUAAAUUUAAAAUUUUUUCACAACAAAAAAUAAUAAAUUAAUUUUUAAAUACAUUAUCAAGUUUUUAUCUAAACAAUAUUUUUUUAAAAAUAUAUUUUUUUUAAUAUAAUUCAUCUCAAGAUCUUGAUUUUUAAUGAAUUAAAUGUACCACAAGAUAUUAUUUUAUAUAAUAAAUCAAUUAUGCUCAAAAUAGAAAUGUCUAAUAUUAUGAAUUAAAAUUUUAUUAUAUUCUAAAAGUAUGUGUGAUUUGAUAUGAGGAUUUUGGUAAUUUAGAAAGACUUGAUCAAGAAGGCUAGGCUAUUGAUUUCAUAUCCCUUUGAAUUCUAUCUCAUCCUCAUCCCAAACUUGAAACAUAGGGCAAGUCUAAGCAAUUUUCAUAUUUACUCCAUCUACUUUAAAUUUUUUAAUUAUUUUUAAAUUUUUUUGAAUUUUUAAAAAUAAAUAUGAUUUAUAAAUAGGGAAAAAUGUGUAUUUCUAAAUUUCAUAAUUAUGCAUAUUUUACUCAUGAAAAGCAACUUUUAAAAAAUUUUAUAUAUAUUGGAAAGGGAAAAAUGAAAAUAAUAAUAAUAAUAAUAAUAAUAAUAAUAAUAAUAAUAAUAAUAAUGAUUUUUAAUUAUAUUUAUAUAAUGAAGGUAGGGCAACAUCCAAACCUUUUUUGGUGUAAAAAAUAAAAUUUCAAACUCAUUCCAAACUAUAUUAUAUUUCUUCCAAACUUGAUAUAUUAGGAUUGAAUGAGGUAAAGUCAAAUGGAGUAGUGUGUGGUAAGGCGAGAUUCGAAAAAAACUAUCUCAUCGUCUUUACUGCCCUCCUUAAACAUUUAACUUCGUCUAUCACUAAUAAGAGUUUAUGAGCCCGACCUACUACUCUUCUACAAAAUUAGAGAGGUCAAAAUUGACAAGAAGAUCUGUAAAAUAAUAAUUAAUAAAAAAAUUUAUGAGACAUAAAUACAUACAUAGAUACCAACACAAAUAAAUUAUUAAAAUACAUGUAUGAGUGUUAAUUACAUUACAAAUCUUGUUGACUAUAAUUUAUUAAAAACAUAACCACAAACAAAAUAUUCAAGUCUAGUAAGUACUUAAGAAUCCACCAUCUUUUUCUGAAUGGACAUGAGGAUUUACUAUAUAGAAAACAACUCAUAACUAUUAGUUAAAAAAAAAAAAAUGAUGUUUGACUAACCAAAAAAUACUAUUCGAUAAUGUGUAUUAUAUCUUGCAUGCUUUAGGUUUUCCCAUCUUUACUAAAUCUUGAAGAAACUGGGUUUCCUUGAAUCUAUUAGGCUUUCUCUCCUUUGACAUACAUGUUUUCAUGAUUGACUCGAAAGAAAAUAUAGCAACAAUAAUGAUUCCUAAGAAGCAAAAUAUCAUUAAUACACAUAUAUGUAUUGUGUAAUGGAGAAGUAGUAAUCAAGAAGCACACAUUUCAUGAUUAAAUAUACUUUUCCAUUAUCAUCAUUUUGCUUAUUGAUUGGAAGUGAUAACAUAUCACCAUUUUCUUUACAAAAGAGGUCUAAUUCUUCUGAAGUUGAAGAUUGUUCUAUUUUUUUUUUCAAAUCAAUCUCUCUCAAAUGCUUAUCAAUUGAAAAAGUGUCACCAUUUUUUUUCUUUUCUCUUCCAAAGAUCCCUCACAUGAAGUUAUGUUACUUUUUUUUUUCUUUCCUUUCGUAUUUCAAAGAUUUUUCUCUUAAAGCAAGAAAGAGUUGUUUGAAUUUUGUGUAUUUGGCCUCAAAUUCAUUGAAAACACUUUGAACACUACUGCUAGUCACAUAGUUACAUAUAUCAAAUACCAGUGUUCUUAAUUGUUCAAAAACUUUAUCCAUAUCAAUUAAGUUCCCUUUAUCAAUCAAGUGAUAUAUAAGAAGAGUGAUUAAUAAGAUGAUAAUGUAAGGAUUAGUUACUAAUAUUUAUACAUGUUAAAAAAAGUUAUAAUACUUACUUGCUUCACAACAUUUUCAUGUCUAGACAUUUCCAUUUUGUCCUCUCUCACACCUCAUUUUUCUCCCUUCCACCAUCUUCUCCAUUUUUGAAUAACCUAUAUUUUCACUUAAAAUGUGUCGAUGAACAUUAAAGAGAGAACCUAUUCAAAAUCACUAUAGACAAAAUAAAAAAUUCAAGCAGAUUAGUCAAUAUAACUUACUUUCAAAUGUACAUAAUUACCAAGUGUUUUAAAUUUUUGCUCCAUUUAUAAUAACUCAUUAUCUCCCUAAACGCUAAUACAAGGGGAAUCUCAAGUGGAUAGUGGUGACAAAUAUUUUUCAAGUGAUAUAUACUCAUGGUAGUAUACCUGCAAAAUUAUUUUACAAGGACAUAUAAUUAGGUUACCUCACAUUUUAUAACAAAUUCCAAAUUAAUUAUAAGAUAAAUUAAAUACAAGGAUAUUACCAUAAAAAAUAAAAAGUAAUUAGAAACACCACUUUGUUUGUUAGAGUUAAACUCUUAGAUUUCAUGCACAAGAAAAGAAGAAGAAGAAGAAGAUAAAUUUGACCCAAUUCAUUUUGUUUAUUGAAGUGGUGUCUUUGAGAAGAUGUAGGAAAGAAUGUUUGACAACAAGUUUCAUUGUUGGACAUAAUAAGGCAUCAAACACCAAAUAAUAUAAAUUGAAUUUUAAAAUCAUUCUCACUAUCUAUAUCCUCCUUAAUUGGAUUUUCUAACAUAAUUAAUGACAAUUAUCCAUUUUUAUCAUAAUAUUUAUUAUACAAAUUAUUCUUAUCAUCAAUAUCUUUGUUCAUAUCAAUUUCAACCCAUUUGCGUUCAAGCAUAAAUAAAUUUUACAUCAUUUGGUAAUAAUUUGAUACAAGUGGUAUACGCUUCUAAUAUGUAAGAGUAUGGAUUGAAAUUAUUUAUUAACCAAAGACAUAAAAUAUGAUCAAUUUUAAUAUAUCCAAGUUGUAAAAUACCAUUGAAUCCAAUUUCUUCAAUUGUUGCUUUCUGUUUCGAUUGUAACCCUUCAAGAAUUCUAAGCACUCGAUCGAGUGAACAACAUGUGUGUGGAUACAACUAAAAAGAUACAAAAACAUAUUUACUUUAAUAUUAUUUUAAACAAAUAUUCAACUAAUGUAACUAUUUCUUAAUUAAAUAAUACAUUUAUCUUUUAUUCAUUCUUUUGGACUCACCAUUUUCAAGCCAAUAUUCUUUAAAACUUUCAUUUAAUUUUACCAUAAAACCUUCUUUUUAUACUUUUGGAAGCGCACUACUUCAUGUUUAAAUCUUUUCUCAAACACAUUUAUUUGCUAGUUGGUAGAAAUUUAAAUUUUAGAAAAUAAUUAUAUUAGGCAAGAAAAAACUACUAUUUUACAAAAUGCAAAUUUCCUUUACUAAAAAUGUAUGCACUAUCAUUUCCUCCAAUGAAACUCAGUUUUUUAAAUUUCACCACACCAGCAAAUUUAUUCACAACACCAGCCAUAUAUCAUUUCCUCCCAUGUUGUAAAACCUGGUAGAAUCAGAUGAGUGUUGCAAUGGGUGAGACAAAUGCAAAAGCUCAACUCAUUACCAAUUAAGCUAUUUUUUUUUUAAGCUCAAAAUUAAGGGUGACAAUUUAUUUUGGUGGUCGUGUUUAUGUCAUGUCAAAGUCUAGAUAUUUUACAAUAUGUCUCAAUCCAAAUCCGACACGAAUAAUAAUCAUAUUAAAAACAUAAACUUAAAUACUAUUUAAUUAUUAAGCAAAUAACACGUUGUGUAAUCAUUUAAUCCAUUUAAUAAUUGAGUCUUUCUAUUUAAUAAUCAGAUUGAGUUAUGUGUUAUACAUGUCUAUAUGGGUAAUAUCUACGGAUUAAGUCAUGUGUUAUACAUGUAUGAGUGUAUGAGUAAUUUUUCAAUCAAACAUAUUUAUGACUUAAUUAACUUAUUUAUUUAAAAACAAAUUUAUGAUGCUUUAAAUAUAAAUUAAAUAAUUUAAGGAUAUAAUUAAAUUAAUAGUGAUAUUAUUAGAUGAGUCAAUUUAGAUUAAAUUCAUGUUACGUGCGUUGACCAAAAAAUUACUUAUUUAUUAAAUAAAUUAUAUAAGUUGAUACAAAUUUAAUUUAAAUUUAUUUAUACUUAACUCAAACUUGUAAAAACAUAUUAAGUGGUAUUCACAAACUUGUUAAACUUUUUCAUCCCUAGUCAAAACCUAUUUGGAUGGUCAAGAUCCUGAGUAUUUGCACAAUUGUAGAUUUUAAUUUACUUAUUUUAAUUUUGGUACUCCUGCCAAGUAUUUUGUUGCAAACGUGGCAGAAAUUUGCUUACGUGGCGGAAUUUUUGCUCGAGUCCACGGAACAAUUGAAUAGUCCUUACCAUAUAGGGUCAUACCCAGGAACCAGACAAGCAAAGAUCUUUUUUAUUUCGAGUCUCACCCAGAUACUGAAACCAGGGAGAGAAGAUGAUGAUUGGGUACACGCCCCUCCGAAACGACACCAUUUUCGCCAGGGCCCUCGACCUCCGAGACUCCACCAUAAACCCAGUUCCAUUCCGCUCAGUUUUCGCCAAACCCAAAAGCACCGUGGUCAGAACAUUGGAGGUGGUGUCCAUGUUGGCGCCAAGAAAGUUUAUGCAGAGGAGGAAGAAAAUUGAAGUGUUCAGAGACGCAGCUGAUGAAGCUGAGCAGAGGAAGUGGAGGAGAAUGAUGAAGGAAAUUGAGGAGGUGGGUUCUGCUGUUUCAGUGCUCAGUACGAAGAACCAGGCUCUCCCCAGAGACCUCGUUCUGGGUACUUUGGUUAGAUUCAAGCAGCUCAAGAAAUGGAGCCUUGUCAGUGAGGUAUGGAAAAUCCAUUCCUUUUUUUAAUUGGGUUUUUGUUUUGCACGACCUUUUUCUUUUUGUAACGGAAUGUGGGGGGUGCAUUGUGAGUGCGUAGGGAUGCGAUGGGGUUUUGGGGUUUUGAGAGAGGUGGUGAUAUUGAAAAUGGGGUAUUGGCUGGAGAGGAAUUUGAGAAACUAGCUGAACCCCAAGCGGGAUAAUGAUUUUUCUGAGGAGAGUUAGGUGGAUAUAUUUGUUUAGUAAUUUUAGUUUGGGCAGAAUGAGAACAUGUAGUCUUUGAUUAGAUUCUAGCAGCUGAAGAAAUGGAACAUUGUGAUCGAGAUAUAUGCAUAAAUAUAUAUAUAUAUAUAUAUAUAUAGAGUGAGUCCGAGCCACAGGAAAAGCUUGUGAGAUCAUAGAAGCGAGAAUGGGACAGACUGAGAUUGGUGUCGAAUUUGUUUGCUGUAGAGAUAAAUUAAUAUGCUUCUGUGAUUGAUGCAGAUAGCAUAGAAUAAAAGUCUAAAAGCAUAACUUUUAUUGAUAAUCAAUGGUUCUAGGGCUUUGGAUCCCUUUGGUAGCCUUGCAGUUACCUCCUUGUGUCCCUUAACAUGCAGUUGUAUGGUUACCUAGGUUCAAGUGAAAUAUACAUCAACAAAGUGCAUGCUGGUUUGAUGAUUCAAAAUGGUGCCUUUCUCCUUUUGGGAUCCAACGUUACCUUGAAGAUCGAGUUAUUUUCUUGUCCUAACUUUCUGGCCUUACCAUAUCACAUUGAUCAUCAUCAAUCUUAGCCAAAGUUGCAAAACAUUGAUGAUACCAAUCGAUCACCCUGGCGCUUGGUGCCCGCCCAAGCACCUAGGUGCCCUUAGCACACAGGUGGAGGCUGCAAACUUUUUUGGAGUGCCCCAGGUCUCAACAUUUUUCUUGAUUUUUCCUUUGACUCGUGUGAUUUUCUGAGAGGGUGAAAACUACCUCAAAUUUUGUUCCUCAAGUCUAAAAUUAAUCAAAAGAAAAAAAAAAAACACAAUUUGGACACCUGUAGCCCUCUCAACUAACUCCAAACACCAAAUUGGUUGGGAACAAACUUCUGGAAGACCUAGGUGAGUUUCUGCUUAUCUUGAUGAUAUUCUCUUGCAUCCAAACCUUUGUGCAAACCUGUUGAAUUCUCAAAACUCAUCCCAACACUUACAAUCAUCAUCUAAGAUCAUCUGGAUUGAGAGCUCUGAGAUAAAUACCUGCAAAACAUCACAAAAGCUUGAUUACCAUGAAUAUCACACGCCUAGUGGAGUGUUUAAACUUGUCUGAUUAAGAGCUAUAGUGUCCAUUAAAUUGCUCCAGAAUGUAUGAAAAUAUUAUUACUAAGAAGCAAUUUAUGUUUGUACAUUAGUGCCGAUACAUUGAAUGGUGUAGAGGGUUUUUUGAGUUGAGUUAAGUUGAGUUUGAUACAUUGUUUUAGUAAAUUCAAUUUGGUGAGAAUGAGUACAUGUAGCCUUUGCUUUGAGGGAAAGAGGAACUUGAGAAAACGGUCAUAUUAAGCAAAUCCAAUUACAUGGAGAGGGAAUGGAGAUACAAAAGGAAAAAGAAAAAAAAAAAAGACAUGUGAAAAACAAGACCACAUCUAUGAGAACCUGUAGCUACAAUUUAGGAGCAUAACAUAUGUGUAUAAUAUUGUCCAAUUUUCUAAUACUCUAUGUUGUGAAGAGAGGAAUACCCUUCUUUAAUUCAUCCUGCAGGAAAAUGCAUACAUUAGAACAAAAAAGUUCAUCUAGAAGGAAUGUUUUCCAUGUGACAGAUGUCAAAAAUCGAGUCAAUUGAUUACCUUGACAUCACAUUCUAAAGCUAAAAGACAAAAAGAUGAUUAUCCAUAGAAGGUGUUCACAUAGCAUGAUAUAUAUCCAACUCUGAAUUGUAAAGAACCUUUGACUUAUGAUUUACAUCUUGGGGCUUGUUGCAUCCAAGAGUUACAUUUAUUUAAUUGUAAUUAAUAUUUGCCUUUCAUCUCUAUAUGAAGGAAAAAGACUUUGUUGUCAUCAACUUAACUGCUUUUAGUGCUUGAUAUGUCUUAGAUGUUCUGUGUUCUUGUCAUUUGCUGAUUUCUUUUUUCUUCUAGAUUCUUGAGUGGCUACAGACUCAGCCCUGGUGGGAUUUCAGUGAAAUGGAUUUCUUGAUGCUUGUUACAGCUUAUGGAAAACAAGGGGACUUUAACAAGGCUGAGAGGGUGUUUGGUGACAUGCAUAAGAAGGGCUAUUCACCGAGUGUGAUAUCCCACACUGCUCUUAUGGAAGCAUAUGGAAAAGGAAAGCAAUAUAAUAAGGCUGAAUCAGUAUUUCGAAGGAUGCUGUCUUCGGGCCCUGAGCCUUCUGCUUUGACUUAUCAACUAAUACUUAAAAUAUUUGUUGAGGUAUUCCAUCUUUAAUAAAACCUAUGCUUAUAUUAAGAUCUUUGUUUUUAUUUUUGUGUUACUCUUUAUAAAGGUAUGUAAACAUGUGGUUUCAUAAAUUUUUUCUACUGCAAAAAAUUAUGAAAUAUUAUUCUAAAUGUCCAUGAAUAAUAUGCAUAGUCAUUAAAAAAUGAUAUUAGGUUGAGCUAAAGGGAAAAAAAACACAGAAGUCUGUCAACUCUGUAGAUAAGAGAUUAUAAAGUACAAAAAAGAAGGGGAAAAAUCAAUAUAAGGACAUAGUAAGAGUUUUAAGGAACUUAUUUGUGUUGUAGUCUGUAUCCUCACCUAUGUUGAAAUAUCUUCAGUUGGAAGUAGGAACAGCAAUGAUUUGGAUGAAGAUACGAAUGAAAACCAAGUUUGACCUGGUGAAGUCAAAUGCUGAUUUAAUUACACAUCCAUGAGCAUACAUUUACUCUCAGAUUAAGAGAUCCACGAAUAGCAACAAUUUAGAUGAGCAUAUAGAUGCAAAUCAAGUUGCACCUGAUUAAGUCAAAUAAUGAUUGAAUUACACAUUUGAGAGUAUGAAUUGCAUCCCUGAUUAUGAGAUCCAUGGAUUCUUUUUGUAAUCACAGAUAGCAUACAUUUUGGAUGAGGGGUGGGUGCAAACCAAUUUGGCCUGAUUAGGUCAAGUGCUUAUUGAAUCUAAGACCAGAUUAUAAGAGCUAAAUGUAACUGGAUUCAACUUAGAGAUAGGAAGAUGUGAUAUGAUUAUUUGUGAAGUCAAUUAAUUGUUGUCUGUAGUAGGUCCAUGCACUCUGUGCGUGAAUAUCAUAACAUGUACACUAAUAGAAUGAGUCCACCUCUUUUCCUUUUACAACUUGAUUUGAAAAAUGGGAGGCUUUUUUGGAAAUGACACAUGAUUUUUCUGCUGUGAUAUCCUCCUGAUAUUUACUGAUUUAAUACAUGCUUUUAUCUGAGUUUCUAUCUAACAAGUUCAUGAAUGUAAAUGGGGCUACAGGGUAACAAGUUUAAGGAAGCUGAAGAAACUUUUGAGACCCUUUUGGAUGACGAGAAAUCACCUUUGAAACCGGACCAGAAAAUGUUCCACAUGAUGAUUUAUAUGUAUAGAAAGGCUGGGAACUAUGAAAAAGCUCGUAAAAUAUUUGGCCUGAUGCGUGAGCGAGGAGUUCCUCAAUCCACAGUUACUUACAAUAGCCUAAUGUCUUUUGAAACUAAUUACAAGGAAGUUUCAAAAACGUAUGAUCAGGUAAAUUAAAGAACUAUCUGAUUUUUUUUUUUCACAUUCUUAGCUUACAAUUUGCAAUUCUUUUUUGAUAAAUAGAAAAAACUUAUUAUCACUGACAAUGAGCCUAAUGUGAUUCAUGUCCCAUGCCAUAAAGUCUCAGAUAACCAUUUAAAGAUUUUUAGCUUUUCAAAAGAAUGCUAGAAUGGUGUCAUUUUGUUUUGAAGUUAUUUAGUUUGUAUUUCUUACCAAUUUGACCUUUGUCUCAUGCAGAUUUUUCUAGCUUUCCAAGUUGAAAACUUGAAAUAAGCUUAAAUGAAGAUUAAUUUUUGAAAAUAAGUAGCAGUCUAAGUCAAGAAAACUCGAUACAACUAUUGGGCCUGCAUGCUUCUUCUUCAUUCUUACUGUUGAGAAGUGGCUUUGAAUUAGGUCACUUGACAAUCUUGUGCAAGAGGAAUCAUGUUUGAAGAGGUUCGUUCAGGUGUUAAAGGGAGAGUGCCCAUUUAAAUGGAAUGGAAGAUUCAAACAUAAGGCAAUGUGUUUGUUGUGUGUGUAGUGCCUCGAGUUCAUUUAAAAGGCACUUGACUUGUUUGUGUGGACCUGGGCCAAAUGUGCAGACAAAGCUAGUGUAAAGUGGACUGUUCAUAAAGUGCACUUGGUCCAUUUUUGUGGACUUUGCAGUACUUUAUGAACAUACACAUGAUUUUUCUGUCAACAUGGAUCAGUUUGUUUUAUCAGUUAGAGUUUGUUAUGAUUAAUUGUUCAGUUUUAACAAACAUGCAUUCAAGAAUCUCUUGGGUAUAAAUAAGGGCUGUUUUACUGAUUGUAAGGGGCAGAGAUGAUCUGGAUAGACAGAUCAUUGGAGAAAGAAUCAAAACAACAGAAAGUUCUUGGGUGUAUAUGAGAGUUUAAUCGAGAAGUACUCAUCUUUGGCUAUUAGGAAAGUUUGAGAAAGAGCUGUUUCUUAUGUGAGGGAAAGAGACAAGGGUGUAUCUCAUUGAUCACUAGUGAAACAUUUGUGGAUUCUUUUCCAUGGAUGUAGGUGGUCUUCAUGAAACGACUUUGAACCUCUAUGUUGUGAGUGUGCUUUGUUCUUGGUUGUGUUUAUGUGAUUCUUGGGUUUAUCCAAUAGAUAUUAUCUGAGAAAAAUCUUCUCAACGCUUAUCUAUUUCACCUUUUUUUUUCGUGUUCCUUUUCGAGCUGAAGUUUAAUUUAUUUUCUUUUGUGAGUGCAGAAAUUUGACAUCCUUUUAUAUCCCGCUGAAUCAAAGCUGAAAAUUAGAACAGUUAUAAAUAAAACUUUAUUUGAUCAAACUAGAAGUUUAUUAGUAAUUAGAGAUUAGUCUAUUUACUGAAAUAACAUUGGUGACAACGUUUUUUAUUGUUACUGACUGAUAAAAUAUUAUCUUUUAAAAAGAAAUGUGACAAAAGAAGCAUUGACGCUGCUCAAAUUAAUGACUUUGUGUGCUUACACACAAGGUGUACACAUGCACAUAUGCUCCCAUCUACUUAUAUAUUAUGAAGGAGCAGCCCCUGAAUAUCCAUCUGAAGUUUUCAAGGGUUGAAAAUUUCUGUUCUUUAAUUUCAUUUUCCUUUUUAUCUUCUGUUAAUAAUGAAUUGGUCAAACUUUUGAAGUCAAAUGCAUGCUUGUAGAUGCAAAGAGCUGGUCUUCGGCCAGAUGUUGUGAGCUAUGCCUUACUCAUUAACGCUUAUGGGAAAGCUCGAAGGGAAGAAGAGGCGUUAGCUGUUUUUGAGGAGAUGCUGGAUGCAGGUGUCAGGUCUGUAGUAACUCAUUUUGUUGUUGUCAUGAUGCCAUGAGCCCAAAGUUUACAACCUAAAUUUUGAAAAAUAAAUUGGUUUAUUUUUAGUUCUACUUGCAUUAACUCAUUGAAAGCCAGAUGAUAUUGCAUUUUAGAAUGAAGCUAACUGGGUGACUUUUUUUGAUAGGCAAAUAAGGGGAUAUAUAUAAGAGGAUAAAGGUGCCAAACAAAAAAAGGCAAAGAUAGUACACUGACUUGUUGGCUUUGAUAGGAUAAUGUGGCAAAUAUUCAUAUUUGAUUUUCUUUUCUGAACUUCAUGUCCAUGUAUGCAUUUACUUAUUUAGUUUGUGUACCUUGUAAUUGAUUUUAUGUUCUCAAAAUUUGUAUGAGUGAUAUCAGUUUCAGUGGGGUGAUCCAAAGGGUCUUACCAAAGUCUGUUUCUGACCAUUCCCCUGUUUUUUUGGAGGGAGGGGGUUUUAGAAAUGGUCCCAGUCCUUACAGGUUUGAGAAUAUGUGGCUGAAAGAGGAAGGGUUUUUUGAUCUGGUGAAGGGCUGGUGGCUGAGUUGGAUUUCUCUGGUCUGCCAGCUUUAUUCUGGUGUCAAAGCUGAAAGCCUUGAAACAGUUUUUGAAAAGUUGGAACAAAGACGUGUUUGUCAAUGUCUUAGUAAGGAAAGAGGAGGCUUUUAAGAAGUUAGGCUUCUGGGAUGAUAAGGAGAGGGAAGGGAUGUUAUCUACUGCUGAGGCAGAAGCAAGGAAUUCUGCGAGGGAGGAGUACCAAAAAUGGGCUUUGAUGGAAGAAGUGUCAUGGAGACAAAAAUCAAGAGAAAUUUGGCUUAAGGAAAGGGAUAGAAACUCCAAGUUUUUUCAUAAGAUGGCUAAUGCUCACAUAAGAAGAAACUUCCUUGCUGAGAUUAAAGUAAAUGGGGAGUGACUUACAGGGGAUAGAGAGUUGAAAGAAGGGGUGGUGGGUGCCUUUAAAACCCUUGUGUUAGAAGGAGAGGGUGGGAGGCUUGGUGUUGAUGCUUUGCCUUUUGAGGUGUUGGAUGAUGCUGAGGCCAGAAAGUUAGAGAGGGUUUUUUCAAAAGAAGAGGUGCUGGAGGCAUUGUCGGAGCUGAAUGGAGACAAAGCCCCAGAACUGGAUGGUUUUUCAAUGGCCUUUUGGCGUUUCAGCUAGGAGUUUGUUCUGAAUUUUUUUAAGGAGUUCCAUGAGCAUGAUAGGUUUGCCUGAAGCCUAAAUGUGACCUUUCUAGUGAUGAUUCCCAAGAAGAAAGGUGUUGAUGAUCUCAAGGACUUUAGGCCCAUAAGCUUGGUUGGCUGUCUCUACAAGUUGUUGACUAAAGUAUCGGCUAAUAGACUCAAGAGAGUGAUGGGUAAAGUGGUUUCCAAGUUUCAAAAUGCCUUUGUGGAGGGAAGACAAAUUUUAGAUGCGGUGUUGAUAGCAAAUGAGGUAGUUGAUUCAAUGUUAAAGAAAAGAGAUUGUGGGCUGAUGUGCAAGCUUGAUAUUGAGAAAGCUUAUGAUCAUGUGAAUUAAGACUUUUUGUUACCAAUUCUUGACAAGAUGGGUUUCAGGUUGAAAUGGAUAAUUUGGAUAAAAUGAUGCAUCUCUUUAGCUUGUUUCUUUGUUUUAAUUAAUGGUUCUCCUAUGAGCUUCUUUCAAAGCUCAAGGGUGAGACAAGGGGACCCUAUUUCCCCCUACUUGUUUGUGAUUGGUAUGGAGGCUCUUAGUAGAUUGCUCUUAAAAGCUUGGGAUGAUGGUUUUAUUUUAGGAUUCAAGGUUGAGGGAAGAGGGGGUGGGGGCGAAGAGACCUCUCAUCUCCUUUUUGCGGAUGACACCAUUGUUUUUUGUGAGGCCUCUGAGGAGCAACUCACUUUCUUGUGUUGUCUUCUCAUGUGGUUCGAGGCCAUGUCGGGGUUGAAGAUUAACUUGGAAAUAAGUGAGAUGAUUUCAAUUGGGAAAAUGUGGAAGAUUUGGCUUGCAAAAUUAGCUACAAGGUGGGGAAGUAGUCUUCUUCUUACCUAGGGCUUCCCUUGGGGGCUUCUUACAAGUCAGUGACGGUUUGGGAUGAGGUUGAAGAACGGUUUCGUAAGAGGCUUUUGUUAUGGAAGAGACAAUAUCUCUCAAAAGGGGGAAGACUCACUUUACUUUGUAGUACUCUUGUCAGUUUAUCGAUCUAUUUUAUGUCUUUGUUCACCAUCCCAAGAAUUGUUAGGUUGAGACUAGAUAAGAUUUAAAGGGAUCUUCUUUGGGGAGGAGGGCCUUAGAGAACAAAAUGCACUUAGUCAAGUGGUCUUCUAUUGGUAAAGCAAAAUCGAAAGGAGGACUAGGUGUUUGCUCUCUUUCUUUGCUUAAUUAGACCCUUCUUUGCAAAUGGUGUUGGCGUUUCUCUAAUGAAAGAGAUUCGUUGGAAGAAAAUCAUAAAGGGAAAGUUUGGGGAGGAAAAAGGGGGUUGGAGGUCAGGAGUGGUCAAAGAGCCCUAUGGGGUUGGGGUUUGGAAAGAGAUUGGAAAGUAGUGGGAGUUUUUUAAUACGAAGAUUUCCUUCAAGGUGGGUGAUGGGAGUAGAGUGAAGUUUUGGAAAUAGUGGAGUGAGCAACCCUUAUGUGAGAUUUUCCUUUGUUUGCUCUUUUUGGUCCAAAUGAGGCAUGAGUAGCUGAUUUUUGGGAGCAAAGUGGGGAAGCAGGAAAUUGAAACUUCGACUUUGUUAGGAAUCUGAAUGAUUGGGAGUUGGUCAUUAUGGAGAGGUUUCUUUCAAAGCUCCAAGGAUAGACAAUGAAGAGGAAGGAGGGGGAUAAAAUAGUGUGGAAGGAAGAUAACAAAGGGGUCUUCUCUGUAAGAGGGCCUUACUUCUUGUUGGAGACAGAUUAUACACCCCUUUUCCUUUAAAGAUAAUUUGGAACUUGUGGAUUUUUGUGAAGGUGAGUUUCUUUAGUUGGGAGGCUUGCUCAAGAAAGGUUUUGACGUUGGAUCAACUUCAAAGAAGAGGAUGGAAGUUAGUUAAUAGGUGUGCUUUGUGCAAAGAGGAGGUAGAGUCCAUUGAUCAUAUCCUCCUUCAUUGUGGCAAGGCGAGAAUUUUAUGAUAGCUGGUGCUCUCCAUUUUUGGUGUUCGAUGGGUUUUAUCUAAGUUGGUUAGGGAGACUCUCCUUGGGUGGCAUGGCUCUUUUGUAGAUAGAAGGUGUAUUAAGGCUUGGAAAGCCGCUCCUCCUUGCAUUUUCUGAACGAUCUGGAAGGAAAUAAAUAGGAGAUUCUUUGAUUGUGAGGAAGUGUUUGAUCAAAGGUUAAAGAAUAUUUUUUUUUAACAAUCUCUCUAUGUGGAUUGGGUGUAUAUAGACAGUGGGUAUACAAAUAUGGUUCACUUCUUAGAUUGGUUAGGGCUUGGUUGAAGGAGGGGGUAUUUUUUGUAUGUUCCCUCUUUCCUAUUUUUUGCCAAGUGUACUUUGUAUACGUUCUGUGUACUCUUGUGUGCUUUUAACACUUUUUUUUUUGGAUAAAUAAAGAGAUUUUAUUAAAAAGCCACCAAAGCAGUGGCUAAAAUUACAAGAAAGAAAAACGUCCCUCGCACCCUAGCUGAAACCAAGGCCCAAGGAGCAGCCCAAACCACACCCUUAACGGGAAGCCACCCAACCAACAAAAUCAACUAAGGUCGAGGGACCAUCUUUUAUAGACAUCUUCGUCUCCGACCAAAGAAAAUAAACAAAAGAAGACUUAAGCCUUUGAAUUGACACUUCGUCUCCAUCUUUUAGCACUUUUUAAUACACUCUUGAGUGAUAUCAGAUUAUUGUCCAACUCUAAGAAAAACAGAAUUCACUUUAUCAUUGCUAGUCACAACAGUAGUGGUGUGAUCUCGCUUUUUUUAAGCUAUAUUUUGUUGCUGGUAGUUUGGAGCUUGUAUAUGAACCCUUCUUCAUGAAGAAAAGAAAAUCCUUGGUUGGAUGUGAGAAUUUUGAUAUUGAAACUCAGUCAAGUUAGAAAAUUUUGACAUCAUAACCUGCCUUUUUAAAAUCCUAAUCCAGUUUUGAAUUUCUGAAAAUUAAUAUAAACUAGUCAUUUGUCUCAUUUGUGGUAUUAGGGUCUAAAGUGAUUUAGGUUGGGUGAUAUUCAGGUUGUAAUUUGGUGGCCAAGUGAUAGCUGUCUGACAAAAUACAGUUCCAUUAUUUUCGUGCUGGUAAUUUUGGUUCUAACCUUCAUUAUAGACCUUUCCCAAUCUACUGCUGCAUUUGGUUCAUUUAUUUAUUGACUUCACUUCUUGUCAAUUGCGAACAUGAGAGACCAAUAUAUGGUUUCUUUGUUAGAGGAUGAAUUUUUUUGUUGUAGUAUGAGCUUUAGCUGGUCUUGUGACAACCCAACCCAGGUCCAACCCAGAAACAAAAUUGGUUGGGUUUGAGUUAAAUAAAUGGAUUGCCUUGUCGACAUUCAUUGUGUUAGAACAUAGAUGGACAAUUUUGUCCUUCACUUUCCUGGUCUUGUUUCAUAUUUGAUUGAUCAGCAUACCAGAACAAGUUGAUGACUUAAUGGCUAACCCUCAACAUGGUAAAUAGUGUAUAGUUUUCUCUAUUGUUUGUGAGUAACAAUGGUCUUUUCUUUCUUUUUUUCCAGGCCAACACACAAAGCUUAUAACAUUUUGCUUGAUGCAUUUGCAAUUUCUGGAAUGGUAGACCAAGCUCGGACCGUGUUCAAGAGCAUGAGAAGAGACAGGUAAUGUUUUUCAAUUAACUAUGCUAAGCUUCUAAUGCUAGUUACUGUUUGCUUUUGUUAAAGCAUUGAAUUUAUUCUUGCUCAUCUUUGGGGACUUAUUGCAUUGAUUGCAUGAAUACAGAAAUCUUUUCGUAAUGCUCAUAUAUGUUUGGUGGAAGGAUCAGCACCUACCACUGCAUGGGUUCCACCUAGAACUAAAUUAAAAAUUAGAUAGAUAAUUUGGAGUAUUUGUUCUCUAUACUUCUUUGUUUUCUCCCUUUUUUUGUAAAUAUAUUACCGGUGUCAUUCAAUCAUCUUAAUAUUUUCUAUUGUGGGUCUCCUGUCGUGGAUCUUGUAAUUGGGUCCCAUUUUGGACAAUUUUAUCUAUUUGUUGUUGUGCUACUACUGCUUUUUCCAAGUUGGUCAUGGGAUGUUUCAUUUCCUUGAUUUAUUUUGUAUUGUUCUGUUUAUUUUUGGGGAUAAAAAAAACACAGCACUUUGUUUCUAAACUGGAAUAAAAGGACAAACAAUUGCACAUACCUUAGUGCUUUAUUUCUAAAAAUUUCAAAUGGCACAUUAUGGUUUUUCCUAGAAUAUGAUUUUGACCAUAUGAUCAGGUCUUUUGUUCCUUGUGGCAUUUGAUCAUUAGACACUUUCAUUUCUUCCUCUUUAUCAUUUGGAUAUUGGUGAAUGAUGUGAAUCUCAGAGUUAGAUGGGAUAUAUAAUCAAUUUGCUAAAUUGUUUUUUAUUCUUUUUGGGAUAAGAAUGAAGCUGUAUAAAGAAAGUAAUGAUGUGCUUUAAGGGAACUAAACCCGAAUAAAAAAACCAUAACAUUUACCUUUGUAUUCAGUUCUAGAACAAAUUUUUAUUAUUCAAAUGGUACAUGUUUGUGUUUCAAAAAAAUUCUUUUUUUUUUCUUUCCUUCUUUUAAAUACAAUUUCAACCUGAUUUUCCUUAAAUGUCAGUAAUAUUUCUCAUCUCCUUUUCAUUUGUUGGUACUGUGCUUGUUGGAUGCCUAGAAAUAUGUUGGAUGAGUGUCUUGAAAGUUAUCCAUUUCUCGUGUUCAUUGAAGCCAAGCCACCCCUUUUAGUUCAAUUGAUGACACACACACACAGGGAAAGUUUCUUUUUAUGGGCAAGAAAGGAAUAUAUUAGAAAGCACCUAGUCAAAACAGGGACGUAAGCCAUGUACACCUUCCUUUGCCACUUGUUGAAACCUCUCACAUGCCAAAAUGUACGGGGAAUAUGUUGAAAUGAUCAUAUUUAUGACCAUCAACUCUUGUCAUGAAUGUCCUCACUGCUGCCUUGGCUUAUGUUCAUUGAAGGCACCUUUUUGGUUGAUGGUGUGAACAUAUACUGAGGUUAUCAUAUUUAUGAAAAUUGAUUGUGUCACAAGCACCCUGGCAGAGCCAUUCUCAUGCUUAUAACAAUUGAUUGUCUUUAUGAUUGUUUUUUGGAUAAUGGAGAAGUCAGUGCUCUCGUUAUCUUUUGUUCUUGGCAGAUGUACUCCAGAUAUCUGCUCUUAUACAACUAUGUUAUCAGCUUAUGUAAAUGCAUCUGACAUGGAGGGUGCUGAGAAAUUCUUUAGAAGAUUGAAACAGGACGGCUUUGAGCCCAAUGUUGUUACUUAUGGGACAUUGAUCAAAGGGUAUGCAAAAAUAAGUAAUCUUGAGAAGAUGAUGGAGAAAUAUGAAGAAAUGCAGGUACAUGGCAUCAAAGCCAAUCAGGCAAUCUAUACUGCAAUGAUGGAUGCAUAUGGCAAGAACAAGGAUUUUGGCAGUGCUGUAUUUUGGUUCAAGGAAAUGGGAUUUUGUGGGGUUCCUCCUGACCGAAAAGCAACAAAUAUCCUUUUGUCUUUGGCAAAAACAGAGGCAGAAAAGGAAGAAGCUAAUCUACUUGUAGGAUAUAGCAGUAAAUAUAGUAAUGGACAAAUGGAUAAUGGAUCAUUUAAGUGUGCUGAUGAGGAUGAUGAUGAAGACAACAGUAAUGAUGAUGAUGAGGUAGAAUGAUGCAGAACAUAUCCAAUCCUUUGGAGGGGAAACAAGAUGUUUUGAUUGUUUGAAAUGGUUAUGAUGAACAAAACAAAGGCUGUACACACUCAAAAAUUUUGAUAAUCUGUGAAUUUUGAGUUUUGUUUUUGUUUCUUCUCUCUUUUUUGGUGGCAUACAAUGUAAAAUCCUUUCCCUAAGGAAUCACCUCAACGUUGUUAAGACUGUUUAGACAUUAUGAAAAUGGGAUAAUUCCAUUUAUUCAUGUAGUAUAUGAAUUGAGCCAAAUUGUCUUGUGACUGACUUUCAGUUUUGUUGCUUGUAGAGGCUCCAACUUCUGCAUUUUGGCAGUUUCUCAAAUCCAGGGAAAUUGUGUUAUUCAUUCAAAUAUUUAUGGAACGUCUUGGAAGUUUUUCUUUUCCAAGGGUUAUUCCCUUUAUCAUUAAAAAGCCACAACAAUACUAGAAGAACCCAACCCCCAUGAAUAUCUAUUCCUAAUCUUUCCCGUACAUGAUUAGCUCUCAUAGACAGGUGCAUCAGCAGCAGGAAAUGACCAAAACUUGAAGAAAUCAUAUAUGGAUCUUCAGAAUUAGCUUUACUCCUUACAUUCUUCACUCAAAGGCAGAGGAAAAAAAUAAAAUAAAAUAAAAUUUAAAAGCCUAUUGGAGAUCAUUUUGCUUGCAGAAUAAUGUGUGAAUGGUGGAAUUCUUCUCAUACAUCUUCCAAUAAGUUUAAAUUCUCUACAUUUGCUGAGUUUCUCAGGCGCUCGGCGGCUUUCGAAACCUGGAAAAGCAUCAGCAAUGGUGAUUACUUGCCCAAUCCAACAAAGAAAAUGAUGCAUACAAUUUAAUCAAGAGAAGCUUACCUCUGCAUUCCAGUCUGUUCUUGCAGUUAGGAUAAUCAAAGUGACCGUUUGUAAAAGAACCCCAAUUAUCAUACCCCACCAAAUCCCCUGCACAAAAAUCCCCAUUUGUUUAGUACUAAACAAAAGCAAGAAACUGGGAAUCAAGAAACCAAGAAAGCGUAGGAGAGAGGGAGAUUCUACUCACUGCAACUCCUAAACUGGUUUUGAAGCCAAGAACACAUCCAAUGGGAAGACCAAUGAGAUAGUAAGUUGCCAGGUUGACGUAUGCUACUAUAGCUUGCCAUCCACUCCCAAUGGCCACGCCUGAAUGCCCAUGAGGAUUAGAACAUAUAUUUCAACAAUACCCUGCCUAAACUGUUAAAAUAGUUCCAUGGAUACCUGAGAGUAUGGGCUGAAUUCCAUUUAAGAAGACAGAAAUGGCAAGCAGUGGGGUCAAGUUGGACACUGCCUCAAUUACCUCUGCAUCAUUUGUGAAUAGCUUGCUCAAUCCAACCUUGAAAAUCAGAAUGAUUGCACUGAAAAAUAUGCUGAUGAUGAUGCUGUUUGUGUUCACUACUAAUACUGAGAGUUUCGCAACUUUUGGAUGAGAUGCCCCCAGCUCAUUACUCACUCGAACACUGCAAGUCCCAAAAGCCUGUUAGUACCAACAUUGUAACUAAUGUACUUACCCGCCUUUUGGUUGCCUAGAAAACAAAGGAAAACAACAUAAAAGGCGAAGGAUGCCACCAUACUAAGCACUGACCUUGUUGCUGCGCUCAAGCCCAGCAUAAAUUGCAUAUCCCAGUUCAAGUAAUUCAUACUGAAAAUUCAAAAGGGAAAAAUAUGAGAAGUUAUAGACAUAUACGAAUGGAAGAGAAAAAUGGAUGCCUUUCUCAGCUGACAUACCAAAUGGAAAUGGAGUCCAGUGAGAUAGUAGGAUUGGAGAGUAGACCCGAUAUAAGUACAAGUCCUUGGUUGUACCAUAUCUCCAAACUGCAUUACCAAAUUGUGGAACUCAAUAAAACAAUAAAUUGCAGCUUUUGAAGUGAGAAAUAAGGAGUGAUUCACAUACCACAACAUAACAGCAGAAGCAACAGUUAGCUUGAAAUAAGGCCACAUUCCUUUAAAAGCUUUUGAAGAAAAGCCAGUCCAAGUUUCCUUGCAAGAGGGGCUUAGAAGUAUGUAGAGUGCAAUCACAACAACCAGAAUCCACCAAGAAAAACUCAGUGUAAGGGCUGCUCCAAGAAGGCCAUAGUCCAGGACAUAAACAACUAGCCAUGUCAGGAGAACAUGCAAGAAGAAAACCCCAACAGCCAUGUAUGCUAAAGGGUUCACAAUGUUCUGUGCCUGGAGGAACCUCUGCAUUGGACAGCUUAUGGCAAAUGCAUAGAGUUGAAGGAUCAAUCCACGAGCGAAAAUUUGGCCUUGUGCCGAUAUGCUAUCCGAUUGGCCUAUUGCACGGAGGAAUGGACCUGAGAACCAAUAGAGGAAGGUGAGAAGGACUGCUGCUCCCAAGUGUAGGAUGAUUGCUCUCUGGCAGAUGAUGCCCAUUGCCUUGUAUUUCUUUGCCCCAUAUGCUUGCCCACACACUGUCUGAACUGCACUGGCCAUGCCCAACUGUUUGUUUGGGCAAAAUAAUCAAUGAAAACAAAUUUAGUUGGAAUUUAAAUAUUCCCACGUCAGAAAAAAGCUAACAGAAGGGCCCCUACACCUUCCAUCAUGAAAAUGUCUUCAAAAUGAUCCAUGUUCCAGAACAGGGGAUAUGUGAAUGCGACAGUGCUCAAGCAAAUAAUAAACAAAAAUCUCUCUCUAACAUCAUAAACGGGGUUAAAUGCAUGAGAAUUUUGCCAUGCUCCCCAAUUCCUGAAACUUCAUACAUAGUUUUUUGGGUAAGUGAAGAACUAACUGUUUAAAUGAUUACAACUGCAAUACCCGAAAAUUGUUAAUCAUCAAUAAAUCAUACUUAUGGACCAUACAAUUUUUGAAGUUUAUGCUAGAAUAAUCUAAAACUAACUGAAAUGAGUAAAAUGCAACACUAGAAAUGCAGGAUUUUGUGGGGCUGCAACUGUCUAAAUGUAGAGGUACUUUGGCUUGCCCCUGUUGUUGCCUUUUCAGCUAAAGGACAACAUUUUUUUCCACACCCUGAACCCAAAAACACAAACUUGUUUUGUUGGUUCCUUAUUCUCAUCCAUGCAGCUUAGUAUCAGAUCAAAUUUAAAGAAAAACAUGCAUACCAUAAUCCCAUAAGCAAGUCCCUGAAUUCCCACACUGGCAAUAGAGGCACCAGCCAGCUCCAAGGCCCCCAGGUGCCCUGUAAACAUCAAGGUGACAAAGCUAAGCAUGUAGUUGAAAAUGGAAGCAACGAUGGAAGACCCAGAUAGGAGCCAGAGAAGCCUGGACUCCCACCCAAACAGCCGAGGCCACCAUCUAACAGCCACUGGUUUGUGGGCCAAGAACUCCUCAACUGCAAAGGACGACAAGUCUGGAAUCCGGGCAUGGGAGUUGAGACCUAGUAACAGUGGCUGAUACUCUUCUGAACCCAUCCUUCUUUCACUCGUCGACCCUGCCACCGUCACAAUUACCACUUACUGUUAACUCCCAAGUUUUAUACUUAUCAGAGGAGAAAAUGAAUGCAAGCUUGUAUGGAGUUAGAAAGAAGCACAUAUAUGAAACUGAUAUAGAACUACCAUUCCAGGUUGAUUAGUAGCAAGCGUUGGUGAAGCUACCAUGCAAAUGCUCUCACCUACCCCUAGGUGGAAGAUCUAGUAGAAUAGAAUCUUCUAAAUCACCUACUUCAGUUGCAGAAGAAAAAGUCUAGUUGGAGGGGUAGAUAAAAAACUUGAGCCUAUCUGCACAGCUUCCAUGCAGACUUUAACUUUUAGGGUCCACUCAACUAUCCUUGGAUUCAAUUGUUAGGGCAUUUAAGUAUUCCAGAGAAAGAUAAAAUUUGGGUUUAGAUGAUCUUACCCAAGAGAUUAUUAGGUAAGUCAUAAAAUACUUCAGUUCGUCAAACCUACCAUUCAAAUUUACUCAUAAUAAGUGUUGACUCAUCUCUUCUUUGUCUUCUCAGGAGAUAAGACAUUUUCCUGGAGAACUAAUUCUUGUAAGGUUUUCAUUUGCUGCAAUAUUAUUUGACUAUAUAUGGAUAUUGCGUACGUAAUCAUUAUUCCAAAAUAUUGUGGAAAGUAGGUCUGGAUUAUUCGGAGUUGUUGCAUAUGUUGAAUGAUGGGGCUAUCUUGUGACAACUCCCGUGAUAAAUCCCGGGCACCUAACAAUGUCAUGGCGCACAACUCGCUCACCUAGGAUGUGGGUGUGAUGGGCAAGUGGUUUGUUGUGGGAUCAUGGAUUACAUUUGCCUAGCUACUUGGUCUCACGUUCCUACCUUUCGAAUGGGUUUAUUGGACUUUAAUAUUAGUUUUUCUUUAAAAAAAACUGAAAUUUCUUAUUGUAGCAUGAAAUCCUUUUUUUUUUUCUUUUCUUUUAAUUUUUUAUAAUAUUUUUAAUAGUAAAUUUUCUUAAUGAAAUCAUCCUCACCAAUCUUCUAUAAAAUUUGGAAUUCAUUUAUACUAUGUUUGGUUAUCAAAACAUUUGAGAGGAAAUAUAAGAGAAAAAAUAGAAGAAAAGAAAAAAGAAAAAAGAAAUAAAUUUAAAUUCGAUAAAAUUCAUUUAACAUAUAAAAAUUAAAUAAUAAAAAUAUAUAAUUUUUUAACUAAUUCUAAUUAUAUUUGAUUUUUUUAUAUAUAUAUUUUUCAUAGUAAAACAAAAAAUUAUUUGUCUUAAUACACUAUUAGUUUUUAUUUUUAAAAUCAAAGAAUGGUCACCUGUUCAUAUAAGAUACAAGAGCAAAUUCUUAUAUGUUAACACUAAAAAGUAAUUGUCUUAAAAAUAAAUUAGAAAAAUUGAGAUAUCAAAGUAUUUUUAUUACCCCAAAUUUUAAAAAAAUUCAAGUCAUUUAAAAGUAUGACAUAAAUCAAUACUUUUUUUUAAUAAAAUUUUAUAUUGUGAUAAAAGAAUUUCUUAUUUUAAAAAUAAAAAAUAAGAAAUAAACGUGUACUUAAAUCAUUUUUUUUCCCCUUUUCCUUACUAUUCGUAUUUGUGUCAUCACAACUCCUAAACUUGUUACGAAGCCAAGAUUGCAUCACAUGGGUAGCUUCACCUUACUGCUGCAUUCAGUUGCACAUGCCAGUUCAAGCUCAAGUUUAAAUGUGAGGAUUUUUAAACAUAAGCAUACCAAAGGAAGUGAAAAUUGAAAGAACAUAGUCUUGUUGAUCCUUGAUAUAACAAGCGGAAAUGGGUUGUAGUGAGACGGUCAGAUUGGAGAGGCGGCUUGACACAAGUACGCUGCACCAUGUCUACAAAUUGCAUUAUAAAGUGAUCCAAAGCGGAACCCACCAAGGAACUCAAAUGAAGAAAUGUGCUCCUAUCCCUUUGGUCGAGUUUUGGGCCAAAAUGGGCUUCUUCAAAAACUUAAUAUUAAAAGUGGAUUUCUUCCAAAACUAUUGUUCAAAAUAACCCCCAUUAAUCCACAUAAGCAUAAAAACCAUUUUUUUUAAUACUAUUUUUGUUUACUUUUCCAGCUUCUCGUCCCGUUCUCUGUUCUUUGUGUAAUUUUUUUCUUCAAAACCCUAGCCCCACCAGUAGGCCACUGUGAGAGAGACAUUGUUGGAGCUACAAAGCAUCAAGGUUGAAGUUGGUCUCAAUCUUCUUUUUGGCUUAUUUUAUGUAAAGUUUUUGACACUUUCCCAUUUUUUUUCCCAUCUCGGAAUCUUGGUUUUCAGAAAAAAAAAAAAAAAAUUCCCCAUUACUUUUGUUUUUCUCUUUUGUUUACGUCCUUCACGGCUAUUUGAGCAUAAAUGGUUUGUUAUCAUCCAAAGAUUGAAGCCCUUAAGAUGCAGACAUUUGUUGAAGUUUCUAGGGAAAAUGAAAUUUUAUGGGGAAAAAUGACAAAUCCGUGAUUCUAAUAUAUAGGUUCUAUAAGAUAAAAGGGGCAAAUCCUUCAUAGAAUGAUGAGUCCAUAUCACCCGAGGUUUGCUUUACCACUAGCUAAAAUAAAUGCAUGGAUGUUGGAGGAAAUAGCCUAAAAAAAAAAUAAUGGGUAAAUAUUAGUGCUAGUAAAUUUCAUAAAAAAAAAUAUUCUUUUCUUCCUCCCUAUAUUUAAAUAAACAACAACUUUCUAAUGAGUAAGCAGACUAGAAUCAAAGAUGAAUGAUAUUCCCAUUGACUAUUUAGAUAUAUACCAUGUACCAUUCCCAGAACCCCCACUUAUAGAAAAACAUAGUUUUUGGUAUUGGGAAUUUUUUCCCUUUGUUCUCAAAGAAGGAAGAAGCUUUAAGUUUAUUCCAUGUUAUAUGCAUCGAUGCCACUCUAUAAAAGCUAUUGUCCAACCUACUUGUAACUUGUAACUUUUAAUGUUACAUCCUUCUCAAUGUAUGAUGCAUCCUAUCCUAUAUUCACAAAAUACUAGAUGGUGGAUCCUGUUUUGGUUCUCAAUUAAUCGACAUUGUUAGGGUAUUCAAGCCCCAUGAAAAGAACUUGAGUCUUAUCUAAACAUUAACGUCUAUAUCAUUGAAAGUUAAACACAUGUUUUAAGGGUGUUUAUACAGAAUUUUAAAUCACGGUUCCUAACAUACAUUUUGGAAAAGCUUGGUCAUUUUGUUUUAUGUAAGUACUAUUGCUUCCACUUCUUCUACUGCUAAACACAGGAGUUAAAAGUUAUCCCAACCAAACAGACUCUUAAACUAGAGAAAAAAAUGAUGAAAAAAUGAAAUCUCCAAUAGUAAUGUAAUUUUCAACAAAUUACACAAACAUUUGAUAGGAUGAUAUUCAUGCUCUCAAAAUCUUCACUUGCACCAAAAGGUAAAAGACAAGUGAGUGAUAAAAAGACAACUUUCACAUUCAAAGUCUAAUAAAAUUAGAGCUGUUUGUGUGGAAAGAAACAAGGACACGUAAAGGCGUAUUUGGUUUGAUGGUUUCCUAAAAACUUGACUUUAAGCAUAACUAAUAGUUCCUUGUAAAAGAAAAGGUGAAGUGUGUCUUGAAAACACUAGAGUUUUCCUAUGAGAAGAAUCACUCCUAUGGGAGACUUGUUUCUUUGGAUAUGGAAUUUGGUAAGGGUAGCAUCCAGUACUUAGAUUCUUGUUUUGUCAGUGUUGUGAUAAGAAUUCACAGGUUGAAUACCAAUCUUUCCUUUCUUUAGCUACCAUAGAAGGAAACUAGGAACAUUGAAGUUGAGAAGAUAAAGUGCCUAUUGUCAAAAGAACUCAUAAGUGGAGGCAUUUACUAGUGCCAUUUUCUGCACCUAAUUCGGCUCGGAUUAGUGAAGUGAACUACUUGGGACCACAGCUAUGUGUCCUUGGACACAUCUAGAUGUUUAGGUAGGGUGUGAUGCUAGGGAAUAUAAAAAAAAAUGUCAGGAAAGCAUUUUUAUCAUUAUACUAGAAUUUAGAAUCACAAUCUACAUGUUAUCUACAUUCUACACUGCAAGCAUAACAACAAGGAAGGUUAUCAAAUAUGAUUUUCAUGAUCUAAUUUUUAAAAUAACACCAAAUAGAAUAUCAAAGUUAGGUUUUUAGGUGGCUGACAUCUAAUUCUAUUUGUAUCAGUUGUUAUAAUUGAGUGUAGCAUGACAGAACGGGUAUGGGGGCUUAGGAUUGAAUAAGCAAUGUCAGAAAGAAGAUAGAAUCAAAAGGAAUGGAGAGCCUUACCUGCCCAAGCCAUAGAAGUUAUUAUAAGCAUUACAAUUAUGACUUAACUUCUACUUCUGGUGACCAUACUAAAUAAAAUAACCAGAUCCAAUUCCACACUAACUGAGUUAGCUUGAAGGUUACCUACUUGAUAUUCUCCACUUAUGGGAGUAAAUUGUAUUAUUCGUUCUAUUAUGGUAACAAAGUUUUUAAUUGUAUGUUUCAUAUAUAAAACAUUACAAUAACCUUAGGAUAUGGUUUUUAUUUAUGAGAUAUUGAAAAUUAUUUUUUUACAAGGUUCUUUAAAAAAUCUCAAUUUUUUUGAAAAUAACAUAUUUAACAUAUAUUUAUUUUAAAAAAUAUAUUUAACAGAUAAUUUUUAGUUGUAAAAAAAUUAACAUAUUUAAAAAAUAUUUAUUUUAAAAUUUAAUUUUUAAUAUAAAAAUAUUAAUUUAAUUUUUCAAUAAAAUAUUAAAAGUUAAUCUCAUCCUAAUUAUCAAAUUAGAAAAAUAAAAUAAACGUUUUUGUAACCCAAACAAAUGUAAAACAUUUUAUUGGACCAAAAAAUAAAAUAAAAUAAAAUACAUCAAAUUAUGUAAUAAUAGACAUAGUAGUAAGCUCAACAGUUUUUCAACAUCCAAAUAAGAGAAUUACCAUUAGAUAGUUUUCUAAAAAUAUUUUAUAAUUUUUUGUAUUAUAUAUAAAUAUGUUGUAAUUUUAUGAAUAAUAAGUUGAGAAAUUUGUAUUUCAUAUUUCAAUUCUCGAACAUAAAUUUGUUCUUAAAAAAAAUUUGUAAGAACUAUAGAAUAGAGUUAGUUGACUAGUUUUUUAAGAUGUGAUAUAUGUUAUUGGAACUCGGGGAACUUCCUUAGUAGCCUUUUAUUUUUAUUUUUUUUCAUGUGUUUGUACAAGUCGUCAAUGGAGAAAUCGUUAGGUAAAAGCUAGUAUUUAGGGAAUGAUGAAAUAAUGCUUAUCCAUUAUGCUAGCACCCCAUACAAGGGUCCUAAUGCCCAUAUUGAUGUUUAGUAUUAUGACCAAUGCUACAAUUUAUUGCCAUUAUUUGGGCCAUCUAAGACAUACUCAUGAAUUUUUAUUUAAAAAUCAAUAAAAGAAAUUGAACCUAAACCCUAUGCUAUUUUAUUUUAUUUUUUGACUAGAAAAUGACAUGUUAAUUUGCAUUGGAGGACUCUGAUAGUGAUGCUUGUCGCACUGGUAUUGUUGAUAUUAUUUGUAUGACCACUGAUGUUAUGUGCAUUAUUUGGGAGGAUUAUCAUAUCCCACAUGUAGAGCAUGGAGGAGGUAGGUCACCAACCCAGUCAACAGUUACUCGACUACCACUUGUUCGAGGUAGGUCGACAUCUUGAAGGAGAGGUAGAUAUAUUAGUUGUUAGCCCAUCACAUCGUCAGUAUCAACAUUAUUACAACCCUCUACCUUUUUAUCCUCAUGAUUAGUACACUCACUCAUCUCUUCAGACCUACCAUUAGUGCAACCCCCUACCUCUUUAGACCCACCAUCAGUACAACCCUCUAUUUCUUUAAACUUACCUUCAGUUCAGGCCUCUACUUCUUUAGACUCACCAUCAGCACAACCCUCUACCUUUUCAGACCCACUAUCAGUACAACCCCCUAUCUCUUUAAACCUACCUCCAUUACAACUUCCUACCUCUUCAGACUCACCAUCAGUAGAGAUUGACACAUCUACUCAGCUAGAUUUACUGUCAGCCAUUCUGAGAGAUAGGCGGGGCUUACGUCGACCUAAAUUGCUACCUCCACCACCACCUCUAUUUCCAGCUGUAGCCCCAUCACAGACAAAUGUUCUUCAUGUGUCACAUGCAGUACUUGCUACAGUUAGAAAAGAACGUCCAAAAAGGAAGAGAGUAUCAGUUACACAUAGGUUCUCUCCUUGUAGAAGCAUGCGAGAUUAUAUAUGUUUUUUUUUUCCACUAUAUUAAUGUUUACUGGGUAUUUUUUGUGACUUUAAUUAAACCACUAAAAAUUACAUUUUGUAGUAGACUUCUUCUAAUUAAUUUCAUUAACUAAUUUUGUCAAAAAAAUAUAUUUAUGACAACUGAGGCUUAAAAGUAUACUAUUAUUUCGAUAAAGAUAAAUUUGUUAUAAUACAAAUAAAUUAAUAUCUUUAAAAAAAAUUAAAUAUCUUAAAUUAAUAAAUUAUACAAUUUUAUAUAUUAUUUAUAUGUUAUAUAAGUUUAUUAUUUUAAUAUUAUUAAUUUAUUAAUAAAUACAAUAUUCAUUUAUAAUAUCUUCUAUUUAUCAAUUUAUGUUUGUUGAAGUAAUACUAGAUUCUUAAGUUUAAAUAUAAAUAAUUUAUUAUUAAAUUAUAUAUUUUUAAUUUUAAUAAUAAAUUUUAUUUUAAUAGUUUUUAAUUAAAUUUGAAAGUAAAAAUAAAAUUAUAAUUGAAAUCUCAAUUAGCAACUGCGGCUUAAAAGUAUACUAUUAUUUCGAUAAAGAUAAAUUUGUCAUAAUAUAAAUAAAUUAAUAUCUUAAAAAGCAAUAAAUUAAAUAUCUUAAAUUAAUAAAUUAUACAAAUUUAUAUAUUAUUUAUAUGUUAUAUAAAUUUAUUAUUUUAAGAUUAUUAAUUUAUUAAUAAAUAAAAUAUUCAUUUAUAAUAUCUUCUAUUUAUCAAUUUAUGUUUGUUGAAGUAAUACUAGAUUCUUAAGUUUAAAUAUAAAUAAUUUAUUAUUUAAGUAUAUUUUUUAAAUUUCAAUAAUAAAUUUUAAUUUAAUAAUUUUAAUUAAAUUUUAAAUUUUAAAAAAAAAAUUAACUGAAGCCUCAAUUGGCAAUUGUGACUUUAGUUCAAAAAUGAAGCCGCAGUUGCCAAUUGAGGUUUCAAUUUAAAAAUGAAGCUGCAAUUGCCAAUUGAACCUUUAGUUUAAAAAUGAAGCCUCAAUUGGCAACUGCGAUUUUAGUUCAAAAAUGAAACUAUAGUUGCCAAUUGAGGCUUCAGUUUAAAAAUGAAGUCUCGGUUGGCAACUGCGGCUUUAAUUCAAAAAUGAAGCAUCAGUUGCCAAUUGAGGCUUCAGUUCAAUAGUGAAGCCUCAGUUGACAACUGCGGUUUUGGUUUAAAAACUGAAGCCUCAGUUGACAACUGCGACUUCAGUUCAAAAAUAAAACCUUAGUUGCCAAUUGAGACUUUAACUAAAAUAAUGAAAAAAAAUAUUUUUUUAUGACAUGACGCCUACGUGGCAUCAAAAAGGCCAAUUUGAAUAUAAGUUUCAUAAAGUGGUUAGAUCCUAUAUUUUUUUUUUAAUAAAUGGGUCAUUUUGACCCAAAACUCGCUUUGGUCCCUAGCAUGUAGGUGAGACAUCAUCAUUUUCAUAAUAGACAACUCUCAUCAACAAAAAUCCAGGCUUUCAGAUACUCCCAACUGUCCAUAUUAAUCAUUAUGAUUAUGAUGUGAAGGCCAACAUAAUAGGAUCACAAUCUUAUGAUAUUAUCCCACGUUAAUGCAUUCAGAGCAUAGACUUGUUUGAGUAGACUUGUUUUCAACACUCUAAUUUCUUCAAAGUAACACCCCAAAGUCAUUAACAAAAGAAUUGGCAUACUAUCCAUGGGCGCUAGAUAAUUCAUUGACACUUGGAAUUGUGAGAGGACGCUAAAGGGUUGUGCAUAAUCUGUAGACAUCCACAAGCCAUGCCAACUUGGUGGACCCAUUCUCAUCACAACACAGUUAGUGUGAUGUGGCACAAAAUAUAUAAUAAGCCCAACACAUGAGUUAGUUUUUUUUUUUUUUUUUUUUGUGGCAACUCUUUUUGAAUAAUAUUACUUUUAAUUUCCAGUUGGAAGGUUAUGUAAGGUUUUUUUUUAUUUGAUGUGAUGCAGGUGUAUAAAAACACAACUCUCAAUUUUUAUUUUCAUAGAUUAGUUCUUCUAUUGCUGCCAUGGAUGCAAGCUAAAAACAAGCUAAACCAUGUUAAAUCCUGUGUUGAUGCUCUUCAUCCUUUGUUUCUUUUCUCAUUAGAUCAUUGAUUAUUUGUUUCUUAAGAAGCAUUAUUUUUCUUGCUAUUUUUAACAAACUAGAAUAAGAGCUUGGUUGAUAUUUGAGAUGAGAUCAAUAAAAAGUGAGAUUGAAAGAUUCAUUGGGAAAAACGAUUUCAAUGUCUGGAGAAAGAUGAUGAAAACUAUUUUGUUUCAAUAAAGAGUGAAAGGUGGAUUGAAGGAUGAGUCGGAGCUACGAGUCACCAUGAUGGCAAAAGAGAAAUUAGACAUGGAUGAGAAAGCUUACCAUUUGAUCAUUCAACUCUUGGAGAUAAAGCUCUGAGGGAGGUUUCAAAAGAAACUAUAUAUAGUUAAGGGUGUUUGGAACAAGCUUGAGUAACUUUAUAUGGAGAACUCCCUUUCGAACAGGUUGCAUUUGAAAGAAAGACUCUUGAUUUAAGAUGCGGGAGAUAGGUCAAUUGUAGAUAAUCUUGAUGAUUUUGCCAACAUUGUCUUGGGAUGUCUAAUAUAGGUAUCAAAGUGGAUGACAAAGAUAAGGUAAUCUUGGUGUUAAACUCUAUGCCUAGUUUGUAUUCCAGCUUUAAGGAAACUAUGAAGUACGGUAUAAAAACCUUUAACAUUUGAAGAAGUUCAAUAUGCUCUUAGAUCAAAAGAACUGGAGCUAAAGAGGGAAGGGUCAAAUGGUGAAGGCCUAUCUAUUAAGGGAAUGACAAAAAAAAGAAACACCAAAGGAAAUUUAUAGUGUGUAGAUGGGAGAAGAUCAAUAAUAGGUUAUUUGUUUAUAGUGUGUGGAUGUAUAUGUUGAGCUGUAAAUAGAAUAGGAGAAUGAUUUUCCUAUUAUGUUAGUUUCCUAUUUCUGUAAAUAGAUAGUUUUAUUAGUUUCCUAUUUCUGUAAAUAGAUAGUUUUAUGAUUUAGGAAUAAGUUAGUUUCCUAUUAUGUCUCUUGUUUCCUAUUUCUUCUCUUGUAAUCUCCUAUAUAAACUGUGUGUAUAGUCAAUCUAAUAGACAGAACUUAUUAUUUUUCAUCUCAUAUUUCGUGUCAGUAUAGAAAUUGGAAAUCUACACUACAAAAUAUUGUGGUUCUCUCUACCAUCGAAGCUAAGGAAUUAGAAAAGUUUAACAGUUUUCUGUGAUAGCCAAAGUGUUAUUUGUUUGAUAAAGAACCAAGGUUUCCAUGAGAUGACUAAACACAUAGACAAGAAUUCCACUUUAAAAGGGAUAUUGUGGAACAAGAAUUGGUGAAUGUCAAGAAAAUUUCAACCAAGGAUAAUCCAACUGAUAUGCUUACAAAACCAACUCCAAAUGUCCAGUUUAAGCAAUGCUUGAACUUGAUCAAUGUUAGAUCAUAUGAUAGUGACAACAAGAAGUAAAGGGGAAUCAAUCUAAGUUGAACUUGAUAUCUUAUUUUGGUGCCAAGGUGGAGAUUGUUGUGAUGUGGCACAAAAUAUAUAAGCCCAACAUGUGAGUUAGUUUUUUAUUUUUUAUUUUUUAUUUUUUAUUUUUUAUUAUUUUUAUGUGGUAACCCUCUUUGAAUAAUAUUCCUUUUACUUGCUAGCUAGAAGGUUGCUAUGUAAGUUUUUUGAUUCAAUGUGAUGCAGGUGUAUAAAAACACAAUUUCUUAGCUAGGUUUUCAAGUGAUCUCUAUUUUAAGAGAAAAAACAAGGGUUGUAAAAGGGUUAAGUGUUGAAAGGAUUGUGUACUAUAAUUAUCUCAACUUUUCUCUCUAGUGGAUUGGUUCUUCUAUUGCUCCCGUGGAUGUAAGCUUGAACAAGUUGAACCAUGUUAAAUCCUAUGUUGAUACUCUUCGUCCUUUGUUUUACUUCUCAUUGGAUUGUUGAUUGUUUGUUUCUUGAGAAGCAUUAUUUUUCUUCUUGUUUUUAACAACAAUAAAUAAGGAUUAACCAUCAUUAUCAUUACCUUGAUUGGACAUUCCCUCUAACAUGGGACACUUAUUCAAAUAUCAACAAAGAGUAUCUUUCUUAACGAAUGACAACCAAUGACCUUAACUACUAGUGCUUCACUCUUUGAAAAAUGUAAGAAACCCACACACACACACACUUAACGAAUGACAACCAAUGACCUUAACUACUAGUGCUUCACUCUUUGAAAAAUGUAAGAAACCCACACACACACACACACACAUAUAUCUAAACUAUAAAAAGGGAAGCUAACUCUCAAAGUAAUGUAAAAAACUAUCACUCUUUGUUGAAUCCUCUUACUUGGAAUCAUGGCUAACUUGAUCCUCAGAGAGGCUCAAUCUAAACUAUUAACCUCUUCCCUAGCCUUACUCUUGUAAAUCAACUAAGGUUAUGUUUGGUUGUCGAGAUAGGAUAGGAUAAGGUAUAUAUAUUCUAGAAUAUCAUAUCUCACUAAAUAGGAAAUACAUAUCCUAUGAUAUGAUUUUUAAUGAGAUAUAAUAUCCUUUGAUAUACAUAUUCUAUAAACAUGAAAUUCUAAGGUAGUAUAUCCAAUGAGAUAUGUUAUACUAUAUCAUGUCUAUAUUUAAUUUAUGAAAUUAAUAAAAAAAAAUGUGAAAUAUAUAUUAUUUUUAAUGUUUAAAAUAAAAAUUAUCUCACAUUCCAAUAUUUUCUAUUUAAAAAAAAAAACUCUUAUAUUUGAUAAUAUUCAUGAUUGAAAUAUUUAAACUUUAUAAAUAAUUUUUUUAUAUUAUGUUAUUCAAUAUAUAAAAAUAAUUUAUAUAUCAUAUAUUAAUAUUAUUUAUAUUAUUUUAAAUGUAAAUUUAAUUUAUAAUAAAAAAUUAUUUUGUAAAAAGAGUAUAUAAAAAAAUAAAAAAUUGAUAAAAAAAAAAAAAAAUUAUGAUAUAUGAUAUAUGCAUAUCUCAUGUCUUAAUAUGAAAUUAACAUAUUUCAUGUAAAAGAGAUAAAAAAAAAAAAAAAAAUAGGGUGAAUGAUAUAUCUCAUCACUUAUUUUAUCUCAUAUUUGGUUGAAUAUAAGAUAGGAUAAGUUUAUCAUUUCCCAUUAUUAACUAAAUAUGGGAUAUGAUAUAAUAUCGUUUCUCUUAUCAUAUUUUAUGUUAUAUCUAACCAACCAAACAUGGCUUAAGCAGAUAUCAUGGGGGUUAGUUGAAAGGGGGAGAAACACUCAAUUGAGAGAGAGAUUAUCACAUACCACAACAUAACAGCAAAGCAAUAGUUAGCUUGGAAUAAAGCGCCCAAAUUCCUUUACAAGCUUUUAGAGGAGCCAGUCCAAGUUUCCUUGCAAGCAGCUGGGAUUAGAAGCAUAUAAAACGAAAUAAUGAUAACCAGAAUCCUACAGUGAAAAGAACAUGUCUAUAGAAUAUGCAAGAGGCUUUCCCUAACAGCCAUAUAAACUGAAAGUUUUACAAUGUUUUGUGCUUGGGAGAACCACUGCAGUGGAUAGAUUUUUGCAUAGGCAUACAAUUGAAGGAUCAAUCUCCUUGCUCUAUGAUUGUCCUAUAUAUUUCCUUGUGGAAUGAACCUGCGUACCAAUAGAGAAAGGUGAGAAGGAUGGUCAUUCCCAGGUGCAAGACAAUUUCUCUUUGGCAAAUGAUACUCAUUGCCAUGUGUUUCUUUUAUUGGGAUCAAGAAAUCAACUAGUUGUUAUUGAUGUCAAACACUCAUCUUGUCUUAUCAUCCUAAGGUACAUGUUGAGGCUUAAUUCAUCCCACACAACAUACCCAUUUUGGGGUUGAUUCAUCCCAAGGUCUAAAACAUUACCUUGCCAUCUUCGACCUUACACAUUCAGCCCAAUAUCACUUCCUUAACAUGGGAUUUAUACCACUUGAACCCAUGACUUAACUUUAAUACAUGGUUCUAAUGGCAUUUAUUAGGACAAAAAACUUACUCAUCUCAUCUAAAAACCAAUUUACUAUUUGUAAGGUUAACUAAUCCUCUUUAUAUAGUUUGAUGUCACAAACAUUCACAGUCAUCUUGACCUUAUAAACACGUUUUAAAGGUUGUGAGACCUCCUUUGAGCCCAAAGCGAACAAUAUCUACACGGUUGGGUGCGAGUCAUUACAAAUGGUAUCAAAGUCAAUCCUCAACCCCGGUGUGAGGGUUUGUUUGAUCCCUUAGGAGGUGUUUGUUUAUUUGGUCCUGUAAUCUCAUUAGACACAAGGAGGACGUUGUGUCUGCAUGAAGGGGUGUUUGUGACAUUCCACAUCGGAUAGAGAGAAAAUUUUCUAACUAUGAACUCCUCUUAACCUUAUAGAUACGUUUUAAAAGCGUGAGACCUCUUUUGAGCCCAAAGCGGACAACAUCUACAUGGUUGGAUGCAGGUCUUUACCGUUGCAUGCCUAAUAUCUUUGCUAGCUCCAUAUAUAUGCUUAACUACAAAUGAUUUGCAUUGCAAAUAGUCAUGCCCAAUUGUUGCUUGGAACAAACAAGAAGCUAGGACUUGCUUAAUAACUAUUUUUUAAAAUAGUUUUCUAUUUUCUAGAAUUAAAAAAUAGGAAAAUAUGUUUGAGAAACAAAAACCAAGAUCUUUUUAAAGAACAUCUUUUAGUUGUUUUUAUUUAUUUUCUUAUGAAAGUUUAAAAAAUAAUUAUUUAAACAUGAAAAAUAAUUAAAAAUAAAAAACUAUUGAUAAAAGUUUUUUUUUAAAUAUAUUUAAAAACAUAGAAAAGAUUAAUAACAUUUUAAGUUCUUUGAACAUAUUUUUGUUUAAUAAAACAUAGAAAACAUCAAAACUUAUAGUCCUAUUAGUAGUAAUUCUAAGAAGUGCUUCUAAUUUUUCCGGUGCUUGAAAAUUUUUAUUUUUCUAGUGUUAGAAAGAAAGGGUAGAAAUACUUUCUAGAAUCAAAACUUAUAGUCCUAUUAGUAGUAAUUCUAAGAAUGCGUUUAGCAAUAAUUUUAGGAAGUGUUUCUACCCUGUCUAAUACUUGAAAGAAUUUUUUUUUUUAAAAUGUUAAAAGCAUUAAAAAAACAUUUCUUAAAAUCACUACCAAACGCACUCUUAUUCUCAAACAUUGUUUUUGAAAAACAAUUUUUGAGAUUUAAUAUGUUGUAAAACAAAAAUUUGUUUGGAACCUAUAAUGUAUUUAACCUAUUUUUAAUGUUUUUAAAUAUAUUUUAAAAAUAAUCUUUAUAUCUAGUACUUUAUUUUUUAUCAUUCUAUAUAUUUGUAUAAUUAAUUUUUAAUAUAAAUCUUAGAAAAUAAGUGAAAAUAAUUAAAAAUAACUAAAAUAUGUUAUUUGAAAAUAUUUUGUUUUCUAUUUUUUGGGAUAAAAAACAAAAAUUAAUUUUUUGAUUUUUUGUUUUAAAAAUGGCAAGUUAUUGUCGAAAAUAAUUGCAUGUGAUGUCUAAAUUCUCCUUUCCUCUGAAAAACUGUUCUUUGAAAACAUUUAUCAAGCAGAGUGGAGAUUCUCCUUUCCAAAACAACUUUAUUUCACUAUUAGAUUUGAUUGUUGAUAUGACUGCCAAUCUGAAGUCUUAACAGCUAAUGCUUCAUGCAUGGAAAUUGAGGACGUGGAAUAGGAAAGUUAUGUAACAAUAACAUACACAAAAAUUGCUCACCUCCCUCUGGUCACUCUAGAAUUGGGGCUGAAUUAAUAUUCAUCCCAAACGUAACGUUGAUCCACUCCUCAAAACUUGUACUCCAUCCAUUCCUACAGAAUUCGACACAGUUCUCACCAGGCGGUAGGCUGUAGCACUGCUGUUGAAACAACCAAGUUAGCAUCAAGCUAAAACCUAAUCCAAAGAUGGCUUACUAUUUAACUCCCAAGGUUUCAUGCUUUGUUCUUUGAAGAAUCAGAAGCAAUUAAUAAUAGCCAACUUGUUUGUUCGUUUGUUUUCCCUGUUCUCAACCACACAGCCCAUAUUAAGCAGAUCUCUGUUGUAUUACCACACCCGCAACUGAGGCAGCAGCCAGCUCCAACCGAUCACAGAAGGUAAGAAUCCCAAAUGACCAUGCCCCCCACUAACAUACUAGCUAGCCUCAACUCUCCUGCUAUGAAAGAGAAAGAGGUCACCAUCUCACAGGCACUAUGGCUUGUGCACCAACAAAACCUACACCUCCACUGCACCCAUGACAAGACAUGAAUUUCAGAAUGCGAGUUUUGAGUUUUCUGAUCCCAUAUAUAGUGCGGAGGGAAAGAAGCAAGGAGAAGACAAAACCAUGGUGCUGGGAAGAAAUUAAUAACGAUUGUGAAAUAUAGCUACCAUUCAAAUUAGUUAAGGUGAAAGCAUGAAAGCAUGCGAGGGACGUAGGUGACUGACUCUUCACGUUGUAUAUACAUAUGUUCUCAACUACCCCCUGAGUGUAGGUUCUACGUCUCCAUCCACUUGCUGCUCUAUCUAGCAGGGUCCAACUCAAGGGGUUAGAUAGCUAAUUAGCUUGAUUUAGGUUUUUCAAACCACCCAUUCAUCACUGACCACAACUAUACAGCGUCGACCUUCAAAUCAUUGACCCAGUUGUUUUUCAUUGCCUAAUCUAAUUUAAUUUUAAUCUUUUGAAUUGUUUAUAUAUCAUACCAAAAAUAAAAAUAAAACAAAAAAAAGAGUGAUGGCCUCAUAGUAAGGAUGGCAAUGGGGCGGGUUUUUUUCGGUACCCGCCCCGUCAUGCCCAUAAUGGGACGGAGUUUAAUUUCAAUAAGCAGAUUUGGGAUGAGUAUGAGAUUUUUUUUAAAAACCCGAGACGGGUUUGGGUAUUACCACAUCCCGUCCCACCACGCCCAAUUAUAUAUAAAAUUAAUUUUAAAUUUUAAUUUAAUUUAAAUUUUAAAAUUAAUUUAAUUUAAAAUUUUAUUUUACUAUUUUUAAUAUAUUGAUAAUAAUAAUAAAUUUUAAUAAAAUAAGUUAUAAAAAAUAUAAUAAUUUUAUUAUUUAUAAAAUAUAUUUAUUUUAGUGUGAUUAAAAAAUUCAAAAGUAAUUUAAAAAAAAUUAAAUGGGGCAUGAAUAAGAAUUAUUUUUAAUUAAACGGGGCGGGAUUGGGAUGGGGCUCAACCCGCCCCGUUGCCAUUCCGACGUCGUAGUCUUAUUUAUAUAUCAAUAUCUUUAAUUCUUGGCAUGUGAUUUGUAACUAAUCAAAUCCCAUGUAAUCCCCCUGCACGUAUCCAAGAAAAUUCUGAAGUAUGGGAUAGGUAUGGUCAAACAAUGAUUGGAUAAGGGUUGGUGAGUCACGUGCAGGAUUCACCGCUCAACUGUCCCUCCCCCUGUCUCUUUCUGCCCUGUUAGAGGGUACUUUCGUGCCUAAAUUGCCCCACCUCACCUACCCCUACCUUACCCUACCUCACCUACCCCUAGGCGCUUCAAUCAAAGUUGCUUUGGUCAAGUCUAGACAAUGGGUGUGGGAGAAUUACAAUAGAAGGUGGGGUAUAAGGGGCGCAGGAGGGUGUGACGGUGAAAGAUUAUCUAUAGUAAUAACCCCAUUUUUUAUUUUUUUUUAAAGGAAAAUAUAUCCUCAUAUUUUUUAUUUUAAAAGUCCAACAUAUUUCCGUUUUGCCUUUUCUCCAAUUUUUUAGUCAUCAUCAUUAAUAACCUAAGAGUAAUAUUAAUACCAAUAUAUAUAAAUAAUAUAAUAUAAUAAUUAAUCAUAAAUUAUUUCCAAUAAUUAAAAAAUAAAUUUAUUAUAUUUUUUAUUAUAAAGAUUUCAUAAGAAAAUAUUACAACAUUUUUUAUUUUUUUUUAUUAAAUAGAUUUCAAAAAAUUUUAAUUGUUUAAUUUUAUAAUAUAACUAUUAAGAAAUUAUUAUUAUAGAAAAAAAUUGUUGUUAUAACUAUUAAGAAAGGAAAUAAAGGCACUUAUUAAUAUAUUGUACUUUUAGUAUACUUAAGUUGUAAGUUUAAUACAUAAGUGUUGUAACCACAAUUCACAUCUUUUUCUUUUCUAAUUAUUAUUAUUUUAUUAUUAUUUCUAUUAGUAAUAACUUAUCAAAUAAGAAUAAUAUAAUAAUUAAUUAUAAAUUAGUAUUUCAUUCAUUAUUCUUUUAAAAAUAUUAUAAAUAACUUGUCUAAAAUGAUGAUGAUAAUAAUAUAUAAUAUAAUAAUUUUACAAAUUAUUGUUUCAUUCCAAUAAUUAAAAAUAUAAAGUAAUUAUAUUAUUUAUUAUAUAGAUUUCAUAAUUUUUGAAAUGUUUAAUUUUGCAAUAUAACUAUUAAGAAUAUAUUACAAUAAAAAUAUAUAUAUUUUUUUUUUUUUAUUAAAUAGAUUUCCUAAAUUCAUUACUAGUUUUACAAAUAUAACUAUUAAGAACAUAUUAUAAUUAAAGAUUAUUUUUAUAACUAUUAAAAAACAAAAUUAAAGCAUGUCGUAAUAUAUUAUACUUCUAGUAUAUUUAUGUUAUAAGUUCAAUUAAUAAAUAUUGUAACUACAUUUCAAUACAUAAUAAUUGAUAAAGUAAGGCUAAUCUAAUUAAGAGAAACACAAAGAGGGAGUGAAUUGGGUUUUUUGAAAAUCUUUUUCAAGUACAACAAUUUUAAGUAAAAUAAAACACAAAAGAAAAGAGAUUAAGUUAGAGAGAGCAAACACUAAUUUUAUAGUGGUUCGGUACCUUUUACUUAUGUCCAUUUUCCUUAAACUCCUAACCAAAUGAGGGUUUCACUAUCCUUGAAGCUUCAACCAAGCUUCCGAUAUUUUACACUUACAUUUUAACUCCAAUGGGUUAUUACACGAUCCCUUCAAGUACCCACCAAUUUGAAGUUUUCUAUUCACACAAACUCAUUUAAAAAUGAUAGAAACUCUCAACCUAACUCAAUGAAAAUUCAAUUAAUGAAUGACAAGAUGCACUAAAUGAUAUACAAAUAAGAAGUUAAUGCACCAAAAUGAAAUAAAUGAGAGUUUUGAACGAAGAACAAGUAGGUAAACAAUUGGUUGCAAGUGUUUUCUUACAAGUAGGUAAACAAUUGGUUGCAAGUGUUUUCUUACUCAUAUAUAAAGUGAAGUUCUCAAUUUAUAGGUUUCAGCCUCAUACACCCAAAAUGCCAAAAAGUGGUAUCAUCUAGUCGAGCACCAAUUUGACCAGCUGUUAUGCAUUAAAUACAUUACAUAUCUCUGUUGUUAAAAAAAAAUAUGUAAAAAUGGACAUAUGUAUGAAAUAAAGUUUUUUAUCUUUCACUAUUCAAGGCUAUUAUUAAUACCAUAUAUAACCUCUAACCAUUGUACAUAAAACUUGAAUAAUUCUUUAAAAGUUUCUAUUUUAUAAUUAUUUUCAAAUAAAUACAAAAUCCGCUUUUCUCAAAAAUAAAAAUUAAAUACUAAAAUGAAAAUCUCCCAGCAUAAAUCUAGAUUUUGUGAGGUGUCUUGCUCAUCAGUCAUAUUCAAAAUCCACAUCAAUUCAACCAAUUUUUUCUAUCAUGGGUCACUCCAAUUUUCGAGGCAUACCCAUGCCAGGUGGAAAGCAAAUACAGUCAUUGAGUUGCGCUGUCAGCAUAUCAAAGCCAUCAUUGUCGGAGGCCGAUCAGUUUAGAAGAAAACAAACCUUUAUCAUCUGGAACAACUAGUCAAAAUAUUCAUUUUAACAGCCAGUCCUUUAUUCAACAACCCCAUGUUGAAUUUUUUUUCCUUCUUGAUUGGUUUCUUUCAACAACCAGUAAAAUCCUCAAGUUUGCUCAAGUAUUUUACCAAAAUUAAGUCAUAUUAUAAACUCAGAAAACUAUUUACCCAUCAUUACCCAUGAAUAUAUCUUCUACUUGUAUAUUUUGAGGCUCAUUUAUAGGCUUGCAUGAGUGAAUUUCUCUCAUCUUCUCCUAUUCGUAGGCGUUGAAUCCAGUUCAAAUUGAGGAAAAAUAAAAGGGAAAUGAAAUAUAAUAUUUCUAUUAGUUGAAAAUCAUUCUACAAUUUAUUAAUUAUUAGGUAAUUUUUUAUUUUUUAUUUGUUAAUAAUGCUUAUAAUUAAAAUAUUUAGAACUUAGAAAUAAAAAAUAUUAUAUUAUGGUGUUAAAUAUAUAUAAAAAUAUUUUGUAUACAUUAAAUAUUAUUUUAAAUAAUAUUAUAUCAUUCACAUAUUUUUCUAAUCGGGUUCUUUUUCGAAUUAAAAAAAUAAUUUUUUUAAUCAAAAUUUUUGUUUUAUAAAAUUAGUAAAACAUCAAAAAUUUUAAAAAUGAAAAAAAACGAGUGAAGGGAAUAAACUUAUGAUCCAUGGAAUUUGUGUAUAGUAUAUCUCAAUGUAGGAUUCUUAUAACCCAUGUAAAGAGGAUAUAAAAACCAAUAUUUUUAGAAUCGGACUAGUCAGCGAAUUGAAAAAGUUAUAUAUUCGUGGUUCAGUGAUCGGAUCGAUAGUUAAACUGCAGUCAAAUCGGUGAUAUCAUAAAUAUAUAUUUUAUAUUUAUUAAAAUUAAAAUAAUUUUUAAAAAUUAUAAAAUUAAAUAAAAUUAAAAAUCAAUAAUAUUUAUUUUUUUCAUAUUUUAUAUAAAUAUAUUAAUAUUUUAAAGUUUAUUAAAUAAAACAUAUAUAAUAUAACAUAUAGAAAAUUGAAGUGUGUUAUGUCAUUAAUUAAUUAAUUAAUGAAAUAUCUAAUAUUUUUUAAAACUUAUAAGAUAAUAAUAAGAUGUAUAUCUAGAUAAUAAUAAGAUUAUUAUCUAGAUAUACAUCUUAUUAUUAUCUUAUAAGUUUUAAGAUUAUUAUCUAGAUAUACAUCUUAUUAUUAUCUUAUAAGUUUUAAAAAAUAUUAGAUAUUUGAAAUGAUUUUAUUAUGUUUUGGCACAAACCAAAGAAUGGCAGGUUGGUACAACCAUGCUUACCUUGAAUAAAAAGUCCAAGUUCAAGUCCAAGGUCUUAAACUAAGCAUAUAUAAAUGCAGAUUGUUUUUUAAAUCAUUUAGAGCAUAAAAAUGCCUUUAAAACUCUUCUGCAUCACAACUCGUCAUUGGGCUAUGAAGGGUGCCUAGCCCAUUGGUAAAUGAGGCCCGUUUUUACCCGAUUCUGUCUGGUUCAAUGAUUCAACUGUCAAUUUGUCCAAUUCAAUGCUGGUCCAAAGCCUCUUCUAGCUCAAAAGCUCAAUUGAACCAGAUCAGGGUCUGGUCAACAAUUCAACUAGUUGAAUCAGUUGAUUCGAUCCGAUUUUUAAAACAUUGAUAAAAACAAUAUUGGACAAGUUAUUUCACCAUAUAUUUUAUCCUAAAUUUAAUUAAACAUAAGAAAACAUAAGAUAUGAUAUGUUAUCCAUCUCUUAUCUUAUUUCAUAUUAUAUCCGAUUAAGGAAAGAUAACUCUUAUGUAUAUGAAUUAUUAAUCUUCAUUAUUUUCCAUGUUAUAUCAAAAGCAAUUGUUUUACUUCAUCAUUUGGAUUUUCUAAUUGAAAACUUGGUUUAUUGCAGGGAUGUUCUUUGAAUUAAGAUCAUAUUAUGGAAAUGUUCUCUCUUGUUUGAAAUGAUUCGUUUUUUGGUUCAUGAUCAAGCGAAAUGACCAUUUCUUAUAGUUAACAUGUUAAGGGUAUUACUGUCACUUAUUGUAGAUGUCGUUAUAUUUAUUUUUCAAAAUGCUAAGAUUGACAUUGAUAUUACGAUUGAGGAUGAGCUCUUUUAAAACCAAAAACAUACUUUUUAUAAUCUUCCUUCUAUCGAAUCUUUAAUUUGACUCAAAUAAGCCUUUAUUUGAAUAAGCAUAUUCUCUUCCCAGUAAAAAUGCCCUUAGCCAAGCAUCUACAAAGGCACAACAAUUUUCAUACACAAUUUAGGGAAAAUGGUUUGUUAAAAAUGUCUAUUUUGGUUAGGGUCCAAAGUAUUGGUCCAAUUUGAUACAAUUUGGCCAAGGCAAUAAUUUGGUAAGAUUUGACUCAAAUUAUUUAUUUUAGGAAAGUUAGUAUUUAUAGAGUAUGUGUUUUGAUAAAUUAUCUUUUUAAACUAGAAUUAGGAAAUUAUUGGUUUAGGGUUAACUCAUAGUGCUCUAUAAAUAUCUAGUUUUAUAUAUGAUUUACGAAGAGAGAAAAAAAAAAGUAAGAAAAGAAUAAAAGGAGAGGGCAAAAUAGUGUAUUGGAAUUUUGGGUAAAGAAUGGUUGAGGGAGUUUGAAGGAUGUAUUCUUAAAGUUUAUUAAUAAAUCUGAUCACAGUUUCCAAUGGACUUUGAUGAUUACACUAAAUCAUGUAAACAUUUUAUCUUAUCUAUUUCAUUUUAAUUUUCCUCUUGAGUUUGGGUUGUAAAUUUUUUCCAACAAGUGGUAUUAGAGCUAUGAUAAAAAGAUCAUAGGAAAAAUUAUUUUGAAGAUGAUGUCAAGCCUUAAGUAUGAUUAGUAGCUUGGUGAAUCAUAACAAUUGAUAGUCUUAAGUCAUAAUUUAUCAUAUGUCUUGUUUAGUAUGCACCACAUACACUGAUGCACUCACUAUAGGAUUUAACGGUUAAGACAAAUCAUUCUUCUAAUUAUGAGGUAGUGCAUUACAGUCUCUAUUGGGUUGUCCAAAUCCAUAAAUCGAUUGUAGACAUCUUAUCCAUUUACAAGAAACCUAUAACUUGUAUCAUUUGUACAACUCUUGAUAUACCAAAAUUAUGUGUCAUGUAAAAUAUAUGAGGUUAUCAAUAUAUAAAAAAAGAUGGUAAGGGAACAAUCAAGUCUAAAUUUUUGAUAUCAUAUUUUGCUUGUAGAGACUCAAUCCCAACACUAAAAUCAAGGUUGACUUAGAAUAUAACCAAUUUAGUCAAUAGGUUACUCACAAAAGGAAACAAAUUAAUGGUUGAAAGACAAUUACUUAACUUCCUCGUAUACCUAAAAUAAAUCCAAAAGAUUGAUAUUGAUAAUGUUCUAUGUCAUUGAUAAAUCACUCUCAUAGAUGAUUGCCUUCAUGGAUAAUGACCAAAAUUUUCUCUUAUGAGAAAUUAUGUCAAAACAAAUAAGAGCAUAGGACAAUUUGAAUUUUUUGUUUUUUUCUUUUUUUUUUUUUAGAUAGAAUGUGAUCAUGGGGUAUAAAUACUUUUCAUAGUAAAAUACCAUCACAAAUUUUAUGCUAUGAUUAAAGGUGAUUUUCACCAUGAUAUGUUUUUGUUUUUUUUUUUUGAAGACGUGACUUUUGCAAUGAACUUAUUUCAUGACGAAAAAUGAUAUAUUACUAUAAAUUUUUAAAUUAAAUGGUGAUGAUAAUAAGAAUGCUAGUGGACUCAGGUUAUGAUGCGUAGAUCGACUAGUGACAUUUAUCAUAAUGGUUAAUUAAAUGUAUCUUUAAUGUUCAAUUAAACUAGACUCUGAUGUUGAUAAGAAUGCUUAGUGAAGGACUACAUUAUUAACUAGCAAUGUUUAUCAUAAUGACUAGUAAAAUUUGAUCUUUUUAUUUAUUUAUUUUUUGUUUUUGUUUUAUUUAUUUAUUUUAUUUUAUUAUAGAAUGUGAUUAUUGGGUAUAAAUAUUUUUCAUAUUAAAAAUACCAUCAUAAAUUCUAUGUUAUGACCAUGAUAUUUAUGUUUUUUUAAGACAAAAAAUGGCCCUUUGCCAUGAUUUUUUUUUUUUGUCACGAAACAAAAUUGACUUUUGCAAUGAACUUAUUUCGUGAUGAAAAAUUAUAUAUUACUAUAAAUUUUAUUUUAUGGUAAAAUUUAAAAUUUUAUUUUUUUUGGUUACAAAUUUUAUCUUUUUGAAUAAAAAUAAUUAUUUAUGAACUAAUUGUAAUAAAAAAAUUCUUAUAAUCACAAAAUUUUCUAUAGCUCAUGGUACUUUCUUUUAAUCACAAAUUAAUUUCGGGAAAUCCAUAUUUGUUGGACUUGGCUUUAAUCUUGUCUUGAUUGGAGUUACCAUGAAAUAGAUCUAGCUGCCCAUUAAUCGAAACCCCAUGAUCAAAAUUCAAAACCAAAAUAUAUAAAAGAAAAAAAAAAGGCCAAGAGAAAGUGAAUGACUAGGUUGACUGCUGUCUCUCUUGUUUUCCUUGUCUAUAAUGGGUCACUUUUUAAUAUAUACAAUAUUUUCAUUUGUUUAUAUAAUUUUAAGAGCCAGCUCUCAACUAAUAAUUUUUAGGAUUGACAUUGAUUUAAAAAUAUUUUCUAUUAAAAAUAAAUAAAUGUACGUGCCUUCAUUCUACCUUGAAAGAAUGAUUCUUGACCAUGUCAGAUUACAAUUCGAAUUUCUUCAUCCCAUGAGAUGCGUGGUGGUAAACUUUUGAGAAUGGAAGUCUCUUGAGGAGUGAUCGUAAAAAGACAGCUUAAUUAUUCGGCCGGGUUCCACUAGGACCCUGCUCAUCUCUCUCUCUCUCUCUCUCACACACACACACAUCAACAAAGCUUUCUCUCUCAUACACACAUUGACAAAGCUUUCUCCCAAAGACAUGCACUCAAACCAAAAAAAUAAACUUAUUUACAAAAUAAUGUUCAAUUUAAUGUGUUUGUGUUACAUGUCAUAAACUUGUGUUACAAAAUAAUGUCCAAUCUCUUUACCUUGUCAAAGCUACUCUCUAUUUUAGGUAAGAGUUGUUGACCUUGUGAGUUGUGAGUCUUGUGACUUAGAAGAAAAAGACACAAGACUAGGCUAGAGUGCACGGCUGAGAAAGAGAUGAGGAGGAAACUUCUAGGGAAUAACGUGAUGAGGAGGCAAAAGUAGAACAUUUGUUUCAAUCUGACAGAUGUGAAAUCACCGUGUCUAAGCUUUUACUGUGGUAUUUGGAGUCAGGCUGUAAUAAUAAAUUGCUUUGCAGAGGCAGGAGAAAAUUAAAGAACCCGUAUUCAAUUACAGAACCCGUAUAUGAAGAAAAUUCUUAAGGGACUCCAACUACCAAGCUGACACCUCUCACCUACUUACACCAUCCCUUUGCUUGCUAUCAUCUUAGUUUGAAUGGUAGUUGCUGAUUUUCUGUCUUGCUAAUAUAAAUGACUCUUCCAACAAUAUGCCUAGAACACCUUGGAAUCCAUUUUUGUCGGGUACAAGUGUAGUGAACGUGUGGCAUCAUGGCCUCCGCAGCAGAGGAUGGUGAGCCACUGCUACUUGGACACUCCUCCGCAGGAAUCCAUGAAUUGUCAUCGUCAGCAGUGGAGGAGCUGUUGCUACACAAACCAGUGCCUGGCAGAUGGUGGCCUCGUCUGUUCGGGUGGGAGUCCAGGCUUCUCUGGGUCCUCUCUGGUUCAGCAAUUGUUUCCUCGGUUUUCAAUUACAUGCUUAGCUUCAUCACCUUGAUGUUUGCGGGGCAAUUGGGGGCGUUGGAGCUGGCCGGUGCCUCCAUCGCCAGUGUGGGAAUUCAAGGACUUGCAUAUGGGCUUAUGGUAUGUAUGAGUUUCUUAAGUGCUUUAUCCUGAACAGAGUUCCCAAAACACCUCUAUCCUUAGGGUACUUUUGCAGUAGUCUGAUCUGAGUAUAUGAUUAGUGAGCUGUAAACCAGAAAACUGUGGGCAUCUCCCCUCCAUAUCCCCUAAAGAAACAAUUGGGUAUCAUUCUGUGACUCAUCCAUAGCCAUAGGAAAUUCUAACAUUGUGGUAUAGCUUUUGCAAUUGUAAUUUUUCCCAGGAAAUGAAUUAAUCCCUCGCCCACAACUAGCAAUGGAGUCAGUACGUCAACUAAGCUAGAAAGAAAAACUAAAUUUAGUCGAUCAUUCGUCCAUGCAUUUUUUCUACGCAUUUGAAAUUUGGGGAGAUGGAAAGCUUGGGUCACCAUCACCCCGUGAACCAAGACAUGUCAGACAGGAAGGUUGAAGGGUCCUUUUCCUCCUUCGCCGACUCUGAUGGUUAGCCACAAGAAAUUAAUGUUGGAUAUUUUGGUAAUUAUGGGCCCCUACAUAUUAACAACAGUCUUAUUUUUGGGCCUAAUUAAAUGUGAUCAAUCAUGAUUUCUCCAUCAAUUAAGGCUUAUUUUGGGUUGUAGAAAUUGCCUAUAAUCAAUAAAAGAAAAUUUGUUGCUACUAAUUAUCACAACUAGUUUCAAAGUAACUUGUUUUUCUUGUUUUGUUUUGUUUUGUUUCCCUUUUUUCUUAAUUAAAUUUUGGUCCCAAAAAAAACAGUUGGGCAUGGCCAGUGCAGUGCAGACUGUCUGUGGACAAGCAUAUGGAGCAAAGAAAUAUGCCGCAAUGGGCAUCAUUUGCCAAAGAGCAAUCGUCUUGCACUUGGGAGCAGCCAUUCUUCUCACCUUCCUCUACUGGUAUUCAGGUGCAUUCCUUAAAGCAAUAGGCCAAUCGGAGAGCAUAGCGGUGCAAGGUCAAAUUUUUGCCCGGGGAUUGAUCCUUCAAGUGUAUGCAUUUGCAUUAAGCUGUCCAAUGCAGAGAUUCCUCCAAGCACAAAACAUUGUAAACCCUUUAGCUUACAUUGCUGUUGGGGUAACCCUCUUACAUAUUCUUCUCACAUGGUUGGUUGUUAAUGUCUUGGACUCUGGGCUUCUUGGAAUAGCUCUUACGCUGAGUCUUUCCUGGUGGCUUCUGGUUUUUUCGAUUGCGCUUUACAUACUUUUAAGCCCAUCUUGCAAGGAAACUUGGACUGGCUUUUCUUUAAAAGCCUUCCAAGGAAUUUGGCCCUAUUUCAAGCUAACUGUUGCUUCCGCUGUCAUGUUGUGGUAUUUAACGAAACUCUCUCUCUCUCUCUUCCUCCCCCCCCCCCCCUCUCUUCUCAAUUGAUAAUAUUCUGAUUCUUUUUUCAUUGACUUAAUGCAGUCUGGAGAUAUGGUACAGCCAAGGUCUUGUGCUUAUAUCAGGCCUCCUCCCCAACCCUACAGUCUCACUGGACUCCAUUUCCAUUUGGUAUAUAUAUAUAUAUGUCAACAGAUUGACUAAUGCUUCCAUUUUUUUUAUUUUCCUUGAACAUACAUUAAUAAGUUCUUACAUUAAAUGAUUUCAGCAUGAAUUACUUGAACUGGGAUAUCACAUUCAUGCUGGGCCUAAGUGCAGGAGCAAGGUCAGUGUGAAUAUAUAGUAAAACAAUUAUUCCUCACUUUCAUCUUCUCCUCUGUUUUCUUAGCAACCAAAAGGGUGGGCAUGAGCACAUAUACUAAUAGACUUUGUGGAUUGCAGUGUCCGAAUCAGUAAUGAGCUGGGAGCAGCUCAUCCACUGGUGGCAAAAUUCUCAGUGUUAGUGGUAAAUGCAAACAGCAUCAUCAUAAGUAUAUUUUUUAGUGCGAUCGUUCUGAUUUUCAAGAUAGGAUUGAGCAAGCUAUUCACAAGUGAUACAGAGGUUAUCAAUGCAGUGUCCAACUUGACCCCACUACUUGCUAUUUCUGUCUUCUUAAAUGGAAUUCAACCCAUACUCUCAGGUAAUUAACCAUAUACAGUACCAUUUUGUCGAAGUUGAGGCAUCAAAUAGUACAGCAUUGAAUUGGAAAAACAUGUAAUAAGUGCAAUGGGAAUUCAGGUGUGGCCAUUGGGAGUGGAUGGCAAGCUAUAGUGGCAUACGUCAACCUAGCAACUUACUAUCUCAUUGGUCUUCCCAUUGGGUGUGUUCUUGGAUUCAAAACCAGCUUAGGAGUUGUAGUGAGUAGAAUCUCCUCCCCUUUCUUGCUAGUUUUCUUGCAUGCCAGCCCACACACGCACACAGAGUUACCUUUAAUUAUUACUGAACAAAAUGCGGUUUCUCUUUUUUGCUUUUUGUUUGUUUGCAGGGAAUAUGGUGGGGGAUGAUAAUAGGAGUUCUUCUUCAAACGGUAACUUUAAUUGUUCUAACAGCAAGAACAAACUGGGAUGCUGAGGUAAUCUUGUGGGUUGAUUAAAUUGGAUGUAAAUUAAAUUAGUUCUUGUGUGGAUUGGGCAUGUAUUUAAGCAUACUGGUGAUGCAUUUGUAGGUUGUGAAAGCUGUGGAUCGCAUAAAGAAAUCUUCCAACGAAGAGACGUUGGAUUUAGUACUAGACAAGAUAUAGUCAAGGAGAUUGGAGAUUCAAAUAGAAGAUGCCCAAGAUUUUUACUGUUCCGUCUCUGUCUGGGUGGGAAUCAUGGAUCAUGUAGUUUGAUCUUCUGAUUAUGUUUAUAUUGAGGUUUAUUCUUCUCGAGUUGGUGGAAGUUGGUUAGUUUGACAAGGAAAAGUGUAUUCCAUGUACUCAUACCCAGUGUUUUAAAAAUCAGCAUUAUUAAACUUUAUCAUUUAAUUUAAUAUACCAAAUAUAAAAAUCAAACAUUAUUAAAAUUUGUAAUUUUAUAUAUUUUAAAUUUUUUAUAAUUAUUUUUAAUUUUAUAUAAUAUAUAAAUUAUAUAUUUAUUUCAUCAUCGAUUCAACCAUGGUUUAACCGUUAGUCCGACCAGUGAAUCGUGAACCAGUAAUUUUUCCUGUUUUGAAAAUAUUGCUCAUACAAAAAAAAAACCAUAAAAUCAUAACUCAAAUUUAUAAAAUACAAAUUUCAAACCGUUAUUUAAAAACGGUUAACAUUUUAUAUACUUUUUGGUUAAAGGUAUAAUAUUUGACCAUUCAAAUACUACCUUUCAAUAAUAUAGUUAUUAUCUUUAACCAUCCUAAUACCACCUUAAACUCAUUAUAUAAUGAUGGAUAUUAAUUUUCAUUUGAAUUAAGUUUAUUUAAUCACCCAUAAAUAAUUUAAAAUAGAAAAAAAAAAAAAAAAAAAGCUCUUAAAUAUCAAGAUCAUUUUUUAUUGCAAAAAUAGAAACCGACGAAUUACUCAUUUAUUAUGCCUAUGCAUAGUUGUGAAAGGCGCACCUAGGCUCGGGGCAGCACGACACAAUGCCACCCUCCGGCACCCCUCCUGAAGGCAGGCGACGCCCCUUCAGGAAGGCGUCGCGUAGGCGCGCAAGGCACUCACCUCCGGCAAGGCAUGACGCGGUCACCUGACUCGCCUCUGGCCAGGUACGCCUUCCUCCUUCUUCUUCUUCUUCUCCUUCUCCUUCUUUUCUUUAGUCGCCAUCAGGUUGUAGAGGACUAGGGCUGGGGCUGAGAAGCCCUAAUUUUUUUUAAAUAAAAAGGGCCAAAACGAUGUCAUUUUGGCCUUGUUUCUCUUCCAACCCCUUGUUUCUAGUAUUUUUGAACCCGACACUACUCCCAAUCAUGCCCUAGCCUCAGUCGUGCAGUGGAGAAGUGAAAAAGAAGAAGAAUAUGAUGAGGAAAAAUAGGAGAAAAAUAGUCACGUACCUUCCAGGACCUCAUCAUGUUGAUUAAAUUGAAGUUUUAGAUAAUAUUUGAUGAUUUAUGUGUUUAGGACAAAUAAAUGAUUGUUAAAUUUGAUUAUAUUAUAUAAAAAUAUAUAUGUAAAUUAGGAUGCGUCUCACUUCACUAAAGCUCGCACCUUAGGUGCGCCUUGAGCCUUUUAAAACUAUGUGUUUGCGAUCAAAAAGGAAAAUCAUGGAUAAAAAAUCAAAUAAAAAUUUUAUUUGUUUCAACUUUUUUAUUUGAACUCUAAUUUACACAUCAGCUAAACUGUUGGAUUCCUGACUUCCCAAGCUUCGACCAAAUAUGUGGCUUGAUCCAAAAUAAUCUUGGGAAGUCCUUCAAAAUUCACUUCAAAUUAAAAGUUUGUGUGGUUGCCAAGUUUUGAACUUCAUUUCCCAUGUUUAGACAUCGUUUCCAAUAUUUCUUUCUCAUAUUUUUUGACCCUAUAUCUCUCUCCAUAAGCUUCUUUUCUCAUUUCCCAUGCUAUGCAUUGACCCAUUUGUAUUUGUUGCACCUUCCAUCACUCUUCACUACCCUUGAGCUCCUUUAUUACCAUGGGUGAAAGCAGUUCUUGCAAUUUGCACCCUCUUUAUCUCUUAAAACUAGAUCUUGGCUCAAGAUAUGCAUUAAAAUCACAACUAAGGUCUUAAAUACAAUUCAAGUUAAGUCCAAGAGUUGAGCCUUUAUAUCACAUAAAACACUCUUUAAUUAUACCAUUAAAGCACAAUUUAUGACUUAAUCAACAUCUCACAUGGAACAUUUAAACAUUCCUCCUAUAAAUAGACUAUUCAAAUCUAUUUAAAUUACCCUAAAAUUUCUUUAGGAUGCUUGUAAUUCUUCAACAAGAGUUAUUAUUUUGAAGAAAUAAUUCAAUAAGAGAAUAAAUUGAACAUGUCCCACAAUUGUUUAAGUUCACAAGGAAUACUAAAUGGGAAUCCAUCAAGAAAGUGGAAGUCAUUCAUCAACCAAGAAAGACAACCUUCCCUAACUAGCUAAGAUUAAACUUUAUGCCUAUAAUAGAAAAAUAUGAUUUUCUUUGGAACCCACAUGGUAGAUGGAAUCAUGAAAGGAAAGUGAGGAGAACGUAGCCGAUAGGAAGAGUCGGUAGAAUGCAAAGGGUGUCGUAACUGGUCUAGGGCUAUGAUGUGGCUGAAAGACAGUGGGUAAGGUGAUGCAAUAGGGUGGAAUUUAGGUUAAAAGAAAAGAAAAUUAUGAUGGGCUAGCAGGGUGUUUAUGAUAAAAUUAAUUUAAAAUUUUAAUAGGGCCACGUAGUCCAUGAAGCUUGAGGAAAACGAGAUGGGAAUUUAAGACACAGAUAAAUUUCAAUAAAAUAAGUUUAAAAAAAAUUAUAAUAUUUUAUAAAAUAUAUUUAUUUUAAUGUAUUAAAAAUAAUUUUUUUAAAAGGUUAAACAGGAAAGGUAGGACAAGUAUGAGAAUUUAAUAUUUUUAAUGGAACGGGAAUUGGAAUUAUUUUGAUUAAACGAAACAAGGUUGGAAAAUGGACAACUCAUCCCAAACCUACCCCUUUGUCAUCCCUAGUAUUAGUCGUACACUCUAGAUAUAAAGUGUUAAGCGAUUAAUAUUGUUUCAUGGUCAGGAAAUAGUAACGGGAAAAGACAAAUUCCAAAACAUUCAACCAAGAGACCAUUCUUCAAGGAUUUGUCUUAUGUAAUGUGAUACGAAUGUUAUAUAGUGUUAUUAUAAUUUUCCUACUAAAUUAAUACAAAUCAUUCUAUUAUACCUUCAUCGAUCUUGUAAUUUCAAUUUGUAGUAAACCAAACUUUAAAAAUCUUGAAUUCAAGUAUAAAAAAGGGAUUUAGAGCGUGCAAGCAAAGAACCUAACACAUAAGCAUAGUCACCUCAAGAAGGAAGCUAUGAGAGCAUCCACCUAGACACUCUUUAUCUAGACGAAUUAGAAUAAAUUCAAAGAUGGUGACUAGUUCUUCCAAUAGAACUAGACCUUCAUUCUUGAACAUUUAAGUUACUCUUUACACUCAUAUAUCAGGCCAGGAAGCUUACUUUGAACAAGUAGGAUUUCUUAUGGAAAGGUGAAAAGAUUUUGCUGCAACAAGGUCACAUAAAGUUGGAACAGCCUGGAACCUAAAGAUCAUUUGUCCUCCUUCCACCUUUGCCACCCUUGCCACCUGACCCAACCCUCAUCCUACAACAAAAUCCAACACGCUGUCACAUACUAGUAGACUAGUAAGAUAGGAAAACAAAUAAGCUUCAAGAUCCUCUUGGGUCUUUUAAGGAGUGAACUGCAUCUUUCCGAUAUAAGUUCAAAUUUUUAAUCUUAGCAUUCUCACAAACCACAUAGAAACAGGGCUUAAUUUAAAAAGUUGUCAAAUAAAUAAAUAAAUACAAACAGGAUCAAGAACGUAACAAGAAGAGUAGCAACUUGCAGCACAGAAACAAAAGAGAUAAGGAGCAUCAGGAAACCUUUAUUUUCAUUUAGCCCAUUAAGGAUGAGAGAACCUUUCCAUCCCAACUGAAAAUUUUUAAUUUUCUAAAACCCACCACACACACUUGACUUAGCAAUGAAACAAAUCUCAUACGAUCUCCAAAGUAAUGAAAUGUCUCUGGAGGAAAGAUCACCAAGUUCAUGAGAGUUGGGAGUGUUAGCAUUCUGUAAACUGACCUGAAAAUGUAAGCAAUCUUAUCAUACUAUGAGAGAUCAAACUAAAAACUAUCAUAAUCAUAAUCAUUUCGGUUGUCCUAAUUGAUACACAUUGUUCCCAUGUAUGUAUUUAAUAUAAUGUUUUUAAGACGAGAUUAUCACAUUAUAAUUUACAGUAACAAGCUGACAUACAAGAUUUAAAGGUAAGCUUACCACUUACCCACACACUCUUAUCCCACCCCCAACCAAGGGGUGGAUAUAACGUCUUGGGUGAUACAAACAAGAGAGAUUGCGGUAAAAACUCAUCAGCUGCCAUUUUUGCGUUUCCCUUCCAAAUUCCAAAAUGUUUGUCAACAGCCUACACAGAUGGGAUGAGGGGUUGCACUUCUUCACUUGGUUUUUUUUAACAGUCCUGCAGCAUCAGUAGUCAUCACAGCUGUUGCCACUAUUGGAAAUCCUGUGGCUUGGGAUGGGAUUCGGGACAUUGAUGCCUUCUUUGCCCAUCUGCUGGACUUCAAGCGGAGAUAGUAUCUUGAUAUACCACACAUUAUUGACAAACUCCCUGCAAAAGAAUGAAACCAUAAUCCCAUCUGCAUUUAGCAUUGCACUCAACUAAUCUUAGGAAUGGCCAUGGAAUGACUCAUUACAUAUGAUCAUACAGUUUUGAUGUAUUGAUUUACCAGCUCCUGCAUGCAGAGUCAGCACCACCCACAAAUAGACUAUCCACUUUACAUGCAUGCAGUUUUAAAAGAUGAGUACAUAAUGGUUGAUUAAGCCAAUAGAAAAGUUAAAAUGAUUUGAGUUAUUAACUUUGAAGAGACUUAAAAAUCCAGAAGAACCAUUUUGACAAUUAGUGUUGGUAUAUAAUUUGGGACUUACUGCCAAGGGUCAUCACCAAGGAGAAGAACAUCAUUCUCUCGGUCAACAAAUACAAGCUGCCAGCCUGAUCUCAGAGGGUCCUCCAACCGGCCUUCAAGGCCAAACAUUCGGCCAAGCUCACCACGCAGCUCAUCAUAGCUGCUGAAUUUGGUGAUAUCCAGUGACCUCCCAAAGGACCCUAACUUGUGAACCUGCCAGAAUUAUACUUUGUACUUAAAAACCAUAAUAAAAGUAGCCCUAGGAAAUAGAACCAAGACAUGAAGCAAUGGUCAUCAUAUGAGAAGGAAUGCUAGAAGAAGAAAGUUGAUCAUAUAGUCAACCAUCCACAAAUCAUCAAUUUAGCAGUGAAAACAAACACAGCAGAACAUUAUGCAGUUUGGUUAAAAUCUAAAUAUGAGAUAAACCAAGGAAGGAGAAAAAAGAACAGGAGUAACAAUGUAUAAGGCCUCAAUAGUUAACCAUUUAUCAGAUUUUAGGAGCCAUCCUCCUGGAAAAUCAUGAGCAUAGAGCAGUAAAGUAUACCAUCUCUGGUCCCCAACUUGAAGUACCCUCAAAUCUAAAAACCAAUUCAAUUGCCUAAAAGUGAAAUGCAUUUUAAAUUAAAGCAUUCGGCAAGAUAGAAAGGCAACAAUUCAGAGGACAAACAAAAGAAAUAAGACAAAAGAUGAUUAUCAUUUGAUCACAUGUGAAUCCUCCAAGUUUUCUUUAAAGAGAACACAGGGCAAUUCCAGGACAUGCAAAUGUUUAGUGGCUCAGACAAAGAGAAAUGCUCACAAAAGAUAGCAGCAGCUCCAUUUACCUUAACAAAGGUUCUGGUUGGUGGGUUUACUUGCUCCAAAUUUUCAGAAGACUGCAAGAAACCUGAUUCAUCUAUGCAACUUGAAGUUGUCAUGUCUGAAUUAAGUGGAAAAUCGGUGCCUGGAGCAUUUGCAAAAUUAGGCGUAGAAAAUGGCAUAGACACUGAAUCAUUCUCACUGCCAAUACUUCUUAGAUUUGACAUCCCAUUUUGCAGCAUAAGAGAUGAAGAGUCUAUAUUAACCCCAAACAGAAGAUUGUUUUGGGGAUCAGCAACACCUUGGUACACAGAGUACUCUCUACCAGGAAAAGGUGGCAACAAGGUGGAGAGUUCAGAGGCAUUUGAAGGCGGUGUUGCCAACUCUUCCACCUGGGGCAGUACACAUUGAGUAGUUCCAGAGGGAAGCGGAGGUUCAACCGCAACUUGCUUGGGAAAGAAGGCAGAAGAAGAAAUUACAGGAUUUGAUCCAUGCAAGUUAAGUAGAUGGGAUGUUCCAUCUUGGGAGAAUGAACCUAAAAGACUCUGCAUGGUAGAAACAUCUGAUGUAGUAAUUGGGUUCCCAACAGAAUCAGGAAAAAUCUGCUGCUGUAUUGGUGAAGGGAUAGUCUGUAAGGAAGGAGGCAGAGAUUGAGUGGGUGAUGAAAGCUGAGAUAGAGCAGAUAUGACCUUUGGGAUAUGUUGCUGAUCAGACAACUGCCGAUGCAGCUGCUGGGGUUGUUGAAGUUGUGGCUGCUGUUGUUGAUGUUGUUGUUGCUGCUGCUGUUGUUGAUGGUGUUGUUGCUGCUGCUGCUGUUGAAGCUGUUGUUGCUGCUGUUGAUUACUCAACGCCUGCCGACCCUGCAACUGUUGUUGCAGAAGCUGGGCCUGAGCCUGAGCCUGAGCAUGAGCCUGAGCCUGAGCCUGGGCCUGAGCCUGAGCCUGAGCCUGAGCCUGAGCAUGAGCCUGAGCCUGAGCAUGAGCCUGAGCAUGAGCCUGAGCCUGAGCCUGAGCAUGAGCCUGAGCCUGAGCAUGAGCAUGAGCAUGAGCCUGAGCCUGAGCCUGAGCCUGAGCCUGGGGUGGGUUUUCUUGAAAGCUUUGAAGAAAAGCAUGUUGAGAUUGUGUCUGCUGCAACAUCUGCCCCCGGAAGACAGAAGCAGGACUAUUGGAAACAUUUUGUGGUUGCUGGAACUGCAAAAGGGACUGAGCAGGAUGUUUGGAAGGAUCCAGUGCUCUCAAUUCCUGAAGCGAAGCAGCUGCUAUAGCUUGUUGCAUGUUAGAUUGUAAACCAAGCAUUGAUGCAUCAAGCCUUGGUUGCAUCCAGGGUGUAAGUCCAUAACCCUGAAAAUUUAAAGACUGAAUCCCCUGAUCUCCAAUGUCUCCUCGGAGCCACAUGAGUGGAGAAUUUAUGCUCAUAUCACCAUCUUUGUGAGCUAGAUGAAACAAAUGAAUCAUGUAAACAUAAAAUAAAAAUAAAAAUGAAUACUGGUCUCAAGUGAAAAUUCAAGCAAAUAGUGUAUUCACCAGCCUCAAUGGUGGUGGUACACAAGCAUACCGUGGAAGGAAGGUAGGGCAGAGGGCCAUGGUCGCUUCAGUCUAAGUGGGAAAGGGGAUGGAUACAUUGGGAAUGUUGUUAAAGGCUCAAUCUCCCACAAGGAAACUCUGGGUUGCCUCUCCCCGGCAGUGGAUUCAUCCCAACCAACCUGGCAUUAAUAGAGAAAUUUACAAGAACAUGCUUUAUAUUCCAUCAUUGAAAAUUAAAUAUCUCCAUGGAACACAUGACUGCAAUUAUGACCAUAUAAUCACCAAAUGCUCUGAACAAACCUUUACAGAGCGCCAAUGUGAGUUUGGCCAGCGAACAGGAUCUAAAUCACUAAUGCCAGUUAUUGUGCCCAUGUACCUGAAAAGUACCAUGUUAGUGCCAGUGGAAAGCAUCUACCAGUAUAUUUUAAAAUAGAUGUUUUACAGAUAACAUCUAUCAAAAGAAAGAAAACUUAAAUGACUAGGGAAGAUCGUCCUGCUGGUACAAUGCAUAGUAGCAACAAAAUGUUAGUAAAAAUGAUAAAGAAACUAAAACCUUUUUACCCCAGAACUAUGUAGUUCACCAAUAGGAAAAGCAAGCGCAUGAACGAAAUGGAACCCUGGGGGACACCAAAACAGUAACAUGAACAAUGUAUGCUACUCAAUAACAUGUAUGAUGGAAUUAAGAUCAUAUACAUUACUCUAUUGAGACAUAUAUAUGCUAGUUGUAAAUGUGUAACAGUUUUCUUUUCAACCCAAAGAAUGAGAAUCUGAAAAAUGCACAACUUCCAGUUCACAACAGAAAACCUAUUGAAUAAUUAUUAACCAUAAAAGAGCAUAGCAUCAAGCAUGUUCUGUCAUUUAUGCUUUGCUUAGAAGGUUGAAAAACAAAUUUUUUGUUGUUGUGGGGGGGAGGAGGUUGGUAAAUAACUUAGUCAGUCUUUUACAAUCUGACAUGGUUACAGCUUCAGAAUAUUCAGUAACUUAGGCAAGAGAAACAGAAGUACAGCUGCAUUUGGGAAUCUAUGCAUCAAGAUCCACUUUCUCAAAUCAACUUGAACUUGUAUUCCACUAAAACCAGAUAACACUUUGAAUGUGCUCCAGCCUGGUCCAAAAAUUAAAAAAUUUCCAGACAGUCCCUUAAGUUCUGAAACGGAGUAUACAACGACUUUCAAAUGUCAAUCACUAACCAUUUAAUUAUAUGAUCAGUAGGAAAUAAAUAAAUAAGCGCACGCACACACAUGGGUUUCUGUAGAAGAAGAGAGAUGGAAGAAAUACAAGGUAUGAAAUUCAUAUCCUUAAUCUCUAGCCUAUAUAGAGACUCACAUAUAUAUACAAAAAUUCCUAGCAACAAAAUUAGAAAUUUUCCUAACUUAAUUACACUAGAUCCCUUUGAUUACGGGAUUGCCUAAUUCUCUCCUCAAUUAAAAAAUCAAGACUUUCCUAAUUUCAUUCUUCCACACUCCCCCUCAACUAAAUAAAUGUUUUCCAUUCUCAGUUUGGAUACACUUGCUUAAAACUUUGUAUUGCUUAAACCUUUUGAGUAAAUCUACAAGUUAGCAGUUAGUAGAUACAUAAGGAAUAUAGAUCAAUCCACUAUCUAGUUUCUCCUUAAUAAAAUGUUUGUCUAUUUCUAUGUGUUUCAUACGAUCGUGUUGCACUGGAUCAUGUGCAAUACUAAUUGCAGAUUUAUUGUCAUAGUAAAGUCUCAUUAAAUCAUCCCAUUUAAUCUUAAAAUCUUCCAAAACAAUCUUCAACCAUAGUAGUUCACAAACUCCUUAGGCCACUGUGCGAAAUUCUGCUUAUGCACUAGACCUCGGCACCAAACUUUGUUUCUUACUUCUCCAUGUCACUAGAUUCCCACCAAGAAAGGUGCAAUACCCAAUGGUUGAUCUUCUGUCAACCACAUAUCCAACAUAGUUUGCAUUUAUGUAUGCUUCAAAUACUAGUCUUGAGCUUCAUUUAAAUAAGAUGUCUAUUCUUGGAGACCCCUUAAAGUAUUAUAGCACUCAGUUAGCAGCUUACAAAUGAACCUCUUUUGGACUAUGCAUGAGAAAGCUAAUCACACUCACAGCACAUAUGCUAUAUCCUGUCUUAUGUGAAGGAGAUAAAUGAGUCUUCUUACCAACUGUUGAUACAUCUCUCUAUCUACCACAACAUCCUCUCAGCUUCCCCAAGCUUAUGAUUAGGAUCUAUUGGUGUGCUUGUUGGUUUACAGGCCAACUUCCUUAUUUCCUUUAGAAGAUCCAUUACAUUUGCUGUUGAGAAAUAAAAAUUCCCCGCUUAGAAUGUACAACCUCAAUUCCUAGGAAGUGUUUCAAGUUUCCUAACCCUUUAAUCUCAAAUUCCUUGGUCAAGCAUUGCCUCAACGUCUAUCUCUCCUUUUCAUCAUUUCUAAUCAUGAUGAUGUCGUCUACGUAUACCAAAAGAGUUGUAACUCCCCCUAAAUCCGAAUAUUUGAUGAACAACAUAUGAUCUUCUUGACUUUAUCUGUAUCCCAUAUUUUUCAUUACUUAAGCAAACCUUCCAAACCACAUCCUUAGAGAUUAUUUCAGCACAUAUGAAGCUUUCUUCAAUUUAUACACCUUUUAGUGGCUAGGUCACUGCCAAAUCUAGGAGGGACUGUCAUAUAAAUCUCUUCUUGAGAUCUCCAUUCAAAAAUGCAUUUUUGACGUCGAACUGUUGUAGAUCCCAAUUAUAAUUUGUUGUCAAUAAUAACAAAAUUCAGACUAUGUUCAUCUUAGUAGCUGGAGCAAAUGUCUCUAGAUAAUCCACACCAUAUGUCUGAGUGUAUCCUUUAGCCAUAAAUCUCACUUUGUACAUCUCUUAUGUCUCAUAUGCUCUAUACUUAACAAUAUAGAUCCAGUUACAUCCCAAUGGCCUUUUUUCUACAGGCAAAUCAAUCAACUCCCAAGUUUUAUUCUUCACCAGGGCCUCCAUUUCUGCAUCAAUGGUUUGUCUCCAAUUUUCAUUAGAUAAAGCCUCAUAUAGAAUGGUAGGAAUAUGAAUAUUUUUCAAACUUGUAAGAAAACUUUUAUAGAAUGGAGACAACUUUCUGAAUGACACGACAUGGGAAAGUGGAUACAAAGAACGUUUAGUGCAUUCCCUCAUUCCCUUCCUAAUGACAAUAGGGAGAUUUUGAUCUAUUGGUUUUUCAGACUGAAGUUCUGACUUAGUUUGUAAGGAAGGAUGAGAGACCGUUACCUCAUUUCUAGAAGCCGGUUUAGAUUCUUGGAUUUGUAUAAGUCUAGGGAAUGCAACUUUCUUCCUUGAGUGCACUUUGUCAGUUAUUCAAUUCUCAAGAGUAGGCUCAAUAGAUGACAACUCAAGUUUAGAAAAGGAGGGUACAAAUACUAGAUCAAACCCUAGACAAGAGACUUUAGGGGGGUCAAUGAGAAAGGGAUCAAUGAAAUAGAAAUCCCGAUUCUUGUCUUCCUCGAUGGAAUUCUCCUCCCAAAAUGAGGAGCAGGAAAAUAAAACUCACUUUUGUUAAAAGCAACAUCCGCUAAGACAAAAAUAAAAAAUAAAAAAUUAGAUAGUGGAUGGUAACAUUUAUAUCCCUUUUGAGUUAAAGAAUAUCCCACAAAAAUACAUUUGACUGUUCUUGAGUCCAAUUUUCCCUUGUUUGGACUAUGAACAUCCACAAAGGACACACACCCAAAUAUCUUAGGAAUGAAAUGGUUUGUGGUUCUCAUAUUAGGAUAAAACAAUGAGAGAAUUUCCAUGACAAUUUUGAACCUAAGACUCUGGAAAGUAGUCGGUUUAUGAGAUGUGGAGCAGUUAAGACAACUUCCUCUCAAUAAGAUUUAGGUACAUGUUUUUGGAAUAAAAAGCUCAUGGUGUAUCAAGGAGGUGGCGACUUUUCCUCUUAAUAAUUCCAUUUUGUUGCAAGGUGUUGACACAUGAUGACUCGUGAAUUCUGAUAAAAAAAAAAAUGAUGACUCAUGAAUUAUUCUCUCAUGUUGAAAGUAUAGAGUCAGGACUUAGUUGAAAUAAUCUCUGGUGUCGGACCGAAACCUCUUGAUAAUGACACCAAACUGAUUUUUUAUCAUGUUAUGGAAAUUUAGAAGAACAAAACUCACAUCAAAUUUGUGUUUAAAUAAGAAAAUCUAAGAGACCCUAUUACAAUCAUCGAUGAAAGACACAAAUCAAUAUGCCCUAGAUAUAUUAGGGACAGAGGAAGGGCCCCAAAUAUCACAAAGGAAGUUCUCAACAUCUAAUUUCCUAAAUAGAGAAGGAAACAAGAUCUUAAGAGUUAUAAAUGAUAGAUGUCCAAGUCUAUGAUGAUGAAGCCGGAUUUUUCUUUUAUUGAAAAAAUGGUGCUCAAAAAGAAAAGAUACAGAUAACUCGCUUGGUAUCUCAAGGUAGUAUAACAUGUUUCGUUCCUUAGCAAGUCCAAUCAUCUUCCCCAAGUCCUGGUCCUGAAAUACACAGUAAGUAGGGUAAAAAACCACAUUACAACCCAAAUCUCAUAUAAACUUUUGUAUAGAGAUAAGAUUAGUGGACAACCUUGGAACAUGAAACACAUUUCUAAGUGUGAGUGUAGGACUACUUUGGACAUCUACACCUACGAAAAUGGUUAAUGAACCAUUUGUUGUGGUUAUUUUCUUACUGCUUGGACAAGGGUUAUAGUUGUUAAAUUGAUGUGAUGAAUGAGUCAUAUGAUUAGUGGCACUUGAAUCUAUAACCCAAGAAUUGGCAAAGGUUUUAUCUAAGACUUUUAAUCCAAUGGAAAUAGAAAACUUACCUGAAACUUCCAGUGAGCAAGUACUUGAAUGUUUUUCAAGAGUUCCCAACAAAGUUCUCAAUUUCCUCCUGAUUGAAUCCACUUUGUUGAGGGAUUUUUCUUCAAUUGACUUAAUAGAAGAUAAGUGUGCUUGCCCAUUAUCCAUCUACUACCCACUCUUUGAUAGAUGUGAUUGGCUUACUAUGAAGUUUCCAACAUUUCUCUCGUGUAUGUCUAGCCUUCUGGCAGUAAGUGCACCAUAAAUUAUCCCUAUUAUCAAGAUUUGAAGCCCUUAACCAAUUAGUCCUUUUGUUAUCAGUGGUGCUAGCCUUCUAAUCACUGCCUUUGUUAGCAACCAUAGUCGAGCCUUCCAUAUUAUGAGGUUCAAGCAUGACACUUCUCUUGCUUUCUUCUGCUUGGAAAAUAGAGAUAGUCUCAUUCAAAGUUGGAAGCUCUUUGCUAAGUAUUUGAACUCUAACUUGAUCAAACUCAACAUUAAGACCAACUAAGAAAUCAUAGACUCGAUCCUUUUCAAGAUUACUGCAUCCUUGGAACAUUUUGUCUCAAUGUAUCAAUGGUGAUCAAGUUCUUAACCAUAGAUUUUUCAAUACAUUACCAUACUUCAUGACUGUCUUAUUUCCCUAUUUAGCCACUUCAAUCCUAACUUUUAUUUCGUACACUUGAGCUGCAUCUAGUGCCUUCAAGUAUGUCUGGUGAACUACAUCCCAAAUGUCUUUUGCAGUUAUUAGGAACAUACAUGUUUCAUUGAUUUCAGGCAUCAUGGAGUACCACAACCAUGCCAUAAUCAUUGAGCCUUGCUCAUCAUAGACAUCAAACUCCUUCCCUUGAUCCAGUACCCAAAAGAUGACUGAGUUUUCCUUUUCCCUUCAAAAAGGUACAAACAAGUUGCGACUAUUUUAAAUAGUCCUCCCCAUUAAGUUUAUAUACCGCUUUAAUAUUCUGCAAUUCUCCUAUGUUGUGACUAACUAUGACUCCUUCAGAUUGAGUGGUGACUGUAGUAGUUUGUGGGAUGAAUAUAUAUAAAAAUAAAGAAAAUAAAAAAAUAAAAAAUAAAAAACACGUUGAAUCUUUCUAGAAAACUCUCUUUGUGAUCCUUUGAGGCUAAUCCUUUGAAGCCUUAGAACCUUUCUUUCAAGAUGCAGAUCUUUGUUAAAAACUCCUACUAGAAAAACAAUAACCCUAGAGGUUGAGACCUCCGACACAAUGAGGAAAGGCUAAAGGUCUCUAGCAAUGUGAAGCAAGAGGCCCAUAGUGGAAGAAGACGAGGCUAAGACAAAGGGGAGACAACCAAGCGUGAGAAUGGCAAGGACAAGGCCGACGGUGCUAUAGCAAGGGGUCCCUUUUGCGAUCUGUAUAGGCUAUGCAAGUUAUGCCGAGGAUGGCCCAAAGACGAUGGCAACACAAUCUAAGUGGCGACAUGAUCUCAGUGCGAGGGUGGAAAUGAAGGUGACAACGUGAUUUCUCUUGCAAUAGUGGCGCAACACGAUCUUUGCGUGGUGUGACAACAUGAUGACUCCAAUUGCUUUGGCGCUACGUUCACGAUCUGGGUUUGCUGCAAUGGCUCAACUCAGACAAGAGGAAACUUUAAGGUCAACAAUGAAGGUUGAAUCUAGUCUUCAACUCAACAAUGAAAGUCGAAAAAAAAAAUCUUCUCUUCCCAGAUUUACAAGCCUAAAGCUCUGAUACCGUGUAAAAGAAGAGAGAUGGAAGGAAUACAAGGUAUGAAAUUCUUUUCCUUAAUCUCUAGCCUGUAUAGAGACUCGCAUAUACAUACAAAAAUUCCUAGCACCAAAAUUAAAAACUUUCCUAACUUAAUUACACCAAAUCACUUUGAUUACAGGAUUGUCUAAUUCUCUCCUUUCUUACAAAAUCACGAUUUCCUAAUUUCACUUCUUAAUUUCCCUAAGCUAACUCUUUGUUACCCUACGAUACUGAUUUUAUCACAACUUUCAUGGUCACAGCAGGCAAAAAAAAAAGGGCAACUCAAUCAAGGAAAAGCAUAAAAAUAUAUUUGAAUCCUUAUCUAAAGGAAAACCAAGGAGGACUUGCCAAUUGUUUAGUUUUAAAUGCCCCACUAUCCUUUGAAUGUGUUAAUUACCAGACUAUUUGAAGGCUAUAUUGAAUUACCAUGCAAACAAAUAUAACCACAAAAUAUACAAAAGAAGUUGAGGGGACGUACCGACGGACACUCGACUCUUCCGUCUCAAACAGCAUCCUGAAACGCAUACCAACAGAAACACGGGUAUGAUAGACUGCUUUGGCAUACUUUGCCAAAGGUAUGACGAAUUCUGAUGGACUAGCCCUGAAAUUUAGGCAAUAAUUAAUAAGAUAAACAUUUAUUUUAAAUCCCUAUCCCAACCACAUUCCUAACCUUGGAUUGUAAAAUAUAGUAAAGCGGCUAUUUGUGGCAGCUGCAUGGGCAGCUGCAGCAAGAAGGCCAAUAUGCAUGCUAUCACUUGAUAAAACUGAUGAAGGCAUUAUGGUUUGUGGACGAUUAGCUCGCCGAAUACCCAGGAGUAAUUGAUUCUUUUCGUUCCUGAUAAAAUUGAAGGCAUUAAGUAAGAACAAUGAGAAUCUAAACAGAUGAUUUUUUUCUCACAUUCUAUAUGAUCAAACUAGAUAAGGGGAAAAGUUGUCCCUAUUAAAUAUUGUAUAUGGUGGAUAUUGAUGAAAUAAUUGCUAAUUGAUGCCAACCAGGAGAUCCUAUCUCUAACUCAACCCAAUAUAUGAUUUAAUCCAAGUAUAGAGCUUAUAUUCUGAAGACUUUAAGACACUUAUCAAAAAAAUUCUCAAGAUUUUACGACGACUUGUGCUGCUGGUCCUCAGAAAAAGGUUCAAUAACCCAGAUAACAUCAUCAGAUGAGUGUCAGGGUUCCAAGCUCCCUAAGGUGUCCACUGGUGUCGCACAAAAUGUUUGUUCUCCAAUCUAUAACUCAUUUGGAUGCAAUUACUCCAUUACAUGAAAACCAGAGUAUAGAGCAUGCCUAUCUUUUAUAUGCAAGUAGUCCAUUACAUGAAAAAACAACUAGAGCUUACUAAUAGGAUGAUAAAGAACACGCCUACCAGAUAAAAAGGACAGAAUCGCCGGCAAUAAGUCUUUUUGCACUUACAAACACACUCCAUCCUGUUGUAAGAAGAUGCCUCUUGGGCUGGCCUGCAUAAGGAAAUUGAAAAUAAAUUAGAGUUAGAAAAUAAAACAAUUUCCAGGAAAGAAAAGCCCUAUUUGGCAAUUGCUUUUUAAAACAGUUUUUUAUUCUUUAAAGCAUAAAAAAUAAAAAAACAGAAAAACAUGUUUAGCAACUAGAAAAUGGAAAACAGUUUUCUGUUCUUAAAAAUAGAAAAUAAGAUUUUUUUUUUUUAGAACAUAUUUUAGUUGUUUUUACUUGUUUUGUGAGGAUUGUUUUUAAAAAUAAUUAUACAAAUAUGGAGAAUGAAAAUAAAGACUACAGUAAAAGUUAUUUUUAAAAAAUGUUUUAAAACAUAAAAAAACACGUUAAAAACAUUUCAAGUUCCCAAAUAGACUUUUGUUCUCAAAAAUUGAGAAUUCUAUUUUCAAAAACAAUUCUCAAAAGCCAUUUUUCAGAACCAUUUUUGAACACACUUCCCAAAACAAACUUUUGUUCCACAAAACAUUGAAGAACAAUUUUUAAAAAUAGUUCUCAAAAGCUAUUUUUCAGAACUAUUUUUUAAAACACUUUCCAAACAAAGCCAAAAUCUCCAAAAUUCCAAAUUAACUCAACAAAAUUCCCAAAGGAUUGGGAAUUUUCAAAGAGACUUUUUGUGGGGAGAUCUUGGAGAAAGAAGAAAGAUACAUCUUGUGAGUUGGUCAAAUCUAUGUAAGGAUUAUAAGUACGGAAGGUUGGGAUAAAGAAGAUUGGAGGUACUCAAUUAAGCAUUUCUAUGCAAAUGGUUGUGGAGGUUUGCUUUUAAGCAAGAGAGUUUGUGGAGGAAGAUUAUCCAUGGAAAAUUCGGGAAGUUGGAAGGAGGUGUAUUACCCAAGGAGUGAGGGAGUCCUUUACUAUGAGCCUAUGGAAAGACAUUAAAAAAGGAUGAGAUGACUUUAGUCUUAUAUUAGCUAUCCAAAUCAGAAAUGGUAGACAAAAAAAAAUCAGUGGGAUAGAUGAGUAGGGGAGAAUAGGUUAAUAGAUGUUUUCCCUAUGCUUUUCAAAGUAUCCUCUUCCACGAAUACUAUAGUUGCAAACUUAUGGGAGGGAAGAGGAAGCAAAGGCCAUUGGAUGGUUCAAUUUAGAAGGCCCUUCGAAGAUAGGGAGUUGGAGGAAGUGACCCAAUAUUUGGAUCUUGUUUACCCUAUGACAGUACAAGGAGAGGACACUUCACUUUGGAGAGAGGAUAGGAGGGGUAGUUUCAAUGUAAAGUUGUACUACUCCUUAUGUGAUGAGACUAAUAUAGCAUUCCCAGUCCAAGAUAUUUGGGGCGUCCCCAUCCCUCCUAAAAACGUGCUUUUUUGCAUGGAAUGUUGUAUAGAGAAAGAUCUGAACUCUAGAUAUUUUAAUGAUGGACAAUGAUCAACAAAUACAGUGGUCUUUGUAAAGAAAAUGAAGAAUCAAUUGAUCAUAUCUUGAUUCAUUAUGAAAAAAUAAGAGUUAUAUCAAUGUUUCUCUCAACAGUCUUUGGCCUAAAACAGGUGUGGCCAACUUCAAUGAGAAAUCUCUUCAAGUGGAAAUUUAAGGGGUUGGAUAUAGCUCCCCUUUGUUUUUCUUGGUGUGUGUGGAAAUAGCAUAACCGAAGGAUUUUAAAUGAAGAAGACUUCUCAUAUCAAAGGUUAAAAGAGUCCUCCAUCAAAUCCCUAUCGGAGUGAUUGCAUGCUUCAAUGGGAAUUGAGAACCUCUCAAUGAUGGAUUUCAUAGACACUCUUUCUUAUGGAUAGUUUGGUUUUUGUGGGCUGAUAUUGUAUAUAUCUUUUGGUGUCUUUGUUGUGAUGUUUUGUGUAUGCUACCUGUAUGGAUAAGGUGUGACUUAUCCCUUUAGCGCUCUUUUUGUCAAUCAAAAAAAAAAUAUAUAUCCCAAAGGGAACAACUCCCAUCCCAUGGCCAAACUACAAUUGAUCCCAAUGUUAUUCAUCUCUAAUCUUUAAAAUAACCAAAAUACUCUUGGAAGACUAAAACUCUCUCUCACACACACACAAAAAGAACCUAAAGAGUCAAAUUGCUAAUAAACAAAGGUUAAUUAAAUGGAAAUGGAAUGAACAAAGAAGAAUAGAAACAACAAGCGGUUCUUCACAAGGGAAACCACACCAAAGAAGAAAAGCCACAAGAUCAAAGCUAAACCAAGGGAAGAUGCAAACCAACAAAACUUCAUUUAAUGAAGGCAAAAGAUGGCCUCUAAAUUUCUCAUGCAUCAAUGCACCUUUUUUCGCCAAAAAGUCACCUGUAAUCAUCAAUAUUGGAACAUAUUUGAAAUUGAUGUUUAUCCUAGAUAGAAGUUUCUUAGCUUCUCUCAAACAAAUUAACCUACAAGAAUCCAAAAUAUUGUCUAAAGCCCACUUGAUGUUCGUACAGGAGUCCCCCCUUCCAAUAAAAGCUUCACAUCGCACAUGAACACCUUUUUUCAACACCUCCAAAACAACUUGGUAACAUUUUCAAACCCUCUAGCUUGGAGAAAGCCAACUGAACCUCAUAAUUUUUUAGAGAGACAAUAUAUUUUUAAAGGUUCAUUGGUAAGGCCACCAACUUAACUUCACCACAAUGGUUUCUAAGAAAACCUAAUUUGAAUUUGACUUAGAUUUCCUUCAGAACAUCUGUCAAAAUCAAAUUCCAUCCACACAAGGAGGUGAAAACUCCUCCUAGAUAUGGAAUCUAGUCCAAAAGUACACACAUAUGCUUCCAUUCAUGAUGCACAAACAGUUACGCCUUUAAAUUCUUUGAUAGUCGAACCCUAUAAUGAAGAAAUUAAUCGACUCCCUUCAUCAUAGUAAUAUCAAAAGAUGCCAAAGUUCUUUCCAACCAAUAGAUCAAAUUGAUACCACUCAAACAAAAACUCUUAAUUUUUUACUCCUUUCACCUCUAAGAAAACCCCUGAUCUGCUAAAAAGAAUGAAACAAAUAUUUUAUAGGGGAAAGGGCAAUGUAAGAAAAGGUGGUCAAAAGCCCCAUUACUCCUUUUGCAUAUAAUGCACAAAUAUCCUUUAGACCAAAAGAGCUUCUUAAUUGGCUAGGAGCCAAGCCUUAAUUUUCAGCUUCCAAAGAGGGUACACAUUCUCUAGCCAAGCAGCCCUAUUGCCUCCCCACCAUUAAAAAUAAAAAUAACCAUUUCCUUAGAGAAUUUACUUGUCCUGAAUUACUAUUUGGAUGAAAAUAUAUAGUUAGUGUAAUUAUUUGUCCCAAACUAGGUAACCAACAUAUCUAAUCAGAAAGUUAGGGGCCAUUUUCUGAUGAAAUGGAAAACAUCUAGAGUAAUUGGAACGGGCUUUGAUGGGAUCAAUACAGCAUAAUGAUCCUUUAACCUAAUUAAUAGGCUAAAGUUUUUUUAAGUGAUUACUGUAGUGGUAACAUAGCAAGUAUGGCAGUGGAUACUCCGAAAGACUAGAGUUUCUGUUCACAUUCAAACUACUAUUGCAAUGAGUUAUUAGAGUUUAAUUUUAACUUAAAACAUUUAAAUUUUGGGGGCCAAUUGGCUUUACAUUUUAGUUUAUAUAGGGAAUUUUGCUAACUUCAUUACUAUGAGCUUUUAUUAGUAUGGGCUUAGCCUUAGCAAUGGGACAGACCUAAACCCUUUUACAGGAUAACUAGAGUCCAAGUAAACUAAGUUUUAAGUUGCAUAUGGAAAAGUAACUUGAAGUUGAAUUAACAUAUGGGGCGAGGACACUAAGUCAAUGUGCAUAAUAAUGCAAUAAGACAACAGAUGAGACCUUGAGAUUAAUAAAUUUCAAAUUUUAGUAUUUCUUGUUUUUCCACUAUUUCUUCUUUCAGUUUGUUGUUUUAGCCCAUAGCUCAUGGAGUUUGGUUCCCUGUUGCUGGAAUUUCAGCCUAAGAUCCAAGCAUUCACUGUUCCAUCUUUGAUGUGUGCUCGCUUGAUCUUCACCUGUGCUGCAUCACUGUUCCAACUAGAAUCUAUUUUUAUUGUCACAAUCUGCAUCAUGAUCUGCACAUCCAAUAUAUCUUUACAUGUACCACUAGCUCAUAGUCCAGUUAUUAAAUUAAUCUUCAUUCAAAAUUUAAGAACCAAAGUAUGGAAUAGCGCAGACAACACAAACCUAACUUCACGCCCAUAGCUAAGGUAGUUUUUCCCAAUUGAAAAACUCAGUAAACACUAGCGUUGAAGAGAAAAGUAAAUUUUUUUUCCCUUUUUUCCUUUUCUUUUCUUUUUACAGGAUGAGAGACAGGUAUUAUACUAUUAUCAGAGGACAUACUAAAAAUUUAGAAUGAACAACAAAGAAUGAGAGCAUUUCUUGGCCAUCAAGGUAGAUUUAAGAACAAACUCAUUUUGGGAAAACUCACCACGAAAUAUAUGUCUGAAUUUCCAUUCAUUACCAUGAAGAUCCCUUGCAAUCAAUUCUUGAGCAGGAGGCUGCUGGGUGUAAUCCUGACAGGAGAAUACAGAUCAAAGUAUCAACAAUGAAUGAAAAGUCAAAAACUAGAUCAUGCCCAUCAUGAUAUCAUUAAAUACUGAUGAACCAAAUUGAGUAUAACCAAAACUUCCGUACAAGAGGAGGAAACACUUUUUCAGCAGCCCGGCGAGGAACAGAGAAUCCUCCAUGAGUACUGGUGUCACUUGCAGUCAAUGUUUUGCAGAAAUAGUUGGUUGGCUGUUUGCUGGGGGAACCCAAUUCUGCUGGUAGCAGGCACACUUCUUUUUGCUCUUGCUACAGAAAAUAUAGUAACAAUAAAUGAAGGAAACACAAAAUAUGGAAUUCCAUGUGUCCAAAUAAGACAAAACUAAGUACCGGACUCAAUGGUUGCAAGGUCAUCUGAGCAUAUACUUCAUCUGUCUCAACAUCUGCCUGUACUUCACCAGUUUUUAUACUUUAGGAAGCAGCCAGCAAGAAGAUAUAGAAUUAACUGAAAUAGAUCUAUACUUACAUGCAUGGUCACAUUAUGAAGCUGACAAAUAAGUUGAGGGGCCAAACUAGGGUAGUUAGGGAUAUGAGCAUCUACUUCCUUGUUGGUUGAGGCAGCAACCUGCUAGGAAUAAUGAGCACUAUUAAAACACUAGUAGCAUAUAGUAUUACACUAAAAUGGAUAUCUAUAUAAGAUAUGUAAGUUGUUCAGAAAAUAGAAUAUGGAUUCAAAAUGGAACAUCAAAUAAGAGAAAAGCUGCCAACAUUCUUGUGACCAAAGCAGACACCUACUUUUUCACCCUCAAAAUCUGAAGGGGAAAAAUACAGGAUGUGCGCAUUUAUUGGGAAAAAGAACAACAAAGAAAGUGUCUACAAAUGAUGAUCAUUAAAUUUAGAUCAAGUGGAUAAUAUGGUCUAUAUGACAUUCUGCAUCCACAGAAAAAUAAAAUCUAGCAAAAAAACAUUUACUGCAACUAAAUUUUCACUGGUUUUUUGCAUGUGUGAAUACCAUUUCAAAUGAGAUUAGUUACAAGUUCUAUAACCAGUGACAUUAACAACCCACUGAAAGCUCCAAAAACCCAAACCUAUAUAGAUUUUGAAUUUCAUAAGGCAAAAGUACAAAGCCUGCACUACCCAUUUGCUUGAAAGCGGUUGCUUAUUAAAUUUUUUAAAAUUGACGAAAAGGGGAUGGACACACAUCAAAAAAGGCUCAUUGUGCACCUAUAUUAAUGUUGUACUCUCCCUUAAUUAAAAACGUAUCAGAUUAGGAAUCCCCUUCUAUUCAUUGUAGCAAUUCUAGAUUCUAAAAUUCUUCCCAUUUCUAAAUUCUGAAAAUCAAGUGCAAACAAUUGGUCAAAAUUGAUAACUCUGGAUGCACGCCUUUAAGAAGAUAGGCAAUCUAACAUAUAACCUCUUCUCUCUUAACAAGAAAUCAAAUCAGAUAGAAAAACAUUAAUUUAUAAAUUUUAUUUUCAAUACAAGCAUUGGAGAAAUAGAAUAAUAACAACAAUAACAAUAAUACAUGUUCUUAUGCUAUUUCUCUCUAAUUUGAGGCCAAACCAGAUUAGGGAAAAAAAAAUUCUUUAAUUUGAGAAAGAAAAAUUAGUUUGGACACUUGUUAAGAUCCUCUUUAUUGACAUAAAACAAAAAAUGCGAUAAAGAGUCUGUUUGGUAUUCAAAAAUGGUUUUCUAUUUUCUAGAACAAAAAAAUAGGAAAUCAUACUUGGCAACCAGAAAACAAAGUGUUUCCAAAAAACAUUUUUUAGUUUUUUAAAAUUGUUUUAAAAAAUAUUUAUACAAAUAUGGAGAAUUAUUAAAAAUAAAGUAUUACAUAUAAAAGUUAUUUUGAAAACAUAUUUAAAAACAUCAAAAAUAAGCUAAAAACAUUUCAAGUUCCCAAACAAACAUUUGUUCUACAAAACAUCCGAGAACAAUUUUCAAAAAUUGUUCUCAAAAACUAUUUUUCAGAACCUUUUUCAAAAACAAUUCCCAAACAUAGCCAAAAUUUCAGCAAUAGAUAAAGUCAUGUUAUAAAGAUAAAACAAACAAAACAAAGAAAGCAUAUUUCAACCUCAACCCAAAUCAUAUGUAAUUCCUUCCUUAGAAGUAGAUGCAGUUUAUAACUUAGUACUUAUGUUACCGAUCAAGCAACCAGAGUUUCCAGUUACUCAUCAAAUGAAAAAACUUAGUGUAUCAUAUGUUCUUAUGGCACUAGAAAGUGGUAAUUACAGCGAAAGUUUUAGUUCAAAAAACCAACAUAUUUGAUACUUUUAGUUCAAACCUGUUCACUGUGACCCUGGGGGAAGUACACCACACGACUUCCAACAGCAGGCAGAGAUACAAGAGGGCCUGCACAUGCAUGCCAUAGCUCCGAAUUCAAGCAUUUCUUUUCCCCUGUACAAGAUUCCACACUUGAAUAAAUUUGCACAAAUUGUGAUACGAAACAAGCAUAAACAAUUUAUGGAACAAAUCAAAAACAGCAAAAUUGUGGAACUCAUCAGUGGUUUUGUAGGUAGAAUUUCUGUUUGGUCAUCUCACUAUUUUCUCUCACCUUCUUUCUUUUAUUUCUUUUUUUUUUUUCCAUAGGCUUGUUCAAUCACAUCAAAUGCAGAAUUUUUGUCAAAAUACCACUUAUUAAGUUCUUCGAGAAUGGGCUAAUGAUACACAUCAAGUUGACACUCUUCAGAACAAAAAAAGGUUGGAUAAAAUAGACACCAAGGUUAAAUCCUCCGGGAACUAAAGCUCUGACACCAUCUUAAAGUAUCACUUAGGAACUGAGCCAACAACAUGCAUCAAACUAACAACAGUAUACAUCAAGUUAAAACCUCUGUGCAGCCUGAGAGGCCCUAACCCACGUGGACAGCAGAAAACAUUUGCAUCAAAUAGAAGGACACAAAUAGAGGGAAAAUUAACCAAUGAGGUUUGAACAUCUAGGAAACGCAGCUCUGAUACCAUGUUAAAAGUACUACUUGCUUAGGAACUGGGCCAACUAUGCAUCAAACUAACUGCUUUCAACUUGCACAUCAACAACUAUGCAGACGCACAAACAAAUGAAAGCUCUGCACACUGUGAGCAAUGAUAUCAACUCAUACACUCACAAGGUUCAAUUUUUUCAUAUAUGGGAAUGCAUAUAUGAGAAUUGUGAGAGGAAAAUAUUCUCAGGAAAGACAAUGUAUCAAAGCAUGUGAGUCAAAUGUUCUGCAAAGUUUAAAAUUCCAAGAAAAACAACAAGUUUUGGGCAAAUGCAAGCUUGCCUUCUUCUGUUUGAUGAGCAAAACCCGAUGAAGAGAGCCUCAUUCUUCAGAAUCAAAGCAACUUUCAACACACAAAAGAACUUCAACUGCCCGACACAAACACAGAAACCAGAAACUCUAAUGAGGAACACCCUCCUCUCUCCUUUUAAGCACUUCACCACACAAAACCCUUCUACAAACCUUAACACAUUGGAACUGAAAAGCCGAUUCUGCAAUACCCUCCCCUUUUAAGCACUUUCACCACCCAAAAAACUUCAACAAUCCUCACCACCUCAAAGCCUUGAACCUGCUUUGCAGCAAUACCCACCACCCUUUUUAAGCAGUUUCACCACUCAAAGAACUUCAAUAACCCUCAACACCCACAAACUGAGAUUUUCUUGCAGCAAUACCCACAACCCAUUUUGAGCAUUCUCACAACCCAAAGAGCUGCUACAACCCUUCACACCCACAAACUAAUAUUUUGUAUCUGCAGUACCCAGCUCCCUUUUGAAGCCCUGUUUCACCCCCACCACCAACACCACCACCACCACCCCCCACCCCCCACUGAAACAGCUACAAGAACCUCAAAACCUAUCAUCCAAAACCAGUUCCACUACAAGCACUCACUCUCCCCAGCUUCAUAAGCUUCAGAUCUUCCCUCCCCCAAACCCUAAUUCAAAGCCCACUGAGCACAUUUCAGCUAAAAGAACAAACCCCUAAAUAGACACUCCUAGGGUUUUGAACACCCACAAACUGGGGCUCGCAAAACCCACAAAUGGGAACAACAAUUAAGCCCUUUUAAGCACUUGGGUACCCCAGAUCUCCACCUUAGAAGCCGCUGAAGUAAUUCAGAUUUGAAGCCGGUCUUCACAAAUUGAGGGGUUCCAAAGCACAGAAUAACUGAAACGAGAGAGAGUAAAAGGAAGCUUACAGAGCUGAAAUUGACUUUAGUAAAGAAGCACUUUCGGAUAGUAGUCGAAUGCUUCCUCUGAUCCUUCAAGUUUACAUUCAAUUAAUAUACAGUCGCCAUUAUUUUCGGUGGAUUUUAUAUUUAAGAGGCCACCACACGGGAACUGAAACUGGGACGGAAACGGGAACGGAAGCUUCUAUAAAAAUACAUCGAGCUUCGGUUCCUCUACGGUUAUACUCGUACAGUUUCUCCAGUUCUUCAGAUGUCUAGUCUGACCAAAGUCAAAGAGAUUUAGGGUUGCUAUGUGGUCCUGUCAAUCUUAUUUGGACCCCAAAAUUCAUCCAUAAUCAUUUAGGGAGAGUUAUUUGAUUCUUAUUCCAAAAUUAUAAUAGAUUGAUAUUUAUAUUAUUUUUAUUGAAUGAUUACGGAUUAAAUACAUAUCAAAUGAGUAAAAAACAAGAAACGAUUUAACAUGGUCGAUUAUUAUUAUUGAUUAUGUCGUUUGUUUUAUUAUAUCAAAAAUUCUUUAAUUAUAAAAAUAAAAAUAAAUUAUAAUAUUAUAUAAGUAAAUCAAAACUCGUAAAACAAUAUAUAAAACUUCAAUCUUAAUCUAAAUUUUUUCUAAAGUCAUAAUCAACUUUUAAGUCUUUGAUAUUAGAACAUUAAAGAAGUAUAAGGAUUGAUGGAAAAUAAGGAAAAGAGCAACAAAAAUGACACUAUAAAGAAAUGAUUGAUAAUUGAAAACAAGAAGGAUGAAUAUUGGAAGGAGAUAAAGACAAUAAGAAAAAUAAAAACUCGAUGUGACUCUCAAAAAUGAAAAGGAAAUGGGGACGAAAUGUAGGUGGAUUUAUGCUUGGGGUCAAGUAAGGGUGACAUUUGCCAAGUCAUAGCUCUAAAAGCCAAGCUAUCAAACAAGGUCUCCAACCAUCCAAAACUUUUUACAUGAUUGAUAGUAAAAUUUCUUGGUCCUUCACCCAAAUACUAAAAGUUAAUAAUGGGUUUUCUAAAAACAGUGAGAUCCUUUAAGGGCAGCACUUACUACAAGGGUGAUGGAUGGGAGUGGUAUAUAAGGUUGGACAAGGGCCCUAUUUAUCUUAUUGUUUCUAUUUUGCCAUGUGUAAUGCUUGUGGGCCUCAAGCAUCUAUCUCAUAGAUCCUUGCAGACCUUCUCCCUUUUUUUAAUUUCAUUUUUGAGUGUUGGAACCAAACGAAUACCACCAUGGUUUUUAUCGAGAAUUUGAAGAUACGUUUGAUAGAAAAUCAUUAUUAAUAAAAAUUAGUUAUUUUUUGAACUUAAUCAAUUAAUUUACUAUAGAAUCACUAUCAAAUUUUAAUUUGAAAAGACUUUUUGUUAUUUCCAGAACAAGAAAAAGUUGAUUCAGAUUCAAAAGAUCAAGCAAAAUUUUUAAUUUUUUUUUUCGAUAAGUUAUAACUGAUCCUAAGAAUCAAGCAAUUAGAAAAAAACCUAUUGGAAUAAAAGAUAUCAGUUAAAACGUCCUUGAUAGUUAUACAAAUUAAUGAAGAAUAAGGAGGAAUGAGAAACUUUAGUGGUGUACCAAGAGAUUUGUUCUUUCUAAAUUGUUUAAUUAGAAAAAAUAUAAAUUCGAAAACCCCAAAAAUGAAAAUGUAGUAGGCAACAACUUUUGUUACAAAAAUGACAAAACUUGCUAUGACAUCAAAUAAUGAUCAUAAUCUUGGUCCGAAACGAAGUCUAUAACAUUAUACUCAUGUAAACGUAGGUAGGGAUUGUCGGUGUUAGAACUUAUUUUUCCAUUUGACAUUAAGACAUCACAAUCACCCUCCACAUCUCUCAUGUAAAAAUCUAUUUUUUUUUAGAAACGUGAUGAAGACUUUUUCUUAUAACCAAUUUAGGUAAUGACAUGAUAUGUGGUAUCUACUGUCUCUCUUCAUAAAUCUAUAUAAAGACAAAUGGAUUUGAGGCUUUGCCACAGCAAACUCCAAUUUAUACCUGCUGUAAAAGCAUUUGGUUUUGGAAACUUUUGAGAAUUAGAUGUGGUGCUAUAAAGUAUUGUACAUGUCAAACCAAUACAGCAUGCAUGGUUAUUAAUAUUGGAAAAGUCAAAAAGAUUUCUUUCUCGAAGUCCUCUAAAUGUUUGUUUGCAUUCAUGGAAGAAGUCAUGAUUUAGUUCUUCAAUUGUUUGAAUAUAGUUUUCUUCUUUAUUUUCUCCUUGAGUGGACACAAAAAGAAGAAAAUUAGAGAAAUUAAUGUCAGUAUUAUGAAUCUUCUGGAGAAAAAAUCAAAUGUGAAAUUCCAUAUGAAACCCAUUAUUAUUUUUCUAAGUCUCUAAACUGAGGGAGAGAGAACAGCAUGAUUUUAUUCAACAUUACACCAAACCAGAUACACAUAGGUAGGUCUAUAUCAUGGCUCUCUCAUGAGAACCUUUACCAUAUACAAAGCCAUAUAUAUAGCUGGGAGUAGAGAAGUUAGCAAGACGCCAUACUUCCUCUCUUUAUUCUUCAUUUCUCAACCUCCCUUCUUACUGGAUUCUGCACCCACAUACAAAAAAAAAACCCUUAUCAUCAGUUACGUCCCCUCAAAAAAUGAAACGAACCAGCAACAUAUAUCAAGGUAGUUAAAUACUCACUGGUCACAAUUUGUGGUCAUGGAAAUAGGAAUGCCGAUCUGGACUCCACACUUGGUAGGGAGGGCGCUGGCCGCGUCCUCCUUGAUGUUCUGGAACUUGCUUGCGGCGGCCUUAACGCACCUGCAGGCAUCUCUCCUGUCGGUCGUGGUGGGAGUCAAGAGCUUCAAGUUCUGGACACCAUUGCAGCAGGGCGCUGCAGGGUUACCCCCACCAGUGAGGUAGGGCAUGCAAGGAGCGAGCGAGGUUUCGACUUGUCCGCAGGUGACUGCAUAGCCCGGCUGCACCAUGACUGCAACCGUGGCAACAACCACCAUAACUGCAAUGACCACCCCACCUUUCAUUUUCGUUUCUUCUUCUUCUUCGGUGAAAUGCUAGCUAGUGCGUAGUAUUACUAGUGCUUGUGGGGGUGAUGGAAAGGGGGGUUACAGGUUAUUUAUAGGUGGGCGAUGUGGGAAGCAUCCGAAAGGGUGAGUGGGGAGGGUGGCACUGCUUGUUAUCAUAUUUUGGCUUCUUGUUUGCCUUUAAACGUCAUUGGUGUAGCCUAAAAUAGUAAAGGAGAGUGCUUUUCCUCAUGAAUCUGUUCCACUUUUCCUAGCUUGGCUACAUUUGAGCAUUGUUGUUUACUAGUUUAUAGUGUGGUGCAUGUCCAUGUGUCUUUGCUUCUGUAUACGUGCUUAUCCCACAUAAUCAGAAGUUUUGAAGGCAAAAUGACUUGGCACUCAUACAGGAACCACAGAGAUAUGAGAAUGUGAGGGGCCAUGUUCUCUAUUUGCUUUCAUACCCUUUGAGCCAGGGAGAAUAAAGAAGGGAGAAAGAGAAUAAAAUUGUUCAUUCCACUAAGGCCUCGUCUGGUUCAGCUUUCCCAUUUUUGCUUUAGGUGAAAGAAAGUCAGAAGUUGAAAGUUAAAAUCACAAUUUUUAAGGAUUAAUAUUGAUACCAUAAACAUUUUAUUAAACAUAAAAGAAAUUUCUUAAAUAAGUAGUAGAAUUUGUAUAAAAGAUGAUCUUCAACUCGUUAGUUAAACAAGUAAAGAGAAGAAAAUUAACUUCUUUCGAGUGAAAAGUGAGCAUACCUGUAACAAGGUGUAUCUGAACGAAAUUUUCGGGUACCAAUAAAAUUUAUAGACCGCAAAAUAAUUCAAGUUUCUGUUUUCUUUUCUUUUUUCCAUUUUCUUUUUCCCACAAUUUUCAUAUUUAUACUUUAGUUUAUAGUUAGUUUUGUUAUACUAAUGGUUAAAAAUACUUAUAUUUUGUACCAUGUAUAUCUAUAUAUAAUAAUAAAUCAAUAUUAUUAUUUCAAUAAUAAGAUUAAAAAUAGAAAAUAAACAUUAAGCCUACCCAAAAAGAAAAAAAAAAUAAAACAUAAAAAAUGAAUUAGAGUAACAAAAGAGAUUAUCACUUUGAUAAUAAAGAUGGAAAUUAGUUCAAAAUUGCUUACUUUCCAAAUAUUCUUUAUUUUAUCUUAGUUUAAUUUACAAGAUGUAAUUAUCUUCUAGUAUUCCAACAUUUUUAGAAAAAUUUAUAUCUCAAUAUGAAAUUUUCUUAAAUUAUUUAUUUAUUUAUUUUUAAUUUUUAAUUAUCACUUAUAUAUAUGUUUCCACUCAUAGUAUAGGAUUUGAGAGAAUUAGAAUAUUACGCCAAACCAACACAUAAACGCAUUCGAUUCAUGCCAAAUCUAACCUCAAUUCGUGCCAAACCUGUGGACAACUUGGGUUUCUAUGGGUUUUCACGAGCUAUCAAAUAAAAAGAUUAUAGUGAAAUCUCCUAAUAAAAAAAAUAUUGAUUUUAAAGUUACAAAACAUAAAACAAAUUAAGGUUUGUAUUUUUCAAAUCCAAACUCGGCUCUAAUCCUUUAAGUGUAGACAUCAAAUUUUUUUAUAAAUUAAAUUAUUAUUAAAUUGGUCUUCAAAAUUUUAGCUUCCCAAUUUAACAAAAUUUGGUCUCAACAAGUGAUGCAUCGUAUACAUAUGACACGUAUUAUAUAUUUAAAAGGUAACACCUGACGUAUAUUUAAAAGGUGUCAUAUAGGAAAAAGAGAAUAAAAAUAAUAACAAAAAUUCUUUUAUCCUCAAACUUUUAAAGAAAACAAAUCUUUCGAUUGAAGUUAAAAAAAAAAAUUAAAUAAAUAUUCUCUCAUUGGCAAAUUUUCUAAAUAAACGAGACAAGUUACCAAAAUCAAGAAACUAAAUUUAUUUGAAUUAAGCCACUAAAUCUGAGAGAUUCUAAAUUUUAUUCACCUAUAAAUAAUGGUGACUUCCUUAAUGAAAGGGAAAGAGACUUUGAACCGAUCAAUAAAAUGACUUCAAACAGGAAAAUGGGGUUUACAAAGAAAAUAAAAAAAUAAAAGAACUUCACAAAAUCCUUUUGCAAAUUCAAGAAAUCUCAAGAGUACUACACACAAUCUUCUUCAUUUAACAAAUUCAUUCAGGAAUAAGUCAUUUAAUGCCCUCAAUUGAUCUUCAAAACUAAGAAAACGUUUUUGUUGUCAUUUUUCAAAAUAUGUUCAAAAUAAAAAAAAAUUAAAUAAAAAAAUAUUCUUUUUAAAUAAUAUUAACAUAUAAAUUGUAUCCCCACAAUUAAUUUUUUUAAAAAAAAUCUUAUUUCAUAUAUUUUUCUAUUGUUUUUCUUAUAUUACAAAACUUCACGAAAUUUGUGCAUACAACCCACCAUCUCCAAAACAACUCGAACUUCGGAGUUGGAUGAGUUCAAUCGGGCCAAAUUGUAAAUUUAGGUGUGAGUGAGAGUGUUAAUUUAAUAUACAUUAUGGCUUAUCUCCUAUCAACUCAAACGUUUAAAAAGAAGGAAGUUAAUCAAAGAUCUAAUCUCUCUCUUUCUCUUUUUUCAACAAAUCUUAUCAAAUUGAUUUGUCCAAUCUUGUGGAAGUCUACAUUUUAAAUAUUUUUAAUGUAAGAUGUCUUCCAUCAAAGUGAAGAAUGAUUUGAAGCUUAGUCCCUUUUGUCUCAUAGUUAUUGUCCCCACAGGGAUUGCCCUCAUCUAAAGCCAUCAUUUCCACCACCACUCUCACCAUCACCAUUUCUUCCUAUCUAUCUUAGUGACCGAUGCUAUCGUCACCGGAUUAGAAUUGAAAUAAAGGCGGUUAUAUGCAAGUUUGAGAUUUUUUUUUUUAAAUCGAGGAUAGUUCAUAUAUUGUUUUUUCUCAUCUUGUUCUAUCAUGAUUGUAUAUAUAUAAUUAAAUUAAAAAUAAUUUAACUUAAAUUUUUAUUUUCUUAUUUUUAAUACAUAUAAAAUAAUAAACUAUUUUUCAACUAAAUAAGUUGUAAAAAAUUAUAAUAUUCAUUUAUUUAUAAAGUAUAUUUAUUUCUAAUAUAAUUAAAAACUUUAAAAAUUAAACAGAUAAAGUGGGUAUACAAAAUUCUCAUUUCGACCUAUUUCAUUUAAAAUUUUAAUUGGAUUGAAAAUGAUAAUUAAUUUAUAUAAACAGAAGACAACAACUCUUUUUGAACUUGCUUAAUUACCCUUCUUGGUUUGUAAUAAUGAUAUGGAUAUAAAUAUAUGGCACAAUAUUUUUUUUUAAUAAAAUUAGAAAUAGAUUUAUGAAUCCAUCAAGAAUAAGAUACCUUGAUAUUGUAUAAAAGUACUAUGUCUUAGUUUGUUUGUCUAAAUGUUUAAGUAAAAUUAGUAAUUUUCAAAUAUAUAUCCACCAAAAGAAUUUUCUUUAUGUAAAACCUUUUCAAUUAACCAAAACCAAAUAAGUUAUUUAAAAAAAAAAAAAUCAAACAACAUGGUAAACGUAGAGUCGAAUGGGUGGGAGCCCUAUGAGCACUCUUUUGUAAACCAAUUACAAGUAUAAAUAACAUAAAGAAAUAUAUUUAAAGAUUUGAAAUCAUCGAGUAAGUUUCUUAAAUUGGAUUAAGAGUCGUGAAUGUAUUUGUAUAAUCUUCAAAUAAAGAUAGUAGCACAAUAAAUACUAUGAAUCUCGAAUCAUCAAAUAAGUUCCUUAAAUUGAAUUAAGAGUUGUGAAUGUAUUUAUAUAAUCUUCAUCUUCAAAUAAAGUUAGUAACACAACAAUUAGUAUAGAUUUAACAUUCAAUUAUGAAAUCCUCGAAAAGAGAGGGUAAAUCAAAAUCCAAAACCGAAAACUAAUCAAAUUGACUUAAUGGAUAAAUUAGGGAUACAACAAUAAAAACAAUAGUUAGGUGAUGUUUUUCUUCCAUCUCUUCCAACCAAAUCCCUUUUUAGCUUCUUCUAAGCCUAAUCUCUUUUGUAAUCUUCAUGCCAAUUCCCAUAAACAUUAAUAAUCUCAUUGCCUCAUGACUUCGACAAUUUCAAAUGCUUUAUCGAAAUUAAAAAUUGAAAAUAUGAAUUUAUCCCAACUAAAAAUAAAAUAAAAUUAAAGAUUGCAUCAUAGAAUUGACUUUCAAAAACCCCCUAAUAAACUGUGAAGAAAAAAAAAUUGAAAAUGAUAAAUAUAGGUAGGUUUUUGAAAUUUUGAUUCAUACCCCACUAUCAUAAUGAAAAACAUAAAAUUUAGAAAGUGAACAAAUAAAGAAGAUGGUCAAACAAAAAAAAAAUUAAAAGGAGGAAAUUUGGGAAAAACUAAAAAAAUUGUGAAUUUUUGGAUUGAGAUUUGUUAGAUGUUAAAAAUGAAGAAGAUGGGAAUUAAAUGGUUUGGAUUGUUAAAAAUAAAAAUAAAAAAUAAUAAUAAGAAGAAGAAAAAGAAAGAAGAAGGUGUUUAGUUUGUGGAGAAGAAGAAUGUCAAGGUUGUGAAUCAAAGUUAAAGUUCUAAGAAAGAAUAAUAUGAAAAUUAAGGUUCUAUUUGAUAAUUAUUUUUUAAAACAUAAUUUUUUUUUUAAAAAAAAAAAUUGAUGUUUUAUAGAACAAUUACCUAUUUAGAAAACUGAAAUAUUUUUAACCUAUUUUUUUAAAUAUAUUUUUAAAAUAAAUUAUAUAUGCAUUAUUUUAUUUUUAAUCAUUUUCCAUCUUUGUAUAAUUAUUUUUUAAAACAGUCUUAAAAAAAAACAAGUAAGAGCAACCGAAAAUAAUUAAAAGAUGUUAUAUAAAAAUACCAUAUUUUUUUGUUGUCAAACAUGUUUUCCUUUUUUUUUUUGCUUUGAAGAACAAAAAAUUGUUUUUGAAAAUUGUUACCAAAUAUGCCCUAAACCUUUAGGGUUUAAUUUGUGGAGAAGAAGAAUUUGAAAGUUGUGAAUCAAAGAUUAAAGUUUGAAGAAGGAAUAAUAUGAAAACUAAAAUUAGAAUAUUAGAGUUUCAAUUUUGAAAAUGAAGAAGAUGAAGAAUUGAAGCCAAAAGAUUAUACUUCCAAAUACUAAGGACUAAGAAGGUGGGUGGCUCCCCACAAAUUUUCACUAUGCCAACCACAAUGAGGCUACAUGAGAUUGGGAACAAAGGAAAUCACAAAGCACACUAGAUUACGAGAUUGAAACUCCCCAA
rnacentral:lncRNA from 1 species